CUGGAUUGCCGGCGGCGGAGCUAGCGGGACCGUCGACGACCUUGAAGGGCUUUCUGAGCACGGAAGGGAGGGGAAGUGCAUGAUCGAUACGACUGGCCUGGACCUCGCUGUAGACGGAGGCGAAUCGGCCGGUGACAGGUGCCGGAACUGACUCAACACCGGCAGCACCGCCGUUAGCAAUCAGUGAUGGCGAAGCCAUUAAAACCUAACACGCAAAGACAGUGUCUCCGAGAUCUUCGAGUGUUUUGGUGCGACUGCGAACGGAGAGUGAAAUCUAUCGAAUCGCGUUUGACUCCCGACAGUGAGAGUGCGGGCGUUUAAACGGGGAGUUGAGAAGGGUAGGAACGUCAUUUCAGGUCAUUGAACUCUCCGCAUUGGAGCGGAAUGUUAGGUGGCCCAUUGGAUGCGAGGGUGUUUCGGGAAUUGGACGGACGGGAUUUGGAGAUGUGGUGGUGUAUGGUAUGUUAUGGUAUGGUGGUCUAGACGGCAACGGAUGUUGGUGGCGGGUUUUUCGUAGGUAGACACCUAACCCUCCUCCGGUGGUUGGUGGGCGCCAGAAAUCUAGAGCGAUUUGGCAUAUUCCGGAAUCGCGGAUCUUUCGUUUGCGUUCGAAACCAGGGUGUUUGGUGACAAGAUUUGAUUGGCAAUUGGGUAUCAAACUAUUAGGCCCAAUUGUUUGGGCCAAUAUUUGAGUUUCCAAAUUAUAGGCCCAAUUCAAAACCCCAAAUUAGUGGUUCGAGUCAUAAUUUUGUGUCCACUCAAUACAAGUGUGCUAAAUGAGAAUCGGGCUAGUUUUUUACAUCCACGGUGUAUAAGGCAUUUCUUUCAUCUUAUUGUGUUUCGGAUUCAAAUAUUAUCCCCUUCAUUUAGUGUGAAGUAAAAAAUUGUCUGUUAUUAGAACUAGAUGAUUUUUCAAGUGAAGUUGAAUUCUCCCUCCUAAUUCUUCUCCCUCCUAUCGCCUUCUAUUUGAAUGGUCAAUUAGGAGCUCGUACGAAGAAAACCAAACAAAAUUUAGCAAAAUGGAACGAACUAACAAGUUAAACUACGAGCCCCUUCAUCGAGUUGAUGACUUUAGCUACCAUGAGGUAGAAAAGCAAUAAUUAAAGCUUCGUGUGCAGAGAAAAACACUAUUAAUCAAUUAAGCUACAAAGCUCUUGUUUGACGACUUUAGCCAGCAUAUCACUUUAAUCUCAGGCUGCUAUGCUUUUCUCUUUGCUUUAUUAGUUACUAAUGAUCAUUAUCGCAACGCCGUCGACUUGUUUUAACAACUUGAUUGCCAGUAAAUGAUGCUUUUCUACAUAUGGAUUAAAGAUGAUCAUCCAUAUGAAUCCAAACAAUGUGUUAACGACGUAAUUUAAUAUAAUUUCUUCUGCAUUAUUGGAUAGGGCAACAUGAAGAACUAAACAAGUCAUUAAUUUAGAUGAAUGGAAUCUCUCCACUUCCUCUUAUCAUCUAAAACUUAAAAAAAGAGACUCUAGCAAAAGCACUUUUUGUGCCUAAACCAUAUAAGCACUUUAAUCAAAUAGGUUUUCGGCAAUGUUAGGAAAUGUUUAACUACAAAAAAUUAUUCUCAUCUCAUAAGUGCUUUUAUUAGAAGCAAAAUUCUACCUCAAAAAAGCUCUUCCAAAUGCUUUUAAAGUCUUCUUGACAAUCAAGAACUUACAACGACAUUUGGCUAAAAAUGUCAAAGGUGCUUAGGGAUCAUAGAGCACUUUCUAGAGAAGAACACGUUAUGUGUUUCUUUUUCUUCAACAAGAAACACUUCAAAAUGAUUUUCCAAAAAAAAAAAAAAAACUUUAUAUUUGUAAUAAAAAUUUCGAGGUGUUUCUAGUAAGAGCUCUUCUAAUCAAGCGCUUACGAAGAUAAGUACUUUCAACAAAAGCAAGCCCAUACGGAGCCUUCCAAACAAGCUCUCAUGGAAUGGAACCACUACUUUUCAUGUUAACCAAACUCUUCAAAAGGAUGUGCCAACUAACGGUAAUUAGACCCUACAAAGUAAACUAUUAAGCAUCAUGAUUACUGGCUCGAUUAACUAAAAGAAUGUUCCUCAUUUGCCUUCUUGCAUUCACCAACUCAUCUAUUAAAAUGUUGUAAAACACAAGACACAAUCAUGAUUAACAAACCCCACAAAUGCCAAGGGUGCAUAAAUGAUUAAUUUGGCACAAAACUUCCUUCAAGGCUCCAAUUCAAACCAUGUCCAAAACGAAAGCGUCCUCCAAGAAGCAACAAAGAAUAUGCAAGGCAUUGUGCUGCAGCGGCUGCCGGCUUAGCGUGUCUUCGUCUAGCUCGGAGGAAGUAGCCAGCUCUAGUUCCGAUAGGUACCCUUCAAUAUCAAGCCUAUCGCAUGCCAUGGUUCAAGAGAGACUCGACCAGAUGAUCAGGGAAGGGCAGGAGGGCUUGAGGCACGUUGAUCAUCGGAGAAGAAAGCAGCGAGCUGGUGAUGAUCAUGAUCAACUUCAAGCAGGAGGAGGGACUAAAUUUGUUGUAAUGGUUGCGAUGGAGAUGUGUUCUUAUGAUCCGAGGGAGGAUUUCAGGGAGUCCCUGGUGGCGAUGAUAGUGGCAAACCGAAUACAAGAGCCGAAAGAUCUUCGUAGCCUCUUGAAUUAUUAUGUUUCGAUGAAUUCAGAUGAGUAUCGUGGGCUUAUACUCGAGGUGUUUCAUGAAGUUUGCUCUGAUUUUUUCUUAUGUAAAUUCCAUUAACUGAUGAGCAUAUUCUAAUUAUCUAAAUCCAAUCCAAUCCAACUAUGGAAAAGCGGCUUUGAACUUGAGUGCAUGGAGGGAAACACACAACUCUUUCUAAUUUGCCCAUAAUUUAAAUUUAACACAAAAACAAAAUUGUGACAUUAUAUUGGGGAGAAAAGAAGACGAACCCAUAUGAAAUAUUCAAAUGAUAACUACAAAUCUAACAAUAACUUACGUUGCAAAAUUUUUGAAUCUGCACCACAUAUUCUGCCGCGACGAAAGUUUAUGUGAUUCUUGCCCCUUAUUGAUCUCCUCUUGGGAAGGGCAAGAAAGCGGAGUAAGGCAUUGAAAAACCAGGCAUCAAUUGUCUGAAACAUGACUUUGGACGUCUGAUACAUAUGAAAUUGAAGCAGGCCGAAUAGAGGGACUGGGAAAAAAGGCAAUAGGGUAAAGUACAGACUUUGUUCAUUUCAUCUCGACGGGAAUCAAGAGCAAAAUGGUGGCGGCAAAGGCGAGCAUGGUGGUUGCCAUGUGAUGAGGCGAUAUUAUACUAUUUAUUUUACCCUAUUCUUAGUUAUAAUUUAUUGGUUAUUUUGUGAGAAUUUUGAUACUUUGUUAUAUAUUUUCAAUGUAGGACAUUCGACUUCCUUUGGAGUAAAAAGUGAUUAAACGGAUGAAUUUUGGAGUGAUUCUAAUUGGAGGAUGUUCGUGAGUCUUUCAAGAUAAUUGUAUCAAAAUUCCAGAUUUUUCUACCAAGCCAUUUGACUGUGGUGAAGAAAUAAAGGCCCAGCGAUCAGCUUUCCCAGAUUGACAUUUCUGGACGUUUUGGGUAUUUUGAAGGUCAAGAUGACAUAUUUUGAUAAAGAUUCCUUCUGAGGAUUUGUAGGAGACGUCUUCAUCUUUCAAAAGAGACAUUUUGGGACUAAAUUGGAGUUGAUUUUGUCAGUCAAAAGAUGAAUUUUCUGAGAAGUCCGAAUUUUAGCUCGGAAUUAUUAAAGAAUGUACUUAAGCUAAUUUUUUUCUUAAAUUAACUUUUAAAAAAAUUAUGUAGACUAUCGUAAAUUAAUUUUAUGAACAUUUUAAUCUAAAAAUAUUUAAAUUCCGAUAAAUAUUAAAAAAUCACUAAAUCUUUCCACAAAGCAAGCCUUCAACUUUCACCAACCGUUCAACUUUCAUCAAACUUUCAACUUUCACCAACCGUUCAACUUUUAUCAAUCAUCCUCUAUAUAAACACAGGUCAAAUAUCAAUUGAUCACACAAUCUUUCAACCUUUAAUCAUCCUCUAUAUUCACCAAUCUUUCAACUUUCAAAGUGUUUUUCUUUCCUAAAAAUCCUCAAUAUUUCAUCAAUGGGUGAUAGAAGAAGGCUUAGUAGGGUAAUACAGAUGACACAAUACCAAGCAAGGCUUGACAUUGAGGAUGCAGAAAUGAUCAACGCCGAAGCUGAACUUGCAAACUCACUUAUGCAAUAUGAGCACCAUGCCGAAUCUAGCCAUCGUGGUUCUGUCACGAGACGUUCAUUUGUGCAACGUGAUAGAGAAGAGGUGUCAUGACCGAAUGAUGAAAGAUUAUUUCAUCGAGCAUCCGAGAUUUCCUGCUCAUGAUUUUCGGAGGCGGUUUCGGAUGAGGAGAGAGCGUUAUGAAGGGAACUUUAACGAAAAACUCCCAGUACUGUUUACUUUAACGAAAAACCAUAUUUUAAGACUAAAAAGUCAAUCCUGAUACUAUUCACUUUAUCCCUUAUUUUGUCCUUAUCGUUAAAACUCAAAGUUUUCAAGCCAUUUUCAUUAGUUUUCCUCUUUUUGAAAGCAUCUUGAAUGCAGUUGUCAAUCAUGACCACUACUUUGCAAGGAAGAUAGAUGUCGUAGGCCAAAAAAGUCUAUCACCUCAUCAGAAGCUCACAUCUGCAUUUCGGAUGCUAGCUAAUGAGUGCUUUGCAGACUCGACUGACGAGUAUUGCCGGCUUGCGAAGAGUAUUGCCAUUGAGAACCUAAAGCGCUUCUGUCAGGCAAUUCAAGCCAUAGAUGGAGCCAUAUACCUCCGCAAGCCAAAUCGUGAAGACUUGAAGAGGCUUCCACGCAAGGCAGACAAAAGAGGCUUCCCUAGCAUAAUAGGAAGUCUCGAUUGUAUGCAUUGGGAGUAGAAGAAUUGUCUUACUAAGAGAAUCACAAAGAAAUUCGCUAGAAGUCAAGUUUUUCGGUGCUGGAAUUCUGACUUGGAUCGUUGAAUCCUGGUGAAGCAGAAGUCCGUAAAACUACAACCAUUGAGUAGGGACGAAAUUUAUGUUUAAGCCUCGAUCUUCAAUUUGUCUGUUUAAUAUUAUUUCGUUUUGUUCAUACUUUGUUAAUUUAUUUAUUCGCAUUUAUCAUUGAUUGCUAAUAUUUAUCCAACAGAGGUUGCUGCUAUUGCUGCUUCAACGUACUUAAUAUAUGCUUUCUUUGCUUAAUUAAUUAAUUAACAAAACAAUCGAAUAUUUAAAGAUUAAUUAAUAUUUUCUAUUGUUAGCUUAUUGUGAGGUUAAGUCCAACUCCUUUAGACCAUCUCCAACCAUUGGGCUAAAAGUCAAAUUUUUUAGCCCAUAAACAACUUUUCUGCUUCAACCCUUCUGGCCUAAAAUUUUAGCUUAGGAUUAUUAAAGAAUGAACUUAGGCUAUUUUUUUCUUUCUUAAAUUAACUUUAAAAAUGUAAGAUCUCACAUCGCCCAGGGGAGUGAUCCUUAUAUGUAUAUUCCCUUCCCUACCUAGCAUGAUGCAUUUUGGGAGCUCAAUGGCUUCGGGUUCCAUUGGAACUCUGAAGUUAAGCGAGUAGAGCGCGAGAGCAAUCCCAUGAUGGGUGACCUACUGAGAAAUUCUCGUGUGAGUUCCCAGAAACAAAACCGUGAGGGCGUGGUCGGGGCCCAAAGAGGACAAUAUCGUGCUACGCUGGUGGAGCGAGCCCGGGAUGUGGUAGACCCUAGGUCGGGAUGUGAUAGAUUUGGUAUCAGAGCCUAACUCUGGCCGUGGUGUGCCGACAAGGUCAUCGGGCCUUUUAAGGGGGGUGAAUUGUAAGAUCCCACAUCGUCCAGGGAAGUGAUUCUUAUAUGUAUAUUUCCAUCCCUACCUAGCAUGAGGCAUUUUGGGAGCUCAUUGACUUCGGGUUCCUUUGGAACUCCAAAGUUAAGCGAGUAGUUUGUGAGAGCAAUCCCAUUAUGGGUGAACCACUGGAAAGUUCUCGUGUGAGUUCCCAAAAACAAAACCGUGAGGGCGUGGUCGGGGUCUGAAGCGGACAAUAUCAUGUUACGGUGGUGGAGCGGGGCCGGGAUGUGACAAAAAAAAAUUAUGUAGAUUAUCGUAAAUUAAUUUUAUGAACAUUUUAAUCUAAAAAUAUUUAAAUUCCGAUAAAUAUUGAAAAAUCACUAAAUCUUUCCACAAAGCAAGCCUUCAACUUUCACCAAUCUUUCAACUUUCACCAAUCGUUCAACUUUCACCAAACUUUCAACGUAAGUACUUCUUCCUCUUUGGAGUGUAUUUGUUGAGGUCCUCCAUCAUUAAAUUUAUUUCGAACCUCUCUUGCUCCCUAUCCCCUUCUUCCUUCAUUUGCAAGCGCAUUCGGGCCGUUUUUUUGGUGAAUUUUGAGUUAAAUAAUUUUUUUUGAUUAUUUUAGCCAUUGGAUUUAAAUUUGGGUCGUUAGAUCUUUUUUUUACUGUUAGAUUUGAUUAUAUUCAAUCUUAGUUGUUGGAUUUAAUGUAUUUUAAAAUUACAUUUAAAAAAAAAAAAUUUGAAUCUGGACCGUUGGAUGAACCAACGGUCCAAAAAGCCCAACCGUUGGAUGAUAAAAAGAGUCGUUGGGUUGGGUUUGGUGGCACGCGCUGACAGCGGGGCCCACCCUGUAGGGCGUCGAAGGGCUCAGCCCGCGUGGGGCGAGUUGGGUGCGUGAUCGGGCUAAGAAUGGGUUGGGAAAGGGAGAGUCCACGCGUUUCUGGGCUAUUCCUUGGGGGGAAUUUGGCCCUCAAUUGGCAUUUGGCUUGGGUUGGGUUGGAUUUUGGGGGGGGGGGGAAUAGGGGGAAAUUUGGCAUUUAGCCCAGGAUUGAAGAGAAUCUUAGUGUAGAUAAUAUCGAUUGUUCAAAAAAUAAAAUUACCAUUUUCUAUUACCCUUUAAAAUAUGCUUUAUCCGUACAAGCAUCUACCUUUGCAGGCAUGCAACACAUGCCUCGGUUAAAUCAUUUUUUUUUUUAACUUGAGGGAUGUAGCUGAGUAAUAUAAACUAAACGGAAACAACCGUAGAACGUAACAAGGGUGUUUGUUUAUCAUUUCUUUGUAGAAAAUUACGUCUCAUGUCCUCGAACAGGUACAUACAUAUAUACAACACAAGAUACAAGUUGCUCUGGUGAGCUCUGUCCAGUGAGUAAGGAGGGGCUGCGCGCGGCCUUCCUUGAGUAGCACGGAUAUGCUGCAAUUGUCUUUCCUCGUAAUCUGUAGCUGUCCGUCGAUGUACAUUGUCAGCAACCACGACUCGGCAUUGCCACUCGAGAUGGGUAAACCUUUGAAAGGUGUGAGGCUGUCACCGGCUGUGUAAAUAUCUGUGUCUGAUUUUCUGUAUAAUUGGACAAGUCAAUUUGCAGCACCAAACAAGCCAUUUUAGAGGAAUGGAAUCUCUCGACAAGAAUUGAAGAAUGGAAUCCGUCCACCCGAGGAAUUGGAGAUAAUCGAAUUUAUUCAACCUAAAACGUAAAGGAGACUUUAGCGAAAGCACUUUGUAUUUAAACCAUAUAAGCACUUUAAUCAGUAGGCUUUUGGGCAUCCUUGGAAAUCUUUCACUAAAAAGAACUUAUUCACAUAUAAAAAAAUUCGCACAUCAGGUGCUGCAUCAUUUUCAUUCACUAUGCCAGAGACCAUCUUUUAGUACGAUCGAGCCUAUAGAUAAAACGGCGAUUCAACAGGUACCGCCGAAUUAACAGUACAAACUUCAUUGAAAGGCAAUUAACAAGCCGUCCCAUUGGCUAAGUUAUAACUGGGGCCAGUUACUGUUGGAAUUUAUUAGGUUUAUUUAGGAAAUUAAUUAGAGAUUUGUUUUGAUUUUGUAGUAGGGUAUUUUUGGCAUUUACGCAUUAGGGUUUCUUAGGUUUAUUGCUCUAUAAAUAGAGCUUGUAAUUUAGUUUGAGGAUCAAGUCAGUCACAAUGUAGUCUCUAGGGUUUUUGUAGCCGUCUUGGCAUUCUCAAUUUGUUCAAUAAAAUUCCUAUUAUUUUGUAGUCUUGUUUGUUCCGCACUCUGAUAUUCAACUUGGUAUCAAAGCAGGUUCGAUCCUUAUGGUUCAAUCCGUUCUUGUUGGUAUCAAUUUGUUUUGUCGCUUUUUGUUUUUUGGUUUAGUUUGGGUCUCGUUUAGGCUUUCGCUUCCGCUUUGGUCCGUGUCCUUUGUUCUUGGUCACUCUGUUUUUGUUCGUUUUGUCUUUGGAUUUCUGUUUAUGUUCUUUGUCUUUGGAUUUCGGUAUUGACCGUCAAAUUGUGUUAGUCUUGUCCGUAGAUUUUUUACGUUUUCUGGUUUGGUUUUCAGUUUGUCCUUGGUAGUCUUCAAGAAAGGAAAAAAAAAAUCUGUUUUUUGAAAAAAGGAAUUUGGUGAAUCCAUCGCACUAGGAUUUCUGCAUUCCCCAGCCCCACCCUGCAUCUGGAUCCGUCCACAACCGUACCCUCGCGGAAAAAAAAAAAAAGAAAAAAAGGAGGCUAGUGAUGUUGGUUCGCACAGAAGAAAAAAAGGAAGGAGGUUGGUGAUGUUGGUUCGCACAGAAGGUAAAAAAGAAGAAGAAGGAAUCGCACAGAAGGAAAAAAAGGAAGAAAGAAGGAAGAAAAAAAAAUAUUUGGUUGGAUUUUUUGUUUGUUUGUUAGGCAUCGGCAUCGACAUUUGCACUGGUACUAGCAUUGGAAUCUUGCACUGGCAUGGAAAUCUUGCACUGGCAUUGGAAUCUUGCACUUGCAUCGGUGAAAUUUCGUAUUGAUUGGCAUCGGAAAUUGGCAUCGGUAUUGGCAUCGGCAUUGGAAUCGGCAUCAGCAUCGGUAUUGGCAUCGGCAUUGGAAUUUGGAGGCUUGCAUCCACAUCUGCUUGUUGGCAAACUCAUGUCAUGUACCGCCAUGAGUUUGACGGGGGGUGUUGGAAUUUAUUAGGUUUAUUUAGGAAAUUAAUUAGAGAUUUGUUUUGAUUUUGUAGUAGGGUAUUUUUGGCAUUUACGCAUUAUGGUUUCUUAGGUUUAUUGCUCUAUAAAUAGAGCUUGUAAUUUAGUUUGAGGAUCAAGUCAGUCACAAUGUAGUCUCUAGGGUUUUUGUAGCCGUCUUGGCAUUCUCAAUUUGUUCAAUAAAAUUCCUAUUAUUUUGUAGUCUUGUUUGUUCCGCACUCUGAUAUUCAACUGUUACAUGAUGUACAAGUCCAUGGAAGCCAUGAAAUCGGCUGCAAUUAUCGCACACGCUUCAGGAGCCAUGCAUGGCCCUCUAAGAGGGGAUUGCAGUGUAAACAAAUACAGACACUGUUACAAGACUCUAGACAGGGAGCGUUACCAAAUAUACAUAUAUACAUACAUGUGUGUGCACAUCAAUGUGGUUUAAACUUGUAUGCUUAUAAGAAGCACACAUAUAGAUUCUGUAACAUUACCUGCAAUUCUUCGUACAACAGGCUAAAUCCAAGAGUCUAGAUUAGUCUAAUCAACUUUAUUACGCUUAAAUAUGAUUUUUUUUCUCUUAAUUUUAUUACAAGCGAUAUCAUUAUUUAAUUUAUGCGAAGAGAAGAGAGUAGGGUUUGAACCCAGGUAAUGAUGAUUACAAAUCAAUAAAAGCAUGCAAGAGACAUAAUUUUUAGCAACAAUUUGUGACAAGCCUUUAUUCUUCACUUAUUGCCCGUACUUGUGAAUGAAGACACAAUAACAUUGUUAAAAUAGGAAGAAAAUAAGAAAAAUCCCAAAUAUUCAAAUGAUAACAAUAAAUAAAAUAUUUAUGUUGCAAGAUGCUGAAUCUGCACCAUAUAUUGUGCUCUGACGAAAAGUGUAUGUGAUUCAAUGCGCCUUGGUCUUCCAAAUUAAUUUCUUCUUGCGAAAGCCAAGGGAGCGGAGUAAGGGUUUGAAAAACCAGGCAUCCAUUUUCAGAAACAUGGUUUUGACAAAUUGAUACACAGGAAACUGAAGCAGGCCGAAUAGAGGGACUGGGAAAAAGGCAAUAGGGUAAAAUAGAGACUUGGUCCAUUUUUUCUCGAUGCGAAUCAAGAGCAAAAUAGUGGCAGCAAAGGCGAGCAUGGUGGUUGCCAUAGACAAGAAGAGAAAGAUGAAUCCUAUCAUGACCUUGUGAGGAAUGCUUUUAACGAAAUUUGGGUACUCGAGAGGGGAGGAGAGGACCGAGAGAAAGAAUGCCACAGAAGAUAAUGAGCAGGCGAUGGCCACAACGUCCAUGCUGGUAAAGAGCCAAAAGAGAGGAUUGUUCUCGAAAACAGGACGACCAUUUUGCUCGUUACCCCCAGGAAUGGCGUAGGCGGCUGCAAAGACCACAGUGGCCACUAGCACCGCCACGGUUGAGCAUGACCGAGCCGUUUCUUUUACCCAAUCUUGUGCGGACUUCAGAAGCUCGUCAUGCCCAGCGUUGAACAACUCCUCCUCUGUCUGAUCGUUGUCGUUGUGGUGCAUGAUGUAAUGAGGUGGUAACAUCUCUUUUAUACGCUGACACAAACACACGUACACAUUUAUCAUGUCAACGUAUAGAUUUUGUAAUAGAAAUAUUUGUCUAACAACAUAAGUAUUUAUAAGGUCGAUAGACUUAAUCAGUAAUACAAAUAUCUGUGUGACAAGAUAAGUCUAGUAAGAGAACAUUACCUGCUUCCAGAGCAGCUCUUUUUGCAAUUCCAUGGCAGGGCCUAUUACUUUCUGAGCCACUGCUAUAGAGUAGUAAGUUCUAUCUGCAGCCUGGUGCAAUAUGGUGUUUCCAUUGCGGUCUAUCCUCAUACUCAGCUUUGACAUCAGAGUUGGUUCGCUUUCGAUAAGAUCAAGGAUAUUUUCCCUACGGUUCUUAAUGGCCAGAUGCAAAAUGUUGCGUUCGUAACGGUUAACAUGCUCGGCUGCCUGAGGACGUUGCUCAAGUAUCUCCCGUACAAUGGGUUCAAUUCCUUUGAUAGUUGCUAUAAGCAAUGGGGAAGAGUUGUAUAAUUCACUCCUCGCCUCCUUUCUCGAUUUGGUUGCUUCCUUUUCUUUUUCAUAUCUAUCGAAUUCGGUUAUCUCCCUGACCCAAGAGAAAUGCUUAUCUGCGGCCGCGUUUCCUUUUUCACCACCUUCAUCACCAUUUGUCGUACCGGAUUUGGUUGCUUCCUUUUCUUUAUCAGGUUUUUCCCAUAGAGAAAUGGUCCUGAUUUUUGCUUGCUUACUAGGAGUCAACAAAGAAUGGUCGUCCCACUUGACGAGCAAUUGGAUGAGUUUCUUCAGAAAUUUUUUGUUUUUCUUCUCGUUCCAUAUCAUGUAGAUUACCUCUUUCUGUGGGCCUCCUAUUCCUAUCCAUCGCAUGGUCAAGCAUAUGUAUACAUUAACUAAAGUGUCAUAGGAAGAUGUUAUCAGCUCUCUAAAGAAGUUAUUAUGAAAUCUUCAUCUUGUUAUAUAAAAUCAUAAGAAAUAAGUAAAUAAUAUUUCUUUUUAGAGUUCCAAUAACAAAAGUUCGCUUUAAUGAAAAUGGGGCGGAAAAUAAACAAACCUUUAGCAAGGGAGUCCCAUAAUGAAUAGUAAGCCUUCAUAACAACUGCCAAACAUUUAAUGCAUGCAACUUCGUUAGAAUAGUGAAAAAAAUCCAAUUCGAUCAAUUAAUGAGAUUACAAAUUUGAUUACCUGCAAGCUUUUUCCGAAAGACGGAUGGACGGGGAUGGUUGCCAUCCAUGCCGCUCUCCACAUCAUCCUUCUGAUGUGGUGUGACCACAUUUCCUCCAUCAGGAAGGCCUGCAUAUAUAAUGAUAUUAAGUAUGAGAUUACUGCUUCAUUAAAAAAAAAAAAAAAAAAAACAUGCUUGCACCUGUGUAUAUAUACCAUGCGUAUGUGCGCACACAUAUAGCAGUUUGUAGGGUAAUGGGACUUACAAUAAUAAAUUAGCAUCUUCCAUUUGCUUUCUUCAAAAUUUGGAUAAAAGGCAGUUGGCAUUUGGGCUAGCAACUGAAGGCUUGUCAAUCCUUUAUCUUCCUCAAGGAGCGCUAGAGAUGGGUAUUUCUCCAAUAACCAAAUAGCAGUCUCUGCGUUGUAGAAGACAAAGAGCAAAAGUUAUUAAUCUACAUUGCGGGUUCUCACAUAGAGAGAGAGAGAGAGAGAGAGAGAGAGAGAGAGAGAGAGAGAGAGAGAGAGAGAGAGACCAAAAUGUUGCGCAACGACUGUGAUAUGAAGAACGGACAUUUUGUCAUCUCUGUGGAAGUGCCUCCAAAGAUUGUCCGCCUGUAGUUUGUCGGCAUAAAGCUUGACCAAGUCCGUGUGACCGAGAGCAGCUGCCCUGAAGAGCGGAGUUUCUCCUAAAUAGUUCCGAGUCUCCAGCAGCUGCAGCGCAUAAUUCUCUGAAUCCCGAGCCUUCUGCUUCUGCAGCUCAUUCUCUAAAUCCCGAGCCUCCCGCAGCAGCAGCUCAUAAUUCUCUAAAUCCCGAGCCUCCCGCAGCUGCGGCGCAUAAUUCUCUUUAUCAGUACUACUAGUACUGAUCUUGACCUCUUCUGGAACAGGCUUGUUGAAGUUGCUCACCAGGUACUCUGCCGCUUCCUUAUUGCCGGACACACUCACCUCGUGGAGAGUAUUGUUUCCGUACUUAUUUGGAACCCUCACAGCUUUCAUCUUGUCAUUGAUUGAACAGAGUAUGUUGAUAAGCAUUUCGAGGACUUUUUUACCUUGUGAUUUGCUGCUGUAAGAAGCCGCAAGGUGUAAUACAGUGUCCCCGUCCACUGUCAUUUCUUCGCGCAUUAUUUCCGGAUGAUUCUCGAACAUUUCCUUCAGCUCUUCACAUUUCUGUUCCAUGGCAUAUUUAUAGGAAUCUUUCAACUUUUCCAUUUUCUUUAAUCUCUCUCUCUCUUUCUGAUCCGGCCGAGAGCUAUCCUCUCCCUCUUUCAUCAGAUCCGACCGAACCGUUAGCGUUUUCCAGUACUCCAUUUGUAGUGUACCAGAUAGCUUGGGGCAUGUAAUGCGGCGGUUGUUGCUUUGAUUUAUAGGCAGCUGCAGCUGCAGCUGCUGCUAUAUGCUUUACUUAAUUAAGUAACAAAGAAUAUUGAAUGAUGAAGCAUAAAGGAUCGAAGAGUUAAAGGUUACUUGCUGUUUUUUAGCUGUACGUGCUUUCUCCGUACAAGCAUCUACCUUGCUUAUAAUAUUAGGUUUUAAUUAUGGAUAAAGUGACUAAAUUUUGAAACUCAAUUUUGCAAAUUCAAUUAUGUGGUUGUUGAUGAUUAGAUUGUAGAUAAUGUUAAGGAGACUAAACUUUUAAACCAAAUUUACAAAUUAAAUAAUGUAUCACAAAUAAAAAAUAAACCCGUUGAUCAAUCAUUAAUAUUCGCAUAAUUUAAUUUACAAAUUUUAGUUUAAGAAUUUGAUAUCCGAUAACUAUAAAUUGUUUUCACAAAGUGUGAAACACGUCUAGCUACAAUAUACAUUUAUAUUCGAAAGAAUGUUGGAAAUCAUAAUGCAUACAACGAUCGAAUAUUUAAACGUUUAUCGCCAUUUUCUUGCACCCCUUUUAAAUAUGCUUCAUCCGUACAAGCAUGUACCUUUGCAAGCAUGCAACACAUUCCUCGAUUAAAUAUAUUUUUUUUUAUUUGAGGGAUGUAAUAGUAGGAUGAAAAUAAUGUUAGGGAAAUCAAAUUUGUAAAUUAAACAAUAUGUCACCAAUAAAGAAUAGGUACUAAUACGAAAUAAACACGUUAAUCAACAUUUAAGUAAUAAUCAUAUCAUUAAUUUCUAUGUUAUUUAGUUUGCAAAACUUAAACUUUUUCUCACAUCAUCCAGUAGUAUAAUAUCAACGAAAUGAAAACAACCGACAAAAUGUAACAAAGAAUAUUGAAUUAAGUAACAAAGAAUAUUGAAUGAUGAAGCAUAGAGGAUCGAAGAGUUAAAGGUUGCUUGCUGUUUUUUAGCCGUACCUGCUUUGUCCGUACAAGCAUCUACCUUUGCUUAUAAUAUUAGGUUUUAAUUAUGGAUAAUACUAGGAUGACCAAAUUUUGAAACUCAAUUUUGUAAACUAAAUUAUAUGGUUGUUGAUGAUUUGAUUGUAGUUAAUGUUAAGGAGACUAAAUUUUUAAACCAAAUUUACAAAUUAAAUAAUAUAUUACAAAUAUAAAAUAAACACGUUGAUCAACACUUAAUAUCCAAUCAUCAAUAUCCACAUCAUUUAAUUUAUAAAAUUUAGUUUAAGAAUUUGAUAUCCCUAUCGUUACCUUCAACUAUAAAUUGUCUUCACCAAGUGUGAAACACGUCUAGCUACAGUGUACAUUUAUACAUUAAUUCGAAAGAAUGUUGGAAAUCAUAAAGCAUAUAACGAUCGAAUAUUUAAAGGUUAAUCGCCAUUGUCUCGCACCCCUUCUAAAUAUGCUUCAUCCCUACAAGCAUGUACCUUUGCAAGCAUGCAACACAUGCCUCGUUUAAAUAUAUAUUUUUUUAUUUGCAAAAUUUAAAAAGUCUCCCACAUCAUCCAAUAGUAUAAUAUAAACAAAAUGAAAACAACCGACAAAAUGUAACAAAGACGUGUGUUUAUCAUUUUCUUUGUUAAAUUUACACCUCAUGUCCUUGAACAGGUACAUACAUAUAUAUAUAACACACGUUAAAUUUUACACGAUAACAAAAACAAUAACGAGAGAUUUACUACACCAUGUCUCCUUUCCACUUCCAUUAAGAGCAAGUCCACCCCUAAGGACUUUGCGUCAACACCCAAUGCAUUUAUUCACUCAAGUGAAUAGUAAUAGACUGGAGUGAAUAGUAAUAGGCCAAGGCAUCUCCACGCCUAAAAAAAUGCGCUGGCACCCAUCACAUUUAUUUGGUGUGCUUUUUUUUUUUAAGUUCAUUUCGGAUAAGAUUUUUAACCAAUUUCAGAUAAAAUUUCAAAUAAACUUAAAAAAAAAACACUAAAAUAUAAUUACAUACUCAUCAAAUAAACUUAAAAAAAAACACACUAAAAUAAAAUUACAUAAACUCAUCAAAUAAACUAUAAAAAAAAACACACUAAAAUGAAAUUACAUAAACUCAUCAAAUACACUUUAUUCUUCAACCAAAAACUUUAUUCUUCAAAUACACGAUGAAGAUGGAUGUAGGGAUGUAUGGUUUAUAUGGACAAAAAAAUUAAGGAUGAGCUUUUUGGUAUUUUUUUUUCACACAAAAAGUAUAUGAAAGCUUUGGUAGAAGGUGUAGAAAUAUUGAAAUGUGGUGUAAGGUGGAAGAUGAGGGUUACGUAUUUAUAGAAAGAAAAAAAUAACUUUUUUAAAAUUUUACUGUAUUUAAAAAAAAUUCUGUAUUUUUUUUAUAUUUUUAAUUAAUUUUAAUGUAGUUAAUUAAUCUGGACCGUUGGAUUUGAAAAAUAUUCAAAUCCAAGAGCCCAGGAUCGGCCACGUGGCCAACCCCAGCAAAUGACCCAGCUUCUUGGUCAGCCUGUUUUGUGCUGGCCCAGGGACCAGCAUGGGCUGGGUGCCAGUUUGUUGCACGGGUUGGAGGACAUGGACAGGGUGCUGAGCUGCCAUUUGGACAGGGUGCUGGGCAAAGUCCACUCAGGUGGACUUGCUCUAAUGAAGUCAAUGCCGUUCCGCCAACCGUCCAUUCUUCCACAGGGGCAUCCAAAUUCCCAACCUGGAUCCACGUCACGAAAAACAACAUGCAUAAAAUGACUUAAUAUUAAGAAAUAAUACAACUAUGACAAUGGAAUAUUUGUUGCUCCAGGAUUGUCUCCUGCGAGCUUCCUUCGAUUUGUGGUGUCGAUCUUUAUUGUGUUCUUUGGAGGUUGUUGCCCUCUUCUUUUCCCUCACUUUUGGGGCUGUUCGAGUUGAACUUUGGUGGCUGUUGGAGGCUUGCUCUGUUGAGCUCCGGCGGCGGCGAUGGAUGCAGGAGCAUUCUAGGUUGUUCUCGGGUUUUCCCUGGUUUGGCCUCACCUUUGGGUUGGGCUUUUCUGUUUUUUUGGGCUGGUCCUGUUUGGUUUGUUUGUUGUAUGUAGGCCAGUAGUUUGUAACUGUGUGCUGUGUGUUUUGGCCCUUCGUGUUAUAUUGUCUGUUGUUGGUAAUGAAUGUUAGCUUUGAUCCAAAAGAAUAAAAAAAAAAAUGAGAUAUAGGAUAGAGGUACAAACUGAUGAUAUCAACCCAGCUUUUCCACUGUGAAGGAGAGCUCCAGCAGCAUAACCCAAUACAUAGCAGUCGGUAGAAUCAAAGUUGGUUGGCAAAACACAUCUUCCUUCGUACCUACAAAAAAAAAAAUGAAAACAGGUGAACAAAAUUAGGGAUGCAAACAUUAAGCAAUAUCUCCGAUACACAAUCACUAAACCUGUAUCCUGAUGAAUCCAUGCCAGCGAGCGAAUCAGUUACCCUCAAAGCCCCAACACAUGGGAUGGACUUAUUCUUAAUCAUUGAAACCACAUUUAGCCAAAGGAUUAUGUCAUUAGGUUAAAAAUUAAGUACCCGAAAAAGUGAGACUGUCCUUGGAACUGACCAUUAUAUGAACCUUCCUGCUUCCUCUUCUCCAAGUCUGUCUCAACCAUUUGAAUAAGCAUCUUCUCUGUUUCUAUUUUGGCAACGUAAUGGUAAAAAUAAAGAUUAGCAUGCAUGCUGUAUUGAUGUGCCCAGAAAAUCCCCGGACAGAUUUAUGUCAAAUUGGAAAAUGAAAAAUAUACCUGAACAUUUCCACGAGGAUCUCUUUCAAGCAUCAACUGCUCUUGGGUUGCUUCAGGUAGGAAAUCAAAAAGCUCUAGAGAUUGGCAUGUAAGUUUCUUUUUCCACAGCCCAUCUUCAUCUACAACCUCAUGGGCCAGAAUUUCAUUCAAUUCAGCAAUAAGUUGCUGCACCUGCAAACGGAAAGGUUAAAAACAUUAUAUGUUAGUCAAUGCAGUUAUUUAAACCAUUGCAAGUGGUCUAGUGGUUCUUGCCUAGUUGGGUUUGCUCCCCAGCCUAGGUUCGAACCCCGAAGCUGUCAAAGUGGCCAGGCACUGUGCUGCAAUGCACAGUUGGAGCAUUUCACAUGCGCCGGAGGGAUUAGUCCUUGGGCCUAGGAAGCCUUUGGGAUACCCUUGACUUGGUCAAAAAAAUGCAGUUAUUUGAGUGUGCAUCUAUGUGUGAAACAGUAGAACACUUGCUUUCCAAGUAAACAAAGGAAUAUGAAUAAAGAAGGGUUUAAAGUUAAUAUAUUAAAGAUCAAGAAUAAUACCUCAGGAAUGAAAUCAAUUAGACCCUGAGGGAUAAGUAUGACACCAUAGUUAUAACCCAGGUCAGCACGCUUCAAGAUUACAUUCACAAUGUGGUCAGUGACAUUUUUCAGUGUCAGCUUCUUUGCAGCAACCUGAAGAAAGAUAUGUCAGAUGCAUUUGGCAAAUGGAUAUCUUUUGGUUGCACCAAUAUAUUACUUAGCACCAUAUUACUUUCCACAAGAAUACAUAAUGAAUAUUAGAAAAUAUGUGUCAAUCAAGUUGAGACAGAGAUGACACACUCCGACCGAGAUCGAGGCAUGUUGGCCGUCACGUGAGGGUGACGUAGCCAUGUGCACAGUGCGGAAGCAAAAGGAUAAGAAAUAUACGAAUAAAUAAAAACCGAAAACUACGAAAGUGCACUAAUAAACAGGAAGUGUUAGGAGUGAGAUACAAGAGUAAAUACUCAUAAUCAGAGCAUAGAAAUUCUAGGUGCAGUCCAGUAUGACAAAAGCCUAAAAUCUAUCUAUAUACAUACACACACACACACUAUAUAUAUAUAAUAUAGACACUAUUAAUGUGUGGACGUGUGUUUGUGUCAGCGUGUACAAGAGAUGAUACCGCCUCAUUAUUGCUUGUAUUGAUUUGUAAUCAUCUUUUGUCUUUUAUAUGUUAUCCUUAAGUAAGGUGGUGGAUUGUUUUAGUAGAUUGAAUUUUUUCUUCAACUCGAGUUCAAAUCCUACCCUAUCCUCUUUGUGUAAAUUAAAGUAAUAAUAUCACUUGUAAUAAAAUUAAGAAAUAGAAAAUAAAUCAAGCAUAACUAAGUUGGUUAGAUUAAUCUCCUCUUCUUUGGUUAUCGUUAUAUUAAUUUGGCUAAUUAAUUUAAGUCCCGAAUCUCAAGUUUAAACUAAUUUAAUGAUAAUCAAUGAGUAAAAAGACAAGAAAGGUGACGCGCGGCCUGGACUAGGUCUGCAUGGUGGCAUAGUAUAUAUCAAUUAAGCAGCAUAGUAUAUAUCAUUCACACUCAAAACACUAACCUGAUUUCUGUGUGGAUAAAUAUACACGGGGGUAAGUUCGAUGUAUUUAUUUUUCAUGAUCCCAGCAGGGCCGCCCCUAAAGCCAUAUAGCGUGCUUAUUUGGAGAGAUUUUUAUGUGAUCGUCGUACGAGUUAAUAUAUUACGUAUCUCUGUAUAAAUGAUAGGUUAUACGUAUUAAAAGGUUAAUAAUUUAAAAAUUAAAAAAUUUCACCAUUUGCAUAAAAACACGUGAUAUCUCCAUCCGUAUUCUUGUCGCAACUAAACAUUUCCCGUUCUUUGGGGCGAUCUUGCAAGUAAGCUAAUACCCAAACACGGAUCGAAUUCAACCAAAAUUCGGAAAAAAGCUAUACAAAGUUAACGAAACAUACAACAAAUUGAUAAUUAAGACCCUCACCGAAAAUUCCAGAGAUCACGUUGUGAUCUCCGGGCGCUUGGCCUCCAGAUAAAACGACACCGAUCUUCAUCUUCUGCUCCGGUAGACCCGAAUCGGAAUGCUUGGCGCCAACAGUGCAGAUGGCUGACCGAAAACAUUAGGAAACAACUUCGCGAUCUCCUCUGAGGAACCGAAACGAGAGACGAUCAAAUACGGAAUAGAAAAUCCCAAAACGCACAUAUUCUACAGUUUGAUCGCUAAAUCUAGUCGACUAAAAUUGAACUUCAAAAUUUCUCCGAGAUCAAACGCUAGAAAAACGCAUGGAUCCGAGCACAAAGCGGAAGAAGAAGAAAGAAUAAUAAACUGACCUGGAUUGCCGGCGGCGGAGCUAGCGGGACCAUCGACGACCUUGAAGGGCUUUCUGAGCACGGAAGGGAGAGGAAGUGCAUGGUCGAUACGACUGGCCUGGACCUCGCUGUAGACGGAGACGAAUCGGCCGGUGACAGGUGCUGGCACUAACUCAGCACCGGCAGCACCGCCGUUAGCAAUCAGUGAUGGUGGAGCCAUUAAAACCUAACACGCACAGACAGUGUCUCUGAGAUCUUCGAGUGUUUUGAUGCGACUGCGAACGGAGAGUGAAAUCUAUCGAAUCGCGUUUGACUCCCGACAGUGAGAGUGUGGGCGUUUAAACGAGGAGUUGAGAAGGGUAGGAACGUCGUUUCAGGUCAUUGGACUCUCCGCCGUGGAUAGGAAUGUUAGGUGGCCCAUUGGAUGCGAGGCUGUUUCGGGAAUUGGACGGACGAGAUUUGGCGGUGUGGUGGUGUAUGGUCUGUUAUGGUGGUCUAAACCGCAGCGGUUGUUGGUGGCGGGUUUUGAGUAGGUAGACACCUAACCUUCUGGUGGUUGGUGGUGGGCGCCAGAAAUGUAGACGCGUUUUGGCAUAUUCCGGAAUCGCGGAUCUUUCGUUUGCGUUCGAAACAAGGGUGUUUGGUGACAAGACUUGAUUGUUAAUUGGGUAUCAAACUAUUAGGCCCAAUUGUUUGGGCCAACAUUUGAGUUUCCAAAUUAUAGGCGCAAUUCAAAACCCAAAAUUAGUGAUUCGAGUCAUAUUUUGUGUCCCCUCAAUACAAGCGUGCUAAAUGAGAAUCGGGCUAGUUUUUUACAUCCACGGUAGAUAAGGUAUUUCUUUUAUCUUAAUACAUUUCAAAUUCAAAUAUUAUCCCCUUCAUUCAGUGUAAAGUAAAAAAUUGUCUGUAAUCAUAACUAGAUGGUUUUUCAAGUGGAGUUGAAUUCUCCCUCCUAGUUCUCUUCCCUCUCAUCCCCUUCUAUUUGAACGGUUAAUUAGGAGCUCGUACGAAGAAAAUCAAACAAAAUUUAGCAAAAUCGAAUGAACUAACAAGUUAAACUACGAGCCCCUUCAUCGAGUUGACGACUUUAGCUACCAUGAGGCAGAAAAGCAAUAAUUAAAGCUUCGUGUGCAGAGAAAAACACUAUUAAUCAAUUAAGCUACAAAGCUCUUGUUUGACCUUGCUCUCACAAAGUACGCUCUUAGUUUGUGCCAAUUACCUUUUCUUGGGAGAGUAUUGAGUUUUGCAGAAAGAAGAAAGCUUUGUGUGUUGAUCGGUAUGGCUUCUUCUUCCAUUGGCAUGUCUGCAAGUACGUCAUUCUUUGCUCAGUUUUUAGUCUGAUGAUACUGACAUAAGUACUUGGUCGUGGACUGUGAUUUAGUUGUUAGAUCAUUGUGUUCUUGGUUAAAAGAUUAAUCUUGAACUAAUUAAUGGUAUUGAAAUUACUCUUACAAUUGAGGCAUUUAUCAAUUAAAAAUUCGAGGACUUCUUGGCAUUGUGAUUUGCUGCAAGAAGAAGCGGCAAGGUGAAGUACAUUGUCCCCUUGCAGCGUCAUUUGGCAGUGCAAUUUUUUCGGAUUAUUCUUACAAUAUUCCUUCACGUCGUCCCAUUUAUCCUCUAAGACAGAUUAAUAGGGGAUUUUCAACUCUUCAAUUUCUUCAAAUGGGCCCGAAUUAAGAGGAUGCGCUGAGCCUCACACGAGCCACACGUGAAUGCACAGCCGUAUAUUAUACAUAUACUAAAACCCAAACUCGGGUGCACUGUUUUUCACUGUUUGUGAACAGUAAAAUGUAAAAAAUGCCCUCCAAUUUUUUUCCCAUCAGCAGUGCCUUUUAGCUUUUUCUACAGUACAUUGACGAUUCUGCCCUUGGAAACCACGCGUCUGUCAUCGGUGGUUCUUCCGCUCCAUUUCUACUCUGCCUUUUCUUUGGGUUCCCUUCACUCUCUCUCACCAUUUUCAGCUUUUCCUUAUUUUGGAGCCCUAGGUUUUUUCUCUCUCCCACGCCUUCGUUGUUUUCGCUAUCCGUCCUUCGCGUCUUUGUCUCGCCGAUUAUUCACGGCCGUUUUCUUCUCGGAAAACUAACGAUCUCUGGUGAGUUUUUUGCAGUUCUUGCCGUAUCUAAUUUCAAUUUUUUUUCGUUGUUUGGGUGUGGCUUUGCGAUGCGGUUUGAUUUUUGGUUUCAGGAAAAGUUAUCGAUGCGAUCUAAGGUUUUUUGGUGAGUUUUCUGCUUUACUGAUUGUAUGUUGUUUGAUUCUUUUUUCGUGCUUUGGGUCUGCCUUUCUGAUCUGCUUUCACAUUUGGUUUCAGCAAAAGAAGUUGUUUGAAUUUUGGCCUUUCUGUCUGCAACCUUGCAAGCUGUUUGCGAUCAAGGUAUUUAACUUUUUUUUUUGUUGGUGUUGGUUCUUUCUCCGAUGAUGGUUUGUUUGAUUGGUCAGAAAAUGAAAUAAAUAAAUUAUGAGAUUUAAACUGAAUUAUGCUUCAUUUAAUUAAAUCUUUGGUUUUGUUGGGUUGUCAUUGUUUGCCCUGUUCUAAACUUAUAUGUCUUGGGUUGUCAAUUUUUUUCGGUUGUCAUUUUUUCCUUUUAUUUUCUGCUGGAAGCACUAUUAUAUUCAUGCUAAUUUUGAUGAAAAGGAAAUGUGUGUUUAAUUGAAGGAUUAAAUAUGUAUGAAGCAGGACAUAGUAUGCUAUAAUACAUUUUUCCUUUUAUUCUCUGUUUCUUCGUUGUCAAUUUCAUAGGAUUUGGGUUUGGGCAGAUCAAUCCUGCAAACCGCUUCAAUAACAUGUCUUGGAACUCAAUUGGCCACUAUCAGCGCAGCCUCCAUAUUCUUGGUAAUACACCAAAACCAAUCAUCUCAUGGCUUGAAAAGGAUGGAAAGACUAAUCCAGGGCAAUCACAUAGCAUUAACUCAUCAGACAUAAUCAACGUUUGGAAAUGCUUUGUCUUAUUUUUUUAUUUGAUUAACAAUUCAAACUUAUCUUUAUAUUUAUUAGUAUCUUGAUUUCCUUGACAAUUCAAGCAUAUCUUUUUUGUGUUUCUUUUUGUCUGGGUGUUUAAUUUUAUUUGAAUUUCUUAAUUUGUUCAAAAGAUGCUUUGGUUAGUGGCCAUCUUAUUUAAUGAUUUUUUUUUCUUUUGGUUUUUUAGCACCAAUGGUAUUGGUGAAUGGUGAAGAGGUUUGUAUGGGUUCAUAUAUCUUAAACAUGUAGUGAGAAGUGAGGGUUUUGUUUUAGUAUUUUAGAUAAUUUGAGGAACAUGUAGAUACUAUGAUUUGUGGUUGCUUUCUUAAAUCAUGAUAAAGCAAUCCAUGUAAUUUUAACAUAGAUAUAAUUUUUUAUCUAAUGCAUGAGUAUAUGAAAUGUUAAUACGAUAAUAUAUUGGGCAACACUAUGUGAUUUAAAAUGCAAAGAGAGACAAUGAACCAUGUUUGAAAUUUUGUUUGUGUUGGUUGUUUUAAAUUUGAGUUUUUUUGAGUUGGAUUUAUGUGUUUUGUUUAAGAUAUCAUUUUUGGUUUAUGAAUGGUUUGCCAGUGCGAAAGUUUGCAUAUUUUUUAUGGUUGGAUUCAUGGGUUUUCUUAAGCUUUGAAGUUCUUAGUUUUUAUCAAGAAAUUUAAUAUGGGUUUCAUUUAUUUGUGAAACUAGCACUUUUUUGUGAAGAUUUUCAGUAAAUGAUUGCUUAUUUGGCUUUAAAUUUGAUCUCUUUAAAUUUCCAGGUUGUUCUAGACUUUGUCAACAGUGCAUAGUUGUCUUCGGCAGAACUCGAUAGCAACUCUAGGUCAGUCUGAAUUGCCAGUAGAUAUGAUUUUUCUUUAAUUUAUUCAUCUUCUUUUGAAUUUAUGUGCAAAUAUUUUUGAAGCCCAAGUGAUUCAAAGUUCAAAUUUAUUUGUAAAGUAUAAGUGUGGGUGUGGACACCCAAUAUGACUUUUACAUGAUGUUGCUAUCUUCUAUUUGACAGAAUUAUAUUGGGGACUCUCUAAAUUUUGGUUUUAGCUGCAGAUGAAGCGAAAUCAAAAGGUUAUAAAUUAGAGUUAUAAUUUAAUUAUUAUAUUUGAUGCAUCAUUUGAUUAAAUGAAUACAGUAGGAACAUUGAUUUGACGUAUGUGCUUUUGUAUGGAAAACUGAAUUUUGUGUGUUUAUAAGUGUGGGUAUACUCAAUAUUUAUUUUAAUUACAAUGGAAUUGACUGAAAAUUAUGGAGAAUUAGUGUAAGUUUACACACAUAAAGAAAUAGAAUGAAAAUGUAAGUAAAGAAAAAUUAGAAUGUAAUACAUAAUAUCUUUGUAUGUGUGUGUGUGUGUGUGUGUAAGGGAUUGAUGACUAAAUGUGCUAUGUGAAGAGAUUGCUUAUUUCGUUAGUUAAGGGCAGCACUUGAUAGAAGCAUAACCAAACCCAGGUAAGAGUCACAUUUUGGUUGCCUUCCUAUCCUUAUUUUUUGUUUUUCACUUAGCUCUAUGUUGUUAACUGCAAAUUUUGGUAUUUUGUUCCCUUUAGUUUUAUCUGCUAAUUAUUGUUCUACGAAUUGCAUUCUUCAGUUAAUUAAUGAUUAACUAGAAUGUCCCAAAAAAAAAAAAAUCAAGCAUUACAAUGUUCGGGAUGAUAAUUUACAUCCAAUAUGAUCAUUAGCCAGUCGAGAACCUAAUUUGGGAAUUGGGUUUAAAGUUUUAAUAGUUUUGUUGUGUGUAAAUUUUUUGCUUUGCCUACCAAGAAUCUAAAAACUAAAGGCUUAGUUAUUUUCCCCAAAUGGUUUUCAAUUUGUUGUAGGUAAACAAGAGCUACUGGAUUAUUAUGCACAGGGGAAUGGAAGGAAAGUAAAAAUUCAAGCUUUUAAUACAAAUUGGAAAUUGAGCGACACUAAACAAACGAUAGGUAAAACUGACCACUACUUUCUUUUCAUUUAAAUAUAAAUCAAUUGAUUAAGUCUGUGUAAAAUGAAGUUUCAAUUGUUUUCAAAUUCUAACAACGAUCUCCUACGCUUUAAGAUAAUCUAUUUAGAGUUUUGAUCCACUUUUAAUUACGCAGAAUUUCAAUUUUUUUUCCAUAUAAAGUUUCCAUUUUUCUUGAGUAAGAGAAGAAGCUUUAAUUUGGGUUUACAAUAUUUCCCUUUGUAGAUUUUCAAAGUAGGACCAAGCUUUAAAAAGGCACUUCAGGUUUUGGAAUUAUUAUUAUUAUUUUUUUUGGUUAUGCUUUUGUUAUAUCAGGUUCUAAAUUGCGCAUACCAUUUCUUUAAAUUAGAGAAAAUUAAGCACGAUCUUGCUUAUAUACAUAUUGUUAUUUUAAGAAACAAUUUUGUUUGUCUUUUCUAUAAUAAGAACAGCAAUUUACUUUUGGGUUUCGUUCUUAACUGAUUUCUGAACUUAUGCCCAAGUCUAAUCUACUCCAAAGACAGGCUGAGCAAAAGGAGGAACUUUUAAGCAGGUAUGUGUACUAUGUGUUUUAUUCGUUCUUAACUUCAUUGUUGGUUUCUGUACUAUUUUUCUGUGUCUAAAAUUUUGAAAUAAAUAUGAUCUUUUCACUAUUGAUUCUCAUUCCAAGUUUUUUCCACAGAAAAUAAAAUAACAAAUAAAUAUUUUGUUUCCCUUCUUCUACUUUGUUCUUUUGCAGCAAAACAAGCAUGAUUUUGUUGGUACUGCUUAUUUAGUGAAGCAACGGUUUCAUAUUGUGAACUGUUUUGCGUGUUUAUCACUUUAUUCUUUAUGGUUUCAAUUUCCUAAAUGAAGUUUGACAUGUAUGGAAUUUCACAAUUUACAACCAUAAACUUCAUUUCUCCCAUGGACACCUUUUUUGUUCCUUAUUGUUGAUAGAGUUGUAAAUAAAUUUGCACAUGUAUGUAAAUAGUAUUGUCUACUGUAUAUACAUAUAUAUAUAUAUAUAUGUAAUUUUUUUUAGAAUAUCUAUGUGUUAUACAAUUUUCAUUCCCGCAGCAACGCGCGGGCAUCCUUGCUAGUAUAAACUAAAACAGAACCCUCAUUUUUCGUUUUCUACCUCUCAUUUCUAUCAACCUCAAGUCCAGAGCCACACGGCUAUCUCUCCUUCAUUUCUUGAAGCUUUCCAAAACCUUCAAAUCCCAUAAUCAUUUGUCCACAUCCAAACCCAAUCUUCCAUGCUAAUCCGAACUAGCCGCCACUCCUGUGUGAUGUCCUCCUUCAUCUGCGCGCUGCCUCUAUGUCUCAUAAAUUCAGCACCCUCGAGCAGAGAAAUUUUUAGGUGUGAUGGGAACACAAAUGGUAUACCACGUGUUUUAAUAGAAGUUGUGAGAAAUUGUAUUUUUUAAGUUAUUAACUUUUUAGCAUACAUAUCCCACCAUUUGUAUAGUAACACGUGGUAUAUCAUCCCGUGUACCUAAUAACGGAGCCAAUAUUUCUUGUGAGGAGGGGCCUCAAACAAGUAUAGAAGAAGAAAAAACAAAUAAUGGCUAUAAAAUUACUAAUGCAAAACAUCAUAAUAUUUAUCCAAAUAAUUAAGUAGUCAAAAUUAACAUAUGCAUAGAUAAUUUUAUCUAUCCAUAGUAAUCAAAAUUAUUCUUGACGAAUUGCAAUGAAACAGUUGCAUAAUGUCAUCUAUAGUAUUUAAAUAAUUAUUAAACUGAAUAGAGAAGUACGAAAAUCUUUGCAAAUCCUAAAACUCAAGUAAGAGGUGGGAUAGAAUAGAAACAAAUGUUUUAUAGUGAAUAAUAGAGUAUUACAAACCUUUUUGUUCUUUAUUCAAUAAAUUUGGGAUUUAGAAUGGCUAAAUAUAUGAAAUUCAAUAAGAAAAGGUAAAAACUCUCCCCGUGCAUAAGUGAAAGACGAUUUUAUUUUAAUUAAAGGUGAAUGAUGGGUUUUAAUUUAAUGUUAUUGUUUUGUGAGAGGGUUGUGAUAUCCACACAUCUCUUUUUGCUUUCCAUACACCCUCUCAAUUUGCGAUCGUCUGAUUGAAUGAAUUGAAUAUCGAAUGACAUAAAUUAACAAGAGUGUGUUAAAGGUAAACAAAUGUAUGCAGAUAGCACUACUCUUUGUGAUAAAUGACCAUUUAAAAUAUAUACUUAUUUUUGGGAUGGUAUCUAUGAGAUGAAAAAUAGAUAAUGAUUGAAUUUGUUUUAGUUGUUGAGAAGGGCUGCAAAGCAAUAGAAAUAGGUGUAGUAGACUAAUCUUAUUUUUUAAGUGAGAGUAGACCUAGGACUACUGUAGUCCUUAACUGCCUCCGCCACUGCGUGUACCGAUCACACUGAAAAAUCUCUCCUCAAGCAGAAAUAUACAGCCUUGGAAAAACCGAGACUCACGGAUCCUCAGUGAAAUCGUAUGCUUCUAUAUCCCUGCAACUAUGUUGAUAAGAAUCUGUGAUUAAAAAUUGUGUUGAAUUGGCUUGUUCGUCAUGCAUGCAGAACUCUACAGAUUCAUCAUGUCUUAUUCUCUGUGCUAUUACAUGCAUGAGAGAAUAUUGAACCAAAUUUUCGCAUGAAUAUGCAUCUUGACUUGGACAUGAACAACGGUCUCACCUCUGUGCUACUUGUAUCCCACCUCCAAACUUGUAUGUAAAAUAAUUUUUUUUGUAAUUAAAUGCGAGAGAGAGAGAGAGAGAGAGGGAGAAUUUUGAAAAGGGUCCAAUUAGCAUAGAGGUCUUGGCAAUCCUUUGUUUCUGCACUUUGAUGUUGAAUGUCAUGUUGUGAUGUAUGCUGAUCAAUUUGCUGAGGUGAAUGAAUGAAUGUUGUUGAAUGAAUGAUUCAGUCGAAUGUAGAAAUCACAUGUAGUGAUUCUAGGGCCGACUGUGAAUUUCAAUGCAGUCCUGCAAAAAUCACAAAGAUUAAAAUUAAAUUAAAUAAAAUGUAGAAAUAAAAAUAGAUAAACUAAAAUCUAUUUAUGUGAUUUUCAAUUUUGUGAUUUUUUGUUUGUUUUUUUUAUGUGAUAAAAAAAUGAAAGCAAGAAAAAUAAUUAAAUGAAAAUAAAAGGGUUAGAAAAAUUGGGUUGCCUCCCGAUUAGUGCUUUAGUUAACGUCUAUAGCUAGACGGAUUGAAAUGAGUCUGGUGAUCAUGUUACUUGUACAUUUAGAAUUAACCACUCCUUAAAAGCAUUAUAGGGCGGCAGUAGGUACAUCGUGACUUGAACUGUGCAUUUAAAUUUAGUGGCUGAAUUUUUCAUGUCUACCCUUCUACGAGAAUGAGUCUUUGAAAUAAAAUGAGGUCCCUUCCAACAUGACUUGUGUCUCUCUUGAACUGACUUUAAUCUUGUAUUUAAUAUCCACAAUUUCUUCACUGGCCGAAUUUCUUGACGAAGAAUUUGGCUAUCAAUAGUCUGCCUCUUCUUUCCCUUGUAGAUUUUAACCUUCUUGUAGGACUCCACAUGGAUUUCCUCAAGUUUGAUAGGUUGUGUUGUUGCCAUGUCUAAUUUAGCAACCAUAACUUUUUUGUUGGUAGUUAUCUGCCCUGUAUCCAAAUCUGUCAGAUUGUUAAAGAGUUGAUCAUGUGAUGUAUCAAACUCUGACUUUACAAGAACAACCCCUUCCAACGCGUUAGUUUCCUUGCAUUCCUGCAACCUUUUUGGAAUAGGUUAUGGUGGCGUAUAAACUUGGGUGGCCAAAAGUUAUGGGAGGAUUUCAGGAUCAUCAUGUAUUGUUUCCUCCCUUGGGCAUGAAUAGCUUGCUAAUUGUUUCUCAGUUCCUGCACCAAUCUUCUUUUUUUAUCAUCAUAGUUUUUCCCACAGUUUAAUGCUUGAAGCUGAAAUCCUUGAUUGGUUAUUUACAACUCGGUUGAUUCCAAAAAAUUACAAAGUUGUCCUCCACCGAAAGCUGUUGUGGCACAUUAGGCUGCUCAAAAGAUUACUUAAAAUGCUUUUUCAAACUUGGAGUGUAGAACCUUGAAUAAGGAUUGUUCCAAUGCCUUUUUGAGUUGAUUCUCAUAUUGAAAUGCUUUUAAACAAACUCAGGAAAAUAUUCCCUUUCGGGACAUUGCAAAAUAUGAUGUAUCUUCAAAGAACAAAGUGCACAAAUUGUAAGUUUGAAUUCAUAAAAACCCCAUUCUACAGGUUUCACCUAUAAAUGCGAUCCUCCUGGUUGUAUAUUGAAUCCAGGAGAACAUACAAAUCCCAUCUUUCACUGCUCUCAAAAUCAACAAGUUGUAAACUAAAAAAUAAAAUAAAAUCAAGUAAAUGAAAAGUUAUGUACAAAAUAAUUAAAUAAGAAUACGAUAAAUACAAAUUAAUUGAAACAAUCAUUGGCAACUGCUCCAAUUUCUUGAUGGAAUUUUUAUCACGUUACAAAACUAGGGAUAAAAACACUUAAAAAUAUUUGCAAGAAAACGAGGUAGUUGUAGUAAGAAUGCUCAUGCAAGGUCGUUCUCAUAGGAAUUGAAUGAAUAAUUUGUAUUUAAACUAAUUCUUAAUUAACUAUUUAAAACAAAGUUUGGAAAAGAUUGAUUUUGGAACUUUAAAUAUUAAAAAUGAAUUUUAAAUAAAAACAAUUUAAGAAAUCAACUAGAAAACAAUUUAAAGAAAAUCAAUUUGAAGGAAACGUUUUGAGAUAACAACAAUAAUAAAAUUGCACUAGAGUUCUGUCAUCACCUUAACAAUCUUAUAUAAUUUUAUCAAUUACUUAUGAAUUACACAUUCAACUUUGAAGGUUAGGUUUUCCUUAUGCAUAUUCCCCUUGUGAUAUUCAAGCAAUAACGUAUAUCUAACAUGCAAUCCAUAUGUGAUAUUCAGAUCAAAUGUAAACAUGCAAGACUCAUUAAGUUAUGUGAACACACUUGAAAAACCAUGCAACCCCUAAGAGCAUGAUAUUCACCUUAGAUGAAAUUAGAAUUAUUAACCACAAGAAGCAAUACUCAAUCCUUCGGUGAUAUUCCGACCGAAUUGCAUACGAUUACUUAUCUAAACAUUUUAAUGACAGCUAAACAUUAAGAGAUAGAGACUGUUUAAACACAGUGAUUAAUAAUUUAAAGUAUGCAUGAAUAAUAUUAUAAGCAAUUAAAUAAAGACAACAUAUUCAACAAUCAUAACACAAAAUGAAUUUUAUUGAAAUAGAAAGGUAUAGUAAACACCUUGAAAGAAAAAUAUAAAUUGUCAAAGCCUACUCAAGUUAUCCUAAUUGAUGCGUGUUUUUAUAUAACCCUAAUGGCUAAAUAGCCUUAUUUAUACAACUACAAAAUAAUCUUUCCUAGAAAAUGUCUUCUAAAAACUAGGAAACAAAAUAUAAUAAGAUAACUAGGAAAUAUAUUCCUAUUUUAACUUUGGAAAAUCUGCCAAGCCACAAAGAAUCCUACAUUUCAACAUACCCAAAACAACUUAAAUUAAAGCUUGAGAUGUCCCAUACAUAACUAUAAAAGACCACGAACCCAAAAGACAUCAUAAUGGACACCGAAAAGCCCUACUAAACCCAAAACGUCAAUUUGACAACACUGUGCAUUGGUCAUUUAUUUCAUAGGAAAACUAAUGAAAAGAUUUUGAAAACUUUGAGUUUUAAUGAUAAGGACAAAAUAAAAGGUAAAGUGAAUAGUACCAGAAUUGACUUUUUAGUGUAAAAAUGUGGUUUUUCGUUAAAGUGAACAGUACCGGGAGCUUUUCGUUAAAGUUCCCUUAUUUCAUUGGCAUAAGUAAACCACUUGGUAAAAAAUUUUGAAAUUUUGGCGCAAACAAGUUGAGAGACACACGAACAUCCUCUUAACUAGAAUCACUUCAAAAUUCAUGUGUUUGAUCACUUUUUUCUCAAGAGUAAGUCGAAUAUUUUACAUUGAAAAUACAAUUCAAAGAAUCAAAAUCUCACAAAAUAACCAAUAAAUAAAUUACUUUAGUCUAAAGUAAGGUUUUCAAUUGGCACACUAAGGUUUUCAAUUGGCACAAUUCAAAUGAACAGUGACAUGGGGUGGAUUUUGCGUUAUUUACAAAAAUGCCACCGCCUCUUCCGUUUCGUAUUUAAAAUUUCGAUUUAUUUACGAAAUUGCCACCCUUCAGCCGCGCACGUGUCGACCAUAGUAGAAAGGGUGGGGGGAUGGAAAUGCACUUCGUCUUCCGUUUGCUUCCUGAAACCCGAAGCUCCGAUUGCAUCCUUAACAGAGUUUCUCUCUACAACUCCUCUCCCACGGGCCUAAACCUCAACUAUGGAGGGAAGCUCGCUUCUCUUCUUCUCCCCAUUCCGCCAAAAGCCCCCCUUCAUUUUCAUUUUCGUCUCUUCUCUCAAGGCUCACCAUCUGAAGCGCCCAAAACGGGCACAUUCCCAAUCAUCCUCUUACUCUCAGCCCUCACUGCGUCAUCACCCUCGCUCCUCACCCCUCCAUGUCCCGUCCCGGCAUCCGGCUCAAUCUCAACCCCUUUACUCGGUUUAGGGCAACCCAGAACCGGGUCGAUCUCGAUUUUCAGAGAGGACCCGCCGCCCCGCCUCACAUCAACACCCCUGUCUGAGAGUGCAAUUCAGGCUUCGGCUUCAGCAGAUCAUGAUUCUCGGCUUUGUAAGAUCUCGAUUGAUCUCCCUUUUGCUUUAAUUCGUACUAAUUUGUGCCAUCGUUUCUUGAAUUUAGGGUUUCCAUUAUGUUUGCAGCCUUGCUGCUUUCUAUAUGCUAUUCAUAAUUCAUUUAAUUUUUCUGGGUGUGGUUAUUUUUUAGUCAUUUUUGUGACUUUUGUUUUCUUGUAAUUUCUUCUUGAAAUGAUUUGGAAUAUAAUGUUUGUGCAAGGUUUAUUAUUUUGAAAUUCAGUUUAAUGUUUAUGGACUGUUUGGUUGCUGAGAAAUGGUAGGAAUUGAAAAGAAACUAGAUUAUAAAUUUAAACUAUAUUUUCCAGUUUUUGGGUCUAUUAUAAUGGAUAUCAAAUAAAUGAACAACCCCUUAGGCUUGCUGGUUUCGUUUUUUUUUUUUUUUCCCCCUGAUUGAUUUUGUUUUCUUUUUUAUGAUUUGUUUGCGCACGUUGAUAUAGCUCAAUAGAAUAUCAGUAGUGUCCAUGAAUGAGAUGCAAUACUAAGAUUUUUGUCAGAUUAUAAGAGUAUAAGCAGUUUAGAACAAACACUCUUUUGUGAGAAGAGAGGUAUUGUAGUUUAAGUGAUAUUUUCAUAAAAAUUUAUUGAUUAUCAGAUGACAUAGUUAACAACUUCUGUGAUUUUAAAACACAUGAAGGUGAAAUUUACAUUUGAAAAAUUGAAAUGAGAUGUUAGUUUUACCUGACUGAUUUGUUUGUCUUGGUUGGUCUGAGUUUCAAAUUUUCAGUUGGAUUGUUUGUUUUGGUUUCAUUUGCUUCGCAUGAUAUGAACUUCGAAAGAUUCAAAUUCAAAUUUAUGUAUAAAUUGAUAAAUGUGGGUGUCGACACCCAAUUAUUGUAAGCUUUCAGCUACUUAAAAGGCUAAAGCAUCUUUCUUUUUUACUAUCUGAUUGCAUAUUUUCACCAAAUUUACAGUUUCUUCUCUCUCUAUAUCUCUCAGCUAGAUCGAUGACAAGAGGAAGUACAAAGGGAUGCAUUUGGUUCCACUUUUGAGGUUCCUUCCACGAGCAGGCACCCAAAAACUGGACUGGUGAGCACAAAAAAUUGAUUUUUUCUUCUUAAUUUGAUAUAAAGUUUGGAAUUUGAAUUGUGGGUUGGAUUUAGUCGUUCAGAUUGAAACGAUAUGAUUAUUUUAGCAAUGUUGAGAAUUGAGAACUCAGAACCCAUUUUUAAUCUUUUUGCUAAUUGUUUUAAUGCAUAUGAGAUAGGGUUUCUGCUUUCGAGGGUCCGUUUUUGAUCUUUAGAGACUGCUCGAUUUGGUAGUGUCAAAUAGUAUAUGGAUUUCCAUGUUCAUUGUGUCAGCAUGUUGUUGCAGUAGUUUAAUUGGAUGCGAUACAAGUUGAGGUGUUCACAUGAAACCAGACACAAGGAGGUGUCCUCGGUUUCUCGGGAUAAAGUCAUAGUUUGAUUAUGCUAUAAAUGAUGAAUCUUUGUACUUUAAAAUUUUGAUUUAGGAGAUUCGACCAGGGUCACACUCAAUUCCUAUUGAAGGCCAAAAUGAUGUUGGUGAUUGUGAAAAAGGGAUUGUUUCCGAAAAGCAAAGUAAUGGAUUAACAUAUAAGAUAUGUUGGCUGAUAAUAGCUUACUGUAGGAUUCAGAGAAAUUUUGUACCCAGAAAAGCUAGUGUUUCCUGUGAGUUUUACGGCUUUCUCAAUAUAGGUGUUUCAAUUUCUUUUCUGUGAUUUUGGAUUUGCUGAUGGGUUUUCUAUUCAAAUUUCUUUUUUUGCGAUUUUGGGGGUUUUGUUUGUACCCUCAGAUCCUGCAUUUGGGUGUUUAAUUGGGCUGCAUAUGGAUGUUUAAUUCAGUUUUGUUUUCGGUUUUAGGGGACCCUAGAUUUUCGUUUUUUUUGGGGCUUUUGUAACUCAAGGUGAGCAAUUUCAUCUUUUCUCUUUGGGGCUAUUGUGGAACCAAAUUUUUAAUUUUUAUGAUUGUGAAAGUUGAAUAUGACACUUUGUUUAGUUUCCAUUUAGUACAUUAAUGCAUAACUCUGUUUUUCUCUCCUUCUUAAAUUCAUAUAUGGAAAUAGGAAGUUUAAGAAUCUUUGUUCUUGCUAAUAGAUUUAAUAAUAGUGACGAUUGAAUGAUCUUUGUUUCCAGGAAACUGUGGUAGCUGGUGAUUCAGGAAAUAGUUUGAUUUUUCAAAGCUGACACAUGUUUUAUGAAUAUCAGGCUUUGGGAUACAGUACUGUUCUAGGCUGUCGUCCAGAUUCCCAAGUACAUGUUUCCACGACGGUUUCAAAGAGGUCCUUGAGACGAUUAGAUGCUGUACUGAGCAGCCACCAUCCUAAUAAUUAAUAAGAUUAGGCAUUGAGGUUUUUCCUUAACUUAUUUUUCUCUUGGAAUAUGAAGCCAUAUGAUUUUCCUGCAUGUUGGUGCAUGUAAAUAACACAAUGUUUCAUAAUCUUUUAUAUAGAGUUUUAUAAAUAUGAUAAAAGUGGAUAUAAUUUUGACAAUAACCUAACAUGGCUAUUUCUGAAGGUAAGAGCGAGCGUCGUUCUCUUGGUCACUAGAUGCCUCGAGAAUUUAUAGUCACUCACCAAACUUGGGAUUUGAGUAAUCAUGACUAAAUUGAUUUCGUGUUACCAUGUGUUGUGCUGGUGAGAGGACUUUGGGAUGGGAGGGAGGACUAGAGAGAGACAUUUGGAUUUGAGAAAGGCAAUUGGUAUUGAAAAUUGAGAUACCAUACAGUGUAUACCAUGGCAUGGUCGGUUCCAGCUUUUGCUCUUCCUUGGUAUGCAUUAUUUCUCCCUCUCUCUUAAAUUUUUUUUUUUCGUUUAAUUUAUUUCUACAAUUUGUGUGUGAAAAUUCUUGAAGUUGUUGGUUUUCUUGUGUUGGAUUUCUCUUCAAUUUUGAUUUCCUGUUUAGAACAAUGAUCAUUUCGUUUCCUUUUUUCUUUUUUCUUUGUUGGGGUUUUCAAUUGCCAUGUUUUAAUUUAAUUUAAUUUAUCUGUGAUUUGGUUCCUAUAAAAAUAGAACCAUUUCCUGUAUUUUCUGGAUAAUUCUUUUAUCCCCUUUCUUCUGUGUUUAAUUUGCUUAGGAAAAUUUGUUUUGGAACCGAAAGUGUAUGUCUCUUAAUGUGAUUAAAUUCUGUUAACAAGGAUUUUGGUCUCUAGAGUUUUCAGUGGAAUUCUUAUGGUGAUAAUUUUCGGCCGAUGUCUUUGUUUUUGUACUUCUCCCAAUUGUAUGUAAAUUCAACGAAUUGUGAAAUUUUUGGUUUAGUGUAUUCAAUGAAUUGGCCAAACGGAUUGAUAAUUAACAAUAGUAAUAGUUGAUUUCACUUUGGAAAACUGUUGCUUGCCAAAGAGAGGUCACAAUGUGCUAUUUUGUAUGAACUAUAUAUGAAUAGUGAUAGAUUGUAAGGUGAUUGAGGUUUGUGCAGGUAAUUACUAUAAACACAAAUGGAUGGUGCACUCAAAUUGCUAAAACUUAAAUAAAAAAUAACAGACCCAGAUACCAAUUCGCUUUAAUCCCCAAACACCUCGAUCCGUUCCAGCUUUUUCUCUUCCUUGGUAUGAAUUAUUCCUCCCUCUCUCUCUCUCUCUCUCUCUCUCUCUCUCUCUCUCUCUCUCUUUUUGUUUAAUUAUUUUUGGGAUGUUGGAACCUGAAUUCCAAAAUUAUUGUGAUGUUGGAACCCAAAUUUGGGAUGCAUGUAAAUUGAAAGUCUUAUAUAUUUGGAUGAUUUUAUAUGCAUGAUUGGGACAAAGCUGGAAAGACCUAUUGAGGUAGAUAAUGUCACCACUGUCCUCAAGCUAAAAGCUUGGUCUCUUUUCCAUAAAUUAAUCUCAUUUCUUUGCCUUAUAAAGCGUUGAGUCAUGUUUAUGACAAAUUGCUUUCAUUUUUCUUAGAAAAUUCAUCUUUGUCGUUAUAGCCCCUACUUAUUGGCUUCACUAGAUAUGAAGGUGGGAGCACAAUAAUACUCGGAUGGUAUCGCAGGAAGAUGAAUCUCCACUAUGUAAGCCUUAAUUUACACUUGGUGCGAUGGCAAGUGCCUUCGCCCAUGAGCGGUAGGUCUCGGGUUCGAGACUUGGGAGCAGCCUCUCCAUAAAUGGGGGUAAGGCUAGCCGACAUUCACCUCUCCCAGACCCUGCGUAAAGCGGGAGCCUUGUGCACUGGGUACGACGAUUGUUUACCAAAAUGAUUGUGGAAAACAUGAUAUGAUAGAUACUGCACUGAGAAAAGAUGAUAUAUAUGUGGUUGAUGUCAUUUAUAAACAUCAAGCAGUUUGAUUUUGUGAAAUUAGUGUCAUUUCAGGUCGAGGAUGAUAUGAUCAUUGAAUCUGUUGUCAAGACAUACUAUAUUAAGGAUCUUGCAAUCAUGAAUUUGGUUGAAAUGACUAUUAGUACUGAUUGAAGUGUUUAAUCCUUUUGAUUGCGGAAUGUUUAAUAUUUAAAACUAUUUAGUAAUUAUCCUUAAGAUAUAAAGUGAAUAAUGAAGGCAAGCGAAUUGAGGUGUUUCUAACUUGUAUCAGUUAAAGCUCUAAAAAAAUUAGUGUUUGUUUUCGACAAUUUUUGAUAUUUUCUAUUAUUUUAUGCCGUACAUGAAGUGUAAUGUGGUAUGCAUGCUAGGUAGAAUUUAAAAGUAAAUUAGGACCUCUUGAGAUUGCAGGUGUUAACUUAGUUCUUAGAUUGUUUGUGUAUCAAGGUUAUAGGUGUAAUCAUUCUCAAUUAAAUUCUUUAAAUCCUACUGUUUUGAAUUCAUUCUUUUGUUUGCUUCAUUAUAUGAUAUGGGAGGGCAUAACUUUUUGUUUUGUUUUUUAUUUUUUUGUCUUUAAAACUUCUUUAAGGUUUUCCAGACACCUUACUUUUGAACGUGCAAGUCAUCAUGAAAAAAAAUCAAGAAUGUAAGCUCAACGAGGUUUUAUUUUUUGGAAGUCCAUCACAUCGUUUUCCUGCUAAAGUCAAUUAUUUGUGUCUCAAAGGGAAAAAUACCUAGAGGCAUAUGAGUCUUUUUCUAAUUUUUUGCUCUUAUUAUGAUUUCCACUAUGUAACAAUUGUAUCUUUCUCCUAAAUUACAUAUGAAUUAUCAACUUGAAGGGAAAUUAUAUUGCAUAAGAACAUAGUCUAUUGUGUUUAGUAUUGUUUUGUGAUGCAUAUUUAUACAGUAAAAAACCUCGGGAUUAAAAACCUAAUUUAUAAGUUGUGAAUUUUCUCAAGAAAAAAAAAUAUUAUAAUCAUAGUGAGUGGAAGAAUUUAUUUAUGACUUGAGAAGCUAAUUGUUUUUGCUUGAAGAAUCUAAUUAACAUUUGUGAUCAUUUCUAUCAUUUGUUUUAACUUAAGUAAACUGUCUGAUUGCUUAGAAUUGUCUAAAUUAUUCAUUGGCCUCAUAUGAAAAUUCACAGCUUUAAAUGUGGGAGCAUGGUAUUUAGUAAUACAUUGCCACCGCUUUAGGUGUUAACAAUAAAGAGUGCAAAAGCGCUGCAGCAUGAAAUUCUGAUGUAUGUUAACACCAUUAUCUUUAAAUAUGGUUUUUUAACGGAUUCUACUCUUAAUUUUCCGCUGCUCUUUUUUUGCAGAAGUUUCUCUUCUUACAUAAAUGCCUUAUGAAUUUCAGUUUUUAUCAUCUGAUUAUCUUUUGCAGAGGUUGUAUUAAUUUUGUUUUUAACUGGAAAUUUGCGGGUUUCUUCACUGUUGUUACAUUUUAUUCAUGCACGUUGGGACUAGAUUUGGCUAUAUAAUUGUGGCAUCCUUUGACUAUGCAUAGCUAUGAUAAUGGUGGAAUGUGUAAUUGCUAUCUCUUAAGUUGGUAUAAUGUUAAUGGUUUGAAGAUGCUUAGCAGACUAUCAAUAAAAUUGCUAUCAAUGAAAUUGGGAAAGAAACUUGGGGAGAUAAUGUUAAUAGUUUGCAGAUGCUUAGGAGACUCUGAAACUGCUUAAAUUUUAUAUAUUGAGUUGCAUAAAGUCCACUAAAGCUGAAUUAUAUGUUCCAUGCUUUUCGUUGGUAGUAAUAUCUUUGCAAUGGAUUUAAAGUGAGGAUUUAGAAAAUCUAAUAAUAAAGCUGAAUUAUAUGUUCCAUGCUUUUUGUUUUCAUUUUGGGUUAAAAGGCUGGAGCUUUGGAUUGGGAUUUUCCUUUGUUAAACUAUAAUUUUGUGCUUAGGAGAUUAUAUGAAACUGCUUAAUUUUUUUUAAACAGGAACAUUUUUUUUUCACUGUAAUCUGUUUUGUUAAAGGUAAUGAUAAAGAUUUAUCAAUUUUGUUUGUUUGGGGGGUUUAUGAUCAGAACCCUGAUGAGACCUUCAGUGUGAAAGGCUUUUGGUUUCAUAAGUGACAACAAAAUUGAAUACCAAAUGAAUAAAAAUCUGGCCAUAAAUGCACCACUUCUUUACUCCAUAUUUAUGCACAUAUCUCCCAAUAUAUAUGCACUGAUGAGACCUUAAGGAGGUUACGAUAUGUUUCCCAAUUAUUAAACAAACCGAGAUAACUUAACAAGUUAAGUCCGAUAUCAGGCUCAAUUGUAGGUUGCCUUUAAUUAUUAUAUCUUUAUAAGAAACAUUAGCGAUGUGCACUAAGUAAACUAAGGUCAUCUAUAUUUUCCCUAUGUCUUCGAUCUCUUCACAGUGUGUUAUUUGUGUCUGAUUGGUUUUUCCCCUAUAUUUCCCUAUGUUUUCUAUCUCUUUAUAUGUGCACUAAUUAAUUUGAUCAGUGUCUGUAUUAUUUGUGUCUAAUUGGUGUUGGGUAUUUUCCAAUUUGGGCUCUUUAUUUACUUAGUGUGCAAUCCAAUGUCUUAUCUGGCGAGAGAACAUAAUGUUUGACAAUUGGAUGUCUGAUAUCUGAUCCAAUCUGGUUCUGUAGAUAUGUUGAAUAAGUAAAGACUGUUUGCUGAUUUAGUUGCAUAUCGAGUAUCUAGAGAUUGUCUGUAAGUAAAACAAUGUUUCGUAAUCUUUUGUAUAUAAGUACUAUUGUCGAUCCAAAGCCACAAGAAAUAUCAUUCAAAAGGGACUCAAGAAAAGAGAGAUUGUCUCUGGAACUGAAUAUGAAUGGUUUCUUAUAGCAUGCAUAUCCGUAUAUGGCAAUUAUUCAUUGGUUCUUAGAUGCUAGACCGUCUUUUUAGUUACUUUCUAUGGAAAUUAUUCAUUGCACUACUCCAAUUCUCAAGGACCUGCAUCAGGUCCUCUCCCUGAUCCUCCUAAUGAUUACUACGACACAUAUUACUCAAAUGAAUCAAGCAAGAUCCAUAAGGUUGUAGUUGAUUAUGUUUCUUUUCGGUUUACUAACAAACACUCAUUCAGUUACUCCCUAAAUUUUAAUGGCAAUGGUGAUAACCUUCAUAUGUACAGAAAUUGCUUACCCUAUUAUCAAUGUUGUCAGUCAUUAACCUCCGACAAAAAUAUUCUUUUUUCAUAAGCGUUUGUUUUAUAUUACAUACAAGGUUGAAUGAUAUUUAAUAUCUAGGGAAAGUUUCAUCUGCCUGAUAUUUUGUUUCUUUCCCUUGAAGUUCAUACAUUAAUAACCCUUUUUUUGGUCUUUUCUUUGAUGGUAUAUAGUUCUCAAAUGCUGGCUGACUAUUGUUACAUCUUCUCCGUGACGGUUGUACAAUUGCUGGUGGAAUGUUUCUGCUGGUGCUGCUCGUCCAAACCCACAAAGAUCUUUAAAAUAUGGUGAAAUCACUGUCACAGAUAUCUAUGUUAUCCUCGAUAGACCUGCAGAACUUAUAAAUGGGAAGUGGCGCACUACCCUCAAUGGUAUUUCAUAUAUACCACCUUCAAUGCCCCUUAAGCUUGCCCAACAGUUCAACAUUUCGGGGGUUUACAAUUUUGAUUUCCCAAAUAAACUGAUGAACAGACCUGCCAAAGUAGACACAUCUCUGAUUAAUGGUACUUUCAAAGGUUUCAUGGAAUCACCUUUCAGAACAAUGACACCACUGAUCAGAAUUACCAUUUGGAUGGCUAUGCAUUUUUCGUUGUCGGGUGACCUUUUUAGUUUUGAAAUCAUUAUCUUCAAGUUGUAGAAAGAUGACUUUUCAUUCUUUCUUAAUAUAAGCUUUCAUUACAGCUUCAGUUUCACAUCAUUUGUCAUUGGAUUUGCUAAUAUAAGUUUUUAGUGGAUAAUCUUACUGGUGAAUUGUUAAAAGGUAGGAAGAGAGUAGGCGGCCUGCGAUUUUAUAAACUAAAGUUCAGAUGCAUUUUCUGUGGUAUGGGGUGUCCGAGAGAAAGGGUUUCAGGGAUUAGGUUUGGGUGGGAUUUCAAGGAUUAGGUUCGGGGUUUUGUUUGUGCGAUUUGUAGAGAGAUGGGGGUGUCCGAGAUAGGAUUUAGGAGAUUUGUUUUAGGAAUUGCAGAGAGAGAUAGGGAGUGUCUGAGAGAAGUGUGGGAGGAUUUAGGCGGGAUUUGGUUUAGGGUUUGUUUUCUGCGAUUUGCAGAGACAGAGAGAUGGGACAACGGUGAGAGAGAGAUGGGAGGAUUUUAUGCGAGGGUUAAAGGGAACGGGUAAGGGAGGUAUGGGUAUGGGUUGUUGUGUACUCAACAUUCUCCCUUUAUUUAUUUAUUUUUUAAAUAUUUGCUUUAGCUUUAUUUGAGAGAUCAUUGUUGUGUACUAUAGUUGAUGGAAUUGAUCUGUCUGGUUCUGUGCAGGUUCUCAUUUGUAGAUUGAUUGAUAGGCCCUUGUGUCCAAGUAUGUUCAGCUUCCACCAUGAAACUCAAGAUACUCUCUUGGGUACGUUCCAUAUGAAUUUCAACUGCAUAUAUAUAUAGGUGGCUUUAGAUUUGUUAGUUCAAUAAAUUGUAAGCCUUCAUUUUAAAAUUAUCACUUAGUCUAAAAGGAGUGAGAAAUGAAGUUGGUCCUAUAGUAUGUGUCGUAGUGUCAUAAAAUCAUGUCGCAAUAGUUAUACUGCGUAAAUAUUAUAUUUAUGAAACAAUGCUGGAUUUGUUGGAUUUCUUUUCUUUUCUUUUCUUAUGCAAACAGACAAUAUUUUCUUAGAUUACAACUUUUGUGAAUAGGAACUUUUAAGUUCAUCCAUUUGAUUGUACAGUGGCUGUUGAUGUCAGCUGAAUUGAAUGCAAGUGAAAAUCAAACUGCUUUGCUUGGUUCACCCAUCUCUUGGUUAUUUCAAUUCUUUAGAGAUGCCUAUAUUGAUUUGUGAUUUUGUUAGAUGUACUCUGGUGAAAUGUGUGUUAUCUGCAUUGGUGCAUUUUAGAUGGUGACUCCGUUCGUACCGCCUUUGUAGUGCAUCUUUUUGUGAAAUUAUUUUCCAUUCUGCCAUGCCGCCUCUGAGAUAGUGAUAGAGAGAGAGGGAAAUGGGCAGGGAGGAGUAGGGAUCGCUCGAUGAGGGUUUCAGGGAUGGGUGGUCAUGUCGAUAGACAUAGAGAUAGAGAUAGAGAGACAGGGAGAGGGAGAUGGAGAAAGGGAGAUGGAGAGAGGGAGACAGAGUGAGAGAGGGAGAUGGAGUGGGGAUCUCAUCGCCAUUGCUGCAGAUCCUCGAUUUCAUGAGUGGGAGAGGGGGAACAGUCAGAGAAAAGCAUGGGGGCCGUAGGGAUUUGAGGGAGGGGUAGGGAUCGUGGCUGGAGGUCUGGGUUUGUCCAUUUGGGUCGUUUCCAACAGCACCACCGUGCUCAAACACUCUCUCUCGCAGUGGAACUCUCUCCUCCCCUUACUCAAUCCUCUGCUUCUCUAAUUCAUGGUUGGUUGAUUUAUAAAAAACCUUCGAGGAUAAACAUGGGGUGGGAUCUGGGUUUCCUCUGCAUUGCUUAAAUUUUGCAUUUUUUUCUGGAUUUCAAUUAAGAAACUCUGCUACAAGCGAGGCCACUACCAGAUGCAAAUAUCUUCAUACAUGUCAGUUCCCUUUCUCACCCUCUUCAUGUUUUGUCCAAUAUUAUGUUUUUGAUUUGAUUUCAUGUGUUUUCUUUCAUUCUUUGAUAUAGGUAAUUUGUUAUGUUUUCAUGAUCUGGGUCUUUUUUCAAUUUGCAUUUUGGUUGUCCAAGAUUUCUAAGCUUUUGUAUAAAAAUAUAAGAACAAAAUUGCACAUCGAGGAGUUUAUGAUGAACUUUUUUGAGUGUCGGUAACACUUCGCUUUAGGAAUAUGUAAAACUACUGAUCAUUGUUUGAUAAUUCCUUACAUUUGAGUAAUGAACGACUUGGAUCACUGUCACCUUUCGAUUUUGUCUUAUGGUUUUAUCAUCGUACGUUGUUGGUUGACAAUGUGUUUUAUUCAUCCUAUUACGCUUGAAAUAGUUGGUUCCCGCAUCAACGCCUGAGCGUAUUUGCUAGUUAAUACUAAGAUUAGGGUAGAAUAUAUAGGAUAAUAUUGACUCAUCAGGUAGCUCUAGGUAUUGAACACCCCACAGAAAAAGGAAGCUUUAAUUUCCACUGCACUAACAAAUGAAUUAUAAUAUCUCUUACUUUUUCUUAUUUAUACGUAACUAUAGGAUAUAUAAAAAUUCGGGGGCCUCUCCAAAGUGGGGGCCCUAGGCGGGCGCCUACAUAGACUACCCUCAAGGUUGGCCCUGCUGAAUUAUCAUGAAGGAGGAUGUGAGUGUUGGUGUAGAAGGGAAGCAGAUUAGUCUAACCAAGUUGAUUACACUUAAAUAUGAUUUAUUUUUUAUUUCUUAAGUUUAUGACAAAGUAAUAUUAUUACUUUAAUUUACACAAAGAGGAGAGGAUAGGAUUUGAACCCGAGUUGAAGAAAAAAUUAAAUCCACCACUUGCUUAAGGAUGACAUAUAAACACAAAUGAUGAUUACAGAUCAUAAAAGCAUGCAAGAGACAUAAUCUUUAAAAUACAAUUUCUGACAAGCCUUUAUUUUUCACUUACUGCCCAUACUUGUAAAUGAAGAGACAAUAACAUUGUGAAAAUAGGGGAGAAAAUAUGAAAAAAUCCGAAAUAUUCAAAUGAUAACAACAAAUAAAUACUUAUGUUGCAAGAUUAUGAAUCUGCACCAUAUCUUGUACUAUGAUGAAAAGUUGAUGUUAUUCAUGCUUCUUAUUCUUGCACCAUAGUGAUCUCCUAAGGCUAAGAAAGUAGAGUACGGGUUUGAAAAACCAGGCAUUAACUUCAUGAAACAUGACUCGAAAGGAUUGGUACAUAGGAAACUGAAGCAGGCCGAAUAGAGGGACUGGGAAAAAGGCAAUAGGGUAAAGUAAAGACUUGGUCCAUUUCUUCUCGACGCGAAUCAACAACAAAAUGGUGGCAGCAAAGGCGAGCAUAGUUGUUGCCAUGGAGAUGAAGAGAAAGAUGAAUCCUGCCAUGACCUUGUUAGGAAUGCUGCUAACGAAAAGUGGAUACUCGAGAGGGGAGGAGAGGACCGAGAGAAAGAAUGCCACAGAAGAUAAUGAGCUGGCGAUGGCCACAACAUCCAUGCUAGUGAAGAGCAUAAAGAGAGGAUCGUUCUGGAAAAGAGGAAGGCCAUUUUGGUCAUUAGUACCCCCAGGAAUGGUGUAGGCAGCUGCAAAGACUACAGUAGCCACUAGCACCGCCACCGUUGAGCAUGACUGAGCCGUUUCUUUUACCCAUUUUUGUGCUUCCUCCAGAAGUUGGUCAUGCCAAUCGUUGAACAGCUCCUCCGCUGUCUUAUCCUUCUUGUUGUGGUGAAUGAUGUAAUGAGGCGGUACGAUCUCUUUUACACGCUGACACAAACACACGUACACACAUUAAUAAUGUCCACAUAUAUAAAGAUUUUGUAACAGAAGUAUUUGUCUGACAACAGAAGUCUUUUACCAAGUGAACAAACUUAAUUAGUAACAUAAGUAUUUGCCUGACAGUAUAAGUGUCUUAAAUGAUAGAUUGACUUAAUUGGUUAAAAAAGGUCGUACCCAGUGCACAAGGCUCCCGCUUUACGCAGGGUCUGGGAGAUGUGAAUGUCGGCUAGCCUUACCCCAAUUUAUGGAGAGGCUGCUCCCAAGUCUCGAACCCGAGACCUACCACUAAUGGGCGAAGGCACUUGCCAUCGCACCAAGUGCGACCUCUUAGAUUGACUUAAUUGGUUAUAUAAAUAUUUUUGUAACAACAUAAGUCUAGCAAGAAAACAUUACCUGGAACCAGCGUAGCUCAUCUUGUAAUUGCAUGGCAGGGCCUAUUAAUUUGUUAGACAAUGAUACAGAGUAGUAGCUCCUAUCUGCAGCCUGGUGCAAUAUGGUGUUUCCAUUGCUGUCUAUCCUCUUACUCAGCUUCGACAUCACAGUUAGGUUGCUUUUGAUGAGAUCAAAGAUCUUUUCCUGACGGUUCUUAAUGGCCAGGUGCAAAAUGUUGUGUUCCUUUUCGUUAACAUGCUCGACUGCUUGAGGAUGCUGCUCAAGUAUCUCCUUCACAAUGUGUACAUUUCCUGUGACAGAUGCUAUAAGCAAUGGGGUAGACGUGUAAACUUCCUUCCUCGCCUCCUUUUUCAAUUUGGUUGCUUCCUUUUGUUUAUCACCUCCAUCAGCAUUUGCUAGCACAAGCAACCAAGCCACUCCCUCUUCGUUAACAUACUUGACUGCUUGAGGAUGCUGCUCUAGUAUCUCCUGCACAAUGGGUACAUUUCCUGUGAUAUUUUUCAAUUUGUUUGCUUCCUUUUGUUCAUCACCUCCAUCACUAUCAAUUAUCUUGUCAAGCAAUGGGGUAGACUUGUAAACUUCCUUCCUCGCCUCCUUUUUCAAUUUGGUUGCGUCCUUUUGUUUAUCACCUCCAUCACUAUCAAUUGUCUUGUUCGAUUGGGUUCCUUUUUCGCCUCCGUCAUCACCAUCUUUAAAUGGCCCCAGAGAAAUGGUCCUCUUGUUUUCUUGAUUGUCAGUAAUCAACCAAGUAUGGUCCGAGUUGACGAGCAAUUUGAUGAGUUUCGUUAGUGAUUUUUUAUUUUUCUUGUCCUUCCAUAUUCUGUAGAUUAUGCCGUCGUGGACUUCUGAUUCUAUUCAUCACAUGAUCAAACAUAUGUAUGCAUUAACUAACAUGUUAUAGAGAGAUGUUAUCUGCACUCUUCAUCUUCUCAUGUAAAAUCAUAAGAAAUGAGUAAAUAAUGUUUAUUUUUUAGAGUUCCAACAACAAGAGUUUGCCUUCAUGAAAACAGUUUGAGGCAAAGGCAGAAAGUAAACAAACCUUUAGCAAGGGAGUCCCAUAAUGAAUAAUAAGCCUUCAUAACAACUGCCAAAUAUUUUAUGCGUGCGACUUCGUUAGGAACAUUGAAAAAAGGAAAAAUUAGUAUCCGGUCCUUAGUUACUAAUGUUCUCUGAUUGAAUCUAACAUUAAUACAAUAAUGAAUUUACAUAUAAGUUACAUAAUUUUUAAAAUAAAAAUUAAUAAUUGAUUUAGGAUUUUAAUACUCACACCUUUAUUAAACUCCUAACUAAUUUUCAAUUCAAAUCAUUUCCAAAAUAAAAAAAAAUUAGAAUAAGUUUGUACACUUUAAUUUUUUAUAAAAAUUUUUCCAAUUUUUUAAUCUUAUAUGUACCCAUUCAUGUAAUUUUAUAAUUUUUUUUAAUCUUAAAAUGUAUCCAUUAUUAAAUAUAUCAAUUUGUUAUAGUAAAAUGUACCCUUUUUUUUUCUAAUAUAAAAUCUAUUCAAUUUUUUUUCUAAUCAAUUUUUAAACUUAUAUGGGUACAUUCUUUUUCUUGAUUUGAGAAUGUAUCCAUGUCAAGUUUAAUCAAAGAAAUUUACUAAUGUUAUGAAGUCUAAUAUCUAUUAUUUUUUGUGUGGUUUUGAAGAAAGUACUCAUGUUUAUAUACAUAUUUAUACACACACACACAAAAUAUAUUGGAGAGUAUAAUUUAUAUUUUGAUCCACAAAUUAUGGAUUUUUUAUUAUUUAAAAUCUCAUUAAUACAAACAACUAUAGAUUCAAUUUUUAAUUAAAAAAAUAUAAUAACCUACAUAGAACUAUAUUAUCACAUUAAUUUCAGAGAUUUCGAUCAAAAUUUGAAAACCAAUAAGAUUUUAGUCAAAAAAUAUUGAUAGUUAUAGACCAAAUUCAAAAUGUCGUUUGAAAAAACCCAAUUGAAGAAACGCUUUAUCUAGGUGGACUUGGAUUGUCCGCCCUCUUAGUUAUGGUGCCCUUCCAUGCCCUCCUAUUUUGUGCGGUCACGGUUAAACCACGUCAAUAUUUUAUAUUAAUUUUUUAAUAAGAUAAUAAGACAAAAAAUAAUAAAAAUAUAAAAUAUUGACGUGGCUUAACCGUGACCGCACAAAAUAGGAGGGCAUGGAAGGGCACCACAACUAGGAGGGCAGACAAUCCAAGUCCUAUCUAGGUAGCCGUUUAAGUUUAAUUAUUUGAUCAAUUAAUUAGAUGACAAAUUUGAUGGAAGAGGAUCCACUCCUGAGCUCAGGAUGGAGAUCCUCCUGACCGGAUUAUCCGGGCCGUUCAAAUUUAAUCCAACGGUUCCAAACAGGAGGCUCUUCUAAAAGUUAUAAUAAUUAUAACCGUUGGAUUAAAUUUGAACAGCCCGUAUGACCCGAUCAGGAGGAUCCCCAUUUUGAGAUCAGGAGUGGAUCCUCUUCCAAAUUUGAUUACCUGCAAGUUUCUUCCGAAAGAUGGAUUGACGGGGAUGGUUGGUAUCCGUGCCGCUCUCCACGUCAUCCUGAUGAUGGGUGCUAUCCAUGGAUUGACGGAGAUGGGUGCUAUCCAUGCCGCUCUCCACGUCAUCUUCUCUAACACGAAGGCCUGGAUAUAUAACAACAAUUAAGUAUGAGAUUAAUGCUUCAAAAGGAAACGCUCACGCACAAACAUACACGUGUACACUAGAGUAAUGAUACGUACAAUGAUAAAUGAGCAUCUUCCAUUGGCUUUGUUGACAAUGUGGCUCAGAGGCAGUUGGCAUUUGGGCUAACAAUUGAAGGCUUGUCAAUCCAUUUUCGUCUUUCAUUUGUCCUAGAAAAGGGUAGAACUUUAGCAACCAAUGAGCAGUCUCUGCAUUGUGGAAGACAAUAGAACAAAAGUUAUUAGUCUGCAACUCUGCAUAAAUAUAUAUAUAUAUAUAUAUAUAUAUAUAUAUAUAUAUAUAUAUAAAGUGUUGUUAAUCAGUGUAUGCAUUUUUAAGGGAGAGAGAGACCAAAAUGUUGGCCGACGACAGCCAUACGAAGAACGGACAUUCCGUCAGGCCUAAUGAGCUGCGGCCAACAGUCUUGCCGAUACAUUUCCCAAGACAUUCCCUGAUACUUCUCCUUGCAUUUCAGCAUCAGUGUUUCCAAGUAAAAUUUGACCAAGUCAGUGUGACCGAGAGUAGCCGCUCUGUAGAGCGGAGUUUCUCCUAAAUGGUUCCGAGUCCAUAGCAGCUCCAGUGCAUCAUUAUUCUCUUCAUCAGUACGAACCACAGGAUCGUUGAACUUCUUCACCAAGAACUUAGCUGCUUCCACACUGCCGGACACACUCACCUGGUGAAGAGCAUUGUUUCCGUCUAUAUUCGGAGCCCUCAAACUCUUGGCCAUGGUGGUUGAAUCGCUGCAUAAAUCAAUCAAAUUUUGGAGGACUCCUUUGCAUUGUGAUUUGCUGCAAGAAGAACCCGCAAGGUGAAGUACAUUGUCCCCGUCCAGGUUCAUUGGCCGGUCCAAUUUAGCCCCUUUCUUCUUCUCGUAGUAGUGCACCACGCCUGUCCAGUUACCCUUUUUGGCAUCUUGAUAGGGUAUUUUCAACUCUUCAAUUUCUUCAAUUCCAUCAAUUUUUUUAAUUUUGUUAGUUUCUUCAAUUUCUUCAAUUUUUUUCUUUUUUUUAAUUUCUUCAAAUGGACUGUUCACAUCGUUGUAAACAGUGUGCGUUCUCCGGGAUGCCAUCUGAAUACUAGCUAGCUUGUCGAGUUUAACGUGGCGGUUUUCGGUUCGAUUUAUAGUCUAGCUGCUGCUGCUGCUUCUACUGUUACGCUUUGCUUAAUAAAUUAAAAAAGUCUGUUUAAAAUAAUAAAAGCUUAAAAUGAUCGAAUAUUUACGGUUACCAUUUUAUAGCUGGAUGUGCUUUAUCUGUACAAGCAUCUACCUUUGCUUAGUUUAUUAGGAUUUGGAUCCUCUCCUGAGCUUAUGGAGAGGAUCCUCCUGACCAACACAUGUGGACCGUUGGAUGAAAAUCUAACGGCUACAAACAAAGAGGUUCCUUUAAAGUUAUAAUAAUUAUAACCGUUGGAUUUUCAUCCAACGACCUAAGUGUGUUGGUCAGGAGGAUCCUCUCCUUAAGCUCAGGAGAGGAUCCAAAUCCAGUUUAUUAGUUUCCUACUGUAUAUUUUGUUCACCAAGUGUGCAACACAGACCUCGAUUGUCUGCCAUCCCUCCAUUCCAUACCCUUUCCAUCCCCUCCUAUUUAUAUGGUCACGGUUAAGUCACGUCAAUAUUUUACAUUUCCAUUACUUUUUUUCUUAUAUUUCUAUAAAAAAGAUCAAUAUAAAAUGUUGAUGUGGCUUAACUGUGACCAUAAAAAUAAGAAAGGAAGUAAAGGGUAUGAGAUGAGAAAGACAGACAAUCCACGUGCAACACAUGUCUAUAUAUGUAUAUUAUCAGGUAUUUUAAGAGAAGGGAUUCCUAAUUUUUUUUUUUACUAGAUGUGCUUUAUCGGUACAAGCAUUUACCUUUGCUUAGUUUAUUAGUUUCCUAUUAUAGAUUCCGUGCACCAAGUGUGCAACACAUGUUUAUAUAGGUAUAUUAUCAAGCAUUUCAAGGAAGGGAUCCUAUUUUUUUGGUUGGAUGUGCUUUAUCCGCACAAGCAUCUACCUUUGCUUAGUUUAUUAGUUUCCUAUUGUAGUUUCUGUUCACCAAGUGUGCAGUACAUGUCUAUAUAUUUAUAUUAUAAGGCAUUUCAAGGAAGGGAUCCCUAUUUUUUGGUUGGAACUUGGAUGUGCUUUAUCCGUACAAGCAUCCACCUUUGCUGAGUUUAUUAGUUUCCUAUUGUAGAUUCUGUUUACCAAGCGUGCAACACAUGUAUGUGUGUGUCUAUUGUAGAUUUUGUUCACCAAUCGUGCGACACAUGUGUGUGUGUAUUAGGCCUUUAAAAGAAUUGAUUUCCACUUUUUUCAAAUAAAGGGAUUAGUUGUGGACUCAUUUCCACAUAGAACUUCAACGAUUUGAAUUGUUUAUUUUGCAAGUCUUGAUUCAUAGAUCAUCUAUGUAAAAAUUCAAUUCAUCGAAAAACCACUAUCUCAGUUAAUUGUCACGAUGAAAUUUCAAUAUAUCUUAGAACAUAGUGUUUGUCAAUUUCUUUAAACUCAAUUAGAUGCCUCGAAUAUUUCCGAUUUUGCCAAUAUUUGGCAAAGAUGAUCUAUGAGGUGCAACUUAAAAAAUAGAUAGUUCAAAUCAUUGAAGUUCAAUGUGGCGUGGACCCCACAACUAAUCCAAUGUUAAAAAAAGAAAUGAGAAUCCCUUCCCUUAAAGAAUGUAUGUGUGUAUAUGUAUGUAUGUAUAUAUGUUUAUAUAUUAUUUUUUUCUAAUUCAAGAGAAGUUUUAAUCCAAUCGAAACGACAGAAUAUGAGAUUCGAACGUGAGUGUAGACUAGUCAACUUUGCUAAUUCUAGGUCUAUUAUUUUUACUGUAUUAAUUUUCAACAAUUGCAGCACAUUAUUUAUCUAAGUCUUGUAGUACUACACUUAUUAUCUACUUGUAUCAUUAUUUGUACCGUCUAUAUGAAGGUAACGUGUAAGAUCCCACAUCGCCUAGGGAAGUGAUCCUUAUAUGUAUAUUCUCAUCCCUACCUAGCACGAGGCCUUUUGGGAGCUCACUGACUUCGGGUUCCGUCGGAACUCCGAAGUUAAGCGAGAAGGUGGCCAGAGCACUCCGAUGAUGGGUGACCCACUGGGAAGUUGCUCGUGAGUUCCCAGAAACAAAACCGUGAGGGCGUGGUCGGGGCUCAAAACGAACAAUAUCGUGCUAUGAUAGUGGAGCGGGUCCGAGAAUUGAUCCGCCCCGGGCCGGGAUGUGACAUAACGCCCCUAAGAACAGGAUUUUCGUUAUUUCUCAAGAAAUAUUCCGUUUUUGUAGAAAAUUACAUUUCAUGUCCUUUGAAAGGGUGUCGGCUGGAGAAUGUCUGCAACAGAUUAAGCAGUGUCUUUGCUGUAUCGUUUAAAAUAAUAAAGCUUAAAAUGAUCGAACAUUAAGGUUACCAUCUUCUAGUGGAUCUGCUUUAUCCGUACUAACAUCUACCUUUGCUUUUGUUUCUUUCUUUUUUUUUGGACAAAGAAUGUUGGAUAAAAAGCAUAAAGGAUCGAAGAGUUAAGGUUACUAACUUAUUGUUUCUUAGCUAUAUGUGCUUUAUCCAUAGCAUCGACCUUUGCUUAGUUUAUUAGUAUCCAAUUGUAUACUCUUUUCACCAAGUGUGCAACACAUGUGUCGCUAUAAGAGCACUUCCAGUGUGGGAAGGCCCUCCAAAGCAACUGCCUAUUAAAUCCCUUCCAAUGAAUAGUAACUACCUUAAAUGAAUAGUAAUUACCUUUUGCAUCUCCAUUCAUAAACUGAAUAGCCAUGACAAUAUGCAAUAAAAUAUUAGUAUGUUUUAUUUUAUAAAAUAAUAAAAAAUAAUUUUAUUUGUAAUUUCGGAUAAGAUUUUUAAUCGGUCUCGUUGCGCCACGUGUCAUUAAAUAAGAAACUACAACCCAAAGUAUUUGAGAAAGUAUAAAAUUGUGGUGUAAGGUGGAAGAUAAUGAUAAGAAAUUUACAGAAAAAUUAAAUCUUUUUUUUUUUUUUAAAAUUUUUUUUCAGAUUUUUUAUUAAUUUUUUACAUUUUUUAUUAAUUUUAUAACGUGGCUAAUGUCAUCUUUGCAUCAGCGCCUUCAGGCGCUCGGGUCGUUCAUUCGCGCCUCCCUUCUCACGCGGGCCUCCCCCAAGCCCAAUCGCCCACAUGGGUUAGAGCAAGGGAGGGAGGCAAUUGGAUUGAAAUGGUCCUUGGUCCCCCGGGCAAUGGGUGUGGAGCCAAAAAUAAUCGAGAAAAAUAUAAAGGCGACACGUGGAUUCUAGGGUGAAAAUGACAAAAUUUCCCUUGAGAAAUACCGGAACUCCUAUGACACACCCCGACCGACAUCAAGGCAUGCUAGCUGUCACAUGAGAGUGACGUAGCCAUGUGCACAGCGCGGAAGCAAUAAUGAUAGGAAAUAUACGAAUAAUUAAAAAAACCAAAUUACUAGAGUGCAGUACUAAACAGGAAGUGAUAGGAGUUAGUUACAAAAGUAAACACUCAUAAUCAAAGCAUAAAAAGUCUAGGUGCAGUCCAGUAGGACAAGUACUAGUUAUACAGUACCAGGAAUGUCCUACUAUUACUUAAAUAGGUCAGAACUGCCGACGUCCUCAAGCCACCCACAACAAGCUUACUUAAAACCUAGAGGGGCGCAAAACAGAAAAAGUGAGUGGGCAAAAAUAAAUGUUUUACAAAAUCAUUUCAUUUAUCAACAUAUCUAACCCCUCGAUGUAAAACAUGUAUAAUUUUCUCAUAAUCAAGAUAUAAGCAUAUACAUAAAUAUAUAUGAAAUCAUAUCAAUUCAAUUCAUACUUCACAUAAUCAUAUUCAUAUGUAUGCCAUGCCAAGAUAUAACAGAGUAAGCAAUUCAAGUAAGGUUAAUUUCAUAGAAAUAUAACAUGUUAGACGAAACCCCUGUGGUAGUCUGUACGGCUGAAUUCAUAGCUCAAAGUCACUCUAGUCGGAGUCACUACAAUGACCUAUACGGCAACAUACUGCACAAGAGUCGGAACCAAACAAACAGGUCUAUAUGACAAUAAUGGGUGUAAUACAAUCAUGCUCAAUUCUACUCUCAUAUAAUAGCUGGGCAAUAAAUCGUUAGUCACCUAUGAGUCGGAACCAUAAAUAAGGUCUGUACGACAAGACUGUGCACCUAAAUUGGAUCCAAUAUGAGCAUAUGAUGCGAAAUGUGACAUAAUAAACAGGCAUGUGUCAUAUCUAUGGCUAAAACACAAUCACCCUAAGUGCAGUUUUAUGAGCUCAUCAUUAUUCAAUCACAUAUCGCAUCAUCGAUGAUUCACAUAAUCAAACACAACUUACCUGAGCUUACCUGAGCGUCCACAUCACCACAUUUAUAUAUAUAAAGCAUCACUUACCAAUUCAUGUAUGAAUUAUGUUGAUGCACAAAAUCAGUAAGGACUUUGGUACAACAGAAAGUGUUAAGUUUGUGACCUUCGCUAGAUUGCUCCGGUCACUAGUGUGGAUAAGUAUGUAAAUGGAUAGAGACAGGGAAGCAAACACAAGAUGUACGUGAUUCACCCAGAUUGGCUACGUCCACGGAGUAGAGGAGUUCUUAUUAAUUGUGAAGGGUUUACACAAGUACAUAGGUUCAAGCUCUCAUUUUGUGAGUGCUAGUGAAUGAUUUAGUACAAAUGACAUUAGGAAAUAUUGUGGGAGAAUGAUCUCCUUUUAUAGAAGAGAGUUUCUAGCUUUGUUCUGACAUUGACACGUGUUGUGUUGUGAUUGGUUUUUGAUGUUGUCACGUUGUGAUUGGCCUCCUGAUUAGAGGGAAACUCUUCUGGGUCAUGGACGGUAUAACGUUGACCGGUGCUCAGUAGUUUCGGGAUUGGUCACGUAUGGUACAAACAAUGCUCCAUUAAGUUCCCGAGUGAGGGAAGCUCCUCGGUAGGGGACUUGCAAGAUCCAAGCCGCUGAGUAAUCACGAAACUUCUAAGUACCGAAGUUUGGUAUCGUCUUCACUUGCCUUAUCUGUCUCAUAGGUAGAUGUGGCAUUUUCUUUGGAAGUACUAUUCCUUCAUCUAGGGGUGGUAUCUUUAAUCGGUGGAAAUGCACAAGGUAAUGUAUCAAUUUUACUUGAAGCUUACUUGUAGUUUCAGGCUUGGUCAAGCGCAAUACAAACCAUGUAGUAGGAGUCCCCCAAGUCGCCGAGCUAGGAGAUCUGCUGAAAGAGGUGACAGACAAGGUAAGCAAUCAGAGCUCCAAGCAAUCAGUCUCAGAUCAGAAGUUUGAUUUCAAGUUCCGGUUGAUUGUUCUCAUUCUCCCUAUCUUGCAGGCAACAUGAAUGAUAAAGAGAAGAAAAAGGAAAAUAGAUGAUAUGGGAUACUUUUGCUUUUGAAGAAGUAAUUUUCCACAUGAUUAUUCUUGAAUUGGGUUGAAGGGUUUUCUGGUUUCCUCCAGAGUAUAAGGCCGACUCAAGAAUUUGAGGGUCAAAACAAGUCCAUCAAAUCUAGAGUACGUUCGACCCUGAUGAUAUGAGAUACUUUUGCUGUUGACAAAGUAGUGGAUGUAUCGACACGUGUUCUGUUACGCUUGUCUCCACAUGUUUCCUUGUACCCUUCUCACUUGCCCUAUCUGUUCCUCAAGCAGAUGUGGUAUCUUCUCUGGAAGCAUAAAAUGUUAAAGAUAAGUACUCGAGAGCAAUGCCAGGUAAGUAAUCAGGCAAGGGGUUCCAGGCAGUCAGUUUCUGACUGGAAGCUUGAUUCCAAGUGCUGACUGAUUGCUCUAUUUCUCAUUGUCUUGCAGGUAUGAACAAGGCUAAAGGAAAAGACAGGGAAAAGCAUGAUAUGAGAUACUCUUGUUUUUAACCCUGAUGAUAUGAGAUACUCUUGCUCUGGUGUGGUUUGUUUGCAGAGGUAUUAUCGGGGGGAAAAUGAUAGGAGCAUAUUUAUGCGACUUAGUUGGCUUGUUCUUGUGCAUUUAUGUCGUAUUUCCUUAGUUAUUUUAAUGUUUAAAGUCAUUUUCGUGUGUUUUCAGAUUUGAUGGACAAAGUAGGCAAGAAGAUGCAUUUUGGAGCAAAAUGGGGCUUGGAAUGCAUGUCACAUAUUUGGGCCAAAGUGGAUGGACGAAUUUGAGAACUAAAGAGGCCAAGAAUGUGAAGAAUUAUGGUCCAAAAGAUGAAGAACUCAGCCCAAAAAUUUGUCACCCCAACUUGCCUUCAUUGCCAUGCAAAACAACAUAGAAUUCCCUUUGGAUUCCCAUGCCAUGCUUGAUCACUCUUGUCCCCUACAUAAUUUCUGAUUUCAUGCUUCAAUUCAUUUAAUUAUUACACUUAAUUACUUGAUACCUCUUGUUCCCUUCACCCACAAAAUUUUAUACAACUUUCACAACCAUAACAUGCACCAAUUGAUGCUCCAUCAUUCACAUUUGGAAUCCCAUGCCUUGUGUACCACAUGUUGCUGCACCUUUGACCCAUUUAUUGACACAUUUUCACCUCCCUUUCCAUCUCUAUGCAAUGUACACAAUCAUUCAUGCUCCCUAGCUUCAAGACCACUCCAUUUUACCCUUCACACUUUGCAUCAUCACUUCAUUUUCACCCUUGGACCAUUGCACACCACAUACACUCUUUGCCGUGCAUUCUCCCUAGCCUAACCUGAUUCUCUAAGGUUUUUGGGGCCUAUAUAUACAUGUUUACACCCCAUGGCAUAGGAUCUUCCCCCCCAUAUUCAUCAAUUAUCACAGAAAUUCGUCCAUACACACCUUAGGAAGCAAAACACCCCAAAAACACCAUUCUAGUGCCUAGAAAACAUAACAGCCACUCCGCCUUCUUCCACCCUCUUUGCCUAGUUCUCCACCACCCUCCAAACAUCAAAAACUCCUCCACACUCACCCUAAACCUUCCCAUCCAUUCUACAUCAUAAAACUACCCAAAAACUGUCCACAAAGCAAUCUGCCGCAAGCAAGGGAAAGGAGAAUUCUUGGAUGCACUUGUUGCCAAGUUGGAGCAUUUUAGGUGUUUUCUUUCCUUUGAUUUUAAUGUCUAAUUUUAUGUAUCUUUGCUUUGUGAGUAUGAGGAACUAAACCCCUCUUAGUUAGGGGGUGAUUCGAAACCAUGUUCAUACUUGCAAUAUGAUUUGAUUACGUCCAGUUGUGAUUCAUAAGUUGUGAAUUCAAUUUACUUAUCCGAUCGUAUAAGAAAUGAUUUGUGUAUGUUGGUUGAGAGUGCACGCUUAAUUUUCAUGCAUGAAUUUAACGCUAGAAUAUAAGGGAGUUUCACCUAAUCGUUAUGAACUUAUAUUCACAAGUAGUGAAGGUUGCUAGUCACAAUCACGUUAAGUAAAUUCUUGGCAUAAGUUUCAUGCAAUUCAUAGUAACGAGUGCCUCGUCAAUGCUUAUGUUUUUCAUAGAACUUAAUGAUUCUUGCUUGUAUCUCUAUUAUGCAAUUUGUUGAUGCACAAAACCGGGGCGGUCUUGGAACAACGUAAAUCCGACCGUGAAUCUGCACAAACGCUCAAGAGCACGAAGAACACAAAGAACACAAGGAUUUUAUCGUGGUUCACCCCAAUAUUUGGGCUACGUCCACACUGUAGUUGAUUCUGUUUCUCUGUAAAUGUAUGGAUACAAGUGUUUGGGGGAAGUCCCUAGAGAAAGAAGAGAAGGGAGAGGAGAGCCUCGGUGGUGUGAGGUCUCUCCUGGAUGUAAUGAGAGCUUCUCUUAGCCUUCUUAAGCUGGCUCUUUUCCUCCCUUAGAAUGAGGGGAUGAGUCCCCUUUUAUAGAAUAAGGGGCUCCUCCUCUUUUACAAAGUAUGGGCUUUAGUGUGAGGCCCAAAUACAAGGCCCAAGGCCCAAAUAUACGAGGCCCAAUAUAUGGUACCAACAGGAGUCCCCCAAGUCUUCAGUCAAGAGAGUCUUUUGGCUGGAGACUUCAAAUUCAAUCCAUGUACGGGCCGAAGUGGCUAGAUGUCUUGAACCAGUACUCAACCUAAGGCAAUGCUCAACAUAAAGCAAUACUCGGCUAAAGGUAUCACACGUUACGAGACUGCUCGGCUGGAGGCGAUGCUCGUUGUGAGGCUGCUCGGCUAGAGGCUAUGCUCGCGGCGAGGCAGCUCGGCUAGAGGCUAUGCUCCCUGCGAGGCGGCUCGGCUUGUGGUAUUCCUUAUUGCAAGUAUCUACUUUAUGUCGACAUGCACUCAGUAUGAGUUGAUUCUCGACAUGACUCGGGUCUGCUUGUCGGGUUCACAUAUUGGGUCUAUGUGUCGGAUCCGCGGAUCGGGUACGCAAGUCGGGUCUUUGAAUCGGGGCCAUACGUAGGGGCAUCGAGUUGGGACUAUCUGUAGGGUCAUCGAGUUGGGUCCAGACACAUAGGUGUCCCAAUAAGCGAAUGUCCGAGCAAGUGGGUGUCCGGUCAGACAAGAGAUCACCACAAGCACGUGGCUCAUCAGUCUAUAAGUUGGUAGACCUCGUUAAUCAGCAACAAUGUUGAUCAGUGGACCUAGUUGCUCAAUAAUUCCUGACAAUAAAUGACAGUAUAAUCAUGAGCGUAUAAUGAAUAAAUAUAAUAAAUACGUAAAAGAAAUAUGGUAACAACAAUUAUUUAAUAUGUAUAUUUCUUAUAAGUGUAAAACCUUGCCAUGCGUGUUAUAGCAUAGUUUUAGGUUAUAAAAGUGGAUUAGUUCUUUUGGAUUUGAGUUGAUAAUUUCAACAUAAUUUAAAAUGCAUGGGUGUGGGAACCCAUAUCCACUUUCAGCAUCUAUUGUAAACCCACCAUCAGUUAGUGGAAAACAUUCAAAAAAUAAAAUAAAGAUAUCAUCAUUGUUCCACCAUCACACAAUAACCAGUACCAUUUGAUAAAUAUUAAAUAAUAAAAACAAUUGAAUUAGGUGAAGACUUAUCUCUUUUUCACGUGUGGAUCUGGUGGAUCUGACCGACAAGGGCUCUUCCCUUAUCUUAUCUUUUUCAAAAUUAUCAUGAGUGUGGAAAAAACAGAUGGGUAUGGAAAUGAUGUUGUUGGAGACUUUCUUCCCCACUGAGUCAAAAGAUAAACAACAUGCAAAGCCUGGCUCUUUCAGCCAUUUUCUUCCCCGAGAGCUUGCUACCCCCAAUCCGGUUGCAUCCGUAUUGUUCCAUCUGCCUGGAAAACCAUGGUCAGAGUGUCGGAGGGCAAAACGGGAACUGAAAUGGGCUGCUCCGGCUGCUCGCUGCUGAAGAGCACUCAUGUCACGGUGCUGAUGGCUGACUGUUCCCGUUGGAUGGUCUGUGUCUGGAGCAACCAAUGCUCUGGGCAUAUAUGGUUUAAGAAGUUUGGUUUCCAAGUCACUCCUGACUCUCCUCUAAAAAAUGACAGGAGCAUAUGGAGCUUGUGUGGUCAGUGCUUCAUUCUCCGUCACAGCACUCGCAGCCAUAAUUGAUACGGUUUUCUGCGAUAUUCUCUGACCUUCUUGCUCUCUCUCUCUCUCUCUUUAGACGAGGGGUGGACGAGAGAGAAACUGUGGUGCUCGAUCUUGGUGACGGUGUUGUUUCAGGUGAGCACAGUGAGCUCCAGAGCCAGGCCCGCGAGCGUGAUGAAGUUCUUCAUCUUGGGCACGCACAUCGGCUGCCGGCAGAUUUCCAAAGCGAUGCGAAUCACGGUACAACGGGUUUUGCAAAGAGGGACGGCGUCGAUGGUCUCCUGCACAGUUCGGAAAUCUCCGGAGCCAUCCUGCGCAACCCUGAGAACGAGAGCCGCCAUUUCUCACGAUCUGGGAACUCUCCGAAGUGGGAAUUUGUUAAAGCUUGUGUCUUUGCAUGCAGUGAGUUUUAUCUUCGUUUCUGCAGAAGGGUUUGAACUGGGUUAUUGAGAUUCUCAAGUGACUCAACAACAACGGUCAAGUCUGAGCUUUGAGUGGUUUUGAUGGCGGCAGCGUGCUUGGCCUUCUUGUCAUUGUCGGAGCCGGACGAAGACGAGGAGUGGUGGCUGUAUAUCUUGUCCAUCAGCGACGCGGCAGUUGGUUCUGGCUCCGCCAUGGGUUCUCAGAGCGAAGAGAGGGAGAGAGAGGACAGAGAAAAAAAAAAAAGAAGCGGAUGAUGUGAUCAGUCGGAGAGUUUUGGUUUUCUGCAGAUUCACGGUUGAGGUUGUGAGAGUCUCACGGUGGUGAGAUGAAAAAUUGAGAGAGAACCGACACAGCUUUUCGUAUCGAUUCCCACAGACGGCGCCAAAUGUUGAUGCACAAAAUCAGCGAAGACUUUGGUACAACAGAAAGUGUCAGGUUUUGUGACCUUCGCUUGGUUGCUUCGGUCACUAGUGAGGAUAAGUACGUAAAUGAAUAGAGACAGAGAAGCAAACACAGGAUGUACGUGGUUCACCCAGAUUGGCUACGUCCACGGAGUAGAGGAGUUCUUAUUAGUAGUGAAGGGCUUACACAAGUACAAAGGAUCAAGCUCUCAAUUUAGUGAGUUCUUGUGAAUGAUUUAACACAAAAUGGCAUUAGGCCAUAUUGUGGGGGAAUGACCCCUAUUUAUAGAAAAACUUGUAGCUUUGUCACAUUGACAUGUGUCAUGUUAUGAUUGGUUCUUGAUGUCGACACGUGCUGCGCUCUGAUUGGCUUCUAAUCUUGACACGUGUCGAGUAGUGAUUGGCCUCCUGGUCGGAGGGGAACUCUUCUGGGUCCUUGACAGUAUAGCGUUGGCCGGUGCUCGGUAGUUUCGGGAUUGGUCAAGUAUGGUACAAACACAAUUCAUGUAGGGAACUUGUAGGGAAUGUUUUGGGUUGUCGUAUGCAAUCAUCCAAUCCAAUAACUUGUGGAAAAACUGAGGGUUAAUUAGUGCAAUUCACGGUUAAUUUGGGGCGUUAAGUAUUCAUAGCUUAUCGAAAAGCAACUGGAAAUCGUUUUGUAUGCAAGUGUGACAUGUGUGGAGAAGAACCUCCUAGCUAGCCUUCCAUCCAUAAGUUUCAUUCAAAUUCAUUUUACAAUCUGUUUUGAUUCACUUAAAUUUGUCUAAGAAUUUGUUUACUUUGUUCUUGUCUUAAUUUAAUUAUUUUCGUCCUAAAUCAACCCCAUCUUAUUUCUUUGAGUCAUAUUAAUUAGAACUUGUCUUAGAUUAUGUUUUUAAGUGUUUUAGUUCAUUAGAAAACCAAAAUUCAUCCAAGUUUGUGUUAGAGUCCCAAAACUGCCCAGAUUGUGUGUUUAAGGUAGUUUUGAGUGUUUAGGGGCUGUUUUGAGUCUUUUGGUUUGUUUUAGUGUUUUAAAGUAUAGUUUUGCAUUCUUUGAGUCUAGUUAGUGUUUUAAACUUUGUUUUUACGUUUUCAAGUCAGUUUCCAAGUGAUUUAGCAAUCCCUCCUAAUCCCCGGCCUAGAACGAUCCCUACUUACAUACUUUACUACAAUUGAUAAAAAGAGGGUUUAAUUUGUGUGCUUAUAUAUUUCGCAUCAAAUUUUUGGCGCCGUUGCCGGGGAUUAGCAACUUUGCUAAUCUCUUGGAUUGUUUUCUUUCGAAUUAUUGUAUUUUGUUUAAGUUUCUGUUUAAGUUGCUGAUUUGUUUUGUUUUCUUUGUUUUUAGGUACUAGUGCAUGACUCGAAGUUCCUGACCUGUUCGUGAGCAUAUCUCCGACUUUGACGGUGAUUUUGAGAGGACUUUGAGAAGGAAAAAGAAAUUGCAAGAGUCUAAUCCUCCUAGUCCCGAGCCUGAAUUAGAAGAACAAGAAGUUGAGGUUGAAGAGAAGCCCACGACACAAGUGGGUGGAGAAGAGCAAGUUAUAGCCAUGGACAACCGUACGCUCAAGGAGCUUGCCGCCUCGGGUUUGGAUAAUGCCGCACCAUUGUGUAUCCAAUAUCCCAUGGCUGCUCAAGGUAAAACUAAAGAGUUCGAGUUAAAGUCAAGUUUGCUCCACCACAUUCCAAAGUUCCAUGGGCUGUCCAUGAAGGAUCCGAACAAACAUUUGAAAGAAUUUGAAGUGGUGUGCUCAAGUAUGACUCUGGUUACCGUUGACGGAAGUAUUUUAAAGAUGAAGGCUUUUCCAUUCUCUUUAAUGGACAAAGCCAAAGAUUGGUUAUACGAGUUGGCUCCCGGUACAGUUACAUCUUGGGAGAGUAUGAAGAGGGCGUUUCUGGAGAAGUUUUUCCCAACUUCUCGCAUCAUUCUUCUUCGUAAAAAAAAUAAGUGGAAUUCAACAAGAUGAAGGUGAGUCUUUUCCUACAUAUUAUGAACGAUUUAAAUCACUUGUUGCUUCUUGUCCACAGCAUCAGAUGAAGGAGGAAUUGCUUUUGCAAUACUUCUACGAAGGGCUCCUACCACUAGAACGUCAAAUGCUCGAUGCCUCGGCGGGUGGAGCAUUGGUAGACAAAACGCCCAUGGCUGCAAAAAUCUUGAUUGCUAAUCGAGCAUUGAACGCUCAACAAUACGAGGGUGUAGGCCAAAGAGGACCCCCACGGCAACAAGUGCAUGAGGUAAGUUCCACUUCCAAUAUUCAAUCUCAGUUAGCUAAUCUUACUUCUCUUGUUUCACAGAUGGCCGAGGGAAUGAAGAUUCAAGGACCCAUGGUGUGUGGCGUAUGUUCUAUCCAAGGACAUACAUCCGAAAAGUGUCCUCAACUAAUUGAGAAUGGUGGAUGGGAGAGCACUAAUGCCAUUGGGUUUCAAAGCCAAAAUCAGCCAAGACAUGAUCCAUAUUCCAACACGUAUAAUCCGGGGUGGAGAGACCAUCCAAACUUCAAAUGGAGAGAGCCACAACAAGCCCAACCACAAGGAGGCUAAAGCAACAACCCCCCAGGCUUCUACACCAAACCAUACGCACCCCCUCAAUUCCAACCACAAUCUGCCCCCAAAUACUUCAAGUAAUGCUUUGGAUAAUGAUACACUUGUUAAGUUACUAACCAAUUUGACUAAUGGGCAGGAAAAUCAAAACAAAAGGGUGGACCAACUAGAGAAACAAAUAGGACAUAUUGCUGAGGUUGUUGGGCAGAUUAGAGACCAAGGAAGGCUCCCUAGUUCUACCAUUCCAAAUCCAAAAUGAGGGUUUGAAUCAGCCAAAGCAAUCACCCUAAGAAGUGGUAAGGAGGUUAGGGUAGGUUCUUCAUCAAAAACAGGUCCCAAAGAGGAUGAAAUGUUGCAAAUGGAAGAGGAGGAAUCAAGCCCACCCACGGCAAAGAUGGACACACCUAUGCCGCAACUGUCCAUAGCCCCUAAACCUUCAAAUCUGUCCAAUAAGGGUAAGAAUGUGUUAAAUUCAAUUCCUACUAAUGUUUUUCCUUUGAAUGUCCCCUUUCCUAGCAGAUUUUUGCAAUCAAAUAACGAAGAGGAGGAAAAAGAUGUUCUAGAGACGUUUAGAAAGGUGCAUGUCAACAUUCCCCUCCUUGAUGCCAUAAAGCAAAUCCCGAAGUAUGCCAAGUGUUUAAAGAAGCUUUGUACAACAAAGAAACUUGUCCGGGAGAAAGAGGUGGUACAUGUAAGUGAGAAUGUCUCCGCCAUCUUGCAACAUAAACUACCCCCCCAAAUGCAAAGAUCCGGGGAGUUUUACAAUUCCGUGUGUCAUUGGUAAUACCCGUUUCAAAUCUGCCAUGCUUGAUUUAGGUGCUUCUAUAAAUGUUAUGCCAUAUUCCAUUUAUGCAUCUAUGAACUUAGGAGCAUUGAAAAAUGAUGGUGUAAUCAUACAAUUGGCCGAUAGAUCUAACGCUUAUCCAAAGCGAGUUUUGGAAGACGUUUUAGUGUAGGUUGAUCAUUUAAUCUUCCCGGUGGAUUUCUAUGUCCUCGAAAUAGAUGAAUCGGACCAUGCUCCUUCAUUGCCCAUCCUCCUUGGAAGGCCAUUCAUGAAAACGGCUCAAACGAAGAUUGAUGUGGCCAAAGGAUUAGUCACUAUGGCAUUUGGUGGUAACAUGAUUAGUUUUAAAAUUUCUGAAUCCAUUGAGACUCCUAAUGUUGUUCAUUCUUGUUGUGCCAUUGAUAAAAUUGAAAAGAUAGGACUGGACCGUUCAUCACCAAGCAGAAAGGAUGCAUCAACAACCAUGCAAGACGAGGGAAUUGGAGUGGAGUACAAGGACCAUACGGCCACUGCCCUCACAGUGCUCAAAUUGGCCGAAAGCACCUUGGGGAAAAAUGUUCACAUUGCUACCACUUCAUCACAUCACAUAGGUAAGCCACCUAAUCCAAAUCCAAUUCCCAUUAAAGUUGAUAGGUGGUUCCCUUCUUUGGUGCAGAUACCCAAGCAGAUCCCCGACGGUGGGCACAGGAACGUGAACCUUAGGCAACACAACGCACCCAUCAACAAACAUCACUAUCCAUUUCCGUUCAAGGAUGCAAUGUACGAGAACUUUGUAGAACAAGAUGUGGAGGAGACAACCCACUAUGUCGUGGGUUCCCAUGAAGGUUGAUCAAGGUGUUCAUCGUCCGGCUGGAAGACGUUAAAGCAAGCGCUUUAAGGGAGGCAACCCAUUUAUUCUGCUUGAUUGUCAAUUUUAUUACUUGUUUAAUUAUUUUUGGUUAUGAUUUUCUAUUUUGAAACAUUAACAAAUACGCAAAGGAUUUUAACAUUAAACUUUGUGGAAAUGAACAGCAAACUGGGAAAUAAAGAAACAUAACAUAAUACAAGAGGGAGCCUUCACAAAGGCUGCUUGGGAGAGGUCUCAGUAGUUGGCGUAAUCUCAGCAGUCGGUGGGGCCACGGAAGGAGGAGGUAUCGGAGGUUGAUCAGUUGGAGCUUCACUACGCGGUGCCGCCCCAGAAGACGAAGGCAGAUGUUGUUGGAACAAUCCCACAAACCUCCGGUGAUCAAGUAAAAUCUGACCAUCAGUUUCCUGCAGCUGGUCAAUUUUCCUCUUCAUGUUUGUGGCAUAAUUGUGUGCAAGCUUGUGCAAUUGUUUAUUUUCAUGCUUGAGUCCUCUAAUCUCCUCUUUGAGACUCUGUAUUUCAGCCGCCAACGAUUCAAUGUGACGGGUUCGAGCAAAUAGGCGUUGGGCCAUGUUGGACACAGAACCCGCACACUGCACGCUAAGAGCCAGAGACUCCUUAACCGCCAAUUCAUCAGACCGUCUAGCGAGCAGUCUGUUAUCUCUGGGGGUGACAAGGUUUCGGGCCACCACCGCAGCGGUCAUGUCAUUUUUCAUCACCGAAUCCCCAACGGUAAGAGGACCAGUAGGGGAUAUGAGGGACAUGCGCCAUAUGUUGUCUGGAGAAGGAGGGGCUGCUCAUUCACCAAGGUUCAAAUCAAAACGACGGUCGGAAGGGCCAUACAUUUUUCAGAGGUGUUAAAGAAAGAGGAGAUCGGACAAGUCAAGAUCGUAGAAGUGCAAAACGGGAGUUUUUACAGGAAGAAAUUCAAGAGUGCUUUGAACGUCCUGCAUACCUCUAUAAAAAUCAGCACGCGAUGGGAUUUCAGAGAUCGAAGAGGUGAGCUCAGAAAUCGAAGAAGCCAUUCGGAGAUCGAAGAGGCGCCAGCUUUCUCAAAAGUUGGGCUUACUCACAAACCACCAAUUCCAGAUACCGAAGAGUGUCAACUGUCUCAGCCCCAUCAGCACCCAUCACACGCAACUCAGCUUUGCGAAAAUUACGGGCAGUCUGUCGAAACACCGAUUCCAACCAUCUGUCUCUCUCAGCCUCGUCAGCACUUGUCACAUGCAAUCUCUGCCCUCAACGAAGCUCAGAACUCGAAGCGUAAAUUCCGGUAUUAAAGAGGCCUUUGCUUUAUCGAGACAUGUCAGCAUCUGUCAAUUUGCACAUCUGUGUUGCGUAAAUCACGCGCAAUCUGUCGAAAAUUUUUGGAGAAGCGGAAUGCACGUGAAAACUACUGUUAAAUUAUCCCAGGCUUACCGACACGAGUAAUGGAACAAUGCCUUCCCAGCCAUUAAGAAAAUUCUAUAAAUGCUGAACUUCAAAGUGAAGCAAUCUCACCCAACUUUCAGCCUCACUUAACCCUUCAUCCUCUCUGAAAUGGCUUUCCAACAAACCCUCUCGAGUCACUCUGUAUUUUUCAUCCCCUGGGAUACCCCUGCAAACAACCCAUCCAGAGCACAAGUAUUUCAUAUCAUAAAGGUUGAGAGCACGAGUAUCUCAUAUCAUGCUUUCUCCCUGUCCUUUCUCCAGCCAGCACCUGUUCUUGAGUACUCAUCAUUUUGUGCUUCCGCUUCGUCUCUCACGUAUAAGGGAAGUGAAGAUGAUACCUCGAAGCAUGUGGAGACGACGUGCUGAUUCAUCCUCAACUAGGGACAAGGAGAAAGAAAGCAAGAGGUGGGCACUUGGAAAGAUUGAAGAAAGAAACAGACCAACACCUUUACCUCGUGCCCGCCCGUCGUGCAGAAGAAACAAGCAGAGAAGAAUGCAGCUUGCACAAUCAACCCAACACAAGGAGUCUGAGAUGAAGAACUAAAGAAGCUGCCACAUCUGCUUGGAGAACAAAUAAGGAACUGCAACAUCACCAAAGAGCAAAGCUUCGCUGUACAAUUCCAAUCCAGUUCAAAGCUGUGGAAAGUCAAUAAGAUCAACUAUCUCCAAAACCAUAUUUGCGUUCUUAAACUCUACUCUGUCUGGUUUUUACUUUGCCAUAUUUGUCAUGUUUAUUUGUCGUUUGUUAUUUGCUUGUUUUUUGUGUGAAUAUAUGCUUGAAACAUUGAGGACAAUGUUUGAUUUAAGUGUGGGGGGGGGGUAACCAUUGUUUUGCAUGAAAUUUGUAGAAAUUUAUCACCCAUUACUUCUAGUGUUGUUCCUUGUUGUUUUAAGUAUUUUUAAGCUGUUUUGGAGUGUUUCAGUGUGUUUUGACAUAAAAAUCCGAAAAUUCAUAAAAAUUUGAAAAAUUGUUUUUGAAAAUCCAAAAAAGAGUUGUUUUUGUGCGCUUAUUUGUGUCUUAAGGUACCUUCCAACACAAUGAUGAGGAUUCGGUUUGUAAUUGCAUGACUGUUAAAGAGAGUUAUAAACAUGGAUGAAAGUUUGAUUUACUCUUUAUUUAUGCGUGGUUGUGGUUAUAACUUAUGAAAUCACAUGUAAUCAUAAAAGAAAAAAUUAGUUUUUGUAACAUGCUUGAAGGAAAGAACUCAAACUAACGCUACAACCUUGUGAGACUUGAGCCUAAACGUUAUUUGGAGAGUUGAUAAUCUGUGCAUUAUUGUUUUCUAAAGUUGUUGCAUGAACUCAUUUUUCUUUGCUUGGUUACUACUUAGAAGGCGUUUCAUCAUUUAGUUCCAAAUGCUAGAACUCAUGCCCAUUUCAUUCAAAGCAUGAUAUUGAUUUGCAUAACACAUAUUCAAGAUGAAGUUGUGUAGUUACCACCACCAAAGCCAAACUGCCAUGUAUCCCAUAUCGUUAUAUGUUUAAGUUAACCCCAUUGAGCCUUGAUAGCCUACAUUCUUUGUUAAACCACAUUAUCCUUACCUAGCCUAGUUUAGGACCAUCCAUACCUUUGUUCUUGAAGCAUAGUAAAGCAUGAUUCAAAUUGAAUUUCUUUUGAUUAAUGUAUGGCAGAAAACAAGUGUGGGGGAAGUGUGAGUUAUUAUGCUUGUUGAAAAGAAAAGAAGAGUUGAAAAAAAAAAAAAAAAAAGUUGAAAAAUAUGCGAAAAAGAGUUUUAAAGUGCUGCUUGUUGAAGAAAGGGUCCAAAACAUAGAAUUCGGCCCUAAAUAUUGUUUGAAUUUUCCCUUCGUGUCUAAAAGCUGAUUUCUGCAAUCUAAGUGAAUUCUAAGUUUCAAUUUCAUUACUUUACUUGCUAUUGCUUUAAGAACGAUUGUUAUCCUUAUCCUUCAUUUGUGAGUCAUCACCCCAAGCCCCGUUACAACCCUUAACUUCAUCUUGAGUGUCAUGCGUUUCAAUAUGUGGAGUUUGAAAUUGAUAUGAGCAUAUGGUGUCACUGGUUCUCGCAUCUAAGUAGUAGCAUUCUAUUCAUGAGAUCAUAUCUAAACAUGCUUAUUAACUCCAGAAAUUGCUUUCUUUGUGAUACAUAUAUGUGAGCGUUCGUUUUCAUAUCUACAUCAAUCUUCUCACAUAUAACUAGUAUAGGGUGUGUAGUUAGAAAAUCUGAGUGAAAAUUGAGUGCAUAUCUUGUAAGGAAUUGAGUGAUUUCUCUAAGGCAUGUUACUACAUCAAAAACAUUAUUUUAAUCGAUUAAUUGUGAACAAGUAAGUAGUGACUAUGAUUAAGUACGUGCUUAAGUGUGAAGAUGACUCAAAUCUUUGGGGAUAAUGAUUUUUAACAUGUCAUGUGCAUUGGAAAUCCCUGAGGCAAAUGUUGGAAGGUUUAGGUUGUGUUUUAUUUACUUUGUUUCGUUUUAUCUCUUUGUUUUGCUCGAGGACUAGCAAAAGCUAAGUGUGGGGGAAUUUGAUAGGAGCAUAUUUAUGCGACUUAGUUGGCUUGUUCUUGUGCAUUUAUGUCGUGUUUCCUUAGUUAUUUUAAUGUUUAAAGUCAUUUUCGUGUGUUUUCAGAUUUGAUGGACAAAGUAGGCAAGAAGAUGCAUUUUGGAGCAAAAUGGAGCUUGGAAUGCAUGUCACAUAUUUGGGCCAAAGUGGAUGGACGAAUUUGAGAACUAAAGAGGCCAAGAAUGUGAAGAAUUAUGGUCCAAAAGAUGAAGAACUCAGCCCAAAAAUUUGUCACCCCAACUUGCCUUCAUUGCCAUGCAAAACAACAUAGAAUUCCCUUUGGAUUCCCAUGCCAUGCUUGAUCACUCUUGUCCCCUAUAUAAUUUCUGAUUUCAUGCUUCAAUUCAUUUAAUUAUUACACUUAAUUACUUGAUACCUCUUGUUCCCUUCACCCACAAAAUUUUAUACAACUUUCACAACCAUAACAUGCACCAAUUGAUGCUCCAUCAUUCACAUUUGGAAUCUCAUGCCUUGUGUACCACAUGUUGCUGCACCUUUGACCCAUUUAUUGACACAUUUUCACCUCCCUUUCCAUCUCUAUGCAAUGUACAUAAUCAUUCAUGCUCCCUAGCUUCAAGACCACUCCAUUUUACCCUUCACACUUUGCAUCAUCACUUCAUUUUCACCCUUGGAUCAUUGCACACCACAUACACUCUUUGCAGUGCAUUCUCCCUAGCCUAACCUGAUUCUCUAAGGUUUUUGGGGCCUAUAUAUACAUGUUUACACCCCUUGGCAAAGGAUCUUCCCCCCCCCCAUAUUCAUCAAUUAUCACAGAAAUUCGUCCAUACACACCUUAGGAAGCAAAACACCCCAAAAACACCAUUCUAGUGCCUAGAAAACAUAACAGCCACUCCACCUUCUUCCACCCUCUUUGCCUAGUUCUCCACCACCCUCCAAACAUCAAAAACUCCUCCACACUCACCCUAAACCUUCCCAUCCAUUCUACAUCAUAAAACUACCCAAAAACUGUCCACAAAGCAAUCUGCCGCAAGCAAGGGAAAGGAGAAUUCUUGGAUGCACUUGUUGCCAAGUUGGAGCAUUUUAGGUGUUUUCUUUCCUUUGAUUUUAAUGUCUAAUUUUAUGUAUCUUUGCUUUGUGAGUAUGAGGAACUAAACCCCUCUUAGUUAGGGGGUGAUUCGAAACCAUGUUCAUACUUGCAAUAUGAUUUGAUUACGUCCAGUUGUGAUUCAUAAGUUGUGAAUUCAAUUUACUUAUCCGAUCGUAUAAGAAAUGAUUUGUGUAUGUUGGUUGAGAGAGUGCACGCUUAAUUUUCAUGCAUGAAUUUAACGCUAGAAUAUAAGGGAGUUUCACCUAAUCGUUAUGAACUUAUAUUCACAAGUAGUGAAGGUUGCUAGUCACAAUCACGUUAAGUAAAUUCUUGGCAUAAGUUUCAUGCAAUUCAUAGUAACGAGUGCCUCGUCAAUGCUUAUGUUUUUCAUAGAACUUAAUGAUUCUUGCUUGUAUCUCUAUUAUGCAAUUCAUGUAGGGAACUUGUAGGGAAUGUUUUGGGUUGUCGUAUGCAAUCAUCCAAUCCAAUAACUUGUGGAAAAACUGAGGGUUAAUUAGUGCAAUUCACGGUUAAUUAAUUUGGGGCGUUGAGUAUUCAUAGCUUAUCGAAAAGCAACUGGAAAUCGUUUUGUAUGCAAGUGUGACAUGUGUGUGGAGAAGAACCUCCUAGCUAGCCUUCCAUCCAUAAGUUUCAUUCAAAUUCAUUUUACAAUCUGUUUUGAUUCACUUAAAUUUGUCUAAGAAUUUGUUUACUUUGUUCUUGUCUUAAUUUAAUUAUUUUCGUCCUAAAUCAACCCCAUCUUAUUUCUUUGAGUCAUAUUAAUUAGAACUUGUCUUAGAUUAUGUUUUUAAGUGUUUUAGUUCAUUAGAAAACCAAAAUUCGUCCAAGUUUGUGUUAGAGUCCCAAAACUGCCCAGAUUGUGUGUUUAAGGUAGUUUUGAGUGUUUAGGGGCUGUUUUGAGUCUUUUGGUUUGUUUUAAUGUUUUAAAGUAUAGUUUUGCAUUCUUUGAGUCUAGUUAGUGUUUUAAACUUUAUUUUUACGUUUUCAAGUCAGUUUCCAAGUGAUUUAGCAAUCCCUCCUAAUCCCCGGCCUAGAACGAUCCCUACUUACAUACUUUACUACAAUUGAUAAAAAGAGGGUUUAAUUUGUGUGCUUAUAUAUUUCGCAUCAGAAAAUAAGCUAAGUAUUUCGAGAGACUCUGCUGAGAAUGCCCUCUCGGAUGUGAAGAAAAGUUGAGCAUUUUUUUUAUUUGCAGAUCUGCCUGGCUGUAAAGGAUGAAGGUCGACAUAUAUAGGAAUUGUCUAAACAGCAAGUGGUAACGCUGUUCCUUUACCCUUCUCGGUCAUAGCAAUGUAGUGGGAGCUGCAAGAUUCACGUGUUUUAACUUUAUCAGCGCACUUUGAAAAAAAUGGUCUGUGGUAUCUGGAAAGCUGAUGUUGCGUGUAAAGAUUGCAGACAAGCUUUAUCCAAGGAAAUCUGGCUCUUGAAGUUUGGAGAGCGGUGCCUCUUUGAUUUUCAAACAAGCAAUCCUGUCGGGAAUCUAGCUCUUGAGAUUCGGAGAACAGUGCCUCAUCGAUUUUUGAGAAAGCAAUCAUGUUGGAAGUCUGGCUCUUGAGAUUCAGAGAGCGAUGUCUCUUCGAUUUUUGAGAAAGUAAUCCUGUUGGGAGUUUGGCUCUCGAGAUUCGAAGAGCGGUGCCUCUUCAAUUUUUGAGCAAGCAAUCUUGUUGGGAGUGUUUUCUCGAAUGUGAGUAAAGGUUGGGCAUUUUUGCCAGUCUACCUUGCCAUGGAGCACGGAGGUUGACACACAUAGGGACUUUCCAGUUAUCAAGCAGUAGUGCUGUUCCUUUAUCCUUGUGGAUAAUAGUAGGGUAGCUGGACCUUCAAAAUUUAUGUGUCUAAACUUUGUCAGAGAUCUUUGGCAAAGUUAUCUGUGGUACUCGAGGAGCUGAUUUUGCAUGUGGAAAAUUGUGCCUCUUCGAUUUUUGAACCACCGGCCAUGUUGCCAUUUCUUUUAUAAAGACACCAAUUGUGUGCAAGAAGUACAUCAGAGAGUUAUUGCUUGUAGGAAUUUUCCCCUUAUUUUUGUACUUCAAAGAUUUAUUGGACCUCAUUUCUCCUUCAUCAUUUUUGAAAAUGUCUGGCCCAUCCGACCGUCGUUUUGACUUGAACUUUGGUGAAGAGGUAGCUAUGUCUCCUCAAGACAACAUAUGACACUCAUCCUUCUUAUCCCCUACUGGUCAUCUUACCGUUGGAGACUAUGUGAUGAAGAAUGAUAUGAUCACUGCAGUGGUGGCUAGGAACCUUCUCACUCCCAAAGAUAACAGAUUACUUUCCAAACGGUCUGAUGAGUUGGCUGUUAAGGAUUCUCUGGCUUUCAGUGUUCAAUGUGCAGGUUCUGUGUCUAAUAUGGGUCAACGCUUAUUUGCUCGAACCCGCCAAGUUGAAUCAUUGGCGGCUGAAGUGAUAAGUCUCAAACAGGAGAUUAGAGGGCUCAAGCAUGAGAAUAAACAGUUGCACAGGCUCGCACAUAAUUGGAAGCAGUUCGGUCGGAAUACCACCGGGGGAUUGAGUAUUGCUUCUUGUGGUUGAUAGUUGUAAUUUCACCAAGGAUGAAUACCACGUCUUAGAGGUUGCAUGGUUUUUCAAAAGGUUUUCACAAAGCGUAAUGAGUCAUGCAUAUUUAUAUUUAAUCUGAAUACCACAGACGGAUUGCAUGUUUGAUAUAUGUUCUAGCUUAAAUAUCACGAGUAAAAUAUGCAUUAGGAAAACCUAACCUUCAAAGUUGCAUGAGUAAUUCGUAAUUGGUAAAUCUACAUAGGAUUGUUAAAGGGACGACAGAACCCUAGGCUUUUACAAUUUGGUUUUCAAAACGUUUUCCUUUGUUUUCUUUACUUUGCUAAUUUCUUUAUUCAUUUUAAUUAAAUUCGUUUUUAUUAUUUUUAAAUUCUAAAUCAACCUUUUUCAAUCUUUGUUUUCAAAUAAUUAAUUAAGAUUUGGUAUUUACAUAAAUUAUUCAUUCAAUUUCUGCGGAAAACGACCUUAUUUGAGCCGUUUAUACUACAAUUACCUUGUUCUCUUGCAAGUAUUUUUAAAUGUUUUUAUCCUUACUUUGGCAAGUGGUAAAUCCCUAUUAUGCCUCAAGGAAGUCUCUAAACGAAUCAUCAGAGCUAAUUUUGAAGUGAGCAGCCUUGAAAUAGCUAACCUUACUCAAAGACCCGACUUGACGAUGCAAUGGCAGCACACCAUCAUCAUUCUUGUGGUUCAAGGAAGACAUGCUAGAGGAAAUCCUACAAAGACACGAAGGAAAUUCGUUUGAUAGCUGAUUGCCAAAAAAAAAAAAAACGGGAAAGGACACGGCACAACAGGCCUUAUGGCCCAAUAGGACACUCGGCUUCUCUCUCUCAUCCCACAGACAUAAGCCCCAGCCUAGCCUAAAAAAAAUUAAAAAUUAUUACAGCCCAAGCCGGAUGAGCCCAGCAAAUGCGCCAGGCCCCAUGGCCUAGCCUGACACCCUAUCGGCCCGCAGGCCUCAUGGCCUAAACCAAAUGGAAGGGGGCUCUCCCUUUCUUGCAUGGGCCAAGGUCUGGCCCAAAACACAAGCCAGCUGCGCCCCAGGCCUGCCCCACCAGCCCUCGACCCAAGCCGAGUCACCAUCACGCCAAGCCAACCCUCGGCAGCCACUUUUUUCAUGUUUCCUCGACUCCCGUCGGGCCAAAAUUCAAGCCCUGAUGCUACCGAAAAAUUAAGAAGACAAGGAAAAGUAAUUUUUUUUCUUACCCUGAAGGAGUGUGAAGAUGAAACAAGUAACGAAAGACGAUCAUUUGCACAUGCAAGAUGUAGAAGAUUGUUAGAGGAUGGGGAACAAAUAUCCUCUAAGCUUUCUCUUUCUUGUAGGAAAAAUAAAUCACUCUCCAAAGUUGAUUUCAUAAUCCACUUAAGGUGGACUUAAAUAGCCCUUGAGAAUAAUUUAUUUCAUUUUCCUAGAAUUAUCUAAUUUCCAAUUAAAAAAUGAAUCUACAUCAAAAUAGGAAAUAAUCCUAUGUUUCCUAAAGCGAGAAAAUCUCUACACCUGUUGCCCUUUCCUGUGAGCAGCCAAACAGGUGUGGGGGCAUUUGUGGAGCCAAAAAUAAUCGAGAAAAAUAUGGAGGCGACACGUGGAUUUUAGGGUGAAAAUGACAAAAUUACCCUCGGGGAAUACCAGAACUACUACGCGCGAGCAGUGGACAAUCAAGACUCAAUCAAGGUCAAAAGUGCUCAAAAUAGGUAAUUAUUCAAAACUUAUUUCAUUCAUCCUCAUCAAGUCUUCUCCACAAGGUAACUCCCAAAUCAUUCCUUUCAAAUUAUAUUAAUUAGCUAAUUAAUUGAUUUAUUACUCAAUUAAUUUAUUAAUUAGCUAACAAAUUAUAAAUUACACCCAAAAAACCAUCCAAGUGGCCGGUCCGUAUCCUCCCAAAGGGGUCGGCCAUACCCCUAUAAAUUCUACCUCAUUUUCUCCAAAACUCAACUCCAACUCUCUUGCAAAAUUCUCUAAAUUCUUCAAACACUGUUCCCUCAAAAUUCUAACUUUGGCAUCGGAUGUUCUUCGGCCAAAGCCCCCCUUCAUUCAUCGUGGGCAUGUGAGGCUCUUGGCCUUGACAUAAAAUGUAAUUUGUUUUGUAUGUGCAAUUUUGUCCAAGAAGAAGAAGACGGAAAUUUGCAUCCACAAUGAGCACCGCUGGACUAGCUCUAAUAUAAAAUAUAUUUUUAAAUUCGAAAGAUGUCUGAAUUUAAAUUAAAAUUAUAAAUUAUUGAGAGGAUAUUCCAAUUUAGGUGUAGACAGUGAUGAAGUCAGGAAUUGUCGAGGGUAGAGAUGGAAUUUAAAAGGAUAAAAGGUCCAAAAAAAUUUUAGAUGAUCAAAUCCUUCUAGAUAACUACCCAGAAUUUUCAAAGAAGGAUUUAGACCUACCGUAUUAUUUGAAGGAUGAUUUAAACAUCGUUUCUUAUAGUAUUAGUCCAUUGAGGUACAAUGAGAGAGGGAAAAAAAGCAGAAGAGAUCCACUUCUGAUCUAUGCAUCUGGAACUUAGGGAUCAAAUGUCAGGGACUUUAAAAUUUGAUCCUACAGCAAAAAACUAUUGUAGCUUUUAAAAGUUUUUACUAACUUCUCUACUUUUAGCCGUUGGAUCAAAUUUUAAAGGCCCGAAUUAUUUGAUCCCUGAACUCCAGAUGUAUAGAUCCAGAGAGGAUUUUCCGAAAAAAAAGGUGUUUAAUAAAAUGAUAACAUAUCUCAUUUGCCUAGCGAAUAGUGUGAGUUAUAUACUUGACAACAGAAAAGCAGGAGUUAUGCAGAUUUAUUUUUACGGUUAAUCUCAAUUUAUUAUCCUGAAGUUUAUUGGUUUUUAACAUUUCAUACAUCAUGUUUUUUUCGUCCCAAUUUAAUACCUAAAGUCAUAAUUUUGGAACACUUUUAUACAUUCGUUAAGGUUUCCGUCAGAACUUCUGUUAACAGAUGACAUGGCACCCACCUGGACAAUGACUUAGCGCCGCGUGUUAAUAUGGGCCCACGUGAAAAUUAAAAAAAUAAUAAUAAUAAAAAAUUUGAAAAAGAAAAAAAACUCAAACCCUAUUGCCUUCCUCACCACCAUCGCCCAAAUCCAAGCGCCUCCUCCUCCUCACCUGGCCCGGGUCUCACCCCUCCCUCCCCAGUGCUCAUUCCUCCUCAACUUCCACCUCGACUCCAUCUCCGCUGAGCCCGACAAGUGGACCUAUUCCUCGACCUCUUCAUCUUCUUCGUUGAUCAACGGUCGGAUGAUUCCACGCUCUUGCCCUCAACCUCCUCGUUCUACAACUCGGGAGGUGGACUUGGAUCUCGAUCCAUGAUGCCAAGUCAUGGCCGCUUCGAUUCAAUGCAGUACGGUUCGGGGGUUACAAUGCUCACUCGCGGAUCAGGUUCUAAAUUCUUGGCACUAAGAAAAAAUUAGAAAAAAAUCUUUUUUUCUCCAUCUGGAGAUUGAGAAAAACCCUCAUUUUUUUCUCCCUUUUGUGAUUUUCUCUUCUGGUAUUGAAAAUUGUUGAAUUUUCCAACUGGGUUUUGGAGAAAAACCAUUUUUUUUGUCCAUCUACUUCAUUGAUGCUUCCUCCUUUGAAGUUCUUUUUCCUUUAAUUCCUUGUACUCUUUGUUUUCCUAAAAAAUAAAAAUUACAAAAUUUGUUUUCCUAAAAAUCACAAUAAUGGUAGUGGCAGUCCUCUGUCUCUGAUAAUUGGAAGGUAAAAGUUUCCUUUAUUUUAUUCUAUUUUAGCAUAUAAAAUUCGGGUUCUUGAUGUCUGGAGUUUUGGGUCUUCUGGUUUGCGGGAUAUGCAAUUUGGGUGAACUAAGGAUACCGAAAACUCGUUUUCCAUUAGUUAAAUAAAAGUGUCUUGUUUUGAUUUAUCAUUGCAGUCUUUGCAUUAAACAUCCAAAUUUAUUUAGGGGAAGUGAGAAGCUUGAUGUGUUCAUGUGUUUAAGGGUCGUUUUGGCAGUACUGUCCUUUAAAAAAAACUGCUUCUGUGUUGUGAGAAUAAGCAGUUGUGAAAUAAAGCAGUAGAAUGUUUAGUAAAUUUUUUUGUAAAAGGGCUUUUGGAAAAAAAAAAAAAAAAAACAUUAUGAUAGUGUUCGGUAAAUUUUUAUCUAAAACAGAUGUGAUUGUGUGAAAUGAUCAAAAAUGAUAUAAUACCAUAUUAUUAUUAUGAUAUUUUAUUUAAUAUUACUAUUUUUAUGUAAGAAUUUUGUGUGGGGGGGGCCCACACCCCAUUUCCCUUAUCCCCGUGUAGCUUUCCCUCCCCCAAUUAUAUUCUUCCCCUCCUUGCACCGAGUUUGAUACUCAUUUUCCCCAUUCCCAAAUUUCAUUUUUCAUUCUUGCCCAUCUCUUUUCUCCGUCUGUUUCUAAUCUCUCUUUCCAACCACCCAUAUGUUUCUCAUCUCUUUCUCUAACCACACAGCCACCAUAGCAGUGGAUCCACCACCACGCAAGUUUAAUUCCAGAUGCCAGAGUGUCGUUUUAAUGUCAUAUGUAGCACCGAAUGGGUAUUAGAUCCGGUGUUCGCCAACAACAACCCAUUCUUCAACAACUCCGGCAACUGUGGUUAAUUUGUGAUGAUAGCAGUCUAGGGCUCUCCUCAUGGCGACUCUUGUGGGUCUCUGGUGGUGACAAUUCAGAUCUUCACGAGAAGGGAUGAGGUAGAUUCACAGUGGGGGCGACACAAAUCUUCAAAGAUCUUUGGUAGAGAUGAAGUUGGGAGGAGCAGAAAGAGGAUGAUAGAGAUGAAGGGAGGGUAGGAUUGCCAGAAACUUUCAUUAAAGGGUCACUGUUCAUCCGUGUUUUAGAGGUUUGCGCAAAAGCUGCGUGACAGCUUUAAGCUUUUUCAUCUGGGUUUGAAAUUUUUACCUCUGAUGCGAUUGGGGGUGUCCAAAAUGGCGAAUCUUGUCUAUGAACGCGGAUGUGUGGGUUAGGGUUCGUGUGGGUUAACCUAGGGAGAGAGAAGUGAGGGGAGGUGAAGAAGGUAGAGGAGAGGGAGGAGGUGGGUCGGGGAGUCGAAGAGGGAGGGGGAAGUUUGGGAUUUUUUUUAUUAUUAUUAUUUUAUUAAUUUUUAAUUUUUUAGUAUUCACGGACCUAUAUUGACACGUGGCGUUUAGUUAUUUUUCACAUGGGCGUCACAUCCUUAAUUAAUAGAGAUUUUGACGAAAAACUAAACAAAAGUACGAAAGUGUUUCAAAAUUAUGAUUUUAGGUAUCAAAAUGAAAUGAAAAAAACAUAAUAUAUAAAAAAUUAAAAAUCAAGAAAUGUCAAGGUAAUAAAUUGAGAUUAACUCUUAUUUUUAUAUCAAUUUGGUUGUUCAACUCCGGACUUGACACAAGCGCAAUAUAAUUAUAAACGGAUAACUUGAAUACAAGACGGAUAUGAAUGGGUAAAUAUCCACGUAAGGCCCCAAACAUUAUGGUCGAGUCCAGUUGAUGCUGAGUCACUGUUUCUAGAUGGGCCUCUCAACCAACCUCCGAAGUGUGACUAUAUCCAACGGCCCACAUUUGAAGCCCAUCUCACAUAUUGUGUCUUAGUGUGGGCCCAAUCCUAUCUGCCCUCUGGAAAAGGUGCAGAGAUAAAUAGAAAAAUUAGAAGGUCGAGAAGUCUCUUCACACCAAUCACCAAAGUCGUCAUCCACGGCUGCCCCAUCUGCUCUGCCUCUCUACAACUUGUUCUCCCCCCUCAGCAGUCCUUCUCUUAGACCAUCUCCAACCCUGACCUAUAACCUAAAUUUUUCCCUUUUUUUUUCCCCAAAUCCACUCCAACCCAAAACCUAAACCAAACCUAAAACCUAAAACUUAAAAUGAAGGCAAAUAUAGGUCACAAAUUUAGCCCACAAAAGCUGCUGGGACCCACGGAUGAGAGUGAAAAGUGGGCCUUGUCCUGUAGCCAACGACUACUUUUCUUCAUCGGGUGGUGGUAAUUGGACCGUUGGUUAAUCCAACGGUCCACAUUCAAUUUUUGUUUGUUUUAUAUUUAUAUAUUUAUUGAAUCCAACGGUUUAAAUCGAAUAUAAUCAAUCUAACGGUAAAAAAAAAGAUCUAACGGUCCAAAUUUAAAUCCAAUGGCUAGAAUAAUCUUAAAAUUUAUGUGGUUUAUUAAUUGUCUUUUUUUUUUAAGUUUAUGUGGUUUAUCAUGAUUUUCAUGUAUUGAUUUAGUGAUUUUUCAAAAUUUAUCGGAAUUUAAAUAUUUUUAGGUUAAAAUGUUCAUAAAAUUAAUUUAGGAUAGUCUACAUAAUUGUUUUUUUUUUUUAAAAGUUAAUUUAAAAAAAAUAGCCUUAAUUCAUUUUUGAUAAUCUGGGGCUCAAAUUUUAGGCCAAAAUGGUUGGAGUAGAAAAGCUGUUUCUGGGUUAAAACCUAAAUUUUCUGGGCUAAAUAUUUUUAGGUUUUAGGUCAGGGUUGGAGAUGGUCUUAGGGUCGAUUUCCGACGACCAGAGGUGCGACCGCACCUGCUUGUGUCUAGUAGCCUUGCUAGUGAAUGCAGACUAGCCAAGUCUGCUAUGCACAACAUUGUUUCUCAAGACAUUCAGUUUUAUUCAUUCAUUGUAGAAAAUUACGGAUGAGGAUCUUCUUUUUGAGCAGAUCUUACAGAUCUUCACAUCUUAUCCGUCCAUCAUACAUCGUGAAAAAAAUAUUUAUUAGAAAUUAUUUGCGUUUAAUUUUAAAUAAAUAAAAAUUCAAAAUGAUUUCGACUGUACAAUUUACGACGAAUGGAUAAGAUGUGAAAUCUCUAUAUCUCUUCAACCUUCCCGAAUGAAAGUGUCCUCUUGACAACAAUGGAAACAGACCCGCAAAUGAAGUACCCGUGAAACAAAUUUUCUAACCGAAUCACUGAAUACUAAGUAGCGUCGAGAGCACCUACAACAGAUUGUACUAGUGUGACUCUUUAAAUAAAUAUUUGAUGACCUACGUUUCAACAAAUUUUACAAAUAUUUUAUUUCACUAAUAAACAAAAUUCUAAUAUUUAUUCAUUCAGCGGAGGGAAGAGGGACAUUUUAAAGAAGUUGUGAUGCACAUGGAGGGGAGAGAGAUUUUACUCUGGAUAAUACUUGCAUUUUUUUUGGGGUCAACUCAUUCCACUGCUUAACAUAUAUUCAUCGAAAAAAUUUCAUAAUUUAAAUUAUUCAAUCUCUUAAUGUUCAUUUGAAGAUUAUCGGUACAAAAAAAUCAUUAGAAUCGGAAACCGUUUAGUCAUUUAAAUGUAUCAAAAUAAACCAACGAUGUAGGUAACUAAAAUAAUCAUGAUGAACCGUUAGUCUAUUUGAUUACGUUUGAAUGAUUAAACGAUCCUUAAUUGAUUUGGAUAUAAGUGAAUUGAUGCAAGAUGCUCCAUUCACUUCAAUGACUUCAUCUUAUCAUCUAAAACUUAAAAGAGACUCUAGAAAAACAACUUUUUUGUAUAUACCAUAUAAACACUUUAAUCAAAUAGGUUUUCGGGCAUGUUUGGAAAUGUUUAACUGGAAAGAAUUAUUCUCAUCUCAUAAGUGAUUAUACUAGAAGUACGUCGAAACUUACUUAGAAAACUCUUCCAAAUGCUUUUCAAAUCUUCUUGACAAUCAAGAGCUUACGACUACAUUUGAUAGAAAAUGUCAAAAGUUCUUAUGGAAGAGCACUUGCUAGCGAAGAACACAUUUGUGUUUCUUUUUCUUCAAGAAGAAACACUUCAAAGUGACUUUCUAGAAAAAGUACUUUGUAUAUGUAAUAAGGAUGACAUAUAAAGAGGAGAGGAAACAAUCCACCACUUAUUUAAGGAUGACAUAUAAACACAAAUCAACAAAAGCAUGCAAGAGAUAUAACCAUUGGCAUACAAUUUGUGACAAGCCCUUGUUCUUCACUUAUUGCCCAUAUUUGUGAAUGAAGAAAAUAUCACUGUGAAAAUAAGAAAAAUCCAAAAUAUUCAAAUGAUAACACAAAUAACUAUUUAAGUUGUAAGAUUGUGAAUCUAUGCACCACAUAUUUUGCUGCGACGAAAAGUUUAUGUGAUUCAAUACACCUUUCUUCCCCCAUAUUGAUCCCGAUCUCUUAUUGCGUAAGCCAAGAAAGCCACAAAUGGGUUUUUCAAACCAGGCAUGAAUUUUCUGAACCAUGGUUAUGAGAGAUUGAUACAUAGGAAAUUGAAGCAGGGCAAAAAAAGGGACUGGAAAAAAGGCAAUAGGGUAAAGUAAAGACUCGGUCCAUUUCUUCUUGACCCGAAUCAAGAGCAAAAUGGUGGCAGCAAAGGCGAGCAUGGUGGUUGCCAUGGAGAAGAAGAGCAAGAUGAAUCCUGUCAUGAUCUUGGUAGGAAUGCUGCUAACGAAAUGUGGGUACUCGAGAGGGGAGGAGAGGACAGAGAGAAAGAAUGCCACUGAAGAUAGUGAGCAUGUAAUGGACACAACGUCCAUGCAGGUGAAGAGCAAAAAGAGAGGAUUAUCCUGGAAAAUAGGACGGCCACUUUCGUCGUUAAAACCCCCAGGAAUGGCAUAGGCGGCUGCAAAGACCACAGUGGCCACUAGCACCGCCACGGUUGAGCAUGAUUGAGCCGUUUCUUUUACCCAUUUUUGUGCGGACUUCAAAAGCUUUUCAUGCUCAACGUUGAAAAACUCCUCCGCUGUCUGGUUGUUGUUGUUGUGGUGCAUGAUGUAAUGAGGCGGUACUAUCUCUUUUAUACGCUGACACAAACACCCGUACACAAUUAUCAUGUCAACGUAUAGAUUUUGUAAUAGAAGUAUUUGUCUGACAACAUAAGUAUUUUAUAAGGCCGAUAGACUAAACCAGUAAUACAAAUAUUUUUGUAACGACAUAAGUUUAGCAAAAGAACAUUACCAGCAUCCAGCGCAGCUCUUCUUGCAAUUGCAUGGCAGGGCCUAUUAAUUUCUGAGACACUGCUAUAGAGUAGUAAGUUCUAUCUGCAGCCUGGUGCAAUAUGGUGUUUCCAUUGAGAUCUAUCCUCUCAUUCAGCUUCGACAUCAGAGUUGGUUUGCUUUUGAUAAGAUCAAGGAUCUUUUCCUUACGGUUCUUAAUGGCCAGAUGCAAAAUGUUGCGUUCGUAAAGGUUAACAUGCUCGACUGCUUGAGGACGCUGCUCAAGUAUCUCUCGCACAAUGGGUACAAUUCCUUUGAUAGUUGCUAUAAGCAAUGGGGAAGAGUUGUAAACUUCAUUCCUCGCCUCCUUUCUCGAUUCGAUUUCUUCUGCGGCUGGUUUUCCUUUUUUGCCUCCAUCAUCACCAUCUUUAUUAGGUUCAGGUUUUUCCCCUGAUCCCAGAUUAAUGGUCCUGAUCUCUACUUCCCAUUCCUUGUCAGUAGUCAACCAAGAAUAGUCCUCCCUCUUGACGAGCAAUCGGAUGAGUUCAUUUAGUGAUUUUUUAUUUUUCUUGGUCUUCCAUAUCCUAUAGAUUAUCCUGUCCUGCGUGCCUACUGUUCUUAACGUGUCAUAUAUAAGGAGAUGUUAAUGAUAUUCUAAAUAAAAUUAUCAUGCACUCUUCAGCUUCUCUUGUAAAAUGAUCAUAAGGAAUAAGUAAAUAAUGUUUCUUUUUAAGAGUUCCAGUAAUAAGAGAUUCGCCUUGAUGAAAAUAAACAUACCUUUAGCAAGGGAGUCCCAUAGUGAAUAGUAAGCCUUCAUGACAACUGCCAAAAUUUAAUGCAUGCAACUUCGUUAGGAACAUUGAAAAAAAAUCCAAUUGAAGAAACGCUUUAUCUAGGUAGCCGUUUAAUUAUUAAUCUAUUAAUUAGAUUACAAAUUUGAUUACCUGCAAGAUUGUUCCGAAAGAUGGAUUGACGGGGAUGGUUACUAUCCAUGCUGCUCUCCACAUCAUCCUUCUGAUUUGGUGCGACCACAUCUCCUCCAACAGGGAGGCCUGCAUAUAUAACAACAUUAAGUAUGAGAUUACUGCUUCAUUAAAAAAGAAAACAUGAUUGCACCUGUGUAUAUAUAGCAUGCGUACGUGAGCACACAUAUGGCAGUUUGCAGAGUAAUGGUACGUACAUUUAUAAAUUAGCAUCUUCCAUUUGCUUUGUUCAAACUGGUGCUCAAAGGCAGUUGGCAUUUGGGCUAGCAACUGAAGGCUUGUCAAUCCUUUAUCUUCCUUUAGUAGCGCUAAAUAUGGGUAUUUCUCCAGUAACCAAAGAGCAGUCUCUGCAUUGUGGAAGACCAAAGAGAAAAAGUUAUUAAUCUUCAUUGCAAAUAAUUGUGUUCAUUUUCUCAGAGAGAUAGAGAGAGAGAGGGGGGGGAGAGAGAGAGAGAGAGAAAGAGAGAGACCGAAAUGUUCCACAAUGACUGUGAUAUGAAGAAGGGACAUUUUGUCAUCUCUGUGGAAGUGCCUCCAAAGAUUUUCCUCCGGCAGUUUGCCGGCAUAAAACUUGACCAAGUCAGUGUGACCGAGAGCAGCCGCCCUGAAGAGCGGAGUUUCUCCUAAAUAGUUCCGAGUCUCCAGCAGCUGCAGCGCAUAGUUCUCUGAAUCUCGAGCCUUCCACCGCUUGUCUUUAUCAGUACUACUAGUACUGAUCUUGACCUCUUCCGGAAGUGGCUCGUUGAAGUUAUUCACCAAGUACUGCCGCUUCCUUAUUGCCGGACACACUCACCUCAUGGAGAGUAUUGUUUCCGUACUUAUUCGGAACCCUCAGAGCUUUUAUCUUGUCAUUAGUUGAAUUGAGUUUACUGAUAACCAUUUGGAGAACUUCUCUAGCUUGUGGAUAUUUGCUGCUGAGAGAAGCCGCAAGGUGAAAUACAGUGUCCCCGUCCACUGUCAUUUUAUAGAGCAGUUUUUCCCGAUUCUUCUCCAAGUCUUCCUUCAGCCUUUCACAUUCCCCAUUCAUGGCAUAUUUAUAGGAAUCGUUCAACUCUUCCAUUUUCUUUAAUCUAUCCUCUCUCUCUUUCUGAUCCAACCGAGAGCUAUCCUCUCUCUCUUUCUGAUCCGGCAAAGAGCUAUCCACUCUCUCUUUCAUCAGAUCCGGCCGAACCGUUAGCGUUUUCCAGUACUCCAUUUGUAGUGUACUAAUAGCUUGGGGCAUGCGGUUGUUGCUUUGAUUUAUAUGUAAGAAUAAACUCUAACAGUUCAUCAAUCUAAAGAACAUGGAUACAAGCAUAACUAAGCCAACUAGACUACUGUAGUUCUGGGAAUCUUCAAGCUCAUCGUUGCCAUGUUCUAACUGAACAAAAGCAACUAUCUUCAAGCCCUUAAAUAGUACACUCCCACUUAUCUAGGCCAUACUUAACACAACCAAGUUAAGUACAAGUUAAUAGCAACUAUAUUAACUAAAAAUCAUUCCAAUACAAUGAAUGACUAAUCAGAAUCCAUAUGGAAACCAAAUUUGUUUCCUUUUGAAUGCUAACAUCAUAGGAUCCUUCUCAUUACUUAAACAAAUUAAGUAACACAAAUAAUUCAACCAAUUGCUUCAAUAAAACCAUAAACUGGUUUUUAAGCAUCCAAAUGAAUUAUUAUGGUCGGCCUAAAUACUCUUAGCCUUAUGCUUACAUUCGAACAUAUGAUUCUCCCACUUAAGCAUAAGUAGAAUGUACUGCACAACCGAUAAAGAAACCGGAGAUAUGAACCAAUUGGUUCCCGAUUCCUCCCCAAUUGCAUAAUCUCAGUUUAGUCAUAAAUACCUAAACCAUUAUGCAAACAGUCUAUGUAUCAAAAGAUAGUCACAAUCCAUUUGGAAAAACUUAUCUCACAUAAACCCAAAAUCACCAGUUUCAACAAUGAUCAAAAUCAGAAUAGCAAACACAAUAUUUUUGCAUUCAAUUUGAUCCUAACUAGUUCAAUAUCCAUCGAGCAAAAUCAACCAAAUUUGAUAAUGCCUAGAUAUAUAUCACAACAAUAUGUCUUGAUUAAAACGAGAUAAUCAAGACCACUAUUUCUUCCUCCCUAUUUGUGAUUUCAACCAAAACAUAAUAGCGGAAACAUGCAUCAUAAAUGAAAUCACAAAUAUACAUAUACAAUAAGCAUGCAUCUUAAACUCCAUGAUUUUCACAAUACAAUAAGCACAGGCUUCCUUAUGAAUUCAUAAGUUAAAUCAAUAUGCAUUCGGCAAUGUCAAUUUGUGUUGUACAAAAAAUAUAGACAACGUCUCACAUAAGCUAAUUUGUUUAUCAUCCUUGUAUAUGGAUGACACAAGCUAAUUCUCAAAAUUCAUAGCUUGACCUAUAUAAUCAUACAAGUAAAUUUUUAAGGCUAAGAUCAAUUAUCGCCACAAAAUGUAAUUUGAGUCAACUAAUGAAAAUAAGAUCAUUACAAAAUAAAACCCAAAUUCAAUGUACAUAUUCAAUUAGCAAGAAAUUCCCUACAUGAUACUCGAACCAAAAAUAAUGCAUUUAGUUUAUGUAUCAUAAAUAGGAACAAUGUCAUCCAAAUUCCAUUAGUUUAAUAUUUAGAACCACUUAGUCAUUAAGCAUAUAUACUUGCCAACAUUCAUUUAGACAAAACCAAUUUAUGGAGUACUCGUGCAGUCAAAAUGAUUCCAUCCCAAUUGAUAUUCAUCAUAUGUCCCCAACCAAACAAACAAAAGAGAACAAUAGGUGUUGUAUAUGAACAAGUUUUAUCCUCCACCAAGACUAAUUUAAUCAGAACCAUAGUCUCUUUAAUGAAAAAUAAAGAGUAUACAUAGACUAAAUGUUACACUAACUUGUUUAUGCAACAAAAAAUGAUUUCAGACAUCCCACAUAAAUCACAAGUUGGCAUCCAUAGGGAUUUCGAGUUUAAUCAUGCCCUCACAGUAUACAAUUAUACAGGCAUACUCGAAAUAGCAAAAGCCCUAAUUCAUCAUGCUCAAACUCAUCACACUAUAAUCAUGCAUAUAAGAGAACAAUUAAUCAUGCAUGAUACAAUGAACUAAGUUACCUGAAUGCAUCAUUGGAUCCAUAUUUGUCAACCCGAUUGCAAUUCCUCGGCUCCAAAUAAAUGAAACAAAUUAUCCAUCAAUGCUCGAGACCCAACCAUGUGGAUUGCCAUCACUCCAAAUUCCCAUGGACCUCGUACCAUUGUAGAUUGUCGAAGUGAAUUGCCAUUAUUAUAGACGCGCCAAUCCAAAAUCAUCGCCAAAGUUAUCAGCCAGAAUCUCGUUGGCACCAAUUCCUGGAAAAAGACAAUUCUCAUUCAGAUUUCAAUAAAACAAGAGAAAUAAUAGAACAAUGAAUGAGUUAACGUCAAUAUGAAGGGCCAUAAUGAUAAUAUAAUCUCAAUAUGCAGGUAACAUGAUCGUUGUUCAAUGGUUCCGCAGAAUUGAUUAAUGAAAUCAAAACUAUGAACCCUUUUAAAGAUCCCUGAUUUCCAUCUUUUUCACCACUAAAAUUUUAGCCCAUUGAAUCAAUUUAGUUAUAUACAUAUCCUUGAAUUUAAGGAUAUACAUAGAGUAAACAAUUGCAAUGAUAUCCACAAACAACAUUAAUUGUUCUAACUGCAAUACUAUUUGUGUCAUACUUAUGCAGAAUUGGUUAGCACCAAUUGUACAACAUAAAACAAUAAGACAAAACUUAUUUGGUUUUUUUUUUUUUUUUGGUCAAUUAAACAAAACUUAUUUGGUUGAUUUCUCAUUAGUUAUACCAGCGGAAGCAAUUUGUAACAAUCUAUGCAACCAUUCAACUCAAAACUGCAUCGGCAUCCAAGGUAAUCAGAAAAAUACAUAACAGUUUCAAGUUUUCCUUUUAGCAUGACAGUAUGCAAAACAAAUUUAAAAAUUGAAACCUCGGGUGCGAAUUAGAUCAUAAUUCAUACCUUUUGAUGAAUCGUAUGAAUCAUGGCAUCAAUAUUGACUCAAAAUUAAGAUUUGAAUGAGUGAUGAAAACCCAGACUUCGAAGAACACCAUCGAAAGCGUAAAACCCAGAUUUUGCAAUCAGUGAAUUUUUUUUUUUUUUUUUUAAGUAUUAUACAAAAAAAAAAAAAAAAACACGACACCGUUUCACUAUUCCUUUUCCAACGACUCUUUUAUAAACAAAACGACAUCGUUUUGAGUUCAUAUAUUUCUUAAGAGUCCUAAGGCUUAGUUCGAAAACCCAGACAGUGCAACUCGUUCCCAGAUUCAAUGGUUUUCAUGAAGAAUUGAACUUAAUGGUUAGAAUCCUAGGCUCUGAUACCACAUGUCGAAGAAUAAACUCUAACAGUUCAUCAAUCUAAAGAACAUGGAUACAACCAAUUAAAUCACAACUCCACUAAACCAAUAGAUGAACAAAAAACACGAGAAAAGCUCGAGAACUUACCUGCAGAAUUGGAACCAGAUGAAGAAGCCAUUGCGACUUCACAGCUUACUGCCUUCUCCUCUUUUACAAAUCUCAAUGGUUCUUCCAGACAAUAGGACUUGGAACUCUAUAUAACCGUAUAUUGCAAGAGCAGUGGCAUAAGCUUUUAUAGCACUCCUUUUGUCAUUCCCUAUUAGAAUAGACUUAGGAUUCAAACAUCACAAUUGAUACAACAUAUCAAUCCCAAACAUGUUCUAUUACCGAGUUCUAAUCCCACAAGGAUUAUUCAGAAUCUCACAAAACUUAUUCCACAAGGAAACCAAAUAAGUUAAGGCUUUUGACCAAGACUUUUCCAUAUCAAUCUUAAACACAAGAACUGAUUCCUUCCAUAACUCAUACUCAUAAACUUACAUUAUAGGCUAGCUGCUGCUGCUGUAUGCUUUACUUAAUUAAGUAACAAAGAAUAUUAAAUGAUAAAGCAUAAAGGAUCGGAAUUAAGGUUACUUGCUGUUUUUAAGCUGUACGUGCUUUAUCCGUACAAGCAUCUUACUUUGCUUAUUUUAUUAGGUUUCAAUUAUGGAUAACAUUAAGGAGAUCAAAUUUUGUAGCUUAAUUUUGUAAACUAAAUUGUAAUUGUUGAUAAUUUGAUUAUAGAUAACGUUAAGAAGAUCAAAUUUUUAAAGCAAAAUAGCAAAUUAAAUAAUGUAUCACAAAUAAAAAAUAAACACUUAAAUAAUAAUCCGAUCAUUAACAUCGACAUUAUUUGAUUACAAAAUUUAGCUUAUAAACUUGAUCUUUGGAGCAUUACAAAAUUUAGAUAAUGCUACUGCUGCUGCUAUACGCUUUAUUGAAUUACGUAACAAAGAAUGUUGAAUAAUAAAGCAUAAAAGCAUCGAAGAGUCAAGGUUACUAGCUUUGCGGCGUGUAAUGUCAAUGUGCUGGUUUUCUCUAAUAUAUCAAGGUUAUAGGCCCGGCUAGCUGCUGCUACUGCUGCUUCUACGUACUUAAUAUACCAAAAUGAUCCUAGAAAUUUGUGAAUAGUGUUCGUUUAUCGUAUAUUGUAUGGUUAAUUUUUAUCAGUUACCGUUUGUAUUUCAUUUUAAAUAAAAAUAUUUAAAAUAUUUUUUUAAUGCACAAUGUACGAUGAAUGGACACGAUUCACGAAUUCUCGGGAUUCUCAUAAAGAGGAUCCGGCGAGAAUCCGGACUUCUUAAUGUAUGCUUUGCUUUGCUUAAUUAAUUAACAAAGAAUGUUGGAAAUCAUAAAGCAUAAAACGAUCGAAUAUUUAAAGGUUAAUUGCCAUUUUCUAGCACCCUUUUUAAAUAUACAAGCAUGUACCUUUGCAAGCAUGCAACACAUGCCUCGAUUAAAUAUUUUAUUUUAUUUUAUUUGAGGAUGUAGUAGUAGUAUAAGGAUAAUACUAAUGAGACUAAAUGAAGACUAAAUUUAUAAAUUAAAUAAUGUGUCACCAAUAAGAAAUAAGCAUAUUAAUCAACACUUAAGUAAUAAUCGUACCAUCUUCUAUGUCAUUUAGUUUACAAAAUUUAGUAUACAAAUUUAAUCUUCCUAACAUUGCCCAAUAGUAUAAUAUAAAUAAGCGGAAACAACCGAUAGAAUAUAACAAGGGUGUGUGUUUAUCAUUUUCUUUGUAAAAAAUUACACCUCGAGUCCUUGAACGGGUACAUAUAACACAUGAUAAAAGUUGCUAUGGUGGGUUUUGUUGAACAAUACUCGGUUACUGAAAAUUCAGCAACUAUUUCUAUUUUUACCCAAUUAAAUUUGGAAACAUAUCCAAAUAAUUGAAAUUAUAAACACAAUUUAGACACGUGUCCAAAUUUGAUUGGGUAAAAGUAGGAAUGAUUGCUGAAAAUUCAGCAGCCAAGUGUUGUUGGGUUUUGUUCAGGGAGUCAAAAGGGGGCUGUCUUCCUUCAUUAGCACGAACACACUGUCUUUGUCUCCCCUCGUAAUCCGAAGCUCUCCGUCGAGGUACGUUGUUAGCAACCACGACUCGGCAUUGCUACAUAAGAUGGAGAACUUAAAAGGCGGUUUGCUGGAGAUGGUCUUUGCAACGGAUGAAGUAGUGUCUUGAACAGAGUUGAGCAAACCUUGAGAGUGCGAGUUCGAUUUUUUUCCGUAGAAACUCAACAUUUUUGGGUUAUCACUAGCGAGUUUGUUAGCUGCGGGGUGCCGAUUACACCUUCUUCGAUCCUAAUCUGAAUCAACAAAUUAAUCGAAACAUAACUCAUUUACAGCCGCAUCAAUAGUUUAACAAUUAGUUUCCAACGUCCCAAAGAACCCUAAAUUGAAUUAUCUUUAUUCUUUCAAAUUUAAUGAGCUAGCUAGCUUUCAAGAGGACAUAAACACUUAAGACACAAAAUUGUUUUGACCAUGCAACAACCAUUUCAUGUUAUUCAACUAAUAUGAUUUGAUCUGUAAAGAAAUUAAUUAAUGGAAUCAUAUACAUGCAUUGCAAAGCAAACAGUAAUAAAGCAAAAACCAAGAAUUUAGGACAAACUCUAAUUAUGUCUAUGUACUUUGGGCAAAGUUCUACCAUGGUUUUGUAGUUUACUAGUUAAAUAGCUUAGUUCGGUCAAUAAUAUAGUAUGUCUUAUUAAUAAAUUAUAUGUCGGUUAUAUCUGACAGAGGUUUUUUCGGUUUUAGUAUUUUCUGUCGGUUUUAUCUGACAUAAAUUCUCUUAUGUAUUUGUUUAUUAUAAAUAUAUAUCCUGUCAAUUAUAUCCGACACAAUUUCUGUUGGUUUUAGAAUAUUUUAUGUCGGAAAAUUCAUUUCUUGAUGCUGGCAAAUCUGUUGCUUAUUAUAUCCGCCACUGCAUCCAUUUUCUGUCAGAUUUUGCUUAAAAUCCAACAGUAAUAUACGUUUCUUGUCGAUUUUUUGACCGCCCGUUAUAGAUAAUUUUGUAGUAGUGGAAGGUCGCAUCAAUCCUCCAAGGACCACCACAACAACGAUCGCCGUCCCAAAACAAAAGAAGUCCGCAAGAAGAAAGAUCCCACGAGCAGCAACACCAACUAGGGUGAACAACAGGAAGGACCAACAAGGGCCAGCAAAGUUGGUGGUGUGAACACCUGAGCCAAAGCUCUACAGUUCCUCCCCUAAAUUCGCGACAAAUUGAGAAGACACAGAGGAAAGAUGAUGGAACCAACUGGUGAAGAUGCGAAGACGGAUGAAUUAAGAGAUGGAGGGAACAUGUGAUCUGGAUUUAAGGCUAAAGAUGGUGAAAUUAAAGGCAAGAAGAGCGGCAUAGUGAUUAUGGCAUGAAAUGAAGAUCUGGAUGGAAAUAGGAAGGGUAAGAUUGCAAACAACGGGAACAUAAACAAAAAAAAAGAAAACAGAGAAGAAACAUGAAGGUGCCACUAACCCUAGCCACAACUAGGGCCGGGGGUGUGAAUCAGCAACAGUUGAAGGCACUUACACGCAACAAUGAGAGACUCUCACAAAAUGAGAGAAGUUACAGAUUCGAUUCAAAAUUUGCAAAGGAUUUCGAAAAAAAAGUAUGCAAUGAAUUGAUAAACAUUGUCGAUUUCUAAUUAUCUCGCUAAAAUUUUGCAUUUCACCUUCUUUCAUAUCAAGUUUUUUAUUUUUCAGAUAUUUAAUUCAACAAAAAGAUAGACGAUUUCGUAAAUAUUUUAAUGGAAUGUGAUAUCCACACACCUUAUUUUACUUCUCACACACUCUUUUAAUUUUCAACCGUCGGAUCGGAUGAAUUGAAGAAGAUCAACGGACAGAACUUAACAAGAGGUGUGUAAAAAGUAAUUUAUGAUGUGUGGAUAACACACCCCUAUUUUAAACAAUGAUCUAGUGUCAACAUCAGUUGACUUGGUCGUUGUUUUGGGCAUGCAUUGCAUGUAUGUACCAAUAUCAUUCAUGAAUUAUUUUAAAAAAAAAUUCUUAGUCGCGCAUGUAUCAUAUAUAAUGAGGAUCCUCUCCAGAUCUUCUUUGUGAGGAUCGUGGGGAUCCUCCAAUCACGCAUGUUUAUUGUAUGAUGUGCAGUCAGUUUUCUCAGGUACUAUUUAUAUUCAAAUUUAAAUAAAAAAAAUAUAAUGAUUUAUAACCGCACAACGAUAUAUAAUGAACGGACGUGAUUUGAGAAUUCCUAGAAUUCUCAUAAAGAAGAUCCGAAUAGGAUUCUCAUUCAUAUAUAAAUAGAAAAAUAUGAAGGGCAUUGCACGUAUGUCAAAAGACCCAAUAUAUAAUUGGUAGAAAAUAAAUUUCGUACAAAAUUAUGUAUUGAAUAAUGAGGAUUUAUCCAAUCAUUGAUGACUAAUGCUAACAAGAAUACUACAAAUAUAUUGUUGCCAACGAAUAUUGCCCACUGGAAUUACAAACUAAAUCACUGGGAUUAACAAAAUUAAGAACACUAUCAAUGCCCAUAAUCCUUAUAAUUAAGAGAUGAUAACCGAUGGCAAGCGGGACCACUUAUGCAAUGUAACCAACGGAGUCCGAGCAAUACAGAGUUGCGUGAGCCUCGCUAUGUAGCGAAAUCACGUUAUUAAAUUAUUAAUCACACUAUUACAUUAGCCUUUGUUAUGAUUUUCUUUUAGGGAGCAUUUUUGCUCACUACCAUAAACUAUGGUGUAUGCUCACCAUACAUCUAAUCAAUUGACACGUGUCAUUUUACUUAUCUCUAGUUAACUUUCACAUUAAAUGUUAGUUUUUCAAUUUUGAAAAAAAUUAACCAAGAUUAAGUGAAAUGACACGUGUCAAUUAAUUAGGUGUAUGGUGAGCAUACACCAUAGUUUAUGAUGGUAAACAAAAAUGCUCCAUUUCUUCCAGCAAUGUGGCUAAUCAGCAUUAUUAUUUACUUAUUAAUCAGCUAUGAUAUGCUUUGCAAAGUUGUUCUCAAUUGCAAACGUGUCUUUUGAAGCCCAAUCAAUGCAACGAGCUUUGUUUGUAAAGGGACAGUCGUACAUGUCACUAUAGGUGAUUCCGACAUACAUGUUAGUAUGGGUUAUUAAUCACAUGAUUAUUGAUAUUGCUGAUAAGAUGUUGUGUUGUGGUAUAAUUAUGAUUUUUCUGGAAAUUAUACAGGUGUUAUAGUGAGGGGUUAUAAUGUUUUAUACGGUUUCUAUUAAAAUUUUAUUUCCAAUGCCACUCACCCUUGUUUUGUUUUCGCCCUCUAGGUUUUAUUAGCAGAGCUUUCUUAUCAUUGAAGAUUUGUGGCGAUUCUUAGUAUUGGAGAUUAUUUCGAGGUACGAUUCUUAAUUCACUCUACUGUACUUGCUUGUGCUCUAACGUCACGUGUGAAGUGGGUUCAUCCCCGCUUACCAGCGCAUUCUGGUAAUUAGGCACUCUUAGGGUUAAAUUUAUUCACAUUUUUUCACAUCAUCAUACUUUAUAGCUUCGUCACCCUCCAGAUGUCGGCCAUCACAACUCGAUUCGGAGUCCUAGAAGACAUCCCGGGUCGGGAUGUGUCAACACAUCACCCACCUUCCCUUUUCACUCACCACUCUUUGAAUUUAAAUAUUCUACCCUCGUUGUUAUUGGUUGUAGUUAGAUUUGUUUAAAUUCGGAACUCGUGUUUUAAAUCAGUUAAAACAAAUUAAUCUACAGAAAACUAAUGAAAAAUAUUUGAAAACUUUGAGUUUUAACGAUAAGGAUAAAAUAAAGGGUAAAGUGAAUAGUACCAUGAUUGAUUUUUUAGUGUAAAAUGUGAUUUUUCGUUAAAGUUCUCAUUAAUCUAAUGGUAAAUAAUGAGGGAUCAACAUCACCCUCAUUUUAUGGAGAAAUUUUUCGAUGUACCGGAACAUAAGCUGAUUUGGAGUUCCAAACCAAUAGGGCCUUGACACCUGCAUAUUUUACUUUAAAAACUUGAAAAGAUUGACACGUUUCCAUUUAUUUUAUAUUUUUAUUAACAAGCAGACUUUUUGUCAACUGAAUUCCAAAUUUACCCCUAUAUUAGUGUUCUCCACUACCCUUCCACGCCAAACAUCCACCACACCAGCAACCGUCCACCUUAAUCGCCGCCAUGUGACCCAGCCGGCGACACCCAAUCUCUUCUCUCUCUUCCUCUUUCUCAGUCUCUGCUUCCCUCUCCUUCUCGCUCACUCUUAUUCCAAAAUGGAACCUGAAGGGAUGUCGGUGUCACUUCAGAUCUAUUGUUGCCGACCUCCGAUUUAAGGGCUUAUUAGGUCGCCAGAAUCCCUUGGUGUCCUUGUCUGGCGUAAGAGAGGAAGGAGCAAGAAAAAGAUAAAAGAAUGAGAAAGAAAGAAAGAGAAGGGGCGAGAGAGACGUGAGGGAAAACAGGGAUGGAUGGGUUGGACAGUGCGGAUCUUCGUGAUGAGUCCCAUCGGUUAUUCAUAUUCAUAUUUUUUUAAUUAAUUUCAUUUUUUUUCUUUAUUUGAUUGAUGUAAGAAAAUGUUUUUUAAAGAAGAAAUCGAUGGUAUUGCAAAGAAAAGACUGACGUUUUCGUGAGAGGAACGGUGGCAAUGGCAGUCGAUGCGGAUGGGGAAGGGUGGUGGGUAAUUUGGGGAACUGGAACAGUUGGUUAUUUGUUUCUAAUUUUUACAAAAGAAUUAUUUUUUAAGUUGUUUAACUGCUAUUUUACAGCUGUCCAUAAAUGAUUAGUGGAGAACACCACCUGUCUUGCUUAAGCGUAUGUUGAGGUCACUUAGAAAAAUUUCGCUAUUUUAUAAGGUGAGCAAAAAUGCACUCAUUAUUACAAAUAUUUUCUCCUUUUCAACAGAGAAAAAUAUUGUGAAGUCGCCGCUAGAUGGAUGGUCAGACCAACUUCACAAAGGCAUUGACCACCACCGCCAAUGAGGCAGCCUAAGGCCAAGUACAAUCUCUUAAUUAUCAUGGAGGAGGAUGCUAGUGUUGGUGUAGAAGUGAAGCAGAUUAGUCCCACUAAUUUGAUUACGCUUAAAUAUAAUUUAUUUUUUAUUUCUUAAUUUUAUUACAAACGAUAUUAUUAUUUUAAUUUAUGCGAAGAUGAGAGGUUCGGAUUUAAACUUGGGUAGAAGAAAAAAAUUUUAUCCACCAAAAUAAUCCAUCACUUAAUUCAGGAUGACAUAUAAACACAAACCAUGAUUACAAAUCAAUAAAAGCAUGCAAGACACAUAAUCUUUAGCACACAAUUUGUGACAAGCCUUUAUUCUCACUUAUUGCCCAUACUUGUGAAUGGAGACACAAUAACAUUGUUAAAAUAGGGGAGAAAAUAAGAAAAAUCUGAAAUAUUCAAAUGAUAACCAUAAACGAAUAUUUAUGUUGCAAGAUGGUGUAUACGCACCCUAUAUUGUGAUGUGACGGAAAGUUUAUAAUGUGAUUCAAUAUGCCUUACUCUUGCCCCAAAUUGAUAUCUUCUUGCGAAGGCCAAGAACGGGAGUAAGGCAUCAAUUUUUUGAGACAAGCCUUGAAAAGAUUGAUACAUAGGAAAUUGAAGCAGGCCGAAUAGAAGGACUGGGAAAAAGGCAAUAGGGUAAAGUAUAGACAUGGUCCAUUUCUUCUUGACGCGAAUCAAGAGCAAAAUAGUGGCAGCAAAGGCAAGCAUGGUGGUUGCCAUGGAGAAGAAGAGCAAGACGAAUCCGAUCAUGACCUUGUGAGGAAUGCUUUUAACGAAAUAUGGGUACUCGAGAGGGGAAGAGAGGACCGAGAGAAAGAAUGCCACAGAAGAUAGUGAGCAGGCGAUGGCCACAACGUCCAUGCAGGUGAAGAGCAAAAAGAGAGGAUUGUCCUGGAAAACAGGACGGCCACUUUUGUCGUUAAACCCCCCAGGAAUGGCGUAGGCGGCUGCAAAGACCACAGUUGCCACUAGCACUGCCACAGUUGAGCAGGAUUGAGCCGUUUCUUUUACCCAUUCUUGUGCGGACUUCAGAAGCUCGUCAUGCCCAGCGUUGAACAACUCCUCCGCUGUCUGAUCGUUGUGGUUGUGGUCAGAGGCGGAGCCACAGUGGGGUCAAUGGGGUCGCACGACCCCUUGGAAGCCAUGGAAAUAACCUUAGAGGUCCCUUGGAGCUGCUGGUGCGACCCCUUAAAACUGCGGGUGCGACCUCUUGGAGCUGCUGCAUUUUUCUGGGUUUCUUCUGGUUUUCGUUCGGUUUGGCGGAAGAGGAAGACGAAGACGAAGACUCUCUCUCUUCCUUUCACACCACGUGACCACACACUCCUUAUUUAAUUUUUUUUCUUAGUUUCUCUCCAAUCAGAUUUGUACAGCUAGCAUCAAAUUGCUUGCUUUAUGUAAAAAGCCAUAGGCUGUCAGUUCACCAUUAAGUCUUGGUGCAGAUUGCAAAGUUCCAUGCGUCCACAUCCACAUAUUUGACAUAAAUUAAUGGUAAUGAUGUGUGUGCCCCCUUUCCACAUCCACAUAUUUAACAACUUUAUUUCUCUUUAUAUUCAACAUAAAUUAAUAUGAUCUCUAAAAAAUAUUAUUAUGAACCACCAUAUUGACAUCAGAAUUUUAUGUUUAUUAUGAACCAUCCAACCCAAUUUUAUGUUUAUUUUUGGUUGUCAGGGAAAGUAAAGGCACCUUUCAGUAUGGUAACUAUCGGCGAGAGGUUGAUCACGCUAUCCUACCAAGACCUGAUGAAAUGACGAUAUGCAUUCCGUUUUUGUUAAAAAAAAAUUUUGCGCUGCGCGCGCUAUCCUUGUUGACCCCCCAAACAUUAUUUCCUGAAUCCGCCACUGGUUGUGGUGCAUGAUGUAAUGAGGCGGUAGCAUCUCUUUUAUACGCUGACACAAACACACGUACUCAUUUAUCAUGUCAACGUAUAGAUCAUUUGUAAUAAAAGUAUUUGUCUAACAGCGUAAGUAUUUUAUAAGUUUGAUAGACUUAAUCAAUAAUACAAAUAUUUUUGUAACGACAUAAGUCUAGUAAAAGAAUAUUACCUGCACCCAGCGCAGCUCUUCUUGCAAUUGCAUGGCAGGGCCUACUAAUUUCUGAGACAAUGCUAUAGAGUAGUAAGUUCUAUCUGCAGCCUGGUGCAAUAUGGUGUUUCCAUUGUGGUCUAUCCUCUUAUUCAGCUUCGACAUCAGAGUUGGUUUGCUUUUGAUAAGAUCAAGAAUCUCUUUCUUACGGUUCUUAAUGGCCAGAUGCAAAAUGUUGCGUUCGUUUUCGUUAACAAGCUCGCCUGCCUGAGGACGCUGCUCAAGUAUCUCCUGGACAAUGGGUACAAUUCCUGUGAUAGUUGCUAUAAGCAAUGGGGUAGAGUUGUAAACUUCAUUCCUCGCUUCCUUUUUCGAUUUGGUUGCUUCCUUUUCUUUUUUACAUCUGUUGAUGCACAAAAUCAGCGAAGACUUUGGUACAACAGAAAGUGUCAGGUUUUGUGACCUUCGCUUGGUUGCUUGGUUGCUUCAGUCACUAGUGAGGAUAAGUACGUAAAUGAAUAGAGACAGAGAAGCAAACACAGGAUGUACGUGGUUCACCCAGAUUGGCUACGUCCACGGAGUAGAGGAGUUCUUAUUAGUAGUGAAGGGCUUACACAAGUACAAAGGAUCAAGCUCUCAAUUUAGUGAGUUCUUGUGAAUGAUUUAACACAAAAUGGCAUUAGGCAAUAUUGUGGGGGAAUGACCCCUAUUUAUAGAAAAACUUGUAGCUUUGUCACAUUGACAUGUGUCAUGUUAUGAUUGGUUCUUGAUGUCGACACGUGCUGCGCUCUGAUUGGCUUCUAAUCUUGACACGUGUCGAGUAGUGAUUGGCCUCCUGGUCGGAGGGGAACUCUUCUGGGUCCUUGACAGUAUAGCGUUGGCCGGUGCUCGGUAGUUUCGGGAUUGGUCAAGUAUGGUACAAACAGUGCUCCCCUAAGUUCCCGAGUGAGGGAAACUCCUUGGUUGGGGACUUGCAAGAUCCAAUCCCUUGAGUAAUCACGAAACUUCUAAGUACCGAAGUGUGGUCUGAUCUUCAUAUGCCCUUCUCUGGAAGUACCUUUCCUCCAUCUGGGAAUGGUGUACUUAGCUGAUGUUGACGCACAAGGUAAUGUAUCAAUUUCACUUGAAGCUUAGUUGUAGUUUCGGGCUUAGUCAAGUGUGAUACAAACCCUAUAGUAGGAGUCCCCCAAGUCGCCGAGCUAGGAGAUCUGCCGAAAAAGGUGACAGACAAGGUAAGCAGUCAAACUUCCAAGUAAGCAACCCAGGAUCAGAGGUUUGACUUCGGCUUCCGGUUGAUUGUUCUCCUUCUCCUUGUCUCUCAUUCAACUGCCAGGAUAAGGAGAAGCAAAUGGAUAAGAGAUGAUAUGAGAUACUUUUGCUUUUGAAGAAGUAACUUUCCACAGGCUUAUUCUUGAACUGUGCUGGAGGGUUUUCUGGUGCCCUUCAGAGUAUAAGGCCGACUCAAAAAUUUGAGGGUCAAAACAAGUCCAUCAAAUCUAGAGUACGUUCGACCUUGAUGAUAUGGGAUACUUUUGCUGUUGACGGAAUAAUGAAUGUGGUAUGGAAAGGUGUCGUGCUGUAGUGAUCUGUUUCAGCCCACCGUUGAACCUUCUGCUUCAAUCUUUUGCAUGGCAGAAGUGGUGUGCAACCUUUGCAUUUAAAUGGUCCUUCAGAACAUUCCUUCAUAGUGACUCAUCCACGCUUGGCAGCUUCAGUGUAAAGAGCCAAUAUCUGAUCAACUGUCAUGAGGCAUUUGCCGGUGGAAUUCGUGACCUUGACAGCAGUUGAGGAUGAGUACUCGAGAGCAAUGCUAAGUAAGCAACCAGGCAAAGGCUCCAGGCAGUCAGUUCCAAAUUGGAGGUUUGAUUUCAGGUUCCGACUGACUGUUCUCUUUCUCCUUGUCCUGCAGGUGUGGACAAGGACAAAGACAAAGACAUGGAGAAAGCAUGAUAUGGGAUACUCUUGCUUUCGACCCUGAUGAUAUGAGAUACUCUUGUUCUUGGUGUGGCUUAUUUGCUGAGGUAUUAUCGGGGGGAAAUAAAGCUGAGUAUUUCAAGAGGUUAUGUUGAGGGUGCCUUUUCGAAUGCGAGAAAGGGUUGAGCAUUUUUGCAGGUUUGCCUGUCCGUUGAGGAGGGAGGUCAAUGUAUAUAGGGAUUUCCCAAUAACAAGUAGUAAUGCUAUUCCUUUACCCUUCUUGGUCACAGCAAUGUAGUGGGAGCUGCCAGCUUCACGUGUUUUAAUUUUGUCAGAGCACUUUGAAAAAGUGGUAUGUGGUAUCUGGAAAGCUGAUGUUACGUGUGAAGAUUACAGACAAGCUUUAUCUAAGGAAAUCUGGCUCUCGAAGUUCUGAGAGUUGUGCCUCUUCGGUUUUUCGAACAAGCAAUCCCGUCGAGGAUCUGACUCUCGAGAUUCGGAAAGCGGUGCUACUCCGGUUUUUGAGAAAGUAAUUAUGUUGGGAGUCUUUUCUCGAAUGUGAGUAAAGGUUGGACGUUCUUGCCAACCUGUCUUGCCGCAAAACACGGAGGUCGACACACAUAGGGACUUUCCAGUUGUCAAGCAGUGGUGCUGUUCCUUUACCCUUAUGGGUAAUAGUAGGGUAGCUGGAACUUCGAAAUUCUCGUGCCUAAACUUUGUCAGAGAUCUUUGACAAAGUUAUAUGUGGUACCCGAGGAGUUGAUGGUGCAUAUGGAGAGCGGUGAUUGAACAGUAAGAUUCACGUGCUUUCUACUUCACCAGAAAUCUUCGACAGAUUGCCCGUAAUUUCCGCAAAGCUGAGUGUGCAUGUGACAGGUGCUGACGAGGCUGAAAAAGCAGGUGCUUCUUCGAUUUCUGAGAUCGGCCCUCGUGGUCUCUGAGCAGCCCAACUUUUGAGAAAGCAAACGCCUCUUCGAUUUCUGAGAUCGGCCCUCGUGGUCUCUGAGCAGCCCAGCUUUUGAGAAAGCAAACGCCUCUUCGAUUUCUGAGAUCGGCCCUCGUGGUCUCUGAGCAGCCCAGCUUUUGAGAAAGCAAACGCCUCUUCGAUUUCUGAAGCUCCGUCGAGUGCAGAUUUUUAUAGAGGCUGGCAUUAAGUUCCACAGCACACUUGAAUCUCUACCAGUAGAAGCUCAUUUCUUGCAUUUCUAAGAUCUUGAUUUGUCUGACCUCUUCCUUCUUCAACACAUUUGAAAAUGUCUGGACCCUCCGACCGUCGUUUUGACUUGAACCUUGGAGAAGAGACAGCCACGCCUUCUCCAGACAACAUAUGGCGCCCAUCCUUCAUAUCCCCUACUGGUCCUCUUACCGUUGGGGAUUCUGUGAUGAAGAAUGAUAUGACCGCUGCAGUGGUGGCCAGGAACCUUCUCACUCCCAAAGAUAAUAGACUACUUUCCAAACGGUCUGAUGAGUUGGCUGUUAAGGACUCUCUGGCUCUUAGUGUUCAGUGUGCAGGUUCUGUGUCUAAUAUGGCCCAACGCCUAUUUGCUAGAACCCGCCAAGUUGAAUCAUUGGCUGCUGAAGUGAUGAGUCUCAAACAGGAGAUUAGAGGGCUCAAGCAUGAGAAUAAGCAGUUGCACCGGCUCGCCCAUGACUAUGCUACAAACAUGAAGAGGAAGCUUGACCAGAUGAAGGAAUCUGAUGGUACGGUUUUACUUGAUCAUCAGCGGUUUGUGGGUUUGUUCCAAAGGCAUUUAUUGCCUUCGUCCUCUAGGGUUGUACCUGGUAAUGAAGCUUCAAAUGAUGAACCUCCAAUGCCUCCUCCUUCUGGGGUUUUGUCAAGUACUGAGGCUCCGGAUAACCACCCUCCGGUGCUUUCUCUUUCUGGGGCUCUACCGACUGCUGAGACUUCCCCUAAGCAACCUUUGUGAAUGCUCCCUUUUGUUUGUUUAUUUUGACUCAUGUAUAUGUACAUAUUUGUGGCUUAUCGAAAAUAUUAAUAAAUAAGCUUUGCUUCAUUUCAACAUAUUGUGUUAAAUACACCAAAGCCUUCUUCAUAAAGUUCUUUGAAUUUUUGCUUUUGUUGAAACCUGUAUUGUUGAAGCUUUGUGAGUGAAGCAUGUAGUUUGAGGUAGUGUUCCCUUAAUUUCCCGAGUGAGGAAAACUUCUCGGUUGGAGACUUGAAAAAUCCAAGUCACUGAGUGGUUGUGAGACUGCCGAGUAUCAAGGGUGCAGUAGCAUAUGGUGGGAGUCCCCCAAGUCUUCAGGCGAAGAGAGUUGCCGAAUGAGGUGUCUCGCGUGUUACUAAUUUGUCAAAGUAACGAAUCCUUGUUUCGAUGUCACACAUUCGUAUAUGCUUUAUCUAAAAAUAUUUCCAACUUUUGUGUGUUUGAUGCUGCAUGCUAUUGACUAGACAAGAUCAAGUGCAAUUAGUAGCUUUUCUCUCUUUUUCAUCUUUUCUUUGGUGGAAUUGCUUUUCGUUUCCACUAAUCAGCCUGAGUGGAUGCAAGAUAACACCUUUCUCUAUAGCUCAGAUUGCAAAGUCGUCUUCAUGAAAGUUUUUCCUUAUCUUGUGAACUACAACAUAUCCAAAUUUGAGAUCCAUCGGAGUAGUACAACUUCAGAAAUUCAAGUAUGAUGAGUAACUGUUCAUCAAUGUUCUGUUAAUCCGUCAGACUUGUUGUGAGCUUCGAAACUCCAUUUUCUCUUGUUCAGAUCAACAUACUUUCUUCAUCGAAGUUGUUCCUCAGCUUGUGAACUACAACAUAUCCAAAUUUGAGAUCCCUCGGAGCAGUAUAACUCCAGAAAUCCAGGUAUGAUGAAUGACUGGUUAUUAUUUUUCUGUCAACCCGUCAGAUUUGUUGUGAGCUUCGAAACUCCAUUUUCUCUUGUUCAGAUCGGUAUGCUUUCUUCAUUGAAGUUGUUCCUCAGCUCGUGAAAUACAACAUAUCCACAUUUGAGAUCCCGCGGAGCAGUAUAACUCCAGAAAUCCAGGUAUGAUGAAUGACUGGUUAUUAUUUUUCUGUCAACCCGUCAGAUUUGUUGUGAGCUUCGAAACUCCAUUUUCUAUUGUUCAGAUCGGCAUGCUUUCUUCAGUGAAGUUGUUCCUCAUCGACUCUUUCAUAACAUAUCAAAAAUUCAGGAUGAACUAACGGUUAAAUAUUUCCAGAUCUUCGAAACAUCACAACAGCUUCGAAAUCUGCAAGAAGCCGACUAUCAUGUUUGGAGCUUCAACACUUUAAUUUCCGUCGCUCAAACAGAAACGAUUCCUUCUUGAAAGUUGUUCAUAUGCUCAAAAACUAUAUGGUGUCCAAAAUUCAGCUCCAUUGGAGAAGAGCAGAGGUUGCAGAAAUUUGAUAGAUGAAAGGAGGCGGAAGAGGGAGAGAAAGAAAAAGUCUCUUGGGUUGGAUUUCUAUUUUGGGGCAGAUUCCAAUUUUUGUAGCACCUUCAUUAUUGAUGAAUUGCUUGUACUUUUGUCCAUUAUGAAACUUGGGACUUUGGCUUGUUGUUGGAUCUAUUAUAAUAUGUUUGGGAACAUAUAUAAGUGAAUAAAUAAGAAGGAAAAUUUUGGGCCCUUGUGGGUGUAAAACAAAAAAUGUUUAUGUUUACCCAAGUGUUUUUUGUACAAGUUCAAGGGCAUCUUGGGUUUUGUGAACAAAAUUUGUUUAUUUGGAGCAAGGUUUUGUGUUGAAGCUUUGUAGGUGAAACUUUGGUGUUGAAGCUUUCUAGGUGAAGCUUUGAUGGUGAAGCUUUGUAGAUGAAGCUUUCUGGGUGAAGCUUUGAUGGUGAAGCUUUGUAGAUGAAGCUUUGUAGAUGAAGCUUUCUAGGUGAAGCUUUGAUGGUGAAGCUUUGUAGAUGAAGCUUUGUAGAUGAAGCUUUCGAGGUGAAGCUUUGAUGGUGAAGCUUUGUAGAUGAAAGUAUGUAAAGGGAGCUUUCUAGGUGAAGAUUUUUUAGGUGAAGCUUUGUAGGUGAAGCUUUUUUAAGUGAAGCUUUUCGGGUGAAGUUUUUUUUUUUGGGUGAAGCUUUGUGGGUGAAGCUUUUUAGGUGAAGCUUUGUGGGUGAAGCUUUGGAGGUGAAGCUUUUCGGGUGAAGCUUUGGAGGUGAAGCUUUUCGGGUGAAGCUUUUUGGGUGAAGCUUUUUAGGUGAAGCUUUGUGGGUGAAGCUUUGGAGGUGAAGCUUUUCGGGUGAAGCUUGUUGGAUGAAGCUGUUUUUUUUUUUUUUUUUUUUUUUUUUUUUUUGGGCGCUUGACACGGUCUUCAUUUGCUUGUUUUGUAGUGACUGUGGAAGACGGAUUGCUUUCUGAUUGAGAAGGGUUCUGGCAUCGCUUGCUAUGAAUGUAAAAGAGUGAGAGCUGAGUUGGCUAAAUUACCUCUUUAUUGAAUUCAUUGCCAAAUGGCCUUCAUUACAUAGGAUGCCGAACGGCUAUAGCUCAACACUUGUACAUCGUGAGUCUAUUUGUAGUAGUACUUCAAGUGAUCAGCGUUCCAUGGAUGGCCAAGGGUCUUGCCAUCAGAGCUUCUAAGUGUGUAAGAGCCAGGGCGACUGAUGCCAAUGACUUCAUACGGUCCAUCCCAGUUUGGACUAAGUGUGCCUUCACUCGGGACUCUGUCGCAGAGUAAUCUUUUCUUUAAGACCCAGUCUCCUAUUUUGAAAGAACGAGGCUUGACCCUAGAGUCAUAAUAGUUGGAGAUGCGCUGCUUGUAGGCGACAUUCCUCAAGUGAGCUUGGUUUCUGUGUUCCUCGACUAAAUCCAAGUUGAGGGUGAGUUGUUUGUCAUUUUCACUUUGAAUGUAGUUCUGGACUCGGAAUGUUGCUUGCUCGAGCUCAACAGGGACAACCGCCUCUGUGCCAAAGGCAAGUGAGAAUGGAGUUUCUCCUGUUGAAGUCCGAUAUGAAGUGCGAUAUGACCAAAGAACUUGGGGUACAAAUUCUGGCCAACAGCCUUUAGCUUUGUCCAGGCUGGUUUUCAAAGUGCGCUUGAUUAUUUUGUUGAUGGCCUCAACUUGUCCAUUAGACUGGGGAUGAGCUGGAGAGGCAAAGCAUAAGUUGAUGUUGAACUUAGAGCAGAACAACCUGAACUUCUUGUUGUCAAACUGUUGCCCAUUAUCAGUGACUAUCGCAUUGGGAAUGCCGAAUCUACAAAGGAUGUUCUUCCACACGAAGUCUUCUAUCUUUGCCUCAGUAAUGGUUGCCAAGGGUUCUACUUCGGCCCACUUUGUGAAGUAGUCCACUGCAACGACUGCGUAACAGACUUUGCCCUUCCCUGCCGGCAUUGGGCCGAUCAAAUCAAGUCCCCACUGGGCGAAGGGCCAAGGGCUGAUCAUAGGAGUAAGAGGCUCUGGAGGGGAAUGAGGAAUAGUUGCAUAUCGUUGACAUUUGUCACAUGAGCGGGAUACUUUGAUGGCAUCCUGGUGGAGUGUUGGCCAGUAAUAUCCUUGGCGAAAAGUCUUGUGUGCUAGGGACCGAGAUCCAGCAUGAUCUCCACAGACUCCCUCAUGUAUUUCCCGAAGGACGAUUUCCGCCUCGGCAGGCGUAAGACACCUUAAGUAUGGCAGGCUAAAACCUCGCUAUUGUGGCGAUACCCUUGACGCGGGUUUGACCCACUGCAUUGACUGCCUGGGGGCGAGCGCUAUUGUGGCGAUACCCUUGGUUAUCGGGAUAGUGUCCCUUACUCUUUUUACUGAAAGGAGAGUGGUGAGGAUGGAAAUCCUUCCUCUUGCCUUGAAAUUGAUAUGUCUGUUGAUUCGGCGAAGCAUUAUGCAAGGCAUGGGGAGGUGCCACUGCUGUUUGGAAAGUCGAGGUCUUCUCAUUUAGGUGAGUCUGGUUUCCACCUCCCACUUGUUGAUAAAGGAUGGUUGUAGGGGGUUUCUCCUGAUAUGUCUUUGCCUCGGCGGAGGCAUGGUUAUAAGCCUGCGCCAUCACCUCAGAGUAAGUCUUCCAAGUAUUGGCAUUGAUCAUGUAUUUAAAGAAACAAUCACGUAGGCCUGCCGUGAAGGCUUUGAGGGCAGUCUUGUCGUCUGCCUCGGCACACCGGGAGUAUUCAUGGCUGAAGCGGCCAGCAUACAUACGUAAUGACUCGUCUGGCUUCUGGCGGAUAGUGUACAGGUCAUCUGCAGAGUGCAAGCGAUCGGUUUGGAAAAUGUGUUGGGAAACAAAUAGUUUCAUCAAUUCCUCAAAUGAGUCUACCGUCUCAGGUGUAAGACGACAAUACCAAUUUAGAGCUCCGUCAGAGAGGGUGGAGGGGAAGAGAAGACAUCGCUCUUCGUCGAUGUGCAUCCGGUAUGCCAUGGUGGACUCAAAGAGGUUAAGGUGCUCAAUCGGGUCCUCUUUUCCAGUAUAAAGUUGCAAGCCAAGCUUCUGCUUUGUCUUUGCUUGAAGGGGGGUGUUGAGGAUCCUCCUUGUAAGAGGGCCAGGCCUGGGUUGGUUCCAGUCAGGUAUUUCAGCCUGACGUUCAGCCUUCAACUUGUUUACUUCCUCAAGAAGUUGUAGGACAAGGGGGUCCUGAGCGGAGUUAUGUGCCACUGGAGCUUUCUUUCGUAAAUCUCCAUCUCCUCUUGGAAUUAGGAAGGUUUGAUCAAGGGCAUGUGAUUUUUCCCUGGACUCGCUGUACUGGCUUCCAGGGUAUGUCUGUCGGAACACCUCUGAGUCCCCUGUACCCUCAUGUCUCUCUAGGACUUGUUGCCCCUUCCCCAAAUUGGUGGCCGGCUUGGGCCGUGGCAGGGGACCGAGUCUCUCAGAAAUCCUUGGGUCAUUAAUCUUUGAGCUUAUAUGGAUGGAAUUCUCUCGACGUUGCUUCAGGAAAUCCCGACAAUCGCGAAAGACGGCUUUCGAUCCUUCUGCCCCUUCAGCAAAGAGGUGUCUCCCUCCACUUCUCAUGGUUCGGGUCGAAGCAACUGGGUUAAGAGAAGCCUCAUGUUGAUUAUCAAGUCGAGGGGUAAUCUGUUCCCUAUCAGGGAUAUCUAUGUCGAAUGCAUGUGACCCUCCAUGUUGGAGGGCACCCAGUUGAUGGUUGACUUCCACGGGGGCAACAAGCUCGCGUGUCUGAGCUUGCCUAGCUUCGUGGAGUGUCUCGAAGAGCUUUCUCAUAUUGCUCCUGGAGGACCUCAUUCCUCAUUGCUAUCUUGUUGUUCUGAGCUUCCAACUCAUCGACUUUAGCUUGAAGAAGAACUCGUUUUCCUUCAUUCUUUCGUUGUUUCGCACUAUGUGCAAGGGGGGUGUCAUUCUGUGUGCUGUGGCUUCCUUCGCUUCCCAUGCUGGAGAGGGAUGCCUGAUCAAAAGAAAGUGUACGAAUGAUAGAAACCAGCUUGACACAGCUGAAGAGAGUAGGAAUAAGUGUCGUUUCCCACAGACGGCGCCAAAUGUUGAUGCACAAAAUCAGCGAAGACUUUGGUACAACAGAAAGUGUCAGGUUUUUGUGACCUUCGCUUGGUUGCUUGGUUGCUUCAGUCACUAGUGAGGAUAAGUACGUAAAUGAAUAGAGACAGAGAAGCAAACACAGGAUGUACGUGGUUCACCCAGAUUGGCUACGUCCACGGAGUAGAGGAGUUCUUAUUAGUAGUGAAGGGCUUACACAAGUACAAAGGAUCAAGCUCUCAAUUUAGUGAGUUCUUGUGAAUGAUUUAACACAAAAUGGCAUUAGGCAAUAUUGUGGGGGAAUGACCCCUAUUUAUAGAAAAACUUGUAGCUUUGUCACAUUGACAUGUGUCAUGUUAUGAUUGGUUCUUGAUGUCGACACGUGCUGCGCUCUGAUUGGCUUCUAAUCUUGACACGUGUCGAGUAGUGAUUGGCCUCCUGGUCGGAGGGGAACUCUUCUGGGUCCUUGACAGUAUAGCGUUGGCCGGUGCUCGGUAGUUUCGGGAUUGGUCAAGUAUGGUACAAACAACAUCCACAAUCACCAUUUGUCGUAUACGAUUCGGUAUUUUCCCUGACCCCAGAGAGAUGUUCAUCUGCGGCCGCCCUUCCUUUUUCGCCUCCGUCAUCACCAUUUUUCGUAUCUGAUUUGGUUGCUUCCUUUUCUUUAUUAGGUUCCCUUGACCCUAGAGAAAUGGUCCUGAUGUUUGGUUGCUUGUUAGUAAUCAACCAAGAACAGUCGUCCAACUUGAUGAGCAAUCGGAUGAGUUUCUUUAGUGAUUUUUUGUUUUUCUUGUCAUUCCAUAUCAUGUUGAUUAUCUUGCCCAGCGGGCCUCCUGUUCCUAUCCGCCACAUGAUCAAGGAUAUGUAUACAUUAACUAAUAAGUCAUAGGAAGAUAUUAUCGGCAUUUUAAAUAAGUUAUCAUGCACUCGUCAUCUUAUCUUGUAAAAUCAUAAGGAACGAGUAAAUAAUGUGUCUUUUUUAGAGUUCCAGUAACAAGAGUUCGCCUUGAUGAACAUGGUUUGAGGCAAAGGCAGGAAGUAAACAAACCUUUAGCAAGGGAGUCCCAUAAUGAAUAAUAAGCCUUCAUAACAACUGGCAAACAUUUUAUGCAUUCAACUUCAUUAGGAACAUUGAAAAAAAUCCAAUUGAAGAAACGAUUUAUCUAGGUAGCCAUUUAAUUAUUCGAUCAAUUAAUUAGAUUAGAAAUUUGAUUACCUGCGAGCUUGUUCCGAAAGAUGGAUUGACGGGGAUGGUUUCUAUCCAUGCUGCUCUCCACAUCAUCCUUCUGAUUUGGUGUGACCACAUCUCCUCCAUCAGGAAGGCCUGCAUAUAUAACGACAUUAAGUAUGAGAGUACUGCUUCAUAAAAAAAACAAUGCGUGCACCUGUGUAUAUAUAGCAUGCGUACGUGCGCACACAUAUAGCAGUUUGUAGAGUAAUGGCACGUACAAUAAUAAAUUAGCAUCUUCCAUUUGCUUUUUUCAAAAUCUGGCACAAAAGCAGUUGGCAUUUGGGCUAGCAACUGAAGGCUUGUCAAUCCGUUAUCUUCCGUUAGGUGCGCUAGAUAUCGGUAUUUCUCCAGUAACCAAAGAGCAGUCUCUGCAUUGUGGAAGACAAAAGUGCAAAAGCUAUUAAUCUGCAUUGCAAAUAAUUGUGUGUAUUUUCUCACAGAGAGAGAGAGAGAGAGAGAGAGAUAGAGAGAGAGAGAGAGAGACCGAAAUGUUGCGCAAUGACUGCGAUAUGAAGAAUGGACAUUUUGUCAUCUCUGUGGAAGUGCCUCCAAAUAUUCUCCUCUUGUAGUUUGCCAGCAUAAAACUUGACCAAGUCAGUGUGACCGAGAGCAGCCGCCCUGAAGAGCGGAGUCUCUCCUAAAUAGUUCCGAGUCUCCAGCAGCUGCAGCCCACCAUUCUCCGAAUCCCUUUUCUGCUCAUAAGCCUGUUUAUCAGUAGUACUAGUACUGAUGAUGACCUCUUCCUGAACAGGUUCAUUGAAGUUGCUCACCAAGUACUUUGCCGCUUCCUCAUUGCCGGACAUACUCACCUCAUGGAGAGUAUUGUCUCCGUAAUUAUUUGGAACCCUCAGAGCGCGUUUCUUGUCCUGGCUGGUUGAAAUUUUAUUGAUUAACAUUUCGAGGACUUCUGUGCCUUGUGAUUUGCUGCUGAGAGAACCCGCAAGGUGAAAUACAGUGUCCCCCUCCACUGUCAUUUUAUAGUGCAGUUUUUCCGGAUUAUUCUCGAAGUAUUCCUUCACGUCUUUCCAUUCCUCAUUCAUGGCAUAUUCAUAGGGACGUUUCAACUCUUCCAUUUUCCUUAAGCUAUCCUCUCUCUCUUUCUGAUCCGGCUGGGGCACGUUUUGAUCCGGCCGAACCUUUAGCGUUUUCCAGUGCCAGUGGUACUCCAUUUGUAGUGUACUAAUAGCUUGGCAGCAUGUAUGUGACGGCUGUUGCUUUGAUUUAUAGGCUAGCUGCUACUGCUGCAGCAAUAUGGUUUACUUAAUUAACAAAGGAUGUUAACUAAUAAAGCAUUAAGGGUCGAAGAGUUAAGGUUACUAGCUUUGCGGCGUGUUAUGUCAAUGUGGUGGUUUUUGCUUUGAUUUAUAGGCCCGGCUAGCUGCUGCUACUGCUGCUUCUAUGUACUUAAUAUACGCUUUGCUUCACUUAAUUAAUUAACAAAGAAUGUUGGAAAUCAUAAAGCCUAAAACGAUCGAAUAUUUAAAGGUUAAUUACGAUUUUCUAGCGCCCCUUUUAAAUAUGCUUUAUCCGUACAAGCAUCUACCUUUGCAAGCAUGCAACACAUGCCUCGGUUAAAAAAAAAAAAUAUAGGGUAAAAGACUGUUUACUACCCUCAUGUUUCGUGGUUUUCAACAUUUAGUACAUCAAGUUUUUUUCGUCUCAGAGUCAUACCUAAAGUGUUAAUUUUGGGACAGUCUCAUACAUCCGUUAGUCAAACUGUUAAGUCUACCGUUAACUGAUGAUGUGGCACAUAUGUGGACAAUGACUGGGCACCACGUGUCAUUAAAAAUAUUAAAAUAUUAAAAUAAAUAAUUAAAUAAAAGUAUUUAUUAAAAAAAAAAUUGUUCUUUCUCAAAACCCCGACUGUCCUCCCUUCUCCCUCCCUUCUCGGCCUCUACUGCAAAUCCAACCCUCUCUUUCCCUCAACCCCCGACCUCAACCCUCAACCCUCUCCCUCCCUUAAUCCCUAACCCUCUCCCUCCCUCAAACCCCGACCCACUCAAUUAAAAAAAAAAAAUGUUUCUGGGCACCCUACAUCCCUUCUCUUCCCUGAAUCCAUGGCGACGGCUGCACUGCGAGCUGAGGAAGUUCCAGACCCUCGCGGUUAGCGACGUCGAACCGAUUGCUCCGGUGCAGGUCAUGGUGAUGAAGACGAAGGACGAAACGACGUCGCACUUUGAAAUCGUACGCCGUCGCCUUCACAUCCAAAACCCAUUGCCUCCUCCUCCAAACCCUCACUCUUGGCGAUGAAGGAUGGGCAUCCUUCCUCGUACGGCUCCGUCUAUGUCCCUUCCCACCACCGCUUCCGCUCUGUCAUCAGCACCCCCACUUUCAAAUUGGAAAUAGAAAACCAAUUUCACACAAUUUUAUAACAUUUUCCCCCAAUUUUUACAGAUCUCAAAAAAACCCAAGAAACCCAGCUGCAACAGAUCUAAAAAACUAUCCAUAAAAACACACAAUUAACAAUAAUACAAACCAACACACAUUCAUUGAUUCAUGCAAUUCUACUCAAACAGACAAUACAGAAAACAAGAGAGAGUAGGUGGAGAGAGAGAGUUACAUAAAAUUAAACCCGAAUUUGAAGUCGUAAAUACGUAAGGCGAAAAGGGAUAUGCCCUUAGAGGGCAAAUUGCGGUCGAAGAGACCCAGAAAUCAAAAAAAGGGAGACGCAAAAGGGCUCCAUUCGAAUAGGGGGAGGGUAGGUGGAAUCGAAGAGGGAGAUGAAGGGGGAGGGUGGGUGUAGAGGAGAGAAGGGAUGAGGGUCUGGGGACUUGGGCCGAGCUUAAUCGAAUGGUGGUGGUUAUGGAAGAGAAGAAGAAGAAGAGGAGGAAUGAAAGUGUACCCGUGGAUGCAGAGGAGAGAAAUGAGGGGCUUGAGGUGUUUGUUUCUUGAGAAAAUGUGGAUCUGAUGGGAAAGUGAGAAGAGAGGAAGUUGAGAGUGGGGGAUUGAAUUGAACGAUUGGGUUUGGGGAUGAUUUGAUCGGAAUAUUUUGUUGUUUUGAUUUGCAGGGGUUCUGAGUUUUUUUUUUCCUUCUUGUUGUUGUUGUAUUUUUUUUAAUAAAUACUUUUAUUUAAUUAAUUAUUUUAAUAUUUUAAUGACACGUGGCGCCCAGUCAUUGUCCACAUAGGCGCCACGUCAUCAGUUAACAGCAGACUUAACAGUUUUACUAACGGAUGUAUGAGACUAUCCCAAAAUUAACACUUUAGGUAUGACUCUGGGACGAAAAAAAACUUGAUGUACUAAAGGUUGAAAACCAUGAAACAUGAGAAUAGUAAACAGUCUUUUGCCCAAAAAUAUAUAUAUAUAUACACACACAUAUAUUAAUUUGAGGGAUGUAGUAUAAUAUAUAAACUAAACGAAACAACCGACAGAACGUAACAAGAGUGUUUGUUUAUCAUUUUCUUUGUAGAAAAUUACAUCUCAUGUCCUUGAACAGGUACAUACAUAUACAUCUAACACAAGAUACAAGUUGCUCUGGUGAGCUUUGUUCAGGGAUUCAGGGGGGUUGCGCCUUCGGUGAGUAGCACAAAUAUGCUGCCGUUGUCUCUCCUCGUAAUCUGGAGCUCUCCGUCGAGGUACAUUGUUAACAACCACACAGGGCCGGUCCUAAGAAUUUAGGGGCCCUAGGCGAGUUUUCGAAAUGGAGUCCUAAAAUUCUCUGAUUUCCGGUUCUUUAUACAUUGAUAUGUAUAAAAAAGAAUUCCCUAAAUACAUAAAAAUUCUAUUUCCACAUCCAAUAUCAUUAAAAACUAGGGUAAAAGACUGUUUACUACCCUUAUGUUUCGUGGUUUUCAACAUUUAGUACAUCAAGUUUUUUUCGUUUCAGAGUCAUACCUAAAAUGUAAAUUUUGGGACAGUCUCGUACAUCCGUUAGUCAAACUGUUAAGUCUUCCGUUAACUGUGACGUGACGCCCAUGUGGACAAUAAUUGGGCGCCACGUGUCACCCACGUGGAAAUUAAAAAUAAAUUAUUUAUAAAAUAAAUAAAUAAAAUAUAAUAAAAUAAAAAAUUAUAUAUAUUUAUUUAUUUAUUUAUUAAAAAAAAAAACCUUCAUCUUCCCCAGAUUCAGAGGAAGAAGAAGAAGAAGAAGGAGAAGGAAGAAGAAGAAGGAAGAAGGAGAAGAAGGGGAAGGAGGAGAAGGAGAAGAAGGGUGCCAGCGUAUUUUUAGGGAUGGAGAUGCUUUGGCUUAUUACUGUUUAUUGGGGUUUAUUACUGUUCAUUUAAGUGGAUAAAUGCGCUGGGUGCUGGCACAAAGUCUUUAGGGGUGGAUUUGCUCUAAGAGGUGAUUGCAGUGUAAACAAAUACACACAGAUACAAGACACUAGUCAGGGAGCGUUAUCAAAUAUUUACAUAUAUGUUUUAGACUUGUAUGGUUAUAAAACACAUACAUAUAUUUUCUGUAUGCCUUACCUCCAAUUCUUCCUACAACAGGAUCCAGCGAAGAAUCCACACAGCAAGUCGCAUGCACAAAGCAGCUGGGAUGUCCGUUUCACUUUCCAAAGAUUUCACGCCAUCUCCUAUUUCUUCCGACUUCAUUUGAUGUAUCCCUAGCUGCUCUGAGUGCUAUCUGAAAGAGAAAUACAUAUGAACCAAGUCAUCAAGCAAUGUGACAAUAGUUGUAGCCUAGGUAGAAUUUAUUUAUUUUUCUUUCAUUUACCUCACCGAUGGCUUCACUACAACAAAUAUGAGCAUUGCACACAAUAAAUUAUAUGUGCCCUUUGAGGCCAAAGAGCACCAACAUAUGUGCCCAUAGACCAAUAGCAACAGUACAGCAACUAAGUUUCUAUAUGUGCCCUCUAUGGGCGUCACCAUUGCUAAAAGGGCACAAUAGACUGUUUGGUGCUCAGAGGCAGACACAAAUAAAGGCCUUUUUGUGUCUAUGUUCGGACAAACUUGUCAGAUGACCAUCCAUGUUUACACUAUUUUUGUUAUUGUGCCCAUUAGGUUCUAUUUAAAAAAAAAUAGAAAUGUAAAAUUUUGAAAUUUUUAUUUAUCGUACCCAGUGCACAAGGCUCCCGCUUUACGCAGGGUCUGGGAGAGGUGAAAUGUAAAAUUUAAAAUUUUCAUAAAAUCAAAGAUGACAGUCUUGCUGUAAAAAGCAAUUCAGUAGUAGAAAUGGAAUGUCUAAUGAAACUACAUAAAUAUUCCUCAUAAAGAACAUGUUUACAAGUGUUCAAGAUAAAACACCAACAAAAUAAUGAGAUUUUCCUAUCAAUGUAUCCAUGCAUUCCUACAUAUAGCCACGGUCCACCCAUAACUGGUUUUACCCUUUUUCCCAGCUCGGUGGAUUAUGUAAUCACCUUCCUGAAAUCCAAACCAAAGGAAAAAUGAAAAAGGGAAAGGAUCACAUAUUUCCAGUGAUGUUUAACUACCCAAACAUCCAAUCAACACUGAGAAUUCAUUAGCUUUACACAUAUCUGAUAACAAUAACAGUUUCAUUUUCUCCGACAAAAAGAGAGAACAUUUUUCUAUUGGUACAACUAAAUGUCCAAUGUACCAAAUGGGUUUAAAUUGCUAAUCCAUACACUAGAAUUCCAUAUGUCAUCAAUCACAUUUUAUUCCAACUAAUUUAAGGGAAUGAAAGCUAAUCACUUUGCAAAUUCCAUAUGAAACAUACCAAAUGGGUUUAAAUUGCUAAUCCAUACACUAAAUCCAAAUCCAAUCCAAAUUCAACUGUGGUCCUUUGAACCCAAAAUAACAACUAUGAGGUGUAAGGCCAAGGUUAAUAUGGAAUUUAUGCAUCCCCUAAAACCUACAAUCAAUUUUAAUAAAUAGCAAUGAAGUCAAAAGGUCGAUAAAACAUUUACCUCCAUAAAAGAAUUACGUUAGAAUCCAGAUCUUCCUCAAUUUCUCUAAUUUAUGCAUUAUUAAUAAUUGACGAGUGUUGCAGUGAACCAGCGUACAACUGAAUGUAUCGGCGACAAAGCUGACAAAGAUCUCAAAUGAGGUCCCAAGAGGAUCGGCAACUAAUUCAAGAAAUGUACUGUGAAGUCAGAACCAACAUGGGAAAUUCAUAGAAGUACAUCGAUUUGUAAAAUACAUCCAAAAGCAUGCAGUGAGAAGUUUCACCAAAUAUUUGAAAGUAAAUACAACCUUCAACUCAAUUCCAGUAUUUUUAUUUAUAAAAUUUAAAGGAAUAUUGUAAAAAUAAGAAGCUGACAAAAAAACCUUGAAUACCAGGCCGUAAACAGGCAUACAAGCAUAGACCAUAAAAGAGUCUAUAGAUACACUUUUAUCUAUCAAGUGUAGCGUAUAAUAUAUGUGUUACCACACUUUCUUCUGCUGCAGGGCUGCUUGAGCAGCACCACGCCACCACAAAUACAGACCCUCUGAUAGGGGCACCACAUGUCUCAGAUGGGAAACAUCAACAUAAGUCUUGUAUCUUGAAACAACUUCUAAUAGUUUUAUAUCCAAUCAUAAUAUUGGCCUGAAAAAACCUGUAGAAAUGAGUUGUAGCACUCCAGCUGCAUACCAAGAAAGCAGAAAAGGAACAAAUUUUAUGGGUUGUGGAAAAAAGAAAAUUAACACCUCAACUUUCCUCAGAAAGCUGAGAGAAGCAAUUUUACUCGAUACUUAUAUGGUAGAAGAAAACAUUUAGAGAGGGAGAAGAGAAGUAGAGAGGAAUAGGGGGAUACUAAAAUGUGAAAGAGAUCCUCCAGCGAAAUCUUAUUGCAUUUUCCUAACUCCUACCAUGAAUUAAGAUAUAAUAUGAAUAUUUGUUUCUCAAUGGCAGAACAGGAGAGAGGAUGAAUAAAAAUAAUACAGGGAAUAACAUUCACUCAGCACGAGGGAAGCCUUCUCAAACGGAACCUCUGGAUAAUUUCUUUCUUGAUUUCCAAUGCGGUGAUAUUUUAAAACUCCAUUUCGUCCAGAGCUAGAUACGAACAAACACGCACGUCCAUAAUUGUAAAAUCCUUAUUACAUUUAAAACUGAAAGAACAAACCAAAAACUCAAUGGCUCCCACUGGUUUCGUAGAUUCAAAUCAAUUUAAAACUCAAUUACAGUUAAGUUCUUCCUAAAAACUCAUAUAGCCCUAAAUUAAUGCAAACAUGCCAGUACUUCAGAUUAAACUUAAUUAGACAAUUAUUUUGAAAACUCAUCAAUCACAAAACUAAAAGUUUUUAUUUUGAAAAAUCACUUACACUGGAGGACAGCCCACGAUGAGAUGAUCAUUUUUACCUCUUUAGUCGAGGUCCAAUUCCGGAAGACUUGGCCAGAAAUUGGCCGGAAAAUCCGCGGUAAGGUCGUUUUCCACAAGGAUUAUUUAAAACAAUUUAUGAAAAACCAAAAUUUUAGUUAAUUAUUUGCAAACAAAGAUUGAAAAAGGUUGAUUUUGAAUUUAAAAAUAACAUAAACGAAUUUUAAUAAAAGUAAUUUAAGGAAAGCAACUAAUAACCAAUUAAAAAGGAAACAAAUCAAAGAGAAAAGAUUUUGAGAAACAAAUAUGGAAAAGCACUAGGGUUCCGCCGUCACCCUAACAAUCCUACAUAGUUCUUCUAAUUUCUUAUGAAUUACACAUGCAUAUUUUGAAGGUUAGGUUUUCCUAAAGUAUGCCCUACUUGGAACCCCCAACAUAUAACGUAUAUCUAACAUGCAACUCGUCCGUGGCGUCCAGAUCGAAUGUGAAAAUAAGACUCAUUAAGUUUUGUGAAAACCUUUUGAAAAACCAUAUAACUCCUAAGACGUGUUGUUUAUCCUAAGUAGUUACACAUGUUAACCACAAGAAGCCUUAGUCAAUUUUAGGGACAGCCCUCCGCCAAAAUUGCAUCAAAUUACUUUUCUAAAUAUCCUAAUGGUCGUUAAUCACUAAGAUAAAUAGAUAGGUUAAAUCACAGUGAUUAACAAUCAAAACUUGCAUGCAAAAAUUCAUAAGAAAAUUAAAAAGAGACUACAUAUUCUUGCUAAGGAUCAUGGCCUCACCCUAGCAAAAAGAAUUAGUUAAGCAUAUUCAUAAUUAAAAUCAACAUAAUUGUAUUAAACUAGAAAAAGAAUGAAAACACCUAAAAGUAUAAGUCUUGAAAUUUUUAAGCUUUAGCCAAAAUCUUCUUCUCAAAUCUUGCGUACCUAAAAGAGAAACACUAAGUCUGCCAAAAGGCUUAUUUAUAUUACUCUAAAUAAACUCCUCCUAGUAAAAGGACUUAAAAUAAGACUAGGAAACUAAAUAAAUUGAAAUAAAAUAGGAAACAUAAUCUUAAAUUAACUUGGUAAAUUCGCUUAGAAAUCUGCACAGCCACGUUUUGGACCCAGAUCAGCUCCAAAACUGGCCCAAAAUAGCUGGAUUUAAAGCUUGGACUAUUCUGAACACUUCUCCAGAAGGCCACAGACCCAUCUGAGGUCAUCUUGGGCUCCAAAAAUGCAAUUUAAGCCCGGAAAUGUCACUUUCCAGCAACGCGCACUGCUCCUUUAAUAAAUCGCCAGAAGAUAACCGCUUGGUAGAAAAAUCCAAAAUUUUGACAUGAAUAAGCCAAGAGACACACGAACGUCCUCCAAUUUGAAUCACUCCAAAUUCAUUUGUUUGAUCAUGUUUUGCUCCAGAGGAAGUCGAAUGUCCUAUAUUGAAAAUAUAAAGCAAAGUAUCAAAAUUCUACCAAAAUAAUUAUCAAAGUAUACUAAGAUUAGGGUAAAAUAUAUAAUAUAAUAUUGACUCUUCACAUACCAACUUCACAAAAGCACUUACCUCAACCACUCAUAGCCAAAAGCACUGACCUCAACCACUGGCUAUAAGGCAGCCCUGAGGCUAAGUAUAAUCACUUAAUUAUCAUGGAAGACGAUGCGAGUGUUUAGUGUAGAAGGGAAACAGAUUAGUCUAACCAACUUGAUUACACAUAAAUAUGCUUUAUUUUUUAUUUUUUUAUUUUAUUACAAACGAUAUCAUUACUUUAUUUUACACGAAGAGGAAAGGAAACAAUCCACCACUUAUUUAAGGAUGACACAUAAACACAAAUCAACAAAAGCAUGCAAGAGAUAUAACCAUUAGCAUACAGUUUGUGACAAGCCUUUGUUCUUCACUUAUUGCCCAUGUUUGUGAAUGAAGACACAAUAUCACUGUGAAAUAAGAAAAAUCCGAAAUAUUCAAAUGAUAACACAAAUAACUAUUUAAGUUGCAAGAUUGUGAAUCUAUGCACCACAUAUUUUGCUAUGACGAAUAGUAUAUGUGAUUCAAUACACCUUUUUCUUCCCCCAUAUUGAUCCGGAUCUUUUAUUGCGUAAGCCAAGAAAGUCAUAAAUGGGUUUGAAAAACCAGGCAUGAAUUUUCUGAACCAUGGUUAUGAAAGAUUGAUACAUAGGAAAUUGAAGCAGGGCACAAAGAGGGACUGGGAAAAAGGCAAUAGGGUAAAGUAGAGACUCAGUCCAUUUCUUCUUGACGCGAAUCAAGAGCAAAAUGGUGGCAACAAAGGCGAGCAUGGUGGUUCCCAUGGAGAAGAAGAGCAAGAUGAAUCCAGUCAUGAUCUUGUUAGUGUAAAACUUAAGAACGCUCAAGAGUUCACUUCAAUUGCAUACCUUUUCAAAGAGAGGCUACAUGUAUUUAUAUUUCACUUCAGAUUACAUCAGGGAAAGCAAUCCCUAUUUACAAGGCUAUUCAAAAAUUCAAAAAUUACAACAAACUGUACAAAGGAAAUAUAUCCCAGAAACAACAAACAUUUGAAAGAGUUGUAACCUAAGCUAACUCUUCAUGGAUAAGAGUUUAGAGUGAUCACAACUGCCUGAAGUCUCGGAAGCAAGAGUCUCACACUGACUUGGUCUAACAAUUAGGAAUGCUGCUAACGAAAUGUGGGUACUCGAGAGGGGAGGAGAGGACAGAGAGAAAGAAUGCCACUGAAGAUAAUGAGCAUGAAAUGGCCAUAACGUCCAUGCAAUGCAGGUGAAAAGCAAAAAGAGAGGAUUGUCCUGGAAAUUAGGACGGCCACUUAUAUAUAUUGGGUCUUUUGACAUAUGAGUUGACAUAUAAGCUGGGUCUUUUGAUAUAUAUAUAUAUAUAUAUAUAUAUAUAUAUAUACAGGGAGCUUAAGGGGAGGGAUCCCUAUUUUUUCAAAAAAAAUGGGGACACGCUCCCCACCGUUAGAUUGACUUUAAUGAAAUUGUGUGGAGCGUGUCCCCAUUUUUUUGAAAAAAUGGGGAUCCCUCCCCUUAAGCAAUAUAUAUAUAUAUAUUUAUCAACUUGGUCAACUCAUGUUUGCUUUGCGACUUAGAAUCGAGGCAUACAUGAGUUGACAUACGUGUUUUCAUAAAAUGUGGGAUUAAUACGUUGAUAACUGUUUUACUAUAUAUAUAUAUAAUUGCACAUACAACCCCUUCAGGACUUAUAUACAAUCCCGGGAUUGUAUGCCUCGAUUCUAAGUCCUGAAGGGGGCGCAAAGCAAACAUGAGUUGACCAAGUUGAUAUAUAUAUAUAUAUAUAUAUAUAUAUAUAUAUAUAUAUAUAUAUAUAUAUAGUAAAACAGUUAUCAACGUACUAACCUCACAUUUUAUGAAAACACAUAUAUAAUGAUAAACAUAGGUUUUCCGAAACCUAGCAUGUCGUGCAAUAUCUCAAAUCAUAACUUUUAUAUAUAAUAAUCACUAGUAAAUGUCCAAUAACCCUCAGGUCCCAUGCCGCUCCCCGUCUCUAAGCAGACAGUCAGAGGAAAAUACACUUCAGGCCUCAUGCCGGCUCCCCGUCCUUGUGCUAAAUAGCCAGAGGAAACACACUUUAGGCCCUAUGCCAACACCAAACAGUCGCCAGGGACGGACCGGAAUCUAUCUCUACGUUCCGUAGCGGAAAUGACCACUAGGUAAGUAUAAAGCCAUUUAAAAUAUAUAUAUUGAAAAGCAGCUUCAUAGUAUAAAGUCAUCCAUCAUCUAUACUAUAAAGAGGUGUUCGAAACAUGUUCUAAAUAUCAUAUUGUCAUCCAUCAGAUAUUCUAUAAGAACACGAGUUAUAGGAAAAAUAGUAGUAAUUCAAUCUAGCCUCAAUAAGCAUGUUAUCUCAAAGCGUUUCAUAGAACAUAAUCAUUAAAUCAUGUUUUUCCAUGUAUGCAUUUCUAUUAUUAAAACAUGUAUUUUAGAAGGUGUCCACUCACAGGACUUCACCACUGAAGAGCCACGCAGCUAGCGAAGACAGAAACGCCACUAUAAUUGCCCCUAAGCACAUAAAUGGUACAUUUAGUCAAACUCUACUCAAUCAAUUGAAUUUGGGAAAACGGACUUCAAAAAUGGGUCCAGAACGUCGAAAUUAGCUUAGGAGAUGACCCGAACGAAAACCUGAAAAGUCCACGAUCAAAGUCAACGUUGAUCAUUGACCGGUCAAAAUUAAGUUCAACGAUGACUGUUGACCGAGUCACUGGUCAGAUCGGGUCAAUGUCAACGGGUCACGGGUCACGGGUCACGGGUCCCGUUUAGGCUCUAAUGUUUAGGCUCUAAUGGGUUUAGGUUUAGGGCUUUAGGAUUAGAUGGGCUUUAGGGUUAGGGUUUUAGAUAAUUAGGUGGGCUGGGUUUAGGGGUGUUUAGGAUUGGGUAGGAAGUCUCUAGGCUCGGGCCCAGAUCCACACGGCCCGAGGGCCACAUUUGAAAGGGUUUUGGGUUUAACUUAAAGGGCUUAAAGCCCUAAUUCUGGCACGGCCCAAAGGGCCUUUAGUUUACUAACCUAAAUUAAAUAAAACAAUUUAAAUUAAAGGGUUGGGUUGGGUUUUCAAACGGGAUGGGCCUAAGGCUCGAGUUCUAAAACGGGCCAAAGGGCCUAGUUUGCUUGAUCUCGCCGGGGAAGGAGGUUGGAACCUCUUGACCUCCGGUCAACGAUAACUAACAACCUAGGGAUGCGAUCUAGGUAUGAAAAUAGAGUACAAGAUGAAAGGAAGAGGUUUAUACCCACAAUCCACCGUGAAGAGGAUUGGGGUGAUCGGAAAUUGGGCUUGCACACCCACGGCUCGCCUGGAAUUGGGUUUAACACAUCCAAAUCAAUUUCAAGUCCAACCUUCACCAAAACAGGUAUACAAACUCAGAAAUUCGUACUAACAUCCAACUUAAGAUAGGGUAAUACGAUUCCGAGGCUCACUUACUCGCAAAUGGUGGAGUUCACCGAAGUUUGCCAUUGCACCCUCUCGGUGCUUGCCGUGGCAGAAGGAAGAGAGAGAGACUUUGACGUGUUAAAGAUCCUGACAAGGGAGUCUCGAGGGUGAUGGGUUCAUCGAGGCUGCAAAGGGUGGGUGGUCUGUGUGCGUGCGUGUGUGUGUGUGUGUGUGUUUGACGAGAAAAGGAGAGAACAAAGAGAGACACCCGAGGGAAAAAAUGGAAAAGGAAAGAGAGAGUGAUGGAGGGAAAGAGUGAGACCGAGAGAGAGAGAUGAAAGGCUUGGACCCGGGGGACAACAAACAAAGGUGGGCCCCUUGGGACACCUAUUAAGACCCAAAAAUAAUUUUUAAAAUGAAAAAUAUCCCCAAACUUAGUGAAAAAUACAAAAAUACCCUUUUGUUCCGAUAAAAUUGGGAUGGGUUGUUACAAAUGCUAACAAGAAUACUACAAAUAUAUUGUUGCCAACGAAUAUUGACCACUGGAAUUACAAACUAAAUCACUAGGAUUAACAAAAUUAAGAACACUAUCAAUGCCCAUAAUCCUCAUAAUUAAGAGAUGAUAACUGAUGGUCGAGCGGGACCACUUAUGCAAUGUAACCAACGGAGUCCGAGCAAUACAGAGUUGCGUGAGCCCCGCUACGUUGCGAAAUCACGUUAUUAAAUUAUUAAUCACACUAUUACAUUAGCCUUUGUUAUGAUUUUCUUCCAGCAAUGGGGCUAAUCAGCAUUAUUAUUUACUUAUUAAUCAGCUAUGACAUGCUUUGCAAAGUUGUUCUCAAUUGCAAACAUGUCUUUUGAAGCGCAAUCAAUGCAACGAGCUUUAUUUGUAGAGGGACAAACUUUUAGUAGGCACGUCAUCAUUGCGCAUAUCUAAUAAUGAUUGAACUCACACCAACUCCGCGGAAAUCGCCUUCCAAUUUUAUAAGAGAUUUUAUUCAAGAAAAAUGUUAGGAGGUAUCUGAUUUUUUUAUGAAUUUUCUGUUAACUCACAAUUAAUAUUAAUUUUUUUACUAAUAUUAUAAAAUAUUGUUGGAUAAAAUGAAGUGGCAAGAGUCUAUUGAGAGUCUCGCUUUUUGAAAGAGUUCAAUUAGCAUUUCUAUUUAUAGAACUAUAUAUGGGUUGGGUUGACCUUUAAUUUCCCCCUUUGUGAUUAAAUUGCUAAGUAUACGUAUUUGAGCAUUAACAAGUUUAUGAUUAACUUGUAGCUCCAAAUGGUAUCGAACUUUACCAAGUGCUUUAAUUUACUUUGUUUUUGUUUCAAUUCAGAAGUAAAAAAUAACAUAUGGAAAAUGAAUUUACUUUGUUUUUGUUUCUUCCAUCCAUUGCUUUCUUGUUAUAAGCCACCAUUUUUGCUUUCUUUCUUUCUUUUAUUCUUUCAUUCUUCUUCUUCUGCUGCUUCUAUUUUGUCCCUUAAUCUUGCUUUUUUCAAACCCCAAAAUCUUUUUUUCAACGACAAAGCUGGCGCUCAGCUCGCAUUUUACAUAACCCAGUUUUCAGAAUCCCGCCGAAUCCAAUUUUGCAGUCCUGCUUUUCUCAAAAGUGCUUUUGUUCUGUUUCUUGAAGACGCUCACGGGUUCUUCAUGGACAGAGUCGGACUUGGACCCCUCCAUUUAAUCCCAAUCUGUACUUCUUUUUUCUCUCAGCAACAAUUCUUUCUCCGAAUAUUUGUCUUUCUUCUUUUGGGUUUUUGUGGCGGGUUUUGAAUCAUUUGUUGAAGUAUGAGUCAACUAAGUCUGAUAUUGCAGGAAGCGGUGCGGAGGGAGAGGGCGGCAAGGACGGUCCUCGAGGUUCUGAGAGAGCAAAUGGACGACGCGGAUGGAGCGAGGGGAGUUGUGGGCAGGCGGAGCUUGAAGCAACGGCUGAGACUGAGCGUGUUCGGCUGCUGUGGGGCCACCUGGGGAUUCGGACGGACGUCGGCGAUUGGCGCCAGAGAGGAUGAGGAAGAUCAAGAACCGCAAAAUCUUCCGCCACAAGAACGAGUGGUUAUAACUGUGGGCCAGGCUGGACCGGUUAAUAUUUGGGAUCCGGGUUGCGUGGCUCCGGUUUCGCACGGAUCGGGUAUGAAUUUGGCUGCCGCGCUGGCAGCCGAGCGACAGUUGCGGGCUCCGCAGGAUCCGGAGGGAGAGGGGUCUGUGGGUCCCACGGGUAAUGCAAUCGCGGGAACAACAGCGCCGGGAACGCCGAUGAGAGUGUCGCUGAUGAGGCUGAUUGAGGAGACGGAGAUGGACGGGCGCGACGAGUUUGGCGGUGGCGCGACGGCGUUGAGCGAAAAAACAGCGGAGGGAAAUAUAGGGAGCGAUUCGGUGUGCUGCGUGUGCAUGGGAAGGAAAAAAGGUGCGGCUUUCAUCCCGUGUGGGCACACAUUUUGUAGGGUGUGUUCCAGAGAGGUGUGGUUGAAUCGAGGCUCCUGUCCCCUCUGCAACCGUUCGAUCCUCGAGAUCCUCGAUAUAUUCUAGUGAUCGUCGGAUUUGAUUGGAUGAUCAAGAAAAAAACAAAAAAACCAGAAAAUAUUUGAUGUGAUUGUUUGAGGGAGGAUGCCUCGAGAUUCGUGACAGUGUUGAAACUUUGACGGUGGAAUUUUCAAUCACUAGAAAAAUUCAAUUUGUUCACAUGCAAUAUGAUGCAAUAUGGGGUUCUUGAAUUUCUGCAACUUGAAACGUACAAUGAAGCUGCCAUGAAUUUUGUUAUUUUUUGGGUAUAUUUUAAUGGGUAAUUUUUCCCAUUUUUUUCCAGUAAUGUUUCCUUAUGCAUGCCAUGCACUUGGUGCUUGGAGUUGAAGUUAUCUUACGUUGUCAAAAUAAUUAAGAACUAUUAUGAGUUUAAUUUUCUUAAAUAACAGUAAAUGUUAGCAUGUCGUUGUAUAACGAGUUUGAAUUUCGAUCAGUACACUUCUAUCAGUUAAAGUAGAAUAUUACUGGUACAUGUGAUAAUGCAUGAUUAUCUGAAAAUAUCGUCACAAUCAUACCAAAAUACCAUGUUAGCAUAGUCGUUAUAUAAUGAGUUUGAUUAUCUUCACAAUCGCACCAUAAUGCAUGUACAAGGAAGCUUUUGUUAAAACAAAAGAAAUUUUUAUCUUCUUUAUAUAUAUUUUAAAUUUUUUGGAAACGAUAUCUACACUAAGGGGAGGUAGAGGAGUGAGCUAAGCCUCAUAUUGGGCUAUCCAUAAUAAUGUGGUUCAAAUUCGCCUUUGCCAAGAAUCGAAUCUAAAAUCUUUCACCAAAGCCGAAAGAGAAAUUGUAAUACUAAGUGUUAUUAAAAAAGGGUGCAUUUUUGCUCACCCACACUAACUCUAGGGUAUGCUCACCACCCCUCUCAAUGUUUGCCAUGUGUAAUCCAUACUAACUCUAGUUAAGCCUUAUUUUUAUUUUAUUUUUACUUUAAUUAAUAGGUGAGAGAAUCCAACUUGUACUUAUUUACUUCCAUAUAUAUCCUUUCUUUUUAAAUAUUUUAUUAAAACUUUAAACUUCAUUUUUGAAUACAUACCGACUCAAUCUUCUCUCCUUUUUGAAUACAUACCAAUUCAACCUUGCAUGCAUAUCUGGAUUUUCCAUCUGCUAUGCUUUUCCAUCUGCUACGUAUUUGGUUUUUCCAUCUGCUACCUAUCUUCUGGGUUUUCCAUCUGCAAUUUUUUUUUCCUACUAGAAAAAGGUAUGCAAUUCCCAUUUAUUUGCUUUUUAGGACUAUUAUAGAUAAGGAUGGGCAUUGAACACCCAUUUCGUGUUGAGGAUGAGGCAGUGGUGGUGUAACCGAACGGGAUAGUACUGCCUAGAGUCUACAUCUUCAUCUUCAUCAUACAUACUUUAAAUUAUGUUCCAUCAUGGAUUAUAGGAUGUCAAUAUAUAAAUAUAUAUGCUUUUCUUAGGAUUAUUAUAGAGUGUCAAAAUAUAUGCUUUUUAUGAUUAUUAUAGGGUGUUAAUAUAUAUGCUUUUUAGGAUUAUUAUAGGAUGUUAAUUUAAUUGAAUAUUAAGUAAUUUGGUACUUAUACAGAUGGAACAUCAAGAUGAUGAGUUUCAUACUCCAUCUUCUCGUGAUGCCAAAGAAGCAGUUGAUUGUAUACACUUAGAUUCAGAUUCAGAUUCCGAAACCUUUGAAGUCUUGGAUCAAAAUGAAGAAAAAGGAGAAUUUACAAGCAAAGUUGGUGAUAUUUCUCUUGGGAUGACUUUUGAUAAUGAGGACGAUGCAUAUAAUUACUACAAUGCAUAUGCUAGAAGGGUUGGAUUUAGCGUGAGAAAGAAUAGAGAAAAUAAGGACAGGUCAGGUGUGCUAAAGAAAAAACAAUUUUGUUGUUCUUGUGAAGGUUUUUAUAAAAAAAAAAAAAAAGAACUCCAAAGAAGAAAAGAGAAGAAACAAGAUGUGGCUACAAGGCGAUGCUUGAAAUCAAACUUAAUUUAGAAAGGAAGUUUGUUGUGACAAAUUUUGUUGCUGAACAUAGUCAUGUUGUUGUUCCAGCAUCAAGUUCCCAUUUAUUAAGGUCACAACGAUUAAUAGAGUCUUCUUAAGAAAAAUUGAUAGAUCAAAUGCAUUCUGCAGAACUACAGUCAUCUCAAAUCUUCUCAUACUUUACCACAGAAGCAUGAGGGUCUCAAAAACUAAAUUUUAUUCAGUCUGAUUGUAACAAUUUGAUAAUGAGAAAGCGCAUCGGGAUUCUUAAAAAGGGCGACUCAGAAUGUUUGCUUGAAUAUUUUAAGAAAAAGCAAUCUGAAGACAAGUCAUUUUUCUAUUCUAUUCGAACAAAAGAGGAGAAUGAAAUAAGUGGUUGUUUUUUCUGUGAUGGAAAUUCGAGGCGCGAUUAUACUAUAUUUGGUGAUGUUGUGUGUUUUGAUACGACAUUUAAAACGAAUAGAUAUAAUAUGGUGUGUGCCCCAAUAGUUGGUAUCAAUAAUCAUGGUCAAACCAUACUUUUCGGGUGUGGUUUGGUAGAUGGAGAGAUAACAGAUGCAUGUGAGUGGCUUUUCAAGGCCUUUUUACAAGCCAUGGAUGAAAAAACACCAGGAACCAUAUUUACAUAUCAAGCCCAAUCAAUCACUGCUGCGAUUAGUGAAAUAUUUCCUAAUUGCCACCACCGACUUUGUUUGUGGCACAUAUAUCAGAAUGCUGCAAGGAACUUGAAUUGUUUUCAGUGAGUUUAAAUCAUUUACACAGGAUUUCAAAAGAUGCAUAUAUGAUCCGGAGACUAUUGAAGAAUUUGAAUCAAAUUGGGAUAAAUUACUUGAUGAUUAUGAAUUGAGAAGAAAUGAUUGGCUAGAAGGGAGAUAUCUAUUACGUGAGAAAUGGGCACAAGUUUAUGGUCGAGACCAUUUUUGUGCAGGUAUUACUCUUGAUCAAUUCCUAUUAUAUUAUUUAUAUAUAUUAUUCACAAGUUUCUUUUUUCACUAUACUGUGAUCAAUUUCCAUUUUUUUCUUAGGUAUGACAACAACACAAAGAAUUGAAAGCAUGAACAAGUUUUUGAAAAAUUAUUUUGCUCGAAACCUCCUUCUGCAAGAGUUCGUCAUCCCAUAUGGUAGAGCAAUAGCGGAUCGAAAAGAAAAGGAAAGGCAAGCAGAAAAUGCAACUAAACAGAAAUGGCGUAGUUUGUAUUCUGAUUGGAAUGUGGAGAUUGAAGCAUCAAAGCAGUAUACAAGUAAGAUUUUUUAUUAUUUCCAAGAGGAGGUUAAGAAAGUUUUAAAUUUGAGGCCACUGAAAUUAGAAAGUGAUGAUGGGCUAACACGUACAUACACAGUAAUGAACUCAAGAAAACGAGGAAUUAAUAGAACACUUAUAUAUGACCUUGCAAAUCAAAUAGUUUUGUGCAGUUGCAAAAAGUUUGAGUUUGAAGGGAUUCUUUGUGCACAUGCUCUAAAGUUAUACUAUGAUUUAGACUUAUCAAGUAUACCAUCCAAUUAUUAUUUGAAAGGAUGGAGCAAGGAUGCUAAAUGUGGUAUUGGAUUUGAUUCUUAUGGCGAACCGGCUGUGAGUAAUUUGGACUCAUCUUCUUUGGUUCAGUACAGUGAGCUAUCUAAUAUAGCACAAAGAAUCAUAGCAAAAGGUGCAAAAAAUAGUCAAAAUUGUAGUUUUUUGAAAUCUGAGUUGUUAAAGUUGGAGAAAAAAAUGGAAAAGCAUGCCAAUUUUGGAGAACAAGAUGAUGUAAAUUAUGUUAAGCAUAUGACUGAAGCUAAGAAAAAUCUUAAGAUCCAAGAUCCAAAAGUUCAGAAGUCCAUAGGUCGGGGCAAAGGUAGAAUGAAGAGUGCUUUGGAAUCUAAUCAACCUAAAAAGAAAGGUCCAUACAAGAGAAAAGGUUAGCACAUAUUUGGCUUGUUUUUAUUUACUAUUUGAUUCACAAUUUGCAAUUGUCAAUGUAAUUAUUAUUUUAAUUGUUUAAUAGCUUUUAAAGAAUCCAAUUCAAAUGCAUGCGAGAUGAACGGACCAUCAACAAGAUAUGCACAAACUCAGGUUUAAAGUUUAGCAAUUUUUUGUCAUGAAUGUUUUAUUUAUUUAUUUAUAUUUUUGUCCAUUACCAUUGUUUUAAUAUAUUUCUGAUGGAUCAAUUGGAAUUGGUAUCUAGGGUGAUAUUGGAAUGCCAAGUCAAAACCAAUUCAAUAUGGCACCCGUAAGUCAAGUCACAAAUUUUCCUUAUGGAUUUCCAAUUGUUCCUUGUGUUCAAGGGAUUCAAAAGCACCAACUUGGAUUUCAAGCUAUAAGUCCCAUGAUGUCCAAUUACUCAUUUAUGAAUCCUCGGGUUUGUAUCUUCACUGAGUGUACUAUAUAUAGUGUACUAUAUUUUUGUUCUCUAGUUUCAUAAGUAAUUUUUUCCUUUCUAUUAAUUUGCAGGAAAACAUUCAACCAAUACCUCUGGGAAGCACUCCUUAACUAAAAUUUUCAAAUCCAUCAACAUCAAACAUUCAACCGAUACCUCUGGGAACCACUCUUGAACUGAAAUUUUCAAAUCCAUCAACAUCUUAGAUCAAGUUGUAAUAGAAUUUAGAGAAAUUUUUUUGGAACGACAACCUUUGAAGUGGAGAAUAUUCAACCUACUAGUUUUGUAAAAAUUUAUUUGGAUGAGUUUCAUCUCAGACAAUUGUAUUUUGUUGGAUAUUGAUGAGUUUCAUCUCAAACAAUUGUAUUUUUUGGACUAGCUUUUUGUACAAUUUUAUUUUGAUGAAUUUCAUCUAAAACAAUUGUAUUUUUACGAUUUUGGAAAAUCCAGAUACGUAGCAGAUGGAAAAGCAUAGCAAAUGGAACAUCCAGAUACACAUGCAAGGUUGAAUUGGUAUGUAUUCAAAAAUGAGAGAAGAUGAGUCGGUUUGUAUUCAAAAGGAAGUUUAAAGUUUAAAUAAAAUACUUAAAAAGAAAGGAUAUAUAUGGAAGUAAAUAAGUAAAAGUUGGAUUCUCCCACCUAUUAAUUGAAGUAAAAAUAAAAUAAAAAUAAGGCUUAACUAGAGUUAGUAUGGAUUACACAUGGCAAGCAUUGAGAGGGGUGAUGAGCAUACCCUAGAGUUAGUGUGGGUGAGCAAAAAUGCACCCAUUAAAAAAAUAAGCUUGAAACGUUGGCAUUUGUUUCCUUGUGUGGUUUUGUGGAAUCUUGAAGAACAUUUGGGGUGGGUUUGGACCAACUACAACCACCAUCAACCUAUAUGUGGGCUCAAUGUGUUUUAUUUUUUCCAAACCCAUACAAAAAAGUCCAAUGCUGCUUUUCCUAUUAAGAAUGCGUACCAAACAACGCAAAUGAUGGUUUUCUUGCUCAACAUGAAGUUGAGUACUCCUUCGUAAAAAGUUAUAGAUUGAACCCAAAAUGAAGUUGGGCCUAGGUCCUUCGGUUUGAUCAUAUUCUAAACCACUGUUGGGGAUUCAAUGAAUUAACUCCGAUACACUUAAAAAAGUAAACAUUUAAGUUACACAUAAGAACAAUAGUCGUUACAUUGCGUUAGAGCAAACAAUCUAACACCUAUUAUUUCUAUGUGUAACUGAAAUAUGUACUUGUGAUGUGCGUUGUAGAAAAUCUUUAAAUUCAAUCUGUCAACAAGCCAUUAUUAAUAAGUUCAAUACGAUACUGUCUCGAAAUUAAACUACUACUCAUCGUCGAGGGAUUAUCUUUUGAUACCAUGUCAAGAUUCUGAGAAGUGAACCAACAUUGAACAACUAGUUUUCUCUAACAACUUUACUAUUUCCAACUCGAUCACAUGCUAGCGCGCAUAUACAACAGAUGUGCGGUUUUAUGUCAAAAUGUAUGAAAGUUAAUAAUGGUGGAACUUUUCAUUUACGAAUAGUAAUUUACUGGCCUAAACGACUUAUGAUUAACACAACACAAGUUGAAUCCAGCAAUUCGAAAGAGAUGCCCUUUUUUAUUUAUAUUUUUAUUGAAAAAAAAAACAUAUAUAUUUUUUUAUCAAAGUAAGAUGCCUUUUUAUGUGUGUCGUCGUUAUUAAUUUGUUCGUGCAUUCCUUGUUUACUAAAUUAUUCCGCACGCUUCAUUUGUGUGUGAGUCAAGAGAGGUCAGAGAGCUUAAUCAUACAGUGGCUCAAAAAGUGGUCACUAUUGCAGAAAAAGUAUAAGCAUGAGCAACCCACUUCAGCAAGAAUAUAAUUAAAGAACUCAUGAUAUAUCAAUCUGCAUGGCAUACAUGUAUCAAAAGAUUCACAUAUACAGUUUACAUAAAAAAUGGGCAUCAUAUUCAUGAACAGCAUAGACAUGUUAUAUGGAUUAUGGAGAAGGAAUUGUAUGAUCAUUGUUCUAAAAAUCUCUGUCUAGCGUCACUUAAGUUCGUUUAGACAUCUAGGAGUUAAGUCUUUGCCCGCCUAGUGUUUAGUGCCUAACGCUUUUUAGAACAUUAUGCAGGACACAAUUGUCUCGUGUCAAUAAUACAAAGACAUGCGUUAAUUUCUUUCUACGUGUCUUUGCAUUGAUGACACAUGAUGUUACUCUAGCGGUAUACGUUUUAUCAUACAAGUUGCUCUCGCUGAUAUGAGGUGCUGGUACGAAUAUGAUGAGCUGAGUUCUGUGAAAUGAAUGAACGUCUAUCUUUCGAUGUUGCGUGCAAGGUAUCCACAAUCUACAUGUCCUUUUUUAUGUGAAAGUGCAGCGUGACAAAGACAAAUCUCCGAGUUCGUGAAGUAUACAUUAUUCAAUCAAUGGCAUCAAAAUUCCACUUUUGAGAAAAGAAAAGAAAAACAUAAAGAGAAAGCUUCCUCUUCAAUUGGUUCCAAUUAAUAAUGUGGUGCUUUUUUUAAGCAGCGGGACAAAGAUAUUCCGCAUGCAAUAUAAAAUCCCAUUUCGAUCACUUUCUACUUUUGUUCGAUGUUGAUUCAUUCAAGAUGCUCUGGGUUUAUUCUUUUUCAGUUUUUGGCAUGAGGGAGGGAGAGAGAGGACUGGUAACUAGAAGAAGUUAAAAUCCAAAUGCAACCCUACAUUUCUAUUCGCACGCUUUCCCUAUGACUUUGUUUGCAACGAGAGCUUUUUAAUGUGCUCGAAAUACAGUGCAGUACACUAUAUAUUUUGAUAUACAUGUGUAAAGAUAUUUUUUUCUAGUAUUCAUGCACUUGUAUAAGAGGUCGCACUUGGUGCGAUGGCAAGUGUCUUCGCCCAUGAGCGGUAGGUCUCGGGUUCGAGACUUGGGAGCAGCCUCUCCAUAAAUGGGGGUAAGGCUAGCCGACAUUCACCUCUCCCAGACCCUGCGUAAAGCGGGAGCCUUGUGCACUGGGUACGACCUUUAUUCAUGCACUUGUAUAAUGACAUAACAUAUGUGUCUGUAUUCAAAAUCUCUUGUUUGUAAUCCUACAUUUCUCCUACACGUAUAUAUAUGUAAUCACAUGACAUAUCACCUAUACGUCUAUGUGAUCAUAUAACCCUAUAUGAUCAUACCCUAUAUUUUAAGUACUUAGUUUUAGAAACACUCUUUUUUCUAUUGCUUUUGUUUUAGUGUGAUGAUCUCAUUACUAUAAGAUGAUACUAAUUUACAUAUUAUAAUAUUGGACAAUAUAAUUAACCAUAGGGUAUUUUCAUAUUAUAAUAAUAGAGCCAAGCAUCUAUAUAUCUCUUAUUAUCACGUCAUUUAUCCAUGAAAAUGUUUCAAGUUAGAAUGAUGUUAGUGAUGUCAAAUUUUUAGACUAUUUUUUAUAAACUACAUGAUGUAGUGGUUGAUAAUUGAACUUUAUUUAUACCACUCACAUGUCACAAAAACUUGUAAAAUUAUUGAUUAAUGCAUUGUACACAUGGCAAAGCAAAGUGAUCACAAUCUUGAUGAUAUCAAAUUUUUGUUGUUAUAUAUUAAUCUAGUCGCCCAUAACAUUGCAUGGUGGAUCUACCCCAUCUAUGACUUAUCCAAAUUCUCAAUCACAUGACCGAAAGAGCAACCGGUCAAAUAUUUGCACGAUCAAGGAAGAAAGAAUCUCCUCAGGGAGGGUCCACUUAAUUAUAUAUAUUAUAUAUGUGAUCAACUGAUAUAUACUGCAUCACAUCAGAAAUCUUAAACUCGUUUGAAUGUGUUUUUAAAAUAAUUAAAAGUACAUUUAGAAAAAAGAUUUUUAAGUUCUAAAAACACUUAAAGUGCUUGCUAUAAGAAGCAUCAAUUAUGUGCUUUUUCCAUGAAGCACUUUAAGUGCUUUUUUAGGAUUUACUUGUAUUUUUACUAAAGAUUAGAUCUAAAAAUAUGUUCACAAAAAACACUUUUUAAUUAUUUUAAAAGCACAUCUAAAUCAACUAAAUAAACUCUUAAACUUGCAACCCUAAGCUUAGACCGUUUAUUGAUGGCAUUUGAUUUUCACACGUGGGGUUCAUAGAAAAAUAGUAAUAUAUCGGAUCCCGAAUAACAGGUUGCCAUGCAUGCGAACAUAAAUGUGAGAUGGACAACCAAUAGAGUUAAUCGAGAAUGCUGGGUAGGGAAGUAGGGAUUGAGAAGUCUAUGAUAUGACGAGUGUCUAUAACUUCUAUAUUUUUUAAAAUGAACUGUCAAUUUAGGCUCUUAAUUAUUACGUAAGUAAAAAUUAAAAUUUUAAAUUAAUUAUUUUUUUAAUUCAGAAAAUCAGUCAUUAAAUGAUAAAAAUUUUACAUCCUUAAUAUUAGAUCUGAAGCUACUAUAUUCAAUUUUCCGUUAAUUUAAGUAACGUUACUUACAUAUAAUACACAUUGGAGGGUAGAUUGUUAAUUUUUUUUGUAAAGAAAUAGUGUAUGGAGUUAACUUUGGAGGGUGAAUUAGACGUUAAAUUUGUAACCUAUAUGAAAUAUUAAGGGCUUAUAGACAAGAAAAUGAUUGUAUUACACUUUAAAGUGUGUUAAGUGACUUAAGUUGACGAAAAGUUGGAUAAAAUAAUUUUGAAUAUAACAGUAUGGAUGAAAUUAGCAAUUCUUAAUGAAUUUAGAGACUUAUUUUACCGAAAAAAUAAUUCAGGAACCUAAUUUUCAUUGAAAUAAUAGUUCAGGGACUAAAUCGGAGCACUUCACCCUAUUUUUUAUUAAGUGAUGUUGUGAGUAGUGUUUGAAAUUUUUUCGAAACAGUUGAUAUUAUUGGAGAAACUCUUAAAUUUUGGCUCAAAUCGAUAGAUUUUGUUGAUAUCUUGAACAUGUUGGUUAAAUAUCGAUAAGCUGCCAUAUGAUAUUCACUGUAGUUUCAUUUUAUAUUUCCACAAUUUUUAGCAAUUUUUUAUCAUUUCCGUCGAAAACAACCUAUAUCGAUAUUAAUAUUAAUAUAUUCAUCGAUAUCUCCAUAAAUUUAUAUAUCGAUAAUUAUAACACUGAUUGCGAGAAAGAUAAAGAGAUGUAACACUAGUUGCACUCAAUAUUCUGCACACGAGAAAGUUCAUCUGCAAUUUAUUAAGUAGGUUUUCUCCAUCCUCUUGUGGAAUGAUGAAUAUGCUUUUUGCCGAUUAAAAUCGUUUACAUGCAGUAGGGUAAGUAACGUUACUUAUUCACAAAUUUCAUUCAUAUUAUUCGAAUGCAAUUAAACAACUGAAUUGACUAAAAUAAUUACAUAAAUAAAUGUAAAUUGUUGUUUAUUAUAAGGCAACUAGCUAGUUGAGUGCCAAGAGGAAAAUCAUUCUCCAACUGAAAGGAAUUCAAUCCAUCUCAUCUCAUUGAUACGAUCCAAUUAUUCUAAUAAGCUGCUUAGAUUCUCAAAACCAUAAUGCUUAUUCUUUGACAGUCUAGCUCAUAUCUUAUAUUCUUAAUUCUCACCUUGUAGAUUGACAGAUCCUACGAACUCUCUUUAUAUAUCCAGUAUUAAUUUUUCAUUGGCAGUUUAGCUAAAAUAGUCUCUAAAAUUGACUUAACUUCUCACUUUGAUUCUUAAAAUUUGAAAUCGAUAAAACUAGUCUCUGAGUUUUUCCACCGUCAGUCAUCUUGGCCCUUCCGUGAAAAUCUCCGUUAUGCUAAUCUCAUGGACCAUUUUAGCUAAAAAACCUUUCUUGUUUCUUUUUGUACGUAUUAUAUAUAUAUAUAUAUAUAUAUAUAUAUAUAUAUAUAUGUGUGUGUGUGUGUGUAUGUGUGAUGUAUAGGAAUUUUUGUUAAUAACUUGUUUCUUACUUCUAAAUGAUUUCCUGUAAUGCACCAUUAAAUACAACUAAAUUGACACAUGAUGAAAGAUAAGUUGAGAUUAAUUGAAGUGCAACAUAAGAAAAAAAUGGUGUCGUAAACUAAUGAUGCGACAUUUUGCGAGUAAUUUAAAGGAGGUGGAUUGUCUGCCCUCCCAUUUCCAUACUCUUUCCAUCCCCUCCUAUUUUCUGUGAUCACGGUUAAGCCACGUCAACAUUUUAUAUUUCUAUUACUUUUUUGUUUUAUUAUUUUUAUAAAAAAAUCAAUAUAAAAUGUUGAUGUGGCUUAACCAUGACCACACAAACAAGAGAGGAUGAGAGAGUAUGGAAACGGGAGGGCAGACAAUCCACCUCCUAAUUUAAAACACUAGCAUUGUGUACUGAUUAGAGACGCCAGGGACGUCCCGAGGGUGUAGAUAUAUUAUUCAUGUAUUAUUGCUCAAGCAUAAAAAUAUAAUUAUGAAUUUGCUAAUGUUGUCUAUUAUUUUUAGUGGAGUGUGAAUGCUUGCAUGCAUGGAUGAUGACUUCAUCAAAAUGAACCAGCCAAGAAAUUGCAUUACUAAUUUGAAGAUUAUAAGACAAUAUAUAGGUAAAGCCAACAAAGAAAAAAAUACAUGGAAUUUGGAAUUUGAUCCAAAAACUAACAAAGUGAGCGUCACAUAGAUGGAUAUAUGAAGAGGGAUCAUGUUCCAGUUGUAUAUGCAUGUGCUUUGCUUUGCUCCCUUAAUGAAAAUGCAUGAAUCCUUGGCUCGAUCAAUAUGUAUGUAUGUAUGUAUGUAUGUAUGUAUGUAUGUAUGUAUGUAUGUAUGUAUAAGUUCUACACUUUUUUAGUUACGUGGUUUGUGCGUAAUUAAGUUCAAUUAGCAUAUAUUUGAACUGAACGACUAAAGAGAUAAAUCAAUAAGACCAAACUUUCUAUAUUUUGGGGUGCAUGCAGUCGUGCAGGUUUAGAACAAUUUUCUAAGAUGACUCGUAUACUUAAGGCCUAAUUAAUAUGUUAUCCUUUGAAAGUGUUUUGAGUUUCACAUUGCCCUUUAAAAGUUAUUUGAUUUAACAUGACUUUUAAAUCAUUUUUUAUGUCCUGUUUUACUUUUGCGUUUAAGUUUGUUAAGUUUUCCGUUCAAGAUAUUUACGUGGCUAGAGAUAAAGUGAAAUCUGAAAACACGAUUUAAAGUGAAAGUUAGGUCAAAAUGACAAGGGAGUGAGACUCGCAAACUUUCAGAAGGAAUAAAACAAUAAUUAAGCUUAUCAGUACUUAAUUUCCAAAUACCCAUAAAUAUAAUGUACAACCAAAAUUUAUUUAUUUAUUGGUUGCUUGCAUACAACACGAACCGUUGUAUUUGUAGGGCGUAUUCUGUCAAAGGUGGGAAGCAGACUAAAAGAAAAAAACAAGGGGCUUAGGGGCAUUUACUUAAAAACAAGGAUCACAAUCUAAUUAAACAAUUGGCGGGCGGAUCCGACUUGGGACAUGGUGGGUAAGCUGCCCCUUACCCCUAAUUGUAGAAAUUCUUUACAGAAAGUUUGGAAGUUUCCUUUUGAAAAUCUGAGAUGCUCUUGAAAGUUGCUCUCCAACUGUUCGACAAAUUGCCUCCAUGGGUACUGGACAAGGUAGCUGCUAGCUUUAUGUCUUUGUGCAUUGUUAUGAACAUUUUUCGAUAGGCUCACUUGGCAUAUAUUGACAUGUUGGCAUUCUUACUCAAAAGUUAUUGACAUCAGUCGACGUGCUUGCUCAAAAGUUGUUGGUAUAUGUCGAAACUGGUGUGUAAUAUGACUUAGCAAAUGAUCUCAGACAGUCAGACUUACUAAGGCUUGAUGAAACGCCAAUUUACAUGUUACUCAGUCCAAAAAAAAAAAUCUCAUUGCCCGAACUAUUCUUAGAGCAAGUCCACCUCUAAAGACUUUGCACCAGCACCCAGCGCAUUUAUCCACUCAAGUGAACAGUAAUAGACUCCAGAGAAUAGUAAUAGGCCAAAGAAUCUCCACCCUUAACAAAAAAUAGCCCAGUCAAUUUUAUUAAAAUAUUAUUAUUUUUAUUAUAAAAUAAUAAAAAUAAUAAUUUUAUUAAAAAAAAACGAAAAGUCAUGAACCUCCACAGUUCCACUAGAAUUCUCUAUACUCUCCCUCUACAUCCCCAAACGCCAAACGCCACUCCCGACGCCAACUCGCUUCAACCUCCCUCUGCAUCUCUCUCUCUCUCUGUUGGGUGGAGCUCUGCAAAAACCCACCACCCUGUGCAAUGAUAAUCCCACCGGAUUCCAACUUUCCUUCCGGUUCACAAUCCCCAAUCUUUAUUCCUCCACAAUAUUCCAACAAUUUUGCCUAUCAAAUUCCCUAUCAAUCCAACCCCACUAACCCAAUUUGAUCUUUUCCUCAACCGAUGGUUCCCUAGGCAGUAGCCGCCGUGGAUCCAGCCUGUCACCUGCCCGACACCGACCCUUAUGACAAUUUGGGCUGGUACCCAUGGACCCGUGUUGGAUUCCGAGGUCAGACGCCUUUUGGUGAAGGCCCCAGAAUCUCCCUCCACCCCAGAAUCAACCUCAGCCCUGAGGAGCUCUGCGACGUGUUGAUCGUGUGGGAGGUUGAUGGCCCGGCUGACCUCAGAUGGCCCGGCAUGUGGGUCUAUCGAUUUUAGGCCAGUCUCUUGCCUGGCUUGGGUUGGGUGCCGGUCAAAAUGCUCGGCUGGAGUGGAUAGCAUGAGUGCUGGGCUGGUUUUUUGGCUAGGUGAUGGCCUAUCAGUGUAAAAUUAACCAUAGGCUUUAUGUUAAUAUACUUAGCCAAGAACGCAAGAAUAUAUCAACUAAAUCACAACCAACACAUCAAAUAUGUUCUACAUAUGCAAAUAUUGAAGUGAUAUGUGCAACACAUACCUCCAGACUACUUCACGAAGUCUUUCCCAGUCUUUCCCAUGUGUGCUGUUAAAAGACAUCAGAUGGUGCUAGUCCAUUAAGCCAAAAGACAAGUGGAUUCCGAGGCGACUGUCAUCGUUCAAAAGCAAAUGACCAAUGUUGUGAUGAUUGGUGACGGUCCAACCAUGACCAAUAUCAGUGGAAGCAAGAGCCACGCGGAUGGUGUCAUAACCAUGAACACCGCAACCUUUGCUGCAGUUGAAAACUAUUUUGUUGCCAAAAGGAACUGGGUUCAAGAAUACAGCAGGACACGUAAAGCAUCAAGCCAUGGCACUGCGUGUACAAUCCGACUUCUCCAUCUUCUUUAACUGUCACAUGGACACAUACCAAGACACCUUAUACACACAACCUUCUUCUCUCUGCAAAACUCAAUGCUCUCCAAGUUAUAGGUAAUUGGAACAAUAAGAGCGCAUUUUUGUGAGAGCAGGGGCUUGUGGUUUUUAUACUACAAAAUAUGGAUUACCCUAUAAUAAUCCUACAAGGAAUACAAGACCAAAUCAUUGUACAAGUUAUAUUCUUAAGCUUAUCAACACAGAGUUUCAAUCCAAACCAAAGUCGAAUUAACUUUCAUAAACAUAUUAAGACUUCUCUAUAGCAAUAUGAGAUAACAAGGAUUAUUACCAAACUGUAUGAAUCACACUCAUACUCUAACAUUCUCCCACUUGAGUGUGAUUCAUAACAGUGAAUAAUCAUCUCAAAUUCAAUAUAAAGGUGAUCACAUAACUCAUUCAUCAACACACUGGUACAUAGACACAACUAGCUUACAUAAACCAAAAUAAUGAAUUUAUAAUUGCCUCUGCAACACAAAAUACAGAUUUAACUUACAAAUCACAAUGUCCAGUUCGUGUUCAUAGCAAUGUAUCUAAGCUCAAGGUAAACCAAGACAUCUACUCCCACUCAUAUAGCCCAAAAUUGAUAUAAAAAUACCAAACAUUCUUGAUAAUAGCCUGUCAACUAAAAAUUAUUCAUAAUUCUAUGAAUAGCACAGUUAUAUCAAUCAACAGCUUUAUCAUAUCACCAAAUCUUUUGGAUAACAAAAGCUUAACCUCACAUACAACUUACCUAUGCAUUUUAAAGUAUUGAACUUAAGAAUCUUUUCUGUUACAUUGCAGAAUUAACUCAAAAGUCACAACAUACUUAAUUUGCACUUCGUAAUUAUGUGAACCAAUAUAGCAAAACCAAACCAAUUUGCUCCCACUUAACUAGGCCAUACUUAACACAAUCAAGUUAAGUACAUGUUAAUAGCAACUAUAUUAACUAAAAAUCAUUCCAAUACAAUGAAUGACUAAUUAGAAUCCAUAUGGAAACCAAAUUCGUUUCCUUUUGAAUGCUAACAUAAUAGGAGUUAGGAUCUUUCUCAUUACUUAAACAAAUUAAGUAACACAAAUAAUUCAACCAAUUGCUUCAAUAAAACCAUAAACUGGUUUGUAAGCAUCCAUAUGAAUUAUAAUGGCUGGCCUAAAUACUCUUAGCCUUAUGCUUACAUUCGAACAUACGAUUCUCCCACUUAAGCAUAAGCAGAAUGUACUGCACAGCCAAUAAAGAAAUCGGAGAUAUGAACCAAUUGAUUCCCGAUUUCUCACAAAUUGCAUAAUCUCAGUUUAGUCAUAUACACCUAAACCAUUAUGCAAACGGUCUAUGUAUCAAAAGAUAGUCACAAUCCAUUCGGAAAAACUUAUCUCACAUAAACCCAAAAUCACCAGUUUCAACAACGAUCAAAAUCAGAAUAGCAAGCACAAUAUCUUUUGCAUUCAAUUUGAUUCUAACUAGUUCAAUAUCCAUCGAGCAAGAUCAACCAAAUAUUGAUAAUGUCUGGAUAUAUAUCACAACAAUAUGUCUUGAUUAAAAUGAGAUAAUCAAGACCACUAUUUCUUUUGGAGAACUCAAAGUUCAUCUUCCUCCCUAUUUGUGAUUUCAACCAAAAUAUAAUAGCGGAAGCAUGCAUCAUGAAAUCACAAAUAUUCAUAUACAAUAAGCAUGCAUCGAUAUAUACAUAACAAGAUUAGUCGACAAUAAUCCAAAUUAAAAAUCUUCAUGCCUUUAAUUCAUUGUCAACACCAUCAUCAAUUAUAUACAGAUUCGUAAGCAAGUCAUUGGAGAAAAUAAUGAUAGCCGCAUAUCAUUAAUCUUAUGAAUUUCCAAUAAGAUGACAAAAUAAUUAUUUGCUUUCCGAUUCAUAAUAGAAUAUACAUUUUGUAAAUGGCUAAAAGUUUAUUGUCGCAAGACUCAUUGUAGGCGAUCAAUAAAACAUCUACCUUAUAUAUUCAUCUGUUCAUAUAUUUUCUUGUGUGCAGGCAUGCAUCAAUAUGCAGAGAAACUUAUGCAAGUUCUAUUUGAUAUCGAUAAAACCGCAUGCUCAUAAUUACAACAUCUAUGCACGAAUGCUAUCUCCAUAUAUAUACAGAUUUCAUUCAUAUAUGUUGUUAUGUAUAAAUCACAAAGCAAUUGGCAUCCACUUUAUAUAUGCAUUUGUUUUUGUCGCUUUAUAAUACCUCCCGAUUUGCAUAUGAUAUGCAGUCAAAUCCAUUCCAACCCAAACUUGAUAUAAAUCAAACCAAUUGAAAAUCAGGAAUUGACACUAAGAUGUGCAUGUGUAGCUCCCCGCAAUCGAGAUUCAUAUAUGAAACAAUGCAUACACAGACUCUUUAAUGAAAAAUAGAAGAGUAUAUCUAGACAUACACUAAUUUAUUUAUGCAGCAAAGGAUGAUUCUAGACAUCUCACAUAAAUCACAAGUUGGCAUCUAUAGGGAUUUCGAGUUUAAUCAUGACUUCACAAUAUAUAUAAACAAGCAUACUCGAAAUAGCAAAAGCCCUAAUUCAUUAUGCUCCAACUCAUCGCACUAUAAUCACGCAUAUAGGAGAACAAUUAAUCAUGCAUGAAAUAGUGAACUGAGUUACCUGAAUGCAUCAUUGGGCCCGUAUUUGUCAACCCGAUUGCAAUUCCUCGACUCCAAAUCAACGAAACAAAUUAUCCACCAAUGCUCGAGACCCAUCCAUGCGGAUUGCCAUCACUCCCAAUUCUCAUGGACCUCAUACCAUUGCAGAUUAUCGAAGUAAAUCGCCAUUGUUACAGAUGCGCCGGACCAAAAUCAUCGCCAAAGCGAUGGCCAGAAUCUCAUCGACACAAAUUCCCAGAAAAAAAAAAAGACAAACCAUGAGCGUUAAUAUCUCUUAGACAAACAAAAACUUAUUAAUGUCAUCAAACCAAGAUUUCAUCUUUCUUUUAUCUUACUAAUAUUUGGUCUGUGCAAGGCAUAUCUUAUGCACAUCUUUAUAAUCAUAUUCAUUAAUUCAAAACGAUAAGACCCACAAAAAGCCACAGAUAAUUGAUAACAACAAUAAUAGUUUAUGUACUCACAUUCCAUAACCAGCCAAUGAAUCCUUGAUUAAUUCUUAUAAAAAUUCAUCAUCAUGGAAUCAAACGCACAGAAGAAAAAUUAAUAACCGUACAAGCUUAAUAGAUCAAUUCUAUCAAAUUGAGUUCAACAUGUAGCCAUCAUUCGUUUGGCAGCUACCGCAAAUAUGACAAACCUGUAUUGCGGCAAACAUGAUAUGCAUAACAAACUCAAUUCAAACCCUACAUGUUUUCUCACAAACUAAGCUUGACCACUGCUAAUUUACCAUUACAUCUUGCUGGCUUUUUUUUUUUUUUUUUUUUUUGAUCGAAUUUAGAUGUUAAAUUCUUUGGCUCUGAUACCACAUGUAAGAUUAACCAUAGGCUUUAUGUUAAUAUACUUAGCCAAGAACGCAAGAAUAUAUCAACUAAAUCACAACCAACACAUCAAAUAUGUUCUACAUAUGCAAAUAUUGAAGUGAUAUGUGCAACACAUACCUCCAGACUACUUCACGAAGUCUUUCCCAGUCUUUCCCAUGUGUGCUGUUAAAAGACAUCAGAUGGUGCUAGUCCAUUAAGCCAAAAGACAAGUGGAUUCCGAGGCGACUGUCAUCGUUCAAAAGCAAAUGACCAAUGUUGUGAUGAUUGGUGACGGUCCAACCAUGACCAAUAUCAGUGGAAGCAAGAGCCACGCGGAUGGUGUCAUAACCAUGAACACCGCAACCUUUGCUGCAGUUGAAAACUAUUUUGUUGCCAAAAGGAACUGGGUUCAAGAAUACAGCAGGACACGUAAAGCAUCAAGCCAUGGCACUGCGUGUACAAUCCGACUUCUCCAUCUUCUUUAACUGUCACAUGGACACAUACCAAGACACCCUCUACACACAACCUUCUUCUCUCUACAAAACUCAAUGCUCUCCAAGUUAUAGGUAAUUGGAACAAUAAGAGCGUAUUUUUGUGAGAGCAGGGGCUUGUGGUUUUUAUACUACAAAAUAUGGAUUACCCUAUAAUAAUCCUACAAGGAAUACAAGACCAAAUCAUUGUACAAGUUAUAUUCUUAAGCUUAUCAACACAGAGUUUCAAUCCAAACCAAAGUCGAAUUAACUCUCAUAAACAUAUUAAGACUUCUCUAUAGCAAUCUGAGAUAACAAGGAUUAUUACCAAACUGUAUGAAUCACACUCAUACUCUAACAAUCAGUUCCCCAGUAAAACUGCUCUUAUUGAUCCCAACAAUAUUUUCCAAAUAUACCACUGAAAUUGCACGUAAAACUAAACCAAGUGAUUACGACACUACUAUUAACUAAGCGACAGGUUUAGAAGUCGUUAUGUUAGGUUAAUUCCAACAAAGAAUAAAUAGGUUGUGGCAGUGACACAUUUACUAAGCGACAUCAUGCAUGUGACGAAGAGACCGAAAGUUGAAAACUGAGAUUUCUCUGACUGGUUUUCAUUGGUCAGAAUGUUGAAAGUUGAUAUGGAGCCAUCAUUGGAGGAGAAAGAGGGUGCAAACUUCGUCAACUUAAAUUAGUUUUUUUUUUUUUUUUUUUUUGACUAAGUCAAGGGUAUCCCAAAGGCUUCCUAGGCCCAAGGACUAAUCCCUCCGGCGCAUGUGAAAUGCUCCAACUGUGCAUUGCAGCACAGUGCCUGGCCACUUUGACAGCUUCGGGGUUCGAACCUAGGCUGGGGAGCAAACCCAACUAGGCAGUUUCAUAGCCCAUAGUUUUCCUCUAGUCUCUGGUUGAAUCUUAAAAGCCCCUUGAUUUUAGGAGAAUUCUUUUUAAGAGUACUGGGUUACUUGAAACACAAGUUAUGUAGUGUAAUAUGUAAGAUAUAUUUAAUUUGUUAUAAUAAGAGUAUAGGACAUCGUUGAUGCGUAUCAUAUCUAGAGUAUAUUAACAAAAAAAAAUUCACAUUCUAUAAAUUUAGGGCUCGUUUGGAAGUAUUUUAAAAUAAUUGAAAGCGCUUUUAGAUAAAAUGUUUUUGAGUUUCAAGUUUCACUUAUAUUUUUACUAAGAAUUGAUUCCAAAAAUAUUUUCACCAAAACACUUUCAACCAUUUCAAAAACACUUCUAAACGAACAUUAUAAGUUAGAGUGAAUUAACGUCAUAUGGGUGCCGUCAUGGAGGAGAAAGAGGACCAAGGCUUCGUCAACUAAAUCAGUUUCAAUGUUUCAUAGCCCAUGGCUUUUCUCUCUAGUCUUUGGUUGAAUCUUAAAGCCUCUUGGUUUUAGGAGAAAAUUUGAUGGUUACCGGGUUAUCUGAAGCACAAGUUAUGUGGUGUGUUAUUUAAUGUGUUAUACUAAGGUAAAUAACAUGAUUGAUGUGUAUUGCAUCUAGAAUAUAUUCAAUAUUUAAAAUAUUGAUAUAGGUGAAAAUAUUGAUAUUCAAAUUUAUGAAAAUAUCGGUAUACAAAUUUAUGAAAAUAUCGAGGAAUAUAUCAUAUAAAUAUUGAUAUCGGUUGCCAACGACAGAAAUUAUAUGGAAUUUGCAAUGGCGUGGGUGUUUCAACACAUUUAGAUUUAGUCGAAAUUAGAGAAAAAUUUCUCAAAAAAGUCUAAAAGUUUAAAAUCUGCAAUGGGUUUUGGCAUAUUUCUUUUAGCAAAUUGAUAAAUAUAUAUCAUCGAUAUUCAUUGAUUUUCUCAGAUCUUGUUGAUAUAAGGUGAAGUUUGCAUUUCACCCCCUUUCAUAUCAAUCAUUGAUUUUUCGGAUAUUUCGACAAUCAACAAUUUCGUGGAUAACAUAAACUUUGUAUAUUAAUAGAAAACAAUUACUCAUGUUAUAAGUUGAACGUUACAUGUGUUUCUGAGUGCAAGAAAAAAUUUCUACUUGUUUUAUCUUUUGAAAAGGAAAAUUAACUACCACAUCCAAUUUCAACCACCAGUAAUUACUAAUUAAGUAGCCCACUCUCUCCGACAUAUAUGAAGCCACGCUCAAGAAGUUCAAAUUAUAAGAAAAAUAAUAAAUAAUUAACACGAGAGUUGAAUCUUUCAUUGAUUAAUUAAAGUCUUAAACCUCCUCUGGUUACGUGUUUUUUGUUUGAAGAUACACAAUGUUGCUGUUCCUUCUCAAUGCAUGCAAGCAAUCUAGUCAAGCCAUGCAUUUAACAAAUGAUAUUUGUUAAUUUGCUAAGUACUAGUUCUAAAUCCUGUAAUCUAUUGUUUAACUAGCAGGUUAUCGAUCGAAAGCUAGAUGUUGUUUGGUAAUGAUUUUCACUAAUUUGCGCACAACGUUUUUUGCUUUUCGACUUCUCUUUUUUUUAUGAAUGAUGAGCAAUGCCUUUUGUGGCAUGCCUUAGUUUUGUUUUUACUGCUUAAGCUAUAAUUGCCAAUAUUAAGAAAAAGAAAACAUGGCAAAUGACAAUAUUAUUAAUUCACAUAUUUCAGUAUAAGUAAAGAUCUAGUCGAUAUUUCAUGGAUCUAGAGCUAAUACAAACUAAUUAAUAAAUACAUGUAUAUGUUGUAACAUAUAUAAAUAAAAAGACAGCACCGCGUAAUGACGUGACAGAUGAAUAGUAAUUAAAAAAUAACAUAUGUGCGCGUGAUCUCUCUCUCUCUCAACUUAUUAGCAAAGGAAUUUGGGACAUGCAUGAUUGAUUCGUGCACCCAUGAGACACUUUUCCUAUUUCCAGGCUUUAUGGUUGGGUGAUUCUAGCUUCUUUAAUCAUUCAAGUGAGGGGUUCGUGAUCUCUUUUAAAGUUGAAAAAAGAAGCACUGCUCCGAUAAAAUUAAACUACAGUAAUGUUGACAGAUAGCUAGGGCGAGUGUAUGCUUGCAUGGGGAAAAAGUAGUCAUGGCUUUGCGUUCGGUCAUGUCUGGAAGAAUAGCUAGUUUGUAAACAGAAACCGUAACAUACAGAAACCCCAUAACAAAAAUAAACAUGUAAAAAAGACGAGAAAAAGAAAGAUGAUUCAACAGGGCAUAGAUUAUGGCCAUUGGCCACAGCCUCAGGACAAGUUGGUAGGGGUCCAUCAGGACGUGCUUACGUACUCCCAGGAGUCCUGUUCUUUUUAAAUAUAUCUUAUUUCAUUUUCUAAUUUUAUUUUCUAAAAUUUCAUGCCCUUUUAUAAUUUUUUAGAUACAAUAAUAAACUUGUUUGAAAGUGCUUAUAAAUGACUAAAAAUAUUUUCGAUGAAAAUAUUUUUAAAAUCAAUUCUUAAUAAAAUUCAAGUGAAUCUUAGAAAGACUCUUUAAAGUGUUUUAUGCAAAAAAUCAACUUCAACAAAAAUGUUUUCAAUCAUUUUAAAAAUAAUUUCAAACAAGCCUAAUAUUGGUUGAUAUUAUUUCCUUUUAUAAUUAGAUAUAUGUAUUUUUUUACUUAUGUAUACUUUUUCUUUAAUUAGUGUGUAUUAUUUUCUUUUACGUUGAAUCUAAAUACAUUGUGUCUAAAUACAAAUGCUCAUAAUCCUCAACAUCAUAAAAUAUAUUUUUUCGAUUGUUAAUUCUCUACCAUACAUAUUUUGAUUUACAUUUUAAUACUACCAUGCAUAUUUUAAUUUAGGUAAAAUCACAUUCAAAUUGAAUUAGUAGAUUAUAAAAAGUUAUAUAAUAAAUCCAAACUAUUUACAGAUCUCCACUCCUUUAGAGCCUAUAAAUUGCAGCAUAGCUGGAAGUACUCCACAACUGAGCAAGUGAGCAUACUAACCAAGGCCGGUUAAGCUUGUGAGAAAGAGAGAGAAAGCGAGAGAAAACUAGAGAGAGAAGGAAAUACAAAGAAAGCAAUCCAAAGAGAAAUGGCAACUUUCCCAGUUGUUGACAUGGACCUUAUCAAUGGUGAAGAGAGAGCAGCAACCUUGGAGAAGAUCAAUGAUGCAUGUGAGAACUGGGGUUUCUUUGAGGUACGUAACCCCAACAAAGCUUUGCGAUAUUUUUUUCUUCCUCAAGGCACAAAACUCCGUCCCUCGUGUGCUUAGAGUAAAUCCGUCUCUAAGCAUAUGAGAGUCGGAAAACAAAUACACCGCCCUGGUUGCUCAGUUUUUUUGGUACUGCCUUAAUUUCUGUAGAAAUAUGACAACUCUUUGUUUUGUGUAUAAAUAACUGAAGUUGGUGAACCAUGGGAUAUCAACUGAGCUUUUGGACACUGUGGAGAAGAUGAACAAGGAUCACUACAAGAAGACCAUGGAGCAAAGGUUCAAGGAAAUGGUGGCAGCCAAAGGCCUCGAAGCUGUCCAGUCCGAAAUCCACGACUUGGACUGGGAAAGCACCUUCUUCUUGCGCCACCUUCCUUCCUCAAACAUUUCCGAAAUCCCUGAUCUCGAGGAAGAUUACAGGUCACACACUAAUUACAACAAACUUAAUUAAUUUCCCGCUGAUUUGGAUUUAACCAAGUUAGCUAAAGCACCUUGCGGCCCCAUUGCACCUAAGUUUGGAUCUCGGUUUUGUAGACUAGAUUGUAUUAGAAUAUCAUAUUGAUUUCUUGUAUAUAUUUUGAACAAUAUUUCAGGAAGACCAUGAAGGAAUUUGCAGUGGAAUUGGAGAAGCUAGCUGAGAAGCUUUUGGACUUGCUGUGUGAGAAUCUUGGACUUGAGAAGGGCUAUCUGAAGAAGGCUUUCUAUGGAUCCAAGGGUCCGAAUUUUGGGACCAAGGUCAGCAACUACCCUCCAUGUCCCAAGCCAGACCUGAUCAAGGGACUCCGGGCCCACACCGACGCUGGUGGUAUCAUCCUGCUUUUCCAGGAUGACAAGGUCAGCGGCCUCCAGCUCCUCAAGGAUGGUGAAUGGAUGGAUGUCCCCCCAGUGCACCACUCCAUUGUCAUCAACUUAGGUGACCAGAUUGAGGUAUACCAAAUUACCAGUUACCCAUGUCUUAUUGGCCGGACGUCCGAUGUAUCAUCAAUAAUAUAUUAGUAUCACUGUCGUCAACAAAACGUACAGACAUGUUACCGAUACAUUUCAACGCUCAACCGUUUUAUAAUAAAGAGGACGUACGUCAUACACAGAUAAUUUUUACUUUUACCAUCAAGUUUACUAAAUGUUAGACUAUAAUUAUUUGAUGCAGGUGAUCACCAAUGGGAAGUACAAGAGUAUAAUGCACCGGGUGAUAGCUCAGUCGGACGGAACCAGAAUGUCGAUAGCCUCGUUCUACAACCCGGGCGACGAUGCGUUUAUCAGCCCGGCACCGGCAUUGCUGGAGAAGAAAUCUGAGGAAACCCCAACUUAUCCCAAAUUUUUGUUUGAUGAUUACAUGAAGCUGUAUUCUGGCCUCAAAUUCCAAGCCAAGGAGCCAAGAUUUGAAGCUAUGAAGGCCAGGGAAACCACCCCUGUUGAAACUGCCCGAGGUCUGAGAGCCGUCCGAUGGAACACGACAAAAAGAAAUCAAAAUUAGGGUUUUGGGUUUUAUCGUUUGUGCUAAAUAAAGUUGGGGAGGAGAAAGUUAGAGUUUUACUUUUUUCUCCACUGUUCUUAUAGUUGAAAUCUAUCUAUAUAAAAUAAAAAUUAUUAGAAUCCUAAUCUUUGAGGGAUCCAUGUUCUUCAAAGUUAACUCAUCCUCAUUUGUUAAAUUAAAUUUGCAGGGGAUCAAAUCGUUGAGCUCAUUUUAUGUGUGACAUCUAUUAUUAAUUGACACAUGUUAAGAAGAGUUAAGUAAAUAUUGCUGAUCGCCCUAAACCCUAUAUAGAGGUCACAACAAUAUUGAAUACGGAAGAUUUGAACUCAAUUUGUAUUGAGUUGUUGGAGGCGCUAAAUAUAUAUUGUUGGUUCUCAUUCUAUCUGUUUACCCAUAUUAUAACACGCAGAUUAGUAAUACCAUGUGAUAAUGAUGCGGUAACACGGAUAAAGUGAUAAGAGAACGAAUUGUGCAUUCACAACUGAAAUUGAAACUCGACAAUGCACGUAUCAUAAGAACAGAGGUUGCAUUCAUAGAUCACACUCCAACAUGAUUGAAGCCGCAAGCGAAAUAGCAGGGCUUAUGCACGGAGACUUGAAACUCAUCAGUAAUGCGAAAAAUGUUCACUUUAUAAAGAUAAAGAUUGCAAUUACAUACCACGCUGCACUGAAUCGGAGCAGCAAAGCUCAAUAAUCGGACCCCACGCACAUAAAGUCGACACUAAAAACUCAUCAACAUUGCGAAAAAUGUGUAGAACAUUGCCCAAAAUCGUUUUGGUACACAGCUGCCUAUCCCGGCACCCGACCUUUUCAAACUGAAUAAAAAGUACUCCAGAAUUCCAACAUUCAGUACAGAAAACCAAUGCCUCUUCUCUCCGGUUAUUCUCAUGAUGAACACGCAAAGAAUGAAGAUUUUCAUGGAAACCAGUGUUAAAAUAAAUGAUCCUACUUCCCUGAAAGAAUAUCAUCGUCUUUGUCGGCUUCAACAGGCGCGUCACUGCCUAGAACCUUUUUCUCAUCCCCCUCCACUCUAUCGACAUUGGAGAAGUGAUUCUUCAGAACCAUUGAAAUGUCACCCUCAGAAGCUCCAGCAAGCUUAAAGCGCUCAACAGCAGCGUCCAGGUUUUUCUUCCAACCAUCCAGCCCUAAUUUGCAUUCGACCUGGGAUCGCUCAAAAAGCAUGUUACCCCAGAAGAGAUGGAUCUGUGAUCUCAUAACAGCUGCCUGUUCUGCAGCUUCAUCUGCCGAUAACUCACCCUGACCAGAUGCCUCACCUUCAUUCCCGGUACCCUGUUUUUUCCUUUUUUUCAACAACUCUUCCCUCUUGGCUGCACUUGGAUCCUUCAGUUCCUUUGCUCUCUGCUCCUCCAGCUUCUCCCACAUCUCAGUUGCAACUUUCAUCUUCUCCUCUGCACUGUCAAAAAGUGUCAGCAUUUCUGUAGAAUCACAUGUCGAGAGAUCUAUUUUCCUAGCAAGUGCAAAUGACCAAUGAAGUUUGGCCAUUUCAAAUUGUUGCUGCCCCAGCGCCAGCAACCCCUCGUAGAAGUCUGGCUUGAUCACAAGUGCCUCCUCAUACUUCUCUCUGGCCAAGGAAUAUUUGUCCCUGACCCAGUCAUAAGCCGUUUGAAGCUGCGUUGCCACGACCUCCUUUCCAGCAGACUCAUCUAAGGGAAUCCGCUUCCUUGCCGCACACAUAUAAACAUUUCCCCAAUUAAAGAACGCUAAUGCCGCCACCUCCUGGAACUUUGAGGCAGCCUUGUCAAAAAGACUCUGAGCUUCUUCACUAGUAACUGCCUCUUCAAGAGCCUCCGAACAAAGCUCCAUUCCAAGUUCAUGCAAAUCAAUAUGAGCGUCUGGGUCAAUACCAACAUGGCUGCGGAAAAGCUGAGAAAACUCAAACAACCAGUCAUCCAUCUCCAAUUCCUUGCACUCGGGAUCUUCUGAAGCUCCUGGUUUCUCCUUUGGAGCUUCUUUCUCUGACUUAACAGUUUCAUAAUCAGCAGGCUCCAAAACAGAUUCACCAAGUGAUGAGUUACUUUCAUCUUCCUUGACACCCUCGCUUUCUACAGGUUUUUCCUCCUCUUCUUCCAAUAAAGGCGGUUCCUGUUCAGGAGUCACGUCCACGAUAUGCAAUCUCAACAUCCCAAUUGAGUCAGCUUUAUCUAUUUCAGGCUCUUCUGAAAUGACCUUGUCAGCACAAGACUCAGCCAACCUAAGUUCAGCUGUAGAGGUUAUAGUCACCAUGUCACCAUCAUUAUCCUUAUACUUGACCAAAACUGACUUUGAUGAUGGAAAGCGCUUCGUCACAACUUCCCUCAACACUCUGAAAUUGCUAUUCACAGGCAUUUGGGCAAGCCUUAUGUCAUGAUCAUAAACAAGCUUCAAUGGUCUCCAACGAGUUGCAGCCUCUGAAAGCUGCCUAUUCACGGGCAAUGAAACUGAUGAAGACGAUGGCUCCAUUAGGAUACCCUUCCCUGGAUUAGCAGAUUUUGAAGGACCAUUGGACGGCUUCAAUGUGAGCUUUGGCAUUUGGGUUUUGUUCUCAGGUCCAUUCUCAGCCGGUAAACUUGUUUGUGGCUUCUCAGUCCUACUAAUUGGGGAUAUACCAGAGCCCCCAGCUGAAGCAGCUGCCUUCUUUAGAACCGGUCGGGCAGGUAAAGAAGGCCCUAACCCACCAACUGGAGCACCGCGAACAGCAGAAGCCCCAAGAGCAGCAGGUGAUGGGCGGCUCUGGAGGUCCUGCUGAACCUCCUGACGCAGCCCAAGCGCUGUCCUCAACCGCUGGGCAAUCUCCAAAGCAUCCCUGUGAUUCGGGUCAGCACCCAAUAACACCUGAACAUCCUGCAUCGCCAUUUCAUACUUCCCUAUCGCAUCCAGCGCCCUUGCCCUCCGAAGCAGAGCCCUGACAUACCGGGGCUGCACCUGGAGCGCCAUGGUGCACUCAGCAAUGACAGUCUCAUAAUCUAUCGGCUUCAUUUGCAUCAAACAAGCCGCCCUAUUGCUAUGGAAAACCGCGCGAUCAGGGUGGUUCUUGGGAGUGAGCUUAAGAGCAUUAUCAUACUGGUCCAGAGCACCCACAUAGUCCUUUCCCUGAAAUCUCUUGUUCCCUUCUUCUUUGAGCUCGUGGGCUCUUUUCAAAAAGAUUGAAGAGUCAAAAUCAACACUACCGUUCGAAAUCGGAGUCGAAUUCGCAUCCUUCGGGACCUGGUUCGAAGCUCCCUUCUUCUUCCUACCCCCUGAUUUCCCCAUAUAACCCUCUCCCACUCUCCCACUUAUAUACACAAAAUCUUGGGUAUAUAUAAUCCAAAAUUGAUGAUACGAAGAAUCAAAGCAGCAAGCUUUCACUGUUUUCGACGAGAAUUGAACGAAAAAUGGAGAGAGAGAAAUGGGGGCACUUACCGAUGAACAAGCUCGAAAAGCAUCAAUCUUUGACGCAAAUGGUUUGAAUCCGAGUGAUGGGGUUUGGAUUGGAUGAAAUCCAAUCGGCGAAAUGUUCGGAGGAGGAGGAGGAAGAGGAUAAAACCCUAGGCCCCUGGAAGCAACACUGAACUCAACAGCCUCUCACUCACUCUUGCCCUUUAGGAUGGCUCAAACCCUAGAGAAGUGGAGGUAUCUGCAAAUGAAUUCCAGCGGGGUUUAAUAUAAUCUGAGGCGGGCCCCACAGACACGUUCAUCUUCCAACGUCGAUCUAUUUUGGGUGGUAUCAUUCACUUUUAACGCUUAUAUUUUGAUCCAAAUGAUAAUGCAUAAUAAGAAAAUAGUUUGAAUCCGAGAUAAGUGAUUUGAAGAGAGUUGUCAUAACCACCAGAGUAAUAUACCACUCACGUCUUGUGCUAGACUUGGCAAAUCAAGUCGUGUUGGGCCGGUUCAUUUUUAAAUCGACAAUACUUGUGCUCGAUUCGGGUCGACUCGAUGUUGUACACUACACCUCCUUGCGUUUUUGAUAAAUUCGUUGCAUCAGAUGAACAGAUAUAAGCCGAUUGGUUCCAUUUUUAUUUUAUGAUGGAACAAUUUAAUUUCCCAUAUGCGAAGGAUUUUUUGAGGCCUCAUAUCAUGUAAGUUCCUGGUUUAAUACCCUUCGAUCAAAUCUUCAAGUGUACAGGUAAUAUGGGGAGGGGGGGAUUGAUUUGAUUGAAUCAGGAGCCUCAAAAAUACGAGAAAUACUUUUAAACAACUAAGUUACAAGCUCCGUUACAUAAAAAUGGAUCUGCAUAUCAUUAAAAUGUGAAAAAAUGGAUUGUUUGAUAAGUGUAUAAACACGUAUAGAAAAUUCAAAAUUUAAAUUUUGUAUUUAAUAUUUAUGUACAAAAACACCCAAAGGAUGACAGGGACUUGGAGUAUUUGCUCUCUCUCUCUCUCGCUCUCAAUGAUCUUCUUCUUCUCCAGGGAGGAGUGAAUGACUCUGCACUCUGCAUAAUGAUUCUGCUAUCUCUUUGAACACGAAAACGACAUUGGACAGUUCAUGAAGCUUGAAAUAUCAAACGCUUCGAUGAACCUCUGAUCCGAAACUCGAGAUUUUGCAGCUGCAAACCUCUGGUACUCAUCAAAGAUUGAGGUCAGGCACCAUCUUUGCAAUCUUCUUAAGCAUCCCACAAGACAGCCCGUCCGGUGCUGCACAACAUUAAUAACAAAAAACACUCGUUGGAAGAUGGAGCCCAAGAUUGUUUGAGAAAACGCAAAAGUGGGAAAUCAUAGAGCACCUUCCCUCGCUUGCAAUGGAUCAGGAGUGGGUGGUUUCUUACAUCUGGCAUAUACACAGGCAAGCCAGUCGAUAAGCAAAUCGUAAAACAAACAAGCCGUGGCCUAAUAUUAAGAACAAAAAAGAGGCUUUAAGUUCAAGGGGGUUAGUGAUACCAAGGACAACUCUUAAUGCUUCACGAAUUGUGUGCUCCGGGAUUUUCACGUAAGGUUCCUGUACCGAAUAUGUUAGCACAUGACUGAAAAUAUCAACUGAUAUCAUUUAUAAGUAGCUCAAAGCAAAGUCCCAAGUUAUAAACAUCAGUGAGCUCAGACAUAUCCGUCAAUAAGUCUUCCAGAUUGAAGUUACAGUAAAUAGAGAAACAGUUUAAAGCAUUUUCCAAUACGUGUAGGGUGGUAAGUUGAUCAAAAGCAAGAUCUGAUCAUCAGAAGACCGGUAUCUGGAAAAGUAAAAUACAAUCCAAUGAAACAGCAGACUGACAUUUGGAAAAGUAAAAAACAAUCAACGAAAAGUUGAAAACCAGGAAUGGCCAUCUAAGAGAUAACAGCAGAGGACUUAUUGGCAUAUUUUGAAUAAGCCAGAGUACAAAGCAAAAGCCAAUGAAAAUCUAAAUUCAUUGCUAGCUGACAAAACACAAGGCAACUGAAAUAGGUAAAGUAAACCAACAAAGCACAGGGAAAGCAAAACAACCUAAGGCUAAAGGUGGACGGCUACUUCAAAAUGGAAAAUACGUCAUUAGCGAGUAAUAAUCCAUAUAUACAAAUAAAAGUGCUGAGUAGGAUUGUCAAUAUUGUUUGUCUAACCACCCAGUUUUAAUGUAUUUUUUAGAGCAAAAGAUAAAGCAACAAUAAACAUGCAAUUUACAGGUGUUGGGGAAGCCAAUCAAUCACCUAAAAUAUGUGUAGACGCAUAUAGUGGUGCUCCAGACUUUUAUCUUGCAGUUCCAUUCAAGUUUAGUAUUCAUGCAAGGCAAGCCACAACGACGCGUGAAAGGUUUGGGUCACUGCCACCUUGGCGUCCCCAUUUCAUGUUAGUGAGUAGUCUCUCUCGCAAAGCUGAGGUUUGGCAGAAAAGGGGCAUCAUAAAUUCAUAGUGGGAAUAAAAAUACAAUGGGCAAAGGGCUUGCACAAGGACAUAGUGGGAGCGGGACACAGCAAGGCCAAAAGCCUCAUCCAACUACCACUUGAGCUAAUGAAGUGAAGUGAUAUAGACAUGCAAUUUGGCAUCUCUCUUUCUAAAAUGGGUUGAUGGUGAAAAUUAUUUCCAAAAUCUAUCAACUCAAACCCGAAACCCUUCACUCCAAAACGAUUUUCUAUCCGAUAAUAUCAACAAAAUAAUCCUUUGUCCCCAACCCCUCAUAUGAUUUCUACUAAAUUCUGGCUUUUGUCUAAGCAGUUCAAAUCUUAUCCACCCGCACAUUUGGUACAACCGACGACCAACGGCCUACUAAUCAACAAUGAUAAUGUCCCUCCUUAACCACCCGCACAUACUAGCGGGUGCGGACUUUACAUUCGUCAUCGGAGAAGGGAACAUCCCGAUUUGAAAAUACACACGAUUAUAAAGCAAUUACUAUAAUCUUAUUCUCUAAUCCCAACUUCCAAGCAAUCCAAGCAUAACCCCAGACACAAAUUGCAGAGUAAUUAUGUCAAGGUUAAUAUAAUAUCUGCAAAAGAAAUCGAAAAGAAAACGAAACCUGAGAGCCAUCGAUCCCAAACUGGAAAAGCCUAAUCCCAUUUGCUCUCAUAAACUCUUUGUUCUCCUCCGGAUACGGCUCCGGGCACAAAUAUCUAACCCAAUCAAAACAACGAUCAGUCGAAAUUCCCCAAAUCUAAUCAAAGCAAAACCAAAACCAAAUUUGAAGCUAGAUUAAUCAACGGAAACAAAGUUCACUGCUGGAAUUUGACUCACAUGACGGAACGGAGGCCGAGGGAUUUCAAGAAGCUGAAAUUGGGGGAAUGAGGGAAGCCGGACCUAAACACGCCAUUGUCGACCAUCGCGAAGUUCAGAGGCGGCACGAACGCCUCUCCGCACCUCUCAUUCUCGUCUCCGAUCUCCGGAGCCUUCGCCACCGGCGACGCCGUGGAGACCUCCUGCUCCCCGCUCUCUAUUUUCAUCGCUGCCUCCUAUUUUUUCGCGCUAAAUAAAAUGUGAAAGCAGAAAAAAUAUAAUAUUUGUUUAUUAUUUAACUGAUUCGGAAGUUGUGUUAGGAUGAUCAGAGCGAGAGGGAGGAGAGAGAGGGAUUCUGAGAAUCUAAGGGGAAAAGGAAGAUCCGUAUUUAUAGGAAGAGAGAGACAGAGGGAAUAUUAGCAUUGCAAGGUGGCUGCGUGGGCGUAUGAUGACUCGUGACUGGGAUUAGACUUGAUGGAGACAUGGAGAAAAUUUUGCGUACGGCCGAUCAUAUGCGGCUUUCGCUCCCAAAAGUGGGGCCAGAGGUGGGAGCCGGUGAUAACCUAAAAUUAUGGCACGAAACACUCCGACGAUGAUGUACUAGAGUAGUUACACUGUGCGAAAGGCUUUCAAGGGCUAUUUAUUAUUUAAUUCACUAGCGAAUAGCAAUUGCUCUUAAUGAACCGUAAUUAUAUUUUGCAUCUCCAUCCAUAUACUUAAAUAGCCCUGACAAGUAAAUAAAAUAAUAAUAUUUUUUAUAACUUGCUUGGAAUUUCCUGUGUACUCUUCACUCCCUCUCCUUCCACUCAUCUUUCUCACUGCUCUCCAUUUUUUUUUGAAGUUCCUUGCUCUCUCUAGGCUCUCGACGCUCUCACUCUCUCUAGAGCUCCGAGAGCUCUCACCCACUUUCCUCUCCGAAAAUUAAACAAAUCAAACUCCAAAACCAUUAAACCUUAAUCUCUGGGACUAAAAAUCUUAGCUAUACCAUUGCAUGCAUCAUCGGACCAUCACGGUGUAAACCACCAUUGAAGUUGAGAGCUUCAAGAUCUGAAACUCGAACCCAAGUGAGGUUUUCUAUGCAAAUCUUGUUUCAUUAUGUCUUAAUGUUGCUUGGGACAAGAUUUGUGGUGUUUUUUUAGUUCGAAACCAGAGGUUUAACCCCCUACAAUUUCUCUGAAACCUUGCCCAAUUUUUGGUCACCUCCUCGGAGUAAACUCUGGCAAGUUUGUGGGCGACGUCAGCAUUGCCUUCGGGCUCUCGGGCUGGCAACUCGUGUCGGGGCUCUCCCACGGGCCUGCUCGGGCUCCCUCGCCAGCACACGCUGGGCUUGCUUGCUCAAGCUCUUUGCCACCAUUCGCAUGCCUGAUCCUCGGGCUCCAACACAUGCUGGGGCUGCUCUUUGGGAAAUGGGUCAUCUCUAGAUCCUUUCUUCCUAAUCCACCAAAUCAGUAGAUCUGUGUCAUUAAAAUUGAUCCAACACGGCUGAAGUUAUUAUAACUUUUAAAGUGAGUCUGUGUUUGUAACCGUUGGAUCAAAUUUCAAUGGCACGGAUCCACGGAUUUGGUAGAUUAGGAGGAAGAGAUUCGAAGAGGACCCCUUUCCCAUUUAAGUCAUUCUCUAAUACAAUUUGGCACUUUGAGGUCUACUGCACCUUGUUCAUUUGCAGGGGCGUUUCGUACUUAAUACUUGUUUGUUCUGUAUCAAUAAAAUUGAGUGUCUCAAAGUACAAGGAGGUUGCCUUUACCACCUACUGUUAUGACUUUCUUGCUACACGAUCUAGCGAUGCCAUUUCACUCUAAAAUUUCUCCUGCACUGUGAUAAGGCGAGAGCUACACACUCGGCGGCCAAUCUUGGGUUCCAUGCCCCCUCUAAGCACAUAGAAGUUGACUACCACUUCGUUCGCUCUUCCCUAUCUCACUGAGCCUCCUAACCACAGUAGCUGUCGGCUGUUAUGUUCUAUUCAUUCCAUGCAUGGAAUGUUCCUUCCCUCCUAGUUACAAUUGUCAAAGAAACUGGAAAGAAGAAACCGUCGUCUUCUUCCUCAAUGGAAGAGAAAACUAGAAGAGCAAUCGUCAUUCAAUAACCAAAUACUUCUUUUGUAAUUAGAUCUAUACCAUAUGAUCGUUCUUUCGUAUACAAAUUUCUUUCGCCAUUCACUAAUUCUACCUAAUUUUCCUGUCCUUUUAUGUCGUGUAAUCAUCACUUUGCUGGCGUUGUCGCGAUGGAUUUCUUUAUGCAAUCUACAAUACCUUCACAAUCUGUUUGAGGAAUAACGCAGGUAGAGUCAUCUUCUAAGGAGUCUUCUGUGCGUGCGUGAGGAGACGAGAGGUUCCCAUGAGUCUGGCAGGCCUUCAUCGUCUUACAGUGUUCAGCUUCAUCGUCUCUUAUGUUCAGAAAUGUGUCAUACAAGUUCUCUGAAAAAGAAACAUUUAUCAAAAACGCAGUUCAUAAUGUGCCAACAACAAUUAUUGUGCACAGCUGUGCAAGAUUAGUUUAUGUUCAACGCGAAACUAAAACUAAGUCUAAAAAUUGAGCAAACUCGUAGCAUGUCCCAUUAAAAAAUCAGAUCUGAAGGCUUGCCUAUUUUUGGCCUUCGAGAAUUGGGAGGUCUUGGAAGUUUGAAAUUCAUCUGCAUAAAAUUUUGGGGGGGGGGGAUUGUUAAAUCGUCAAUUGUUACCUUUCAGGACACAAAUUAAGAUUGAAAAAUACACAAAACUUACCAAAUAAGUACAUGUCACCACUAGUAUAGUAUUUCACAGCAACCUCAGGAGCAGGCAUCUUUUUCAAAUCCUCUACAACAGAAGAAAAUACCAUGUCAAGAUAAGUGAAUUUGUAUUUGAGGAAAAACAGUGCAUUUUACAACCGAUCAAUUAAGAUCGUCACUUGGACGUUACAUGCUUAGAAUAUUUGAAGUGACCCAACAAACACCGUUUGAUGAUUCAACCUAGUCAGUCUUAAGGCAUCAAGUCCUGAAAAACUCUAAAUCAUACCUCCUCGGGCCUUGAUAAACUUGUCGUAGGUUGAAUAUGCAUGGCUCUCUACACAUUCAGAGAAGUGAUCUGCAAUAGUCAUCAAACAAAAUACAUAAACACGCAUUUAAAUAUACCGGAUAGUUUUCCGAUCACCUAUUUCUGUAGUGUCAUUUGAAGAUGAACUUACAAACUUAAACAGAAUUGGGCAGAAAGGAUCCAAGAAACAACGCUGUAACUACAAUCCAUAUCACAUGCAAUCAACAGAAUACUUCUUAAUGCAACUGUUGUUAAGUUUUACAAAGGGAUUUUAAGAAAACGAAAUUUUGACCAAAUUUGUCUACCCCUUCAUAAAGGCUUGAUAUUGAUUUCAAUGGACGAAAUUCUUCUAAGUUUGUAACCACUAAGGAUAAUGCACCAAACACGACACUGGUAUGCGAGAGAGACAACAAAGCAGAGGAAUUAUAGCACAUUAAAAAUUAGAUACUAAUACUUACAUGCCAUCCUUGGGCUUAUUAAAUACAUAAAGGCCGUCAUAAAAUAAUAGAAGACUGCAAUGUGCUGAGCAAGAAAGCGGUCAAACCACCAAGCAUUUCCCCCCAAUUCCUGCAAUUACAUCCAUAUUCUAUCAUUAAAUCAAGCAAACCAUGUAGACGAUAUUACAGAAGGAAGAUCCUUACUUCCAUGAGAUAAGCAGAUGGUGCAUCUCAUUCCAGCUCUCAGCAAAAUGCACCUUCAGAUAAUCUGCCCUUCUCCACCAACCAAAACUCUCAUACAUGUGCAGAACAGACAUAAAGGCUGCCACCGAUAUACCACAAAGACAUGAUUUAAAACUUGCAACUGGGAAUCGCAGUUGACAACAAUAUUGGGAAACGAACUACACAAGAACAAGUUCCUAAGCAGCUUAUACACAGAGUCUGAGAGAAAAUUAUAAGGAAUUUUGAGGCACAUCCUUCCAUGAAAUCAUCACCAUCAUCUUGACCAACAAAACAUGAUACUGCAAAGGUGCACGCUCCAUAUGUCAUAUGAAUCAUAUUUCUAACACAAGAUAGGGCCAAUUUAUGAUGUUUGUCAGCCUUGUCAGGACAUGCAUGAUUGAUGUACAUUUCUUGACAUACUAAUGUAACAAUAUACAUACAAUGCCUUCAAAUGAAUUGACAACUUGUCCUCGAUCAUUUGAAGAUUUCCUCUUGCUUGAAAAGGAAGUUCUUUGCAUCUCAUUACAAAUACCAUUUCAGAGAAGUGCAGAAAAUUCAAAAUUAUUAAUAAACAAAGUUUAGCACUCACCGAAGUAAGGAACCCUUGCAAUAGUUUCCAGUACAAAGAACCUUGCAUAAUCCCGGUCGCUGUACAGAGUUUCAAGUACCUUUAUAACUGUAUCCUGGAAUGAUUAGUAGAACUGAAUUAAAAUCUAAACAUCAAUAACAACUGCCAGAGACAAAAGCUCCUAAGCAUAACCCCCAAACAAUCAACAAAAAUGAUUUAACAUUUCUUCGAAAAAUCGACAUUGGAACUAGGCAAGCACGGCAAAACGAUUAAUUUGACAAUGAGUAAAGAUUUACCGUAAGGAAGAUGUUGAAGGAUUGUUCACACUUGAUAACCCAGAUCUCAAAAGCACUUGAAGACGAACUCUCAGAGAGAUUCCCGCUGCUAGCUUUCAAUUCAUCAAAGGUAGAAGCCUUGAACUCAAAGGAUUCCUCCACUUCCACCUUCUCUUCAUCUUCGUGCAGCAUAGUUGCUCGAACUCUACACAAAUUUUGUUAUCGAGUGAAUAAAAGGCCCACAAAUUUGAAUUUAGAAUCCAGUUCAUAGAUCCCAUAAAGCACAGACAACAAAACUUCAGAAAUUCAUAACAUAAAAUAGCAAAAAAAAACCCAAAAUUAAAGAUCCCAUUUUUCUACGUUUGAAGUGGUGGAAAAUUAGCAUACCUGGAAAUCGACGGACGAGAUGAAAUGGGAUUGUAUGGAAAACGAUUCCGAGAUGAAAAAGCUGAAGUCUUGAAGCUCCUCCUUGCUCUGAGAGACGAAGAAGAAGAAGAGCAAGAGGCGGAGAUUGCAAACACCGUCGAAGACAGAGUCGCCGCAGCCAUUCUGCGCGGUUGUUGCAGAGAAUUCAAACCCAAAAAAAAAAAAAAACGCAAUCAAAAUUGGAAUUUGGUUUUUCGAUUAGUCAGUUGGUGUGAAGUGAAAUUGUCAACCGCGGGAGGGAGAGAGGGAGUGAAGAGAAAAAUGGCAUCUUUUUUCAUGUUUCGUUGGGGAGUAAUUUGUGUCGUCUUGCAAAGUUGCAAGUUCGGCAAAAGCGGCCGGCGGCUUGCGUGGCGCAUAAAUUAGGGAAUGCGGAUCCCCCUUAGAGCAUUCAAAAUUCGUAAAUCGUAUAUUAUAUAAUCAUAAAUUAAUUUAAAUUUUUUUAUUAAAAAUUAAACAUAAAUAGUACGUAAUGAAAAUAAAUACUACCAGUCGAAAAUCGAUCGCACGAUAUCAUGAUGAAUCAACACAAUUCACAAAUGUCAAAUCCCCAAAGAGGAUCCGGAGGCGAUGAUAUUGGUAAUUUAGGGAGACGACCGUUGGUAUUUUUGCUUGGUGCUCUUGAGCUACACGACACGAAUUGAGAGAUCUUUGUUUUGGUUUUUUGCGUUUUAAGUAUCGUGGCUAUUUCGAUCGCCAGUUUCUACUGGACUGUGGGCUUUUGGUCAUUCUUGGUGAACUUGACAAGCUUAAUUUAGACCCUGGGGCUUGAAUUGGGGCCUUUUCUCUCUAUGAACAGUAUUAUUUAGAAACGUCUUUCAAGGAAAUACUUAUUUAGAAAUCACUUUUGCAAUUAAGUGUGUCACUAUAAUCACUUUUUAUUAGAAGGAGGAGAUUUAAAUGGACACGUGGGCAGGGAGACAGGCAACUAUGAAGGUUUUCAUGGUGGCCAUGGUUUUGGGGAGAGAAACGAGGAUGGGGAAGCUAUCUUGGAUUUUGCAAUGGCAUAUGAUCUCUUCUUAGCCAACACCUUCUUUAAGAAGAGAGAAGAACAUGUGAUCACCUACAAGAGUGGGUCGUCAAAAACACAAAUAGAUUUUCUUCUAAUGAGGAAAGGGGAUCGUAUAACUUGUAAGGAUUGCAAAGUUAUACCAGGAGAGAGCGUGGCUAAUCAACAUCGCUUGUUGGUGAUGGAUGUACAUAUCAAAAGAGUGAGACAAAAGAACAAGACUUGGAAGUGCCCAAGGACUAGAUGGUGGCAUCUAAAAGAAGAAAAACAGGCCAUUUUCAAAGAGAAAGUAAUCACCCAGUGUGUGUGGGAUGGAGAUGGGGAAGCUAGCCAAAUGUGGGAUUCCAUGGCUAGUUGUAUCCGAAAAGUAGCAAAAGAGGUAUUAGGAGAGUCCAAGGGCUUUGCCCCAUACCAAAAGGAAUCUUGGUGGUGGAAUGAGGAGGUACAAACAAAGGUGAAGGCUAAGAAGGAAUGUUGUAAAGCCUUAUACAAGGAUAGGACCGAUGAAAAUGGUGAAAGGUAUAGAAAAGCGAAGCAAGAGGCGAAGAAAGCUGUGAGAGAAGCUAAGUUAGCGGCUUACGACGAUAUGUAUAAACGACUAGAUACCAAAGAAGGAGAGUUGAAUAUCUAUAAACUAGCUAGAGCAAGGGAAAAAAAGACAAGGGACCUAAACCAAGUGAGGUGCAUCAAGGAUGAGGAUGGAAAGGUUCUUGCUACAGAGAACGCGGUUAAAGACAGAUGGAGAGGUUAUUUUCAUAAUCUUUUCAAUGAAGGACAUGAAAGGAGUGCUUCUUUAGGGGAGUUGAGUAACUCAGAAGAGUGUAGAAAACUACUCUUUUUAUCGUCGAAUCCGGAAGGAAGAAGUGGUUGUAGCUUUGAAGAAGAUGAAGCAUAGAAAAGCAAUAGGCCCAGACGAUAUACCAAUCGAAGUGUGGAAAGUUUUGGGAGAGAUAGGUAUAACAUGGCUCACUGACCUUUUCAAUAGGAUUUUGAAAACGAAGAAGAUGCCAAAUGAGUGGCGAACGAGCACUUUGGUGCCUAUCUACAAGAAUAAGGGCGACGUACAAAAUUGCAUGAACUAUAGGGGUAUUAAGCUAAUGAGUCAUACAAUGAAGCUCUGGGAGAGAGUCAUUGAGCAUAGAUUGAGGCAAGAGACACGGGUUUCGGACAACCAAUUCGGGUUCAUGCCAGGGCGCUCAACCAUGAAGGCAAUCUAUCUCUUACGAAGAUUGAUGGAAAGAUAUAGAGAUGGGAAAAAGGAUUUACACAUGGUCUUUAUAGAUUUGGAAAAAGCGUAUGAUAGGGUCCCAAGAGACAUUCUUUGGAGGAUUUUAGAGAAGAAAGGAGUACGAGUAGCAUAUAUCCAAGUUAUAAAGAUAUGUAUAAAGGAGCAAAGACUGCCGUAAGAACUCAUGAAGGACAAACCGAAAGCUUUCCCAUAACUGUAGGAUUACAUCAAGGCUCAUCCUUAAGUCCUUACCUUUUUGCGUUGGUAAUGGAUGAGUUAACAGGACAUAUUCAAGAUGAUAUUCCUUGGUGUAUGCUUUUCGAAGACGAUAUAGUGUUGAUAGAUGAAACUCAGGAAGGGGUAAAUGCAAAGCUUAACCUUUGGAGAGAAGUGUUGGAAUCUAAAGGUCUUCGCCUAAGCCGAUCAAAGACAGAAUAUAUGGAGUGCAAGUUCAGUGCAAAUGGAGGCCAAGACGAGUUAGGGGUGAGGAUCAGAGAUCAAGAAAUACCAAAGAGCGACCGUUUUCGUUACCUAGGAUCUAUCUUGCAAAAGAACGGAGAAUUAGAUGGAGAUCUCAACCAUAGAAUACAAGCUGGAUGGAUGAAGUGGAAGAGUGCAUCCGGCAUGUUGUGUGACUGCCGUAUGCCACUAAAGCUCAAGGGAAAAUUUUAUAGGACGGCAAUAAGGCCGGCGAUGCUGUAUGGCACAGAAUGUUGGGCGGUGAAGCAUCAACACGUACACAAAAUGGGUGUAGCAGAGAUGAGGAUGCUUCGUUGGAUGUGUUGGCACACGAGAAAGGAUAAGAUUAUGAAUGAGGAUAUCCGGGGUAAAGUAGGAGUAGCCGAAAUUGAAGGAAAGAUGAGAGAAAAUCGGUUACGGUGGUUUAGACAUGUGCAAAGAAGGCCUACUGACGCUCUGAUUAGAAGAUGCGACUAUGGGACAGAGGUUCAGGGCCGAAGGGGUAGAGGAAGACCUAGGAAAACUUUGGAAGAGACUCUAAGAAAAGACUUAGAGUACUUGGAUCUAACGAAGGACAUGACACAGGACCGAGCACAAUGGCGUUCUAAGAUUCAUAUAGCCGAUCCCACUCAGUGACUUGGAUUUUCCAAGUCUCCAACCGAGAAGUUUUCCUCACUCGGGAAAUUAAGGGAACACUACCUCAACCUACAUGCUCCACUCACAAAGCUUCAACAUACAAGCUUCAACAAAAGAAAAUUCAAAGAACUUAGCGAAGAAGGCUUUGGUGUAUUUAACACAAUAUGUUGAAAUGAAGGAAAGCUUAUUUAUUGAUAUCCCCGAUAAGCUACAAAUAUGUACAUAUACAUGAGUCAAAAUAAACAAACAAGAGGGAGCCUUCACAAAGGUUGCUUAGGAGAAGUCUCAGCAAUCGGUAGAGCCCCAGAAAGAGAAGGCACCGGAGGGGGAUCAUUCGGAGCCUCAGUACUGGACAGAACCCUAGAAGGAGGAGGCAUCAGAGGUUGAUCAUUUGGAGCUUCAUUACACGGUACAGCCCCAAAAGACGAAGGCAAUAAAUGCCUUUGGAACAAACCCACAAAUCUCUGAUGAUCAAGUAAAACUUGACCAUCAGAUUCCUUCAUCUGGUCAAGCUUCCUCUUCAUGUUUGUAGCAUAGUCAUGUGCGAGCCGGUGCAACUGUUUAUUCUCAUGCUUGAGCCCUCUAAUCUCCUGUUUGAGACUCAUCACUUCAGCCGCCAAUGACUCAACUUGACGGGUUCGAGCAAAUAGGCGUUGGGCCAUAUUAGACACAGAACCUGCACACUGAACACUGAGAGCCAGAGAAUCCUUAACAGCUAACUCAUCAGACCGUUUGGAAAGUAGUCUGUUAUCUUUGGGAGUGAGAAUGUUCCUGGCCACCACCGCAGCGGUCAUAUCAUUCUUCAUCACGGAAUCCCCAACGGUAAGAGGACCAGUUGGGGAGACGAAGGAUGGGCGCCAUAUGUUGUCUGGAGAAGGCGGGGCUGCCUCUUCAACAAGGUUCAAGUCAAAACGACGGUCGGAGGGGCCAGACAUUUUCAAAGAUGUUGAAGAGAAGAAGUCGGACAAAUCAAGAUCUUAGAAGUGCAAGAAUGGAGCUUCUACUGGUGGAGAUUCAAGUGUGCUUUGGAACUUAAUGCUAGCCCCUAUAAAAAUCUGCACUCGAUGGAGCUUCAGAAAUCGAAGAGGCGUUUGCUUUCUCAAAAGCUGGGCUGCUCAGAGACCACGAGGGUGAUCUCAGAAAUCGAAGAGGCGUUUGCUUUCUCAAAAGCUGGGCUGCUCAAAGACCACGAAGGCUGAUCUCAGAAUCGAAGAGGCGCUUGCUUUCUCAAAAGCUGGGCUGCUCAGAGACCACGAGGGCCGAUCUCAGAAAUCGAAGAGGCACCUACUUUUCCAGCCUUGUCAGCACCUGUCAUACGCACACUCAGCUUUGCGGAAAUUAUGGGCAUUCUGUCAAAGACUUCUGGUGAAGUAGAAAGCACAUGAAUCUUACUGUUCAAUCACCCACUUCCCACACGCAACAGUAGCUCAUGGGUACCACAGAUAACUUUGCCAAAGUUCUCUGCCAAAGUUGAGCACGUGAAGCUUGCAGCUCCCACUACAUCACUCUGACCAAGAAGGGUAAAAAAAAAUAGCAAAGAAACAGCACUAACAAAGUCUAGACACAUAAAUUUUGAAAGUCUAGCUACCAUAUUAUUACCCAUAAGGGUAAAGGAACAGUACCACUGCUGGAUAAUUGGAAAGUCCCUGUGUGUCAACCUCUGUGCUUCAUGGCAAGGUAGACUAGCAAACAUGCCCAACCUUUACUCUCAGAGACCACGAGGGUUGAUCUCAGAAAUCGAAGAGGCGUUUGCUUUCUCAAAAGCUGGGCUGCUCAAAGACCACGAAGGCCGAUCUCAGAAAUCGAAGAGGCGCUUGCUUUCUCAAAAGCUGGGCUGGUCAGAGACCAUGAGGGCCGAUCUCAGAAAUCGAAGAGGCACCUACUUUUCCAGCCUUGUCAGCACCUGUCAUACGCACACUCAGCUUUGCGGAAAUUAUGGGCAUUCUGUCGAAGACUUUUGGUGAAGUAGAAAGCACAUGAAUCUUACUGUUCAAUCACCCACUUCCCACACGCAACAGUAGCUCAUGGGUACCACAGAUAACUUUACCAAAGGUCUCUACCAAAGUUGAGCACGUGAAGCUUGCAGCUUCAACUACAUCGCUCUGACUAAGAAGGGUAAAAGAAUAGCAAAGAAACAACACUAAAAAAAGUUUAGACACAUAAAUUUUGAAGGUCUAGCUACCAUAUUAUUACCCACAAGGGUAAAGGAAUAGUACCACUGCUGGAUAAUUGGAAAGUCCCUGUGUGUCAACCUCUGUGCUUCGUGGCAAGGUAGACUAGCAAACAUGCCCAACCUUUACUCACAUUCGAGAAAACACUCCCAACAAGAUUACAAGAUUGCUUGCUCCAAAAUCGAAGAGGCACCGUCCUGUGUGUCAACCUUUACUCACAUUCGAGAAAACACUCACUUUCUCAAAAAUCGAAGAGACACCGCUCUCCGAAUCUCGAGAGCCAGACCCCCAGCAUGAUUGCUUUCUCAAAAAUCGAAGAGGCAUCGUUAUCCGAAUCUCGAGAGCCAGAUCCCCGAUAGGAUUGCUUGUUCGAAAACCGAAGAGGCACAAUUUUCCCAACUUCAAGAGCCGAAUCUCCUUGGAUAAAGCUUGUCUGUAAUCUUUACACGCAACAUCGGCUUUCCAGAUACCACAGACCACUUUUUCAAAGUGCUCUGACAGAGUUAAAACAUGUGAAGCUGGCAGCUCCAACUACCGUGCUAUGACCAAGCAGGGUAAAGGAAUAGCAUUACUACUUGUUGUUAGGGAGACUCCUAUAUAUGUCGACCUCCAUCCCCAAUGGACAGGCAGACCUGCAAAAAUGCUCAACCCUUCCUCAUAUCUGAGAGGGCACUCCCAACGAAGCCUUUCGAAAUAUUCAGCUUUCUUUCCCCCCGAUAAUACCUCUGCAAACAAGCUAUACUAAAGCAAGAAUAUCUCAUAUCAUCAGGGUUAAAAGCAAGAGUAUCCCAUAUCAUGCUUUUUCCCUAUCUUUUCCUUUGGCCUUGUUCUUACCUGCAAGACAAAGAGAAAGAGAGCAAUCAGUCAGCACUUGGAAUCAAGCUUCCAGCUAGGAACUGACUGCUUGGAACCCCUUACCUGAUUACUUACCUGGCAUUGCUCUCGAGUACUCAUCUUCAACAUCUUAUGCUUCCAGGGAAGAUACCGCAUCUGCUUGAGGAACAUAUAGGGCAAGUGAGAAGGAUACAAGGAAGCAUGUGGAGACAAGCGUAACAGCACACGUGCCGAUACAUCCAUUACCCUGUCAAAGCAAAAGUAUCCCAUAUCAGCAGGGUCGAACGUACUCUAGAUUUGAUGGACUUGUUUUGACCCUCAAAUUCUUUAGUCGGCCUUAUACUCUGGAGGAAACCAGAAAACCCUCCAGCUCAGUUCAAGAAUAAGCCUGUGGAAAGUUACUUCUUCAAAAGCAAAAGUAUCACAUAUCAUCUCUUCUCAUUUUUCUUCUCUUUAUCCUUCAUGCUGCCUGCAAAAUAGGGAGAAUGUGAACAAUCAGCCGGAGCUCUGAUUGCUUACCUUGUCUGUCACCUUUUUCAGCAAAUCCCCUAGCUCGGCGACUUGGGGGACUCCUACUACAUGGUUUGUAUCGCGCUUGAUCAAGUCUGAAACUACAAGUAAGCUUCAAGUGAAAUUGAUACAUUACCUUGUGCAUCUCCACCAGUUAAAGAUACCACCCCUGGAUGGAGGAAAAGUACUUCCAGAGAAGAUGCCCCAUCUACCUAUGAGAUAGAUAAGGCACGUCAAGACGAUACCACACUCCGAUACUUAGAAGUUUCGUGAUUACGAGAUCAUUCUCCCACAAUAUUUCCUAAUGUCAUUUGUACUAAAUCAUUCACUUGUACUCACUAAAGGAGAGCUUGAACCUAUGUACUUGUGUAAACCCUUCACAAUUAAUGAGAACUCCUCUAUUCUGUGGACGUAGCCAAUCUGGGUGAACCACGUACAUCUUGUGUUUGCUUUCCUAUCUCUAUCCAUUUAUAUACUUAUCCACACUAAUGACCGGAGCAAUCUAGCGAAGAUCACAAAAAGCGAUCGUUUUCGCUACCUAGGAUCUAUCUUGCAAGAGAACGGAGAAUUAGAUGGAGAUCUCAACCAUAGAAUACAAGCUGGAUGGAUGAAGUGUAAGAGUGCAUCCGGCGUGUUGUGUGACCGUCGUAGGCCACUGAAGCUCAAGGGAAAAUUUUAUAGGACGGCAAUAAGGCCAGCGAUGUUGUAUGGCACAGAAUGUUGGGCGGUGAAACAUCAACACGUACACAAAAUGGGUGUAGCGGAGAUGAGGAUGCUUCGUGGGAGGUGUGGGCACACGAGAAAGGAUAAGAUUGGGAAUGAGGAUAUCCGAGGUAAAGUAGGAGUAGCCGAAAUUGAAGGAAAGAUGAGAGAAAAUCGGUUCCGGUGAUUUGGACAUGUGCAAAGAAGGCCUACUGACGCUCCGGUUCGAAGAUGUGACAUGACACAAAACCGAGCGCAAUGGCGUUCUAGGAUUCAUAUAGCCGACCCCACUUAGUGGGAAAAGGCUUUGUUGUUGUUGUUGGCGUAUUUAGAGAACAAUAGCGUAGGAAUGACAGUUUUCGGGUUCACAGAGGAUUGAAUGUGGCUUCACUCCAUUUUUGCAUUCCAAAUGGCUGUUCUGCUAUGGCUGCUAAACAAGAAGAUAUCAAGAUUUUGAUUUGAGGUCGUCAUAUAUUUUUGAGAUUAGGAUUCAGUCAAUCAGCAAUUACGUUGUUUGCUAGCUUAAUAAGCCUAAACACAUCACUACACCUUGUGUUGCUGGUGGAGAUGAGCCAAAUGUUAUAGCCGUAAAGAUUAAUUGUUAAUUAGUGUUAAUUGGAGAGUUUAAGGAAAAUGAAGAAAUACGAAAGGGAAAUUCGGAGAAAGGAAGCAUUCUAUUUGCAUAAUUGCUUUUUAAUACAUAUUUUGGAUGCACCAAAGGUAAUCAAACACUAAUUAAUUAUUUGAUCAUCACAGAACAUCUGUGUUUUAGCUGAUCCUUCCCCAUCUUAUUUAUAUCAUGCACUGCACGCACACCCUUCAGACACGAGGAAUUUUACACAUCAAAAUAGUAAUUAAAAACACAUUAGCCCAUAUCAAUUUAUGAACAGCAAUCUAGAAAAUUGUUAUCAACUAGCACUCAAAAACAGUCACCAUACACUUUUAUUUCUUUUACUAGGGACGAGUGCAAGAUGAUUUUUUUAAGUGUCAAUAGCAACUCAAAUAAUAAAAAAAAAUUGAGAGAGAGCUUACGAUCCACAAUCGAUUUUGGGGUCGAGAGGAACGGGAAGGGACACAUGGCAGAAAUCAGGAAGCUGCUUGAGUCUGUCAGGGUUGAUCGGCAUGCCAGCAGCUGCUUUCUUGAAGCAUUCACAUUGGUUCCUGCGACACUCUCUGGUGGUAGCCGCAGCCUAAACGGUUUGCACACCAACGCAACAUGUAAUCGGAGGAGUCCCGGGGCCAGACCCCGUCAAGUAUUCCUUACAUGGCAUCAAAUCCAUCAAGGCCUGUUGGCAUGUGAUGUCGGGAUUGGAAGGACUUGCAUGGUUCAGAACCAUAACCAUUGAUAGAGAUAGUGCACUUGAGAUGUUGACACUUGUCUAAAUCCUAGAUAGGCAGUUAGUUUAGUAGAAUCUAGUGAGUUGUAUAAAUACCUCAUUCAUGUAAUAACUUCUUAGUUAAGUAAUCAAUACAUGAGAAAUAGCUUGAGCUUUUCAUAUCUCUCUCUCUCUCUCUCUCUAAAUUCUCUCUGUGAUAUUGUUCUUACAAAUUCGUAGUAUAUACAUUAACAACCAUCAGCCCGAAAGGAUCACCAAUUUCAUCUCCAUUUUCUUUUGGAACACAAAAACAAGGCAAAUAUUUAGUUUGGAUAUGCAGAAGACUUGAAGAAUUGAGUGUGACUUGGAGCAUGAACUGCAUCCUCUUCUUAUAGGGGAGUCGCAGGCUGCUUUUUAGUGGCUCAUUUAACGUGUAUAGGUGCAGUCAAGAUUUUUUCUCCUCCUUAAAGAGUUACUUUUUUUCCUUAAACAGCUGGUUUUACUUAAAAGUGAAAACUAUGUCAGACCAAAAGAAAAACAGGUUCAAAACUAGGUAAAAACCACAGGCUUCAACUAAUGGAGGACAUUGCAAAUACCAUUAAUAACCUGUGUUUCUUUUAGUGUUUUGGAUUUUCAUAAUAUUAAUUUUGCUUCUUAUUUUUCCGCAUUUCUAACAAUUUAAAAUGCAAAGGAGCUCUUAGCUAGCUCUGUUGAGCAUUCAUUUUUGGAUCUGAAGUCUCAAACCCUAGAUAUAACUUGUGUAAAACAAUUCGAAAAAGGCAACACUAAAGCAAAAGUUGCACAAACAACUAAUAAAAAUCUCCACAAUGACCGAUAUCUAGCAAAAUCCGAAUGUAGAUGGAUAGUAUAAUUAUAAUUUAAUUCUUUAUUUUUUAAGUUUAAUUUUUGGGUUCAAAAGAUUUUUCAUGUAUAGAUUGUGAAGUUUGAAUUAGGGGGUAUUUUCGAAAAAUUCAUAUAAACAAAACAACAACUAGUUUUUCCAGUUGAGAAAGCGUUGUAUGAUCUGUGACAGCUGGUUUUUAAUUUUAUGAAGAAGAAACGUUUUCUUUGCUGCUAAAACGCUUUAUAGGCCAGAAAUAUAAAAAAACUGAUCAACUGUGCUAAAAGCAUGCUUGUAUUUCAAUAAAAUCCAAAGCUAAUUAACCCGUUGAGGAUUAAAACUCAGCUCUAAUCUUCUGCUCAAUGGAACUCGUGAGUUUCUUGUGUUUGUUUGCAUAACCACGUGUUUGGAGCCAGUGCAUGCAUUGUAUAUAUUGAAUCCAAUUCUCAGGAUGUAAUUAGUCGGCAAAGAAUUGUUGAAAUUUUGAUUUUUUGCUAACAAAGAAGAAAAACCAACUCGAACAAUCCCGGGUUCGUUUGUCUUCCUCCUUAAAAACCCUAGCUAGCUAACACCCAACUCAGAGUACGUACUACAUACGCAGGUCAAGUUUAUGAAUUGUGAGUUAUGACGGAUACUAUAUCAUUAUACAUAAGAUUACACUGACAAUAUUGAAUAUUAUUAAGAGUGUUUCCCUACGGAGAGUUGCUGGUGACCUAACUCUUUAUAAGCUCAGUAAAAUUUCAUAACUUAGUUUACGAUGUGAGACAACACUUCACAUUCUCAAACGCCUUGUCACAUGUACGUAUGAUGACACUCAAGCUAAAUACAUGAACAACAUUUAUUGGGCAAUGACAUAGAACAUGUGUUGUUGUUGGGCUUCAAAAAAUGACCAACAUACUAUGAUAUAUACCAUGAAUAAAGUUAAUAUUCUAUAUAUAUCUAGAGAAAUUUGGAGCAAUGGUCCUUAAAUUUUCGUCCAGUUAAAGCUUUGGUUCUUAAAUUAAUAAUUUAUGAGUAUUGAUUAAUCUUUGAACUAGUUAUAAUGUGGAGCAAUUAAUCAAAAGCUGGGUGGUGAAGGUGGGAAUUAAUUAAAGGCUUGGUGGAUAAUGUUGAUUAUGAUUGGCUGAUUUUCUGGAAAUGCAAAGACUUGAAUAUUUGAGUGUGGCUUGGACCGUGAAUUGCAUGCUCCUAUAAGAAAGUUGCAAGCAUUUUAGUAGCUCAUUUAAUUUGGAGUUAUGCAGUCAAGAUUUUUUCUCCUCCUUCUCAGAUUUGUUUUUACUUAAAUUAAAAACUGUCUGACCAAAAGAAAACUGUGUAAAACCACAGGCGCCAACUAAUGGAGGUGCUAAAAAAAAGUUGAGGUUCCACCAUAAAAUUACUUGACAAUAUAAGGAGUAGUUCAGUUACUUAUAAGUAAGUGUGGCUGCUGGGCAUCACACGCGGGACAACUGCUCUAAUAUUAUGAAGAAAGUUGAGGUUUCACUAUAAAAAAAAAUUGGCAAUAUGAUGAGGAGUAGCUAGCGCAGUUACUUAUAACCACAUACAAGGUCCCUCUUUUCCUCAAUUUGGGAUUGAUACUCUCAACAGGCGCAAAUAUUUUUACUAGGGUAAUGCUAUGAAGACCAACUUUUUAACCCAAAUUUUGUAAACUGUAUGACGUGAUUGUUGAUAAUUGGAUUAUUAUUUAACUGUUAAUUAACAUGCUUAUUUCAUAAUGCUAGAUACACUAACUUUUUAGACCACAUUUACAAACCAUGUGAGAUGUCAUUAAUAAAAAAUAAAUACGUUAAUCAACACUUAAGAAAAGACACAAGUUCCUCCCUAUAAGUAUACUCUCAUUUACCGCUCCCUCUUAUCCUUUGAUGAUGAUCGGUUGCAUUUAACCAUUUUUUAUCCCUUAAAUUAAUUAAUUAAAAUAAAAACUUGCGGUCUCGGGUUCGAAACCCGCUGCUGGUGUGGAAGCCAGACUUAUGGCCAAAGGGAGGCUGAAACACCUCUGUGAAUCUUCCCGGCCCCCUAAAGGAAUGGAUAACCGUGGCUUGCAACUAGUUGUCCCUUUUAAAAAAAAUAAUAAUAAGAAUAAUUAAUUAGAAGGAAACGUUUUACUUAUUUUGGUGUUGGGUUAGAGAUCUAAAGAAGCCAUGGAGAAUCAACAAACAAACUGCAAUGCUUCUGUCGUUAAGCAAGUUUUUGGUUUUUUUUUUUUUUUUUUCUUUUUUUUUUUUUUGCAAUUUCUGGUUAUUUGAUAUCUUGCUUUAGGAGUCCUUUUAAUAAAGCACAUAAUUAUUCUUAUUUUGUUCUUCUUUACUAUAUAAUAUUCAUGUUCAUAAACUAUAUUUGUUUCAUUUCCCCAGGAAACUUACAUAAAUAUAUAUAUUGAAAUGAAAAAACAACUAUGGAAUGGUUAGUGCUAUUCACAUACUCAUUUUUACUUCUCAUGCACUCUUGUUAAUUUUUGGCCUUGAAUAUUCUUCAAUUUAUUCGAUUUGACCACUGAAAAUUGAUAGAGGUAUAUGAGAAGUAAAAAUAAGUGUGUGGAUAGCACUUUCCGGGAUGAUAAUGUUUAACUUGUGUGAAAAUUCCGACAUUGAAGAGAAGAUGCGCACGAGGACGCGCAUAACCUUCACUCUCAUGGGAACCAUGGCAUAUGCUUGUUCUCUUGUUCUUGUUUGUUUUGUUUUUUAAAAGUUUCACCAAUAGGAGGUUUUUUAUGAAAAACUUGAACUUAUAGUAAGCUAGCAAACAAAUUAAUACACUCUUGGUCAAGAGUUUGAAAUGGUUUAGACGCUUAGAAAGCCUUGUAGCCAUCGGAUGGGCAAUAUUCUAAGGCACGUCCAUGUCCACAGCCUUUCUUGGUGCUCGAAAAUCCCGUACGGAAUAUUUUUUCUGAAAACAAGGAAUUGGAUAUCAAUCGGCCUCCUUCUUUAAGUUUCGUCAUCCCCUUCACUUGUUCUCGUUCUUCUUUAAGGACUUAUUUCUGCAAUAAUUUAUCCACCCAAUAUUAUGGCCGUAAGUCAUUUUCUGUUUUUAGUAUUGAAGUUCUUAGUGUAUAUCAUGCUUUUUUGAAUAUUAGAAUUUGACUUAUAGCCACUAAAUGUGUUUUUUCAAUUGUUGAAGAAACUGAUUAUGAUUUAUUUCAUAUAUAUAUAUAUAUUAUGAUUUUAGGGCAUAUAUACUCUCUGGGUUAUGAUUGGGACAUUAUUUCAUUUUCUUAAGGAAUAUCAAUGUUUUAUUGAUUAAUUCAUACCGUAAUGACGGGAUUUGAAACGAUAAAUGUAGAUGUUUGUCUUCGUUGAUUGGAGUCCUGCUCUCUAAGGUCCUCAUUUUGAGGAUCUGUCGUAAUGUCAUUUUUGUCUUCUGUCUUUAACCGUUAUGUCGUUGAUAUUUAAUCGAUAUGUUGUUUGAUAUUUAGUUUUUUUUUAGCUCAUCAAUUAAGUUUUUUAUCAUUUUAGUCAAGUUCCUUUUCUUCACGUGGGGAUAAUAUGAAAACUUACCUACAAUCGAAUUGUUAUUGUAUAUUAUUAGCUUUGUUGAAAACAAAGAAACCUUCUUAAUUAAAAAGAUUACUUUGUUGCAGAAAAAACCCCACGUCCCCAAAUUUGGCGACUGGGACAAUGAUUACAGUAUAUCAUACACUGCAUGUUUUGAGACCGCUAAAAAAAAUGGAGUGAAGGGAAAUCCAAAUGACCCCGAAGACAAUCCAGAGGCCUUAAAAGGCAUGUUCGAGUCCUCCGCCGCACAACCUCCUAACAGCGCCUCGAGUUCGAGCAGCAAGCCACGAACCUCAAGCGAAAAUGUACGCCAAACUGAGGGAGACACUAGCCACGGUGCGCUCCGGCCAAAUGGCGUUGUGCAUGAGCGUAGGGUUUCUGGAGGGAGCUUCAAGAGUUACAGAUCGGAGUCUGGUAGCGAAAGGAGCAACUCCGAUUAUUCUCUCUUGCAGCAACAACCGAGACACCGCCGUGCGAGGUCGGAAAGAAAGAGCAGAUUGGCUUCAUCAGGGAGUGGUCGCAGUCAUAGCAUUCGUAGUCAUAGCAUUUCCAAUUCUCCGAGCAAGCCUAAAAGUACUAACAGUAGUACUCAUCAGUCUAGUGAUCUUAGUCAACACGAUACUGUAAGUUAUCCUUCUUCAUGUUUCUGUCUAAUUAUAGCAUAUAUCUGAAUUCUCUGCCUUUUCUCCCUUCCUAUUUGAACGCUAAAGAUUAAACCACAUCAUCAUCUUAUUUUACCUUUACUGUAGAGAGAAAUAAGAAGAGGAAACUGAGAAAGGAGGGAAGGGAGGAGAGAUUUUUCAGUGUGCAGUAACACGGCUCGAUACAAGUGUCAUUAUACAAUUGGUUAGAAACCUAUGAAAAAAAAAUUCUAAACAAUUGUAGUAUGACACUUGGUUUACCGAGUCGGGGCACACUAAAAAAAAUUCAAUAGGGAAGGGAAAUAAUCCAACUCCUUAUAGCAUAAGGUUUAUUAAACAUAUUAACAAGGAAAAGAAAUGAAAGUGUAACAAUCCCAUUAACGUUAUAAUACGCGUAUAUCUAUUUAUUGAUAGUGUUCCUUAAUUCAUAAAACAACAAAUCUCAUAUCUACUCAUAUUAUAACACGUAAAGUGUGAUCGUCACACUAAAAAAUAUAUUUGAACAUAGAAUUCAUUGCUAAAGCGUGCAAAAUUUGUACUGUGACAGCAUACAAGAGUAUCUUCAAUACCCAAAUUUGGGGAUUGGGAUGAAAAGGAACCCAAAUCUGGUGAAGGUUUUACUUACAUAUUUGAAAAAGUGAAAGAAGAAAAGAAAAUUGCAUCAGCGUUCCCAGUUGUGCCUCAACAACCAAGCAACAAUCUCAACAGUGCGAACGAACGUGAAAAAUCUCCGUCCAAAUCAAAGGUAAUUUUGCGGCCAAACCGAGUUUUGUGAUUAUAUAUUCACGAUAUUGUAAAAUAUCUUCGACGAAUUACUUCUGAUACAUAACUUCUUGUGUUCUUGUGCAGAGAUGGUGCUGCAUCUUUUGAACCGAAAGACAGUGAGAUGGAUAGUAUUUCACAUGUUUAAUAUUUAUGUAAACAAAGGAUUUCUAGCAUUUUAUUUUGUUAAUGGAAGUAUAUUUGAAUUUUUUUUAAUAAACGAUAUUUUCUACGUUAAAGGAGUGGAGGAGUAUGUUAAGCCUCACAAUAGAUUAACCAUAAUAAUGUGGUUCAAAUUCGCUUUUUGGCGAUAAUCGAACAUAAUAUCUCUCAUUUAUAAGUAAAGAAGAUUUAAAUUCAGUUUGUUGACAUUGCUAUUCAAGUUCUUUAUUUUUGAAGUGAAAAUUACCUUUUGAAUUUGAAUAAAUUUUUCAGUGUACCGGUAACACGGCCCGGUACAUCAAUUGUCAUAAUAAAAGUAGUUCAUUUUUUUUUUCAAAUAUUUAACCAUUUAUAUUAACAUUUAAAUGUUGUUGAUGCACAAAAUUUGGAGGAUCUUAGACCAACGUAAAUCCGGUCGUGAAUCACACAAACGCACAAGAACACAAAGAUGUAUCGUGGUUCACCCCAAUAUUUGGGCUACGUCCACACUGAUGUUGAUUCAAUUUCACUGUAUAAAUGUAUGAAUUACAAUAGAUCAGCAAGGGUGCUCUCUGUGGAUGCAGCCCUUGCCAUUUUGCUCUCUGUUUAGCUGAGAGGGUAUUGCCCUCUAUUCUUGUGAGGAUGAAUGUGAGACUCUGUCCCUUAGUGAAGGUGAGACUCUCUAGUUCCUCUUAGUGAAGUUGAGGCCCCUUUUUAUAGAAUAAGGGUUUCCUCCCUUCUUACAUAAAUCAUGGGCUUAGGGAUGAGGCCCAAAGACAAGUCCCAAUAUAUGGUACCAACAAGAGUCCCCCAAGUCUUCAGUCAAGAAAGUCUUUUGGCUGGAGACUUCAAAUCCAAUCCAUGUACGGGGCAAAGUGACUAGAUGUCUUGAACCAAUAUUCAACACAAGGCAAUGCUUAACAUAAAGCAAUACUCAGUUAGAGGUAUCACACGUUGAGAGACUACUCGGCUGGAGGCGAUGCUCGUUGCGAGGCUGCUCAACUAGAGGCUAUGCUCCCGACGAGGCGGUUACUCGGCUGGAGGCGAUGCUCUUUGCGAGGCUGCUCGGCUAGAGGCUAUGUUCGCUGCGAGGCGGCUCGGCUCGUGGUGUUCCUCAUUGCAAGUAUGUACUUUAUGUCAGCGUGUACUCAAUAUGAGUUGAUUCUCGACAUGAUUUGGGUUCGCUUGUCAAGUUCGCAUAUUGGGUUCUUUUAAUCAGCAACAAUGUUGAUCAAUGGAUCUAGUUGCUCAAUAAUUCCUGACAAUAAAUGACAGUAUAAGUAUGACCGUAUAAUGAAUAAAUCAAAUUGACAAAGUUUGUCAAGGCAAAAUAUUGUACUAUGUGUCUUCUAUAAAUAAAUAAUUUAUUCAGUUGUGUGGUAAAUCACAUGUUGUAGAAGUGACAUAGUUUAAUGGCAAUCACAAUACUCUAGGCCAAUAAAUAUUGUAUAACAAAGUUUUACCCUACCACUUUAAAUAAUGAAGUCAUGAAUGAUUAAAGAUGCAAUAAUAAAAUAUUAAUUAAUAAAAUAAUUAUAAGGAAGAUUGCAGACAAGCGUUUGUAAAGCAUAUGCACAUUGUAAAGCAAUUUCAAACCGGGAAUGCACUACAUAGGUGUGAUAGAAAUGAUGUGACCUCAUUAUGCAUACUGUAAAGUAAGUGCUGUCACUUUCCAGUAAUGAUGUGAUGAUGUGGUUUCCAGUAAUAGGACCACCACAAAAUGAUAAUGAAAUAUUAAAUAGUAAAAUAAUUAAUGAAUUUGGAGAACAUUUAUCUCCUUUAUUGCUUUUCCUGUGACUUUUUCAGAAAAUGGGCAGGGACAUGCAUUCCCCUUCAUGAUUCCCCUUCAUGAUGAAAGUUUUAUCUUUCUCAGAAGUUGGCGGGCAUCUUCUGACGGCUUGGUGCUGCAGAGAGCACUGAGCUUUCUGGAAAGCAAGUUUCCAAGCAGUUUCAUCGUAGGCAUGAACAUGUAGAACACAGAUCUGGUCAGGGAGAGCUUCUUUGCUAGGAAGAGACUAGAUGUCACGGCCGGAUUUACGUGAUCAUCGAAACCCAAAUCAGAGGUGGUGGAGAUGGGGCCACGGCUACCAUCGGAGGAAGCCCUAAAGGAAGCGGAGGCGGAAGGAGAAGGCUUAGAAAGCCUACAAUCGGUGGAGGCUUUUGGGGCUAAAACCACAGGGGAAUCUCCAGGCUUCAUGACGAGAAAAUCAUGGAAGAUGGCGUGCUUCCUCCGCUGCUGCUCCUCUAGCUUCUGCUUUUGCGGCUGCUGCUUUUGCUGUUGGCUGCUGAGAGUUGUGGCAUUGCUGUUGGGGAUGCCUUGCCCGCAACCAUAGCAUUAGACGUCAUGGAGGUCUGUAUGCUACACUCAUAAUAAAUAACACCUAGAAGAAAGAGAGGGGGAGGAGAAGCCCCAAAUGGCGGAGGGCCAUUAUUCUCUGCAUGCGACCUGAAUCCUCAAUCCAGUACGGAAGAGUCCAAAAUCCAGCGAAUAAUGCAGAGGAAGACGGAGACGACCACUCCUCUGUAUCUGCGUACGUGCGUUUAUCGCUCUGUGCUAUUUGUAAUUGUAUGUUGAAAGCAAGGAGAGAGAAAGAGAGAGAAAUGUGGUAAUGAGUAUAGAGAGUGGGUUUUCGAAAGGAAUAAGCAACAAACAGCAAUGGGGAAGGUUUGUCCUGGUUCACGCGCUUGGCGGCCUGGAGGGCGACCACCAGAUCAGACACCCAUGAUUCUGUUGGAUCGGAAUUCGUGGAAGAAGUCGACGCAUCCAACGGUCCAAAUUCAUUGUCUUUAAACACCCCUAUCUCUUCGAACAAAUGCAUUAGCAAGGCGAUUCGCCGGACCAGAUCAGUGCAGUCAUUCUUAAACAUGCUGGUAACAUCGCCGCCGAACUUCCUUGCACCAACGACGUCGUUUAGUAAUUGCAGUAACUUCAAUGUACGGUCGAUGCCGCCGGCUAUUGCUCCAGGCAUUGGGUUCUUCUGUUUUCCAUUUGUCUAUGGGAUUCUUUGCGGGAAAGCGAAGGAAAGUUCGGGGUGUGGUUCAUAAGGAACACAACCCGCACCGUGCAGUUAGAGACUAUCGCGACGGGUGGCGCGUACAUGUGUGAGGGAUUGGCUGUUGGGUUUGGAAGUGACACGUUUGGAGGUUCCGGAUGUGUCUUGGGUGUCUUUGUGGCGAAUGAAAGUUGAUGUUUGGUGACGGGUGUUGUGGAGGUUCUUGGGUUUCUGUAGAUUCACGGUGGAGUGUGGUGAGGUGAAAAAAUGAAAGAGAACCGACAUAGCUGUUCGUGUUGUUUUCCACAGACGGCGCCAAAUGUUGAUGCACAAAAUCCGGAGAAUCUUGGACCAACGUAAAUCCGACCGUGAAUCACACAAACGCAUAAGAACACAAAGAUGUAUCGUGGUUCUGGUUGUUUAAUUAGAUGGUGAUGGUCGAAUUACCGGAAACGAAGCCACUAAGUUCUUCGCCAUGUCGAGGCUUUCUCGUGAAGAACUCAAGCAGGUUUUUCAUUCAUUUGUGAUAGCAGCCUAAUAAGCUUCUUUGUUUUAGGGAUUGUUUAUGUAUAAAUCACUUCUGCUCAUAAGUGCUUUUAGUAAAAAUACUGUGAAAAUUUUGUCAACUACUUAUUUGAAAGCACGUUACACUUGCUCAGAAGCACUUCUAAAUUUUGUGCCAGUCAUUGUCAAAAGUGAUUUUAGUUGUGAGAAAAUGCUUUUAUCUUUUCCGUAAGUAGUACUAAAACUAUAAUAUUCGACUAGGAAAGUACGAUUCUAUGGUUUUACCCUUUGGUCUAUAUGUGUUGGAAGUUAAUUUGAUUGUAUUUGGGAUUAGGGCAUAUGAUUGUUUGGAACUCACUUUUUGUUUUCUCAUUUAUCAUUCAAGGUUUGGGCGAUUGCUGACACGAAACGACAGGGAUUUGUAGGUUUUUCGGAGUUCGUUACUGCAAUGCAGGUUGUGCAUGAUUUUUGGGAUAUAUUUCCUUAUUAGUGUAUGUUGUAUUAGGCUAUUGAAAAUUGCCAUAGAAUCUUUCCCUCAUUUGUGGUUGAAUUUGAUAGAUGAUUUCUUUAGCACAAGACCAUGAAUCAACCCCCGACAUCCUCAAAACUACAGGCAAGAAAGUUUGUUUAAUAUCGUAUUUCCUGUUUUUGUAAAUGUGGAAGAAUCCAACAUAUACAUUUUAUCUAUGUCUCAUUCGAUUUGUUCCUCAAGUUCUUCAUGUUCAAUUGCAGUUGAUUGGGAAAACAAUAAACCUCCAGUUAUAGAAGGUUUGGAUGAUUUGGUAGCUGUGAGUAUCUUCCUUUUCCCUCCCUUUUGACUUUAUAACAUACAUUGUGACUUUCACUUAUUAUUUUCUCGAUUCUGUACUAACAGAAAACCAAGAGUUUAACAACAUAUGGAGUUGAAGUAAAUGGUUAGAAAAUCCAUCCAACUUUUUAAGGAAUAUACUUGUUAUAAUCUUGUACUGAAGUCUUCGUUGGAAAUGACCAUCAGUUCAGCGGUUUGGUUCAAAAUCAGCAAAGAAAGUAAGAUCAAUGUCCAUUGUGCCAUUGACUACUGCUGUAUUUUUAUACUUUUCGUUCGUUUUUUCAUGAGUUAAACAAUCUCAGUUUCUUUACUUAUUCGAUUGAAACAUUUUAUCUUUUUUGUCACCUAUAGAUCAACUUGUUUUUACAUAUUAAUGGAGGGAUGUCUCCUCUUUCCUUGUUGCCUGACUAUUUAAAACAUUUUUCUUCAGCUCCCUCUUAAUGCUGUGACAUCUAUUGUUGAUGGCUUGAAGAGAAUGUACAAUGAGAAACUAAAGCCCUUGGAACUUGCAUAUCGUUUCAACGAUUUUGCAUCUCCAUUGUUAGUGAGUGGAUUUCUAUAUGUUUGGAUGUAUAUCCUUCAAAGUGUGUCGGGGAAUCAAAUAUCCUUUUGCUCUUCUUUGCACUGUUUCGUUCAGAUACUACAUUUGCUAAACCUAUGGCUGAUUUAUUUCUUUGCAGACUGAUAGUGAUUUUGAUUCUAAACCCAUGGUCAUGCUUUUGGGUCAGUAUUCAACUGGGAAAACAACAUUUAUUAAACAUUUGUUACGAUGCAACUAUCCAGGUUGGUUAAGUUAUCGCUGAAAUUAUUAAUUGACAACCUCGGCGUUGAAGGAUUUAACAUUCGCUUGUUGGAACAGGAGCUCACAUUGGACCAGAACCUACUACAGAUGGAUUCGUUGUAGUGAUGGUAUAAUCGCUAAUCACCUGGUUUCCUUCCAAAAAGUUUAUCAAGUUUAUUUCUUUGUACUUUCUGACGUUUAUAUUGUAUGUUAAAUGUUUUUGGUAAUUCUAAUUGUUGAUCACAACACAUGGGAUGCACUUAUUCUUAAUCAUUGAAACCACAUUUAGCCAAAGGAUUAUGUCAUUAGGUUAAAAAUUAAGUACCCAAAAAAGUGAGACUGUCCUUGGAACUGGCCAUUAUAUGAACCUUCCUGCUUCCUCUUCUCCAAGUCUGUCUCAACCAUUUGAAUGAGCAGGCAACCUAGUGGUAAAAAUAAAGAUUAGCAUGCAUGCUGUAUUGAUGUGCCCAGAAAAUCCCCGGACAGAUUUAAGUCAAAUUGGAAAAUGAAAAAUAUACCUGAACAUUUCCAUGAGGAUCUCUUUCAAGCAUCAACUGCUCUUGGGAUUGCUUCAGGUAGAAAAUCAAAAAGCUCUAGAGAUUGGCUUGUAAGUUUCUUUUUCCACAGCCCAUCUUCAUCUAUAACUUCAUGGGCCAGAAUUUCAUUCAAUUCAGCAAUAAGCUGCUGCACCUGCAAACGGAAAGGUUAAAAACAUUAAUGUUAGUCAAUGCAGUUAUUUGAGUGUGCAUCUAUGUGUGAAACAGUAGAACACUUGCUUUCCAAGUAAACAAAGGAAUAUGAAGAAAGAAGGGUUUAAAGUUGUUAUAUUAAGGAUCAAGGAUAAUACCUCAGGAAUGAAAUCAAUUAGACCCUCAGGGAUAAGUAUAACACCAUAGUUAUAACCCAGGUCAGCACGCUUCAAGAUUACAUUCACAAUGUGGUCAGUGACAUUUUUCAGUGUCAGCUUCUUUGCAGCAACCUGAAGAAAGAUAUAUGUCAGAUGUAUUCGGCAAAUGGAUAUCUUUUGGCUGCACCAAUAGAUUACUUUGCACCAUAUUACUUUUUAGAAAGUAAGUGUCAAUCAAGUUGUGAGAGAGACACCAAUGCUUAUUGCGUUAAUAUUCCCACAACACCAAUUUAAUAAAUAAAAAAGCAAUAUAAGCAAUUUGAAUAUGAAGAACAAUAUAACUGACCUCUUCUCCAAUAAUUGUAAUGUUUGGAUGAGUUUGCAAAGCACAUUCUAAAGUAAUGUGUGAAGCCGCACGCCGCAUAAGUCUUACAACUGAAGACAGAUGCGCCAAAUUAUAUUUUAUACCGCAAACAUAAGCUUGAAAAAUUUAAGUAUGUAUCUAGUAGAAAUUUGAUUUACUAACAACGAUAAUAUUUUCCAGUUGACCGGGCAUUUGUCAUCACAUUGCCAAUCAUUUCUGCAUAUAUCUGCAUAAAGUUUUUAACAGCCUAUUACAAUUAUGCUGAAACAGUGAAUUUAGCUAAAUGUAUCAAAUAAGGUGUCUAAAUGCUCAUUGAACUCCUGUGAUUAGGAGGAAUUUACACAUGAUACUUUAGAUACAGGAAUUAAAGGUGCUUUCAUGUUUGUGAUGGGAAGAUGAAAAUUAAUUACAAUACAACAUGGAUCUGUACAAUUUGAGUUAUUAAUUAACAUUAAAAAGCCAAAAGAAACAAAGAAAAAAAGUUAUAGUCACCUUGAAGCAGUGUCCAAUCCAAAACUUAUGGGGACCUCUUUGCAUUUCAAGUCACUGUCAAUGGUUUUGGGGCAACCUAUCACACGAGUUUUCAAGUUCUUCCCCCUGGUUUAACAGAUACAACAACAACAACAACAACAAAGCCUUUUCCCACUAAGUGGGGUCGGCUAUAUGAAUCCUAGAACGCCAUUGCGCUCGGUUUUGUGUCAUGUCCUCCGUUAGAUCCAAGUACUCUAAGUCUUUUCUUAGAGUCUCUUCCAAAGUUUUCCUAGGUCUUCCUCUACCCCUUCGGCCCUGAACCUCUGUCCAGUAGUGACAUCUUCGAACCGGAGCGUCAGUAGGCCUUCUUUGCACAUGUCCAAAUCACCGGAACCGAUUUUCUCUCAUCUUUCCUUCAAUUUCGGCUACUCCUACUUUACCUCGGAUAUCCUCAUUCCCAAUCUUAUCCUUUCUCGUGUGCCCACACAUCCCACGAAUCAUCCUCAUCUCCGCCACACCCAUUUUUUGUACGUGUUGAUGCUUCACCGCCCAACAUUCUGUGCCAUACAACAUCGCUGGCCUUAUUGCCGUCCUAUAAAAUUUUCCCUUGAGCUUCAGUGACCUAUGACGGUCACACAACACGCCGGAUGCACUAUUACACUUCAUCCAUCCAGCUUGUAUUUUAUAGUUGAGAUCUCCAUCUAAUUCUCCGUUCUCUUGCAAGAUAGAUCUUAGGUAGCGAAAGCGGUCGCUUUUUGUGAUCUUCGCUAGAUUGCUCCGGUCAUUAGUAUGGAUAAGUAUAUAAAGGGAUAGAGAUAGGAAAGCGAACACAAGAUGUACGUGGUUCACCCAGAUUGGCUACGUCCACGGAAUAGAGGAGUUCUCAUUAAUUGUGAAGGGUUUACACAAGUACAUAGGUUCAAGCUCUCCUUUAGUGAGUACAAGUGAAUGAUUUAGUACAAAUGACAUUAGGAAAUAUUGUGGGAGAAUGAUCUCGUAAUCACGAAACUUCUAAGUAUCGGAGUGUGGUAUCGUCUUGACGUGCCUUAUCUAUCUCAUAGGUAGAUGGGGCAUCUUCUCUGGAAGUACUUUUCCUCCAUCCAGGGGUGGUAUCUUUAACUGGUGGAGAUGCACAAGGUAAUGUAUCAAUUUCACUUGAAGCUUACUUGUAGUUUCAGGCUUGGUCAAGCGCGAUACAAACCAUGUAGUAGGAGUCCCCCAAGUCGCCGAGCUAGGGGAUCUGCUGAAAGAGGUGACAGACAAGGUAAGCAAUCAUAGCUCCGGCUGAUUGUUCACAGUCUCCCUAUCUUGCAGGCAGCAUGAAGGAUAAAGAGAAGAAAAUGAGAAGAGAUGAUAUGAGAUACUUUUGCUUUUGAAGAAGUAACUUUCCACAGGCUUAUUCUUGAACUGAGCUGGAGGGUUUUCUGGUUUCCUCCAGAGUAUAAGGCCGACUGAAGAAUUUGAGGGUCAAAACAAGUCCAUCAAAUCUAGAGUACGUCCAACCCUGCUGAUAUGGGAUACUUUUGCUUUGAUAGAGUAAUGGAUGUAUCGGCAUGUGUGCUGUUACGCUUGUCUCCACAUGCUUCCUUGUAUCCUUCUCCCUUGCCCUAUCUGUUCCUCAGGCGGAUGCGGUAUCUUCCCUGGAAGCAUAAGAUGUUGAAGAUGAGUACUCGAGAGCAAUGUCAGGUAAGUAAUCAGGUAAGGGGUUCCAGGCAGUCAGUUCCUGGCUGGAAGCUUGAUUCCAAGUACUGACUGAUUGCUCUCUUUCUCCUUGUCUUGCAGGUAAGAACAAGGUCAAAGGAAAAGACAGGGAAAAGCAUGAUAUGGGAUACUCUUGCUUUUAACCCUGAUGAUAUGAGAUAUUCUUGCUCUAGUAUAGCUUGUUUGCAGAGGUAUUAUCGGGGGGAAAGAAAGCUGAAUAUUUCGAAAGGCUUCGUUGGGAGUGCCCUCUCAGAUAUGAGGAAGGGUUAAGCAUUUUUGCAGGUCUGCCUGUCCGUUGGGGACGGAGGUCGACAUAUAUAGGAGUCUCCUUAACAACAAGUAGUAAUGCUAUUCCUUUACCCUACUUGGUCAUAGCACGGUAGUGGGAGCUGUCAGCUUCACAUGUUUUAACGCUGUCAGAGCACUUUGAAAAAUUGGUUUGUGGUAUCUGGAAAGCUGAUGUUGCGUGUGAAGAUUACAGACAGCUUUAUCCAAGGAGAUCCGACUUUUGAAGUUGGGAAAGUGUUGCCUCUUCGGUUUUCGAACAAGCAAUCCUAUCGGGGAUCUGGCUCUCGAGAUUCGGAGAACGAUGCCUCUUCGAUUUUUGAGAAAGCAAUCAUGCUGGGGGUCUGGCUCUCGAGAUUCGGAGAGCGGUGUCUCUUCGAUUUUUGAGAAAGUAAUCAUGUUGGGAGUCUGGCUCUCGAGAUUCGGAGGGCGGUGCCUCUUCGAUUUUGGAGCAAGCAAUCUUGUUGGGAGUGUUUUCUCGAAUGUGAGUAAAGGUUGGGCAUGUUUGCUAGUCUACCUUGCCACGAAGCACAAAGGUUGACACACAGGGACUUUCCAAUUAUCUAGCAAUGGUACUGUUCCUUUACCCUCUUCGAUUUUUGAGAAAGUAGUCAUGUUGGGAGUCUGGCUCUCGAGAUUCGGAGGACGGUGCCUCUUCGAUUUUUGGAGCAAGCAAUCUUGUUGGGAGUGUUUUCUCGAAUGUGAUUAAAGGUUGGGCAUGUUUGCUAGUCUACCUUGCCACGAAGCACAGAGGUUGACACACAGGGACUUUCCAAUUAUCCAGCAGUGGUACUGUUCCUUUACCCUUGUGGGUAAUAAUAUGGUAGCUAGACCUUCAAAAUUUAUGUGUCUAAACUUUGUUAGUGUUGUUUCUUUGCUAUUCUUUUACCCUUCUUGGUCAGAGCGAUGUAGUGGGAGCUACAAGCUUCACGUGUUCAACUUUGGCAGAGAACUUUGGCAAAGUUAUCUGUGGUACCCAUGAGCUACUGUUGCGUGUGGGAAGUGGGUGAUUGAACAGUAAGACUCAUGUGCUUUCUACUUCACCAGAAGUCUUCGACCGAAUGCCCAUAAUUUCCGCAAAGCUGAGUGUGCGUGUGACAGGUGCUGACAAGGCUGGAACAGUAGGUGCCUCUUCGAUUUCUGAGAUCGGCCCUCGUGGUCUCUGAGCAGCCCAGCUUUUGAGAAAGCACGCGCCUCUUCGGUUUCUGAGAUCGGCCUUCGUGGUCUUUGCGCAGCCCAGCUUUUGAGAAAGCAAACGCCUCUUCGAUUUCUGAGAUCGACCCUCGUGGUAUCUGAGCAGCCUUGCUUUUGAGAAAGCAAACGCCUCUUCGAUUUCUGAGCAGGCGCCUCUUCGAUUUCUUAAGCUCCGUCGAGUGCAGAUUUUUAUAGGGGCUGGCAUUAAGUUCCAAAGCACACUUGAAUCUCCACCAGUAGAAGCUCCAUUCUUGCACUUCUAAGAUCUUGAUUUGUCCGACCUCUUCUCUCUUCAACAACUUUGAAAAUGUCUAGCCCCUCCGACCGUCGUUUUGACUUGAACCUUGUUGAAGAGGCAGCCCCGCCUUCUCCUGACAACAUAUGGCGUCCAUCCUUCGUCUCCCCUACUGGUCCUCUUACCGUUGGGGAUUCCGUGAUGAAGAAUGAUAUGACCGCUGCGGUGGUGGCCAGGAACCUUCUCACUCCCAAAGAUAACAGACUACUUUCCAAACGGUCUGAUGAGUAGAUGUUAAGGAUUCUCUGGCUCUCAGUGUUCAGUGUGCAGGUUCUGUGUCUAAUAUGGCCCAACGCCUAUUUGCUCGAACCCGCCAAGUUGAAUCAUUGGCGGCUGAAGUGAUGAGUCUCAAACAGGAGAUUAGAGGGCUCAAGCAUGAGAAUAAACAGUUGCACCGGCUCGCACAUGACUAUGCUACAAACAUGAAGAGGAAGCUUGACCAGAUGAAGGAAUCUGAUGGUCAGGUUUUACUUGAUCAUCAGAGAUUUGUGGGUUUAUUCCAAAGGCAUUUAUUGCCUUCGUCUUCUGGGGCUAUACCGCGUAAUGAAGCUCCAAAUGAUCAACCUCUGAUGCCUCCUCCUUCUAGGGUUCUGUCCAGUACUGAGGCUCCGAAUGAUCCCCCCUCCGGUGCCUUCUCUUUCUGGGGCUCUACCGACUGCUGAGACUUCUCCUAAGCAACCUUUGUGAAGGCUCCCUCUUGUUUGUUUAUUUUGACUUAUGUAUAUGUACAUAUUUGUAGCUUAUCGGGGAUAUCAAUAAAUAAGCUUUCCUUCAUUUCAACGUAUUGUGUUAAAUACACCAAAGCCUUCUUCGCUAAGUUCUUUGAAUUUUCUUUUGUUGAAGCUUUGUGAGUGGAGCAUGUAGGUUGAGGUAGUGUUCCCUUAAUUUCCUGAGUGAGGAAAACUUCUCGGUUGGAGACUUGGAAAAUCCAAGUCACUGAGUGGGAUCGGCUAUAUGAAUCUUAGAACGCCAUUGUACUCGGUCCUGUGUCAUGUCCUUCGUUAGAUCCAAGUACUCUAAGUCUUUUCUUAGAGUCUCUUCCAAAGUUUUCCUAGGUCUUCCUCUACCCUUUCGGCCCUGAACCUCUGUCCCAUAGUCGCAUCUUCUAAUCGGAACGUCAGUAGGCCUUCUUUGCACAUGUCCAAACCACCGUAACCGAUUUUCUCUCAUCUUUCCUUCAAUUUCGGCUACUCCUACUUUACCCCGGAUAUCCUCAUUCCUAAUCUUAUCCUUUCUCGUGUGCCCACACAUCCAACGAAGCAUCCUCAUCUCCGCUACACCCAUUUUGUGUACGUGUUGAUGCUUCACCGCCCAACAUUCUGUGCCAUACAACAUCGCCGGCCUUAUUGCCGUCCUAUAAAAUUUUCCCUUGAGCUUCAGUGGCAUACGGCGGAUCACACAACACGCCGGAUGCACUCUUCCACUUCAUCCAUCCAGCUUGUAUAUUCUAUGGUUGAGAUCUCCAUCUAAUUCUCCGUUCUUUUGCAAGAUAGAUCCUAGGUAACGAAAACGGUCGCUCUUUGGUAUUUCUUGAUCUCCGAUCAUCACCCCUAACUCGUUUUGACCUCCAUUUGCACUGAACUUGCACUCCAUAUAUUCUGUCUUUGAUCGGCUUAGUCGAAGACCUUUAGAUUCCAACUCUUCUCUCCAAAGGUUAAGCUUUGCAUUUACCCCUUCCUGAGUUUCAUCUAUCAACACUAUAUCGUCUGCGAAAAGCAUACACCAAGGAAUAUCAUCUCUUGAAUAUGUCCUGUUAACUCAUCCAUUACCAACGCAAAAAGGUAAGGACUUAAGGAUGAGCCUUGAUGUAAUCCUACAGUUAUGGGAAAGCUUUCAGUUUGUCCUUCAUGAGUUCUUACGGCAGUCUUUGCUCCUUCAUACAUAUCCUUUAUAACUUGGAUAUAUGCUAUUCGUACUCCUUUCUUCUCUAAAAUCCUCCAAAGAAUGUCUCUUGGGACCCUAUCAUACGCUUUCUCCAAAUCUAUAAAGACCAUGUGUAAAUCCUUUUUCCCAUCUCUAUAUCUUUCCAUCAAUCUUUGUAAGAGAUAGAUUGCCUCCAUGGUUGAGCGCCCUGGCAUGAACCCGAAUUGGUUGUCUGAAACCCGUGUCUCUUGCCUCAAUCUAUGCUCAAUGACUCUCUCCCAGAGCUUCAUUGUAUGACUCAUUAGCUUAAUACCCCUAUAGUUCACGCAAUUUUGUACGUCGCCCUUAUUCUUGUAGAUAGGCACCAAAGUGCUCGUUCGCCACUCAUUUGGCAUCUUCUUCGUUUUCAAAAUCCUAUUGAAAAGGUCAGUGAGCCAUGUUAUACCUGUCUCUCCCAAAACUUUCCACACUUCGAUUGGUAUAUCGUCUGGGCCUAUUGCUUUUCUAUGCUUCAUCUUUUUCAAAGCUACAACCACUUCUUCCUUCCGGAUUCGACGAUAAAAAGAGUAGUUUCUACACUCUUCUGAGUUACUCAACUCCCCCAAAGAAGCACUCCUUUCAUGUCCUUCAUUGAAAAGAUUAUGAAAAUAACCUCUCCAUCUGUCUUUAACCGCGUUCUCUGUAGCAAGAACCUUUCCAUCCUCAUCCUUGAUGCACCUCACUUGGUUUAGGUCCCUUGUCUUCUUUUCCCUUGCUCUAGCUAGUUUAUAGAUAUCCAACUCUCCUUCUUUGGUAUCUAGUCGUUUAUACAUAUCGUCGUAAGCCGCUAACUUAGCUUCUCUCACAGCUUUCUUCGCCUCUUGCUUCGCCUUUCUAUACCUUUCACCAUUUUCAUCAGUCCUAUCCUUGUAUAAGGCUUUACAACAUUCCUUCUUAGCCUUCACCUUUUUUGUACCUCCUCAUUCCACCACCAAGAUUCCUUUUGGUGUGGGGCAAAGCCCUUGGACUCUCCUAAUACCUCUUUUGCUACUUUUCGGAUACAACUAGCCAUGGAAUCCCACAUUUGGCUAGCUUCCCCAUCUCUAUCCCACACACACUGGGUGAUUACUUUCUCUUUGAAAAUGGCUUGUUUUUCUUCUUUUAGAUUCCACCAUCUAGUCCUUGGACACUUCCAAGUCUUGUUCUUUUGUCUCACUCUUUUGAUAUGUACAUCCAUCACCAACAAGCGAUGUUGAUUAGCCACGCUCUCUCCUGGUAUAACUUUGCAAUCCUUACAAGUUAUACGAUCCCCUUUCCUCAUUAGAAGAAAAUCUAUUUGUGUUUUUGACGACCCACUCUUGUAGGUGAUCACAUGUUCUUCUCUCUUCUUAAAGAAGGUGUUGGCUAAGAAGAGAUCAUAUGCCAUUGCAAAAUCCAAGAUAGCUUCCCCAUCCUCGUUUCUCUCCCCAAAACCAUGGCCACCAUGAAAACCUCCAUAGUUGCCUGUCUCCCUGCCCACGUGUCCAUUUAAAUCUCCUCCUAUAAAUAACUUCUCCGUCUGAGCAAUUCCUUGCACCAAGUCUCCAAGGUCUUCCCAAAAUUUCUCCUUCGAACUCGUAUCCAACCCUACUUGAGGUGCGUACGCACUAAUCACAUUGAUAAGUUCUUGUCCUAUUACAAUCUUGAUUGCCAUGAUUCUAUCUCCUACCCUCUUGACAUCUACAACAUCUUGUGUCAAGGUCUUGUCCACGAUGAUGCCAACACCGUUUCUCGUUCUAUUUGUGCCCGAAUACCAAAGUUUAACCCUGAGUUUUCUAGAUCCUUUGCCUUACUACCAACCCACUUAGUUUCUUGUAGGCACAUAAUAUUUAUCCUUCUCCUCACCAUAACUUCCACUACUUCCAUAGACUUUCCCGUUAAGGUUCCUAUAUUCCACGUUCCUAAACGCAUUUUGCUCUCUUGAACUCUACCCUUCUGUCCUAGCUUCUUCACCCUCCCCCGUCUAAUAGGAUCAAAGUACUCCUGGUUUAACAGAUAAAGAAAAAAAUUACAAAACAGGAGAAACAAUUAUAUCAAAACAAAAUGUAACCUACUCUCAUAAUUGCAUCAAAAGGCACCACGUUUGGAAUGGCAAGUAAAAUCAUUCCAAAGAACUUCGUCACAACAAACCUGAAGUUUUCAGCAAGGAGGCAGGCAUUUGUGUUUGAGUCAUCUCCACCGAUAACAACAAGCCCAUCCAAAUCAAGCUUCACGGCUGUUUCUUGUGCUUGUUUAAACUAUAAUACAUAUCCAUUUAAAAUGGUUAGUUGGUUAGAUAAACAUACUUAACAUGAAUAUCCAUUUAAAAUGGUUAGUUGGUUAGAUAAACAUACUUAACCUGAAUAUCUUCACAAAGGAAACAAGAGCCACCUGCUCUGGAGAUUCAAUCUUGUCCCUUCCACUGCAAAUCAUAUCGAAACCACCCUGAUAAGACGAAAAUACAAGCAACACGUCAAUUAUUUUCUAGCCAAAACGAACUUACACGUAAAACAGAUGCAUAUAUGUAGCUAUGUAUGUGCUGUAUAUAUUGCUUUCAAGAAUUUAAACAUAGACACGCACAUAUCCCUGUGCCAAAUAAUCGAUCCUUACAACAAUUAACUUGAGGUAAAGGCUUCACACAAGGUAAAAAUUCACAUUCAAAACACUCACGUGAUUCUGUAUGUAUAAAUAUACACGGGGGUAAGUUAGAUGUAUUUGUUUUUCAUGAUCCCAGCAGGCCCGCCACUAAAUUAAUCUAACACCAAAACACCAAAACACGGAUCGAAUUCAACCAAAAUUCGAAAAGAAAAACGAAGUUUACGAAACAUAUAACAAAUUGAUACUUAAGACCCUCACCGAAAAUUCCAGAAAUCACAUUGUGUCCUCCGGGCGCUUGGCCUCCAGAUAAAACGACACCGAUCUUCAGCUUCUGCUCCGGUAGACCCGAAUCGGAAUCUCAGUAACCUUAACUGUUUGAUCCUUUAUGCUUGGGGGUGGGGGGUAUCGAACUUGGGUGGGGGGUAUCGAGGUGGGAGUUUCUUUGGCUCUAGUGCCACUGCACUCGGCCCCCAUCCUCAGUAACCUUAACUGUUUGAUCCUUUAUGCUUUUCCAUCCAACAUUCUUUGUUACUUAAUUAAGCAUAUAGCAAAGGUGGAUGAAAUCUACCAAGAAGGGAUUAAUAGGCUAAUUUUAAAUAGUUUAGAGGGUUAAUUUAUUAAAAAAAUAGUUCAAGUAAUUAAUUUCAACUGGAGUAAUAGUUCAAUGACUCAAAUGACAGUUUACCUUAAAAAUAAUGAUGCAUAACUCAUACUUGUUUUUGGGUCAAGUAUAUAACUCAUACUGUCCAUUAGGCAAAUGAGAUAUAUAUCGUUUUAUUAAUACGAUGUUAGUUGAACAAUGUUAGACUCUAGGACUAAGACAUUUUUUUUCCUCUUUCAUUAUACAGUUACGUAAUGGAAUGAUACCAUAAGCGGUGUUUAAAUCAUCAUUCAAAUAAUAAGGUAGGUCCAAAUCCUUCUUUGAAUAAUCCUGGUAGUUAUCUAGAAGGAUUUGGUUGUCCAAAUUUUGUAGGACAAUUUACCCUUUUAAAUUUUUCCUAUUCCCUUGACAUUUUUGGCUUCGCCAUUGUCUGCAUCUAGGUUGGAGUCUCCUCUCCGUAAUUUAGAUUACUAGAUCAAAUUCAAACGUCUUACGAAUCAAAAAAUAUAUAUUAUAUUAUUAUUUGUGAGACAUGUGUUGCACAGUUGGUGAAAAGAGUACAAUUGGAAACUAAUAAGCUAAGCAACGGUAGAUGUUUGUAUGGAUAAAGAGCUUAUAGCUAAGGAACAAUAAGUUAUAUCCACAAAUCCCAUUUUACUUCUCACACUUUUCUAAUUUUCAACCAUCAGAUCAAAUAAAUUGAAGAAGAUCAACGGACAUAAAUUAGUAAGAGAAGUGUGAGAAGUAAAAUGAGGUGUGUGGAUAGCACACCCCAAGUUAGUAACCUUAAGUGUUCGAUCCUUUAUGCUUUAUUAUCCACCAUUUUUUGUUACUCAAUUAAGCAUAUAACAGAGGUAGAUGUUUGUACAGAUAAAGCAGAUCCAGCUAGAAAUCAUUUUAAGCUUUUAUUAUUUCAAAGCAGAUAGCAAAGACGCUGCUUGCAGACAAUCUCCAGGACAUGAGAUGUAAUUUUCUACAAUGAAUGAAUAUUAUAAAACUGAAUAUUAAUUUCUUGACAAAUAAAAAAAAUGCUAUAUAUAUGUAUUGUAGCGAGGCAUGUGUUGCACGCUUUGUGAAAAGAAUCUACAGUUAAUCAACUAAGCAAAGGUAGAUGCUUGUAUGGAUAAAGCACGUACAGCUAAGAAACAGUAAGUGAACUUAACUCUUCGAUCCUUUAUGCUUUAUUAUUUAACACUCUUUGUUACUUAAUUAAGAAAAGCAUAUAGCAGCUAGCCUAUAAAUCAAAGCCACAACCGCCGCAUUACAUUCCCCAAGCUAUCUAGUACACUAGAAAUGGAGCACUGGGAAACGCUAACGGAUAGGCCGGUGGAGGAGGAUGAGGUAGCGAGAGAGGUUAGCUUAAUUCACAUUGAAGAAUUGAAAGAUCCCUAUGAAUAUGUCAUGACGGAGAACUGGGAAGGCGUGCAGGAUUUCUUCGAGAAGAAUCCGGAACAUCUGCUCUCUAAAAUUACAAUGGACGGAGGCACUGUAUUCCACCUUGCGGCUUCUUGCAGCAGCAAAUCACAACGCAAAAAUCUCAAAAUGGUUAUCGAUAUACUCCGCAGGAAUCCAUCCGACGGUGACGUGAGAAGAGCUCUGACGAAGAAAAAUAAUGCCGGAAACAAUACUCUCCAUGAGGUGAGUAUGACCGGCAACAAGGAAGCGGCAAUGUACUUGGUGAGCAUUGCUGAUAAAGAGAAAUGUGCACUGGAGCUGCUGGAGACUCGGAACUCUUCAGGAGAAACUUCGCUCUUCAAGGCGGCUGCUUACGGUUUCACUGACUUGGUCAAGUUUUAUGUUGGCAAACUGGAGAAUUAUGAUCGGGACAACCUUUGGAAGCACUUCCACAGAAGUGACAAAACGUCCAUUCUUCAUAUCGCAGUCGUUGCGCAACAUUUCGGUCUCUCUCUUUCUCAGAAAAAAUGCACACAAUUAUAUGCAAUGCAGAUUAAUAACUUUUGCUCUUUUGUCUUCCACAAUGCAGAGACCGCUCUUUGGUUAGUGGAGAACAACCCAUAUCUAGGGCCCCUAAAGAACAAUAAAGGAUUGACAAGCCUUCAGUUGCUAGCCCAAAUGCCAACUGCCUUUGAUCCACAUUUUGAAAAAUGCAAAUGGAAGAUGCUAAUUUAUUAUUGUACGUGCCAUUACCUUAAUUACAUGCUUACAUGCUAUAUAUACACAGGUGCAAGCAUGGAUUUUUAUUUAUUUUUAAUGAAGCAGUAAUCUCAUACUUAAUGUUGUUAUAUAUAUAUGCAGGCCUUCCUGUUGGAGGAGAUGUGGUCACACCAAAUCAGAAUAUGAAGGAUAAGGAUGAUGUGGAGAGCAAUAGGAAGGAUGAUGUGGAGAGCAAUAUGAAGGAUGAUGUGGAGAGCAAUAGGAAGGAUGAUGUGGAGAGCAAUAGGAAGCAUAAGGAUAAGGAUGAUGUGGAGAGCAAUAUGAAGGAUGAUGUGGAGAGCAAUAGGAAGGAUGAUGUGGAGAGCAAUAUGAAGGAUGAUGUGGAGAGCAAUAGGAAGGAUGAUGUGGAGAGCAAUAGGAAGCAUAGGGAUGAUAUGGAGAAGCAUAAGGAUGAUAUGGAUGAUAUGGAGAAGCAUAAGGAUGAUGUGGAGAGCAAUAGGAAGGAUGAUGUGGAGAGCAGCAUGGAGAGCAACCAGCCGCACCGCCAAUCCAUCUUUCGGAACAAGCUUGCAGGUAACCUAAUUAAUUAAUCAAAUAAAGUACACAGUUAGCUAGCUAAACGCUCCUUUAUUCGGCAUUUUUUCCAAUGCUGAUGAAGCUGCACGCAUAAAAAUGUUUUGCAGGCUUUGUGAAGGUUUACAUUUCACUACGGGACUCCCUUGCUAAAAGUUUGCUUACGUUCUGGCUUUUUUUCGGUACAUUUUUAUCUAGAUGAACACUUGUUAAAACUCUAAAAAAAUCCUUAUGCACUCAUUUCUUAUAAUUUUACACAAGAAGAUAAAGAGUGCAUGAUAAUUUAUUUGGAGCGCCCAUGUGACCUUCCUAAUUAUAACACGUUAAUUAAUUUUACAUAUGUUUGAUCAUGUGAUGAAUAGAAAUAGGAGGCCUGAUAUGGGAGGACAAGAAAAAUAAAAAAGCACUAGAUAAACUCAUCCCACUGCUCGCCAAGUGGGACAAAUCUUGGUGUACUAUAGAUGCUGCAGGCGAAGAUAGCACUUCUAUGCUGUCAGAGAAAAAAGGUUAUGAUAACGGAGGCGAAAAAAGAAAGGCGGCCGUAUCGGAUGAGACAAAUGGUGAUGAUGGAGGUGGAAAAGAAAAGGAUGCAGCCAAAUCGGAAAAACUUAAUAAAGAUGGUGAUGACGGAGGAAAAAAAGGACAGGCGGCCGCAUCGGAUAAGACAAAUGGUGAUGAUGGAGGUGGAAAAAAAGAGGAAUUAGCCAAAUCGAAAGAGGAGGCGAGGAAUUCUAGCGCAUUGCUUAUGGCAACUAUCAAUGGAAUUCUACCCAUUGUGAAGGAGAUAGUUGGCCAGCAUCCUCAGGCAAUCGAGCAUGUUAACUAUAACAUACGCAACGUUUUGCAUCUGGCCAUUAAGUACCGUCGGAAAGAGAUCCUUAAUCAUAUCCAAAGCUUACCACAUGUGAUGCCGAAGCUGAGUAAGAGGAUAGACAAAUAUGGAAACACCAUAUUGCACCAGGCUGCAGAUAGGAGUUACUACUCCAUAUCAUUGUCUCAGAAAUUAAUAGGCCCUGCCAUGCAAUUGCAGGAUGAGCAGCACUGGAUGCUGGUAAUGUUCUCUUGCUAGAUUUAUGUUCUUACACAAAUAUUUAUAUUACCAAUUAAGUCUACUGAUCUUUUAAAAUACUUGUAUUGUCAGGAAAAUACUUAUGUUACAAAUUAAGUUAAUUUGUUCACUUGGUGAAAGACUUAUGUUAUCAGACAACACUAUUAAUGUGUGGACGUGUGCAUGUGUCAGCGUGUACAAGAGAUGAUACCGCCUCAUUACACUCUUCACCACAACAACAAGGAUCAGACAGCGGAGGAGCUGUUCAACCAAGAGCAUGACAAACUUCUGGAGGAAGCACAAAAAUGGGUAAAAGAAACGGCUCAGUCAUGCUCAACCGUGGCGGUGCUAGUGGCCACUGUGGUCUUUGCAGCCGCCUAUGCCAUUCCUGGGGGUUUUAACGACCAAAGCGGCCGUCCUAUUUUCCAGGACAAUCCUCUCUUUUUGCUCUUCACCUGCAUGGACGUUGUGGCCAUUUCCUGCUCACUAUCUUCUGUGGCAUUCUUUCUCUCUGUCCUCUCCUCCCCUCUCGAGUACCCACUUUUCGUUAACAGCAUUCCUCGCAAGGUCAUGGCAGGAUUCAUCUUGCUCUUCUUGUCCAUGGCAACCACCAUGCUCGCCUUUGCUGCCACCAUUUUGCUCGUGAUUCGCGUCAAGAAGAAAUGGACCAUGUCUAUACUUUACCCUAUUGCCUUUUUCCCCGUCCCUCUAUUCGCCUUGCUUCAGUUUCCUAUGUAUCAAUCCUUCAUGGUCAUGCUUAAGACAAUUAAUGCUUGGGUUUUCAAGGUUUUCAAACCGUUAUUGGCCUUUCUCCGCUUUCAUGGCUCUAGGCGGAUCAAAUAACCUAAACUUUUCGUCACAACACAAUAUGUGGUGCACAUUCACAAUCUUGCAAUUUAAGUAUUUAUUUGUUGUUAUCAUUUGAAUAUUUCGGAUUUUUCUUGUUUUCUCCCCUAUUUUCACAAUGUUAUUAUGUCUUCAUUCACAAGUAUGGGUAAUAAGUGAAAAAUAAAGGCUUGUCACAAAUUGUAUGCCAAAGAUUAUCUCUUGCAUGCUUGUAUUGGUUUGUAAUCAUCAUUUGUGUUUAUAUGUCAUCCUUAAGUGUAGUGGUGGAUUGCUUUAGUGGAUUGAAUUUUUUCUUCAACUUAAGUUCAAAUCCUGCCCUAUGCUCUUUGUGUAAAUUAAAGUAAUAAUAUCACUUGUAAUAAAAUGAAGAAAUAGAAAAUAAAUCAUGUUUAAGCGUAACCAAGUUGAUUAGAUUAAUCUGCUUCUCUUCUACACCUCGCAUCCUCCUUAGUGACUUAGAAGGAGAAAAAUACUUUUCUUAGUAGAAAAGGAGAAAAAUAUUUACAAUAAUGAGUGCAUAGUUGCUCGCCCAAUAAAUUGAGGUUGAUGCUCACCCUUCAUUGAUUAUCGUUAGAAUAAUUGAUUAAUUGAUUUAAGCUGCGAAUCUCAAGUUUAAACUAGUUUAAUGAUAAUCAAUGAAGGCAGAGGUGAGUGAAAAGACAAGGUGAGGCGUGGCCUGGGAUAGGCCUGCAGGGUGGCAUAGUAUAUAUUAAUUAAGCAGCAUAGUGUACAUCAUUCACACUCAAAACACUCACCUGAUUUCUGUGUGGAUAAAUAUACUCGGGGGUAAGUUCGAUGUAUUUGUUUUUCAUGAUCCCAGCAGGCCCGCCCCUAAAACCAUACAUUGUGCUUCCUUUGGCGCGGUCUUGCAAGUAAUCUAACACCAAAACACGGAUCGAAUUCAACCAAAAUUCGAAAAGAAAAACAAAGUUUACGAAACAUAUAACAAAUUGAUAAUUAAGACCCUCACCGAAAAUUCCAGAAAUCACAUUGUGUCCUCCGGGCGCUUGACCUCCAGAUAAAACGACACCGAUCUUCAGCUUCUGCUCCGGUAGACCCGAAUCGGAAUCGCUUAGCGCGUGCAGAUGGCUGACCGAAAACAUUAGGAAACAACUUCACGAUCUCCUCUGAGGAACCGAAACGAGAGACGAUCAAAUACGGAAUAGAAAAUCCCAAAACGCACAUAUUCUACAGCAUGAUCGCUAAAUCUGGUCGACUAAACUUGAACUUCAAAAUUUCUCCGAUAUCAAACGCUAGAAAAACGCAUGGAUCCUAGCACAAAGCGGAAGAAGAAGAAGAAGCUGACCUGGAUUGCCGGCGGCGGAGCUAGCUGGACCAUCGACGACCUUGAAGGGAUUUCUGAGCACGGAAGGGAGAGGAAGUGCAUGGUCGAUACGACUGACCUGGACCUCGCUGUAGACGGAGGCGAAUCGGCCGGUGACAGGUGCCGGAACUGACUCAACACCGGCAGCACCGCCGUUAGCAACCAGUGAUGGUGGAGCCAUUAAAAACUAACACGCACAGACAGUGUCUCCGAUAUCUUCGAGUUUUUAGGUGCGACUGCGAACGGAGCGUGAAAUCUAU
rnacentral:lncRNA from 1 species